rnacentral:lncRNA from 1 species
AGAACAUGAAGCAAGGUGCAAGAAGCAUUUUUACUUGCUCACAAAUGUGCAGCAAGGGAGCUAAUGGCUGAUAGCUCAUUCAGCUCAUUCAUUCAACUAGAAAAAACAUACAUUUAUAGUCAAAUACAUCACCAAAUAGUCAACUAACCCCACUAAUCAGCAUUGGGACUAUUAAAACAUUGCUUGUACACAUAAACAAGCCACCUAAACUAGUCAUUCAACACCUAAUGCAUCAAGUUGUCAUCAACUUGUCCAUUUUAAACUAGAUUAAUUAGAAUGAAACUAAAGAGAAACCUUGCUGUUACAGCAAGCAUAUGUGCUGCAGCAUGUCAUCAAGCUGCAUGCACUUCAACCACAAAAUGUAACAGCAGCAUGGUUGGCCAAUUUCCAAUAUUCCUCCUUGGACUCCAUGCUGCAAAUACCAGUCAUUCAUCAAGUUUUUUGAACUUGGCAGCUCUUAGAUGCUUUGAUUCAAGCUGACCAAUUCAUUUUCUUCUUGCACAAACAGUUCGUGAGUAUAGUUGCUUGCCUUCAUUCUGCCAUUUUGGCUUGCAAUUCGACAGGCUCACACUUUGCUUACUGUCUUCAAGAGGCUUGCAACUAUACAACACGCAUUGAGCUUCCACAUGUUGCUGAGCUCACACCUUUGACAGACUCACAUCUUUGCAUAUUGUCUUCAACAGGUGUCUUCAUCAGGCUCGCACUUUGCUAAGCUUGCAGCUUUGACAUCUUGCUAAGCUUGCACAUUUGGAAAGCUCACACCUUUCCUUUAAACUCCUCCUUUAGCUUAUUCAAGCUAGUUUGGGGAUCUUAUAAGUUUGAGCCGAUAUUAUCUUCUCUACAAGCAGUCCUUAAUGACUUGCUUGUGCUUUGACAGCUUCUUUCUUUUCAACAAGCAGGGGAAGCAAAAUCAAUGGUCCCGUAAGACAUAGGCUCAUGAUACCAAUUGUUGGUGCAAGAGGCAGCAACAAAAGAGAGAACAAGAGCACAGAACAUGAAGCAAGGUGCAAGAAGCAUUUUUACUUGCUCACAAAUGUGCAGCAAGGGAGCUAAUGGCUGAUAGCUCAUUCAGCUCAUUCAUUCAACUAGAAAAAACAUACAUUUAUAGUCAAAUACAUCACCAAAUAGUCAACUAACCCCACUAAUCAGCAUUGGGACUAUUAAAACAUUGCUUGUACACAUAAACAAGCCACCUAAACUAGUCAUUCAACACCUAAUGCAUCAAGUUGUCAUCAACUUGUCCAUUUUAAACUAGAUUAAUUAGAAUGAAACUAAAGAGAAACCUUGCUGUUACAGCAAGCAUAUGUGCUGCAGCAUGUCAUCAAGCUGCAUGCACUUCAACCACAAAAUGUAACAGCAGCAUGGUUGGCCAAUUUCCAAUAGCUUACUUCCUCUUGUGAACCUCAGAAGCUUGAAGAGAACAUCACUCUCAUGGAUGCUUCGCAGUAUAAGGCAGCAGCAGAAGGCAAGAUUGAAGUAUUCAAUAACAACCAGGGGCUUCAACUUGAGUCGCUAAAGACCCCAAACCACGACAACGUUCUCCAUGUUAACUUGGCAACCCAGGAUUAUGCUGCCUGGAUUUUUAACAUAUUUCUCUUAAUAAUCAUAUACUUCCCCGUUCUCUAUGAAUCAUUCUAUCGGUCUUUGAGUGUUUUCAUUAAUAUGAAAAGAAGAGAAAAGGGAUCAGAUUUUAUCGAACAAAUCCUUGGAAAAUGUCCGUCACUGCUACUCCAAAUGAAUGCUAAAGGUCAAACUCCUUUGCACGUUGCAGCAAGGUAUGGACAUUCUGCUAUUGUGAAACUUCUAAUCAAGUCUUGUGCAAAAGCUAGAGAUGGAGAUUUAGAGCAGGGAAUGGGUCAAAUAAGUGCAGUGAGGGAGAUGCUGAGGAUUAGGGAUGAGGAAUCCAACACGGCUUUACACGAAGCAGCAGGGUGUGGCAAUGUUGAAGUGGUGAAAGCAUUGUUGGAGUUUGAAGACCCUGAUUUUCAGUAUUCUGCAAACAAAAAACAGGAGACUCCACUUUACAUAGCAGCUAGGAGAGGAUAUGGGGUAAUGCUGAGUAUACUAUUAGAUAAAUCGAAAUCAACAGCUCAUGGCGGCCCCCACGGUAGAACAGUUUUGCAUGCAGCAGCUAUGGCUGGAGAUGCAGGUACGUUGUUGAGUUAGUUCCAAUUAUUUUAUUUUAUUUUGAAAUAAAUAAAGAGCAGGUAUAUUGACUUUUUAUUUUGCUUGGAUUUAGAGGCAAUAAGAGUAAUAUUAAAGAAGAAGGGGAAUUUGACAAAGGAAAGAGAUGAAGAUGGACACACCCCUCUUCAUUAUGCUGCACACUUAGGUUCUAGAUUAUCAGUUGUGGAGGAACUGUUAAAAGGGGAUGUAUCAGCUGCCUAUAUAGGUGAUAAAAAGAGGGGGAUGACACCCCUUCUUAUGGCAGCCAGGCAAGGUCAUGUUGGAACAGUUUCAAAGAUUCUCUCUUUAUGUCCAGAUUGUUGUGAAAAAGUGGACAACAAAGGUUUGAAUUUACUUCAUUACCUGGCUUUUAGAGGCCCUUUCUCUCCAUUAGGGCAUUCUCUUUUCAAGCGUGGUGGUAUUGAGAUUGCAUACCGAUCAUUCAGAAAUCUGAUGGAGUUGGAAGGUGCUUUUGGAAUGACACCUAAACAAGUUUAUAAUGCACUUCGAUCUGAGAGAUAUCAUAAUAAACAGGUGUGUAUUGCAUUUCCAUGGAUAUGGUUUUAUUAAUAUUUAAGUUUGGAAUUAACAUAUUUAAUAAACCCACACCACAAUCGGCUAAUGUGUCUGGCCUGGCAGAAGCAAAUCAAAGAAUUGUUGGAAGAGAUUGAGAAUGAUCAAGUGGCGGAGGAACCAGUUCAUCACUUUAGCUUAGGAAAUGUUUCUACAGAGAGCUUGGAGAGGACAAGAAAUUCUCAUUUAAUAGUGGCAGCACUUAUAGCUGCCAUCGCAUUUGCAGCGGUAAUAACUGUUCCUGGUGGUUCGAAGACUGAAAAAGGCACUCUCCUUUUGAUUGAUGAGGCAGCCUUUAAAGCAUUUGUUGUAACAAAUGCAAUCGCCUUUAUUCUCUCUGUUUCAGCCCUCACCACCCAUUUUGGGGUUCUGGAUAAUAUAUUAUCACAAUUUAGUUUUUGGCGUGAAGCAGUUUUACAUCGAAAUCGGUCUGUUGCUGAGAUCCUCGGCUAUGCAACGGUUGCGAUGUUGAUUGCUUUCAGCACAGGCAGUUAUGUGGUCUUACAACCUUCCUACGGGCUUGCAAUUGUUUCAUAUCUCAUUCCACCUGCCUUUUUUCUCUGUAUGUGGAUAAUUUGUGUAAAGUGAAAUCUAUUAAAUAUCAAACAAUAUAAUAUAGAUUGUAAUCACUGAAUUUUGUCCCAAAAUUUCGUAUUUUAAAUUUUUUUUACAUUUUGACCUCUAAACUUUUUUAAAAUUAUAUUUUGACCUCUAAAAUUUUUCAAAAUUACAUUUUAACCCCUAAACUUUUUUAAAUUACAUUUUGACUCUUAAAUUUUCUCAAAAUUACAUUUUGACCUUAAAAUUUUCUCAAAAUUAUGUUUCGACACCAGAAGUUUUACUAAAAUUGCAGUUUAGUCCAUAUGGCAGCAACUUGCACACCUACCCCCUUGAUUUCCGGCCACCGGCCUAAGGCAUGGCCUCCCUCUCCCCUAGCCACCUAAUCUCUGCAAAAAAGAAGAGAAAAACAUCUAUAAAAGGGGCUUAAAACCCCAAAAGACCCCCCACGAAAAAAAGAGAGAAGAAAGUUUCGAAAAAAAGGAAAUAGGAGAGAAAAGAGAAAGGAGAGGAAGAAAGGAAGAAGAGAAAAGAGGGGAAGGCAGUCACGACGGCGUGAAGCAGCAGCGGAGGCAAUGACGGCGGCGGGCUAGAGUUUCCAAGAAAAAGAAAAAGAAGAAAAAAAAAAGAAAAAAGAGAAAAAAGAUUAAAAUUUUUUUUAAACAGUCAGGUCAACCCGACCCGACCUUUCCGACCAGUGACUCGGAUCCGUCCCGGCCCACAACAGCCUAAGCCCAGUAGCCCAGGCCCCCCCAAAAAAACAAAACAGCAAAAAAAAAAUAAAAAAAACAAAGCAGAAAAAUAGAAGCAGGCCCAACAGCAAGUGCAGGCCCAGUGCAGCAGCAGGCUCCAGGCCCAGCACAGCAGCAGGCCAACCCAGCAGGCCCACAACGCCAGGCCCAGUUCACCAGCAGCAGGCCCAAAGGCAGCAGGCCUAAAAAAGAAGAGAAAAAAGAGAGAGAAAAAAAAAGAAAAAAAGAAAAAGCCCGAGUCGUGUAAACCCGUUCAAUCAAGCUCGUAUUUUCGGGCUCUUCGGUAAUUUCUUUUUUAAGUACUUUUAAUUUAAUUUACAUAUUUUUAUGACAUUUCAUAUUUAAUAUUCUUGUUUUUUUUAAGUAUUUUUUUUAUUUCGUAUUAGGUUUUUUAAAGCAUUUUGUAUUCAUAUUUAAUUUUAUUUAAUUUCAUUAAUUUUAAUUUUCAUAUAUAAGGCGACGAACUGAUUUAAUAUUAAGCUGUAUAUUUUCAUAGUUAUGUUGGGUGAAUAUAUUUAGCUCGUGUUAAAUUCGUGACCCCCUUUUAAAAAAUUGAAAAACUUAAAAAUUCUCGUGUUUUGAAAUAAAAUAUGUAUUUUUGUAAUUAUCGAUAAAUUAUCAAAAUUUUUCCUUUUAAAAUGUAUAUGGUACGAUAAUAUGUAAUUUAUCAAUAUUUUCGUGUUUUCAACAAUUUUCGUGUUUUCAAAAAAAAUAAUUUUCGUGUUUAAAAAAAUUCUCGUGUUUUAAAGAUUUUCGUGUUUUCAAAAAUUUUCGUAUUUCUAAGAUUCUCGUAUUUCCCAAAAAUUUCCGUGUUUUCAAAAAAAAUUCCCGUGUUUCAAUCGGAUCACGAUUAAAUAUUAAAUUGAACUCGUAUUUUUGAAAAUUAAGACAACGUGCAUUUAACGAGAUACCAAUUUUGGGCGUCACGAGGGUGCUAAUACUUUCCUCGUGCGUAACCGACUCCCAAACUCUAAUUUUAUCUGGAUUUUCACGUAGACCUAAAAUUACCUCUUUUUUAGAAAUAUUUAAAAAUAAAUUUUUCUUCUAAAAAGAGAAUUUAUUAGGUAUACGAUCACACUUAGGAAAAAAGAUUAGUAGCGACUCAUUCAGUUUUCAAAUUUACAAUAAUUACUUCGACUAACACCCGUGCCCAAAUUUUAGGUCACUACAUAGAUAUUGUAACUAAUUCUCGGUAGAACAAUUUUGCAUGCAGCAGUUAUGGCUGUAGAUGGCAGGCAAUUAGAUAUGGAAAUAUACUACCAACAACUUCAUUUAUUUCCCCAAAUAUCUGUGAAAUCUAUAUAUUAAACCAAAGUCGAUGUGAUUCCAACUGUUGAGCAGCAUAGGAAGUAACAAAAAUAUAUGUCUCACUGCAAGGAAUUCAAGGCUGCUACAAAGGCUUAUAGAUGCUAAGCAUCAGCUCUUAAAUUUGAUUAUGGCGUUCAACAUAGGGCGGCAUUGACUUCACCACAAAGAGCUGUACAUCUCAUUUUCUUCCAUUCUUCUCCUUCUUUGCAGUUUCCUUGAAACCAAAUUUCACCAUAAAAAACUCCUGCUUUAUUGACCUCACCUCUAACCACAGAUUGCAGUCUUUGUUUAAAGUAUAAAUUUAAUAAAAUGGUAUCCAAAUACAUCAUUAAUAUCUUUCAAAAUAAAUUUUAAGCAUAAUAAUAAAUUUAACUCUAAACACUUAUUAUUAUUUUUAAUUUGACUCUGUUUUAAAUUAAAUUUAAUGUUUCUAAUAGGAAAAAAGAUAAAUAAUAAUUUAAUUUCUUCCUAAUUUUUAACAUUUUUAGUUAGAUUUGAAUUUUUUUCAAGAAGAAAAAGUUGAAAAUCGAGAGAAAAAUUUUGAUUUUUCAUUCUCCUAUUGAAAAGGAAUAUGAAUGAUGUGUGUUGAAUAUUUUUCUCUUUGUCCUUUUAGAAGGUGUUAUUUGCCUAUUUAUAUCAUAUGGAUAUUGUUCAAUGACAUAACAUACUAAGUAGGCUUCAUGUAUGGAGACACUUAUUUUACUCUAGACUUGGCGCAUGUUCAUAUGACCUAUAUACAUGGGACUUCGUAGGUUAGCGAGCUUUGAAUGCGGAUCCCUCGUGAGCUCAACUUGCGAAAUCCCAUUGCGAGCCCAAUUUAACAACUUGUCCUGUGUAAAUUCGCUGAAACUCAGCCCAAGCCCACUCAAGUUUUAGACCAACUAUGGAGAUUAUAAUAACAACAUAAAAUUAUAAUUUCAUAUAAUACUUUCUCAAAAAUUAAAUUGACAUAAAAUUAUAAACAUUCAAAACUAAAUUUUGCAUAAUCCCAAAUUAAUUGGGUGGAGACAUGCGUUUGCGCGCAUUAUCUAUAAAGCAUGUUAAAAAAUAUGGUGGAAGCAACUUCGUUUUAGGGUCAUUUACUUUUCUUUUUGUUACAAUUAAGUCAUUCAAUUAUUAGCGUAUAAUAAUAACCCUAACCUUUCAAUGUCUACAAAUUUUAUUAUUUUGGUCCUAAUUCUAAAAAAUAAAUUUAGCCUUUAAUUUUACACAUUAAAUUAAUCUAAUCUCGAUUCUUAAAAAAUUGAAAUAAAACUUUAAAAAAUAAAAAAAAUAAAAUAUUUUUUUCUAUAAAAUACAUGAAAAAUACAAAAAUAUUUAUAAAUAAAUGAAUAUUAAAAAAAAAGACUUUAAAGAAAAUGUAAGGUUUAGUCUAAAUGACUCAAUAAUAACUAACAUGAUCAAAUUUUAGUGUGUAACAAUUUUCUCAGCUACCAGACACUGUCUUGGAAUAAUAAAAGAAAACAUAGGGCAGCGUUGCCUCGACCACAAAGAGCUGUACACCCCAUUUUCUUCCAUUCUUCUCCUUCUUUGCAGUUUCCUGGAAUCCAAAUUUCACCAUAAUAAACUCCAACUUUAUUGACUUGACCUCUAACCCUAUAUAUUACCAUUACUAAAGUGUUGAUGUAUGAAAUUACAUAUAGUUGCGGCGACUUGAAUGGAGGUUAUGCAAGCAAGUAACUAACAGGUAGGGCAUUUGGUAAAUUCCUUAAUUUGCAGUACUUUUUUUUCUUGAGCAUGGAAUGUUUCAGGGUUUUUUACCCAAAUAGUAUAGAAAAAAAAAUACGAUGUCAGAAAAAAAUUUUACCAAAAUAGGUUACUUUUUUCAUUGGAGCUUAUUAGAUAGGUGCCAAUGAAUAAAAAAAUAAUAAAUUUUUUUUUGAAUAAAAUAUUUUUUAUAUAUUUUUUUAAUAUAUUUUUUUAAAAAAUACAGGUUAAAUUACGGUCAACAGGUCGGGUCGGGUCGGGUGGCGUCUACCUGGUGCCUCAUAAAGAGGCGCCAAUGAAGGUGCCUUAUAGAGAGGCGCCAAUGAAAUUUAUGUUAUAAAUUUUUGUGUUUGUAAUUAUUUAACAUUUAAUUUAUUAGUAAUAAAUUGCAAAAUUACUAAUAAGAUACUAAUAAAUUUAUAACAUAAUCCUAAAUUACUAACAAAUUAAUUAUAAAAUAAUUACAAUAUUCAUACAAAAAAUUACAAUAUUACAAUAUAUCCCGACAUUACAAUAUUCAUACAAAAUUAUAAUAUUACAAUAUUACAAUAUUCAUACAAAAAAAUUGCAAUAUUCAUACAAAAUUAUAAUAUUACAAUAUUCAUACAAAAAAAUUACAAUAUUCAUACUAAAUAUAGAUAAUCUAUAAUUAAUAAUUAAUAACAAAAAAAUAUUGCAAUUUUAUAUGAAUAUUGUAAUAUUGUAAUUUUGUGUGAAUAUUGUAAUGUCGGGAUAUAUUGUAAUAUUGUAAUUUUUUGUAUGAAUAUUGAAAUUAUUUUAUAAUUAAUUUGUUAGUAAUUUAGGAUUAUGUUAUAAAUUUAUUAGUAACUUAUUAGUAAUUUUGCAAUUUAUUACUAAUAAAUUAAAUUUUAAAUAAUUACAAACACAAAAAUUUAUAACAUAAUCCUAAAUUUAUAACAUAAUCUUAAAUUUUAAAUAAUUUGUAUGAAUAUUGUAAUAUUGUAAUUUUGUAUGAAUAUUGUAAUGUCGGGAUAUAUUGUAAUAUUGUAAUUUUUUGUAUGAAUAUUGUAAUUAUUUUAUAAUUAAUUUGUUAGUUAUUUAGGAUUAUGUUAUAAAUUUAUUAGUAUAACUUAUUAGUAAUUUUGUAAUUUAUUACUAAUAAAUUGAAUUUUAAAUAAUUACAAACACAAAAAUUUAUAAUAUAAUCCUAAAUUUAUAAUAUAACCCUAAACCCGAAAAAAUCAGAGCAUUGGCGCCUCCCAGAUAGGUACCACCAUUGGCGCCUCCUAGAUAGGCACCACCAUUGGCGCCUCCCAAAUAGGCGCCAAUACUAUGUAUUAUACGGGUUAUAUACUAACCCGAGAAAGUAUAAAAUUAUAUUUUAUUCAAAAAAAAUUAUUAUUAUUUUAUUCAUUGGCGCCUAUCUAAUAGGCUCCAAUGAAAAAGUAACAUAUUUUGGUAAAAUUUUUUUUCUGACAUCCUAUUUCAGUAUUUUUUUUCUAUACUAUUUGGGUAAAAAACCCAAUGUUUCAAGCUGAUUAAAAAAAAACUAAACUAAACUCCUCCUUUCUACCGCCGCAAAUCUGAAACCAUUCUUUGCCGUUUCAAAUCUCAGGCCUCCGCCCAUCCAUCUCCGAUUAGCACAGAGGGGAAGAAGGCUUUAUUGGCGCACCCACGAAGGUAUCACCUUCUCUUUUUUUUCUUUUGAAUCGCGAAUAAGUAAAAUAAAAUAAUCGAAAAAAAAAGAAAGAAAACAGAAAACCACCUUUUAAAAACUGCUGAUUGUUCUCCUUUUUUAUUGAUUUUUUCGGGAUCCUUUAACAAUACAGAAAUGGGGUUUUUAUAGCCCCGAAAUACAGCGAUUUUUCUUCUAUUUUCCUAUUAUUUUUCUUUUUCCUUUUCUGUUACUGUUUUGUUAUUUGCUAUUCUUCCGUUUUUGCAGUUUGUUGCAGGUACAACUGGAGGAAGCGCGUGGUGAAGAUGCAGCAUGCGUGAAGGGCCUGCGUGCGUGGCUACUGGCCGUGACUGUAGGCUGUUUGGGUUUCGGCGUUUGGUGAAUAUUUUGGGCUGUGUUGGGUUUGGGUAUUUUGGGCUAGAGUUUGUAUUGGGCCUAUUGUAACUGGGUUAAGUUUGUGGGUUUCGGGUUCGGGCUAGGGUAAUGGGUUUAUUUAUUUUGGUUUUAAAUUUUUUUGACUUUGUAAUCUGGACUUUAGACUCUUAAUUUUGGGCCCGGGCUUAAAUGGGCUAUUACAACUAAAGUGUUCAAGUAUAUAUAGUUGUCAUUUGUCGGUGAGUUGAAUGGAGGAUAUGCAAGCAAGCAACUAACUGGUAUGGCAUUUGGUAAAUUUCUGAAUUUGCAGUACUUUUUUCUUGAGUGGAAUGUUUGAAGCUAAUUAAUUCAAUUUUGUUUGGUGUUAUCCAGGAAGAAAUAUAUCAACAAAAAUGGAGCCUGAAGAGAACAUCACUCACAUGGAUUCUUGGCUGUAUAAGGCAGCAGCAGAAGGCAACAUUGAAGUUUUCGAUAAUAACCAGAGGCUUCAACUUGAGUCGCUAAAGACCCCAAACCAUAACAACGUGCUCCAUGUUACCUUGGCAACCAAGGAGAACCCUGUCUGGCUUUUUAACAGAGUUCACUCAAUAUUCAUUUUCUCCCCCGCACUAUAUUUAUUAUUCUAUCGGCGUUUGAAUUUUUUCAUUACUAUUAUAAAAAGAGAAAAGAAAUCAAAUUUUAUCAAACAAAUUCUCAGCAAGUGUCCGUCACUGCUACUCCAAACGAAUGCUAAAGGUCAAACUCCUUUGCACGUUGCAGCAAGUUAUGGACAUUCUGCUAUUGUGAAACUUCUAAUCAAGUCUUGCGCAAAAGCUAGAGAUGGAGAUUUAGAGCUGGGAAUGGAUCAAGUAAGUGCAGUGAGGGAGAUGCUGAGGAUUACGGAUGAGGAAUCCAACACGGCUUUACAUGAAGCAGCAGGGUGUGGCAAUGUUGAAGUGGUGAAAGCAUUGUUGGAAUUUGAAGACCCUGAUUUUCCGUAUUCUGCCAACAAAAAACAGGAGACUCCACUUUACAUAGCAGCUAGGAAGAGAGGAUCUGGGCGCUUGUUGACUCUAUUAUUAGAUAAACUCAAAUCAACUGGUCAUGGCGGCCCCCACUGUAGAACAGCUUUGCACGCAGCAGUUAUGGCUGGAGAUGCAGGUAUGUUGUUGAGUUAGUUCCAAUUUUUUUUUUUUGAAAUAAAUAAAGAACAGGUCUAUUGACAUUAUUUUUUUUGCUUGGAUUUAGAGGCAGUAAAGGUAAUAUUAAAGAAGAAGGGGAAUUUGACAAAGGAACGAGAUGAAGAUGGACACACCCCUCUUCAUUAUGCUGCACACUUGGGUUCUAGAUUCUCAGUUGUGAAAGAACUUUUAAAAUGGGAUGUAUCAGCUGCCUAUAUAAGUGAUAAAAAGAGGGGGAUGACACCGCUUCUUAUGGCAGCCAGGCAAGGUUAUUUUGGAACAGUAAGAAUGAUUCUCUCUUUAUGUCCAGAUUGUUGUGAAAAAGUGGACAAUGAAGGUUUGAAUUUACUUCAUUAUCUGGCUUUUAGAUUCUCUUCCUCCCCAUUAGGGCGUUCUUUUUUCAAGUAUGAUGGUAGUGAGAUUGUAUAUGGAUCAUUCAGAAAUCUAAGGAAGUUGGGAGGUGCCUUUGGAAUGACACCUCAAGAAAUUUUUACUGCACUUCGAUUUGAGGAGCAUCAUCAUAAACAGGUGUGUGUAUAUAUAUAUGGUAUUUCCAUGUUAUUUAAGUUUUGAAUUAACAUAUUUAAUAAUCUUACAAUACAAUCGGCUAAUGUGGGUGGCAUGACAGAAGCAAAUCAAAGAAUUGUUGGAAGAAAUUCAAAAUGAUCAAGUGGCGGAGGUGCCAGUUCGUCGCUUUCCCUUACAAAAUGUUUCUACAAAAAGCUUGGAGAAGACAAGAAAUGCUCAUUUAAUAGUGGCAGGUCUUAUAGCCACCGUCGCAUUCGCAGCGGCAAUAACUGUUCCUGGUGGUUUGAAGAGUGAAAAAGGGUCAGAGCAAGGCACUCCCUUUUUCAUUGAUGAGGCAGCCUUUAAAGCAUUUGUUGUGACAAAUGCACUGGCCUUCCUUUUUUCUGUUUCUGCCCUCACCACCCACUUUGGGGUUCUGGAUAAUCUAUUAUCACAAUUUAAUUUUUUUCGUCAUACAGUUUUAUAUCGAACUCAAUCUGUUUCUGGGAUUCUUGGCUAUGCAACGUUGGCGAUGGUAAUUGCUUUCAGCACAGGCAGUUAUGUGAUUUUAAAACCUUCCCACGGACUUACCAUUGUUUCAUAUCUUAUUUGCCCUGUCUUUUUAUUUUGUAUGUGGGCAAUUUUGAAUCCCUCGUUACAUAUGUAAAAUAUAAAUAUGAUACAAUGUUGUUUCAAUUCGUAGCAAGAAAAAUUUUAGAAGUCAUUUUUAAAAAGAUAGUUUUGAGUUAGGUUUGAGAGUAGGUCACGCAAAAGAAAAAUUUUAGCACCUACAUUAUGCUCACAAUUUAUUAAAUAUGUAUUGUAAAUUAAAAUUCAUAUGUUAGUAUUUAAAUAUGAUCAAAUUUUUGAUAGAUUAAAAAUAAAUAUAUUAAAUGAGUGAAUCGAUAUUUUAAUAGCAAAACAAAGAUAAAGGAUCAAGAUGUAGCAUUUUCCUCUUUUCUUUUGUAAAUUCAACGCCUUUUUAGCCUUUUAUUGUCACUUCCUCCAUCAAUUAAAGUUAAAAUACCCUUAUUGGUUUUGGAGAAGAUCACCAAUUCCAGAGUAUCUUUUGUUUUUACACAGAUUUUCAUUUCCUUUUACUUUAUGAUUUUACAUUACCUAGGCUAAAUGUAUACACUUUUUGCCAUACAAGAUGAACCUAUUUUAAAUAAAAAAAAAAAGUGGGGUUUUCUUUAAUGGAAUCGGACCGGUCAGUUUUAUUGAAAUGGUAACCAGUCAAAACGAAAACCAAGAAACCCAAUUACAUCAGCUGAACAGACGCACAAAAGGAUGCCACCAGAUCAAAGCAACACCCAACAGUUCAAAAAACAAAAGAAAAGCAAAACACAACCCAGCAAACAGACGAGAUUCUAUAGAAAACUGUAAAGAAAUAAUUAUAAUACGCAUCAAAAUUAUUCUAUUACUGAUAAACACUGAAUUGAUAAAAUAAAAUAUAAAUGUCUAUAUUUAUAAGCUUACAAAGAAAUUACCUUAACACAAAAAUAACUAAAAAUUUAUUCAAUUAAAUUGAAAAUCUGGAACUAAUAAAGAUUCUAUCGAGAUACUUGGUCAACUAAACAACUCACUACUUUGCAUUAAUCCUCAACACUCUCCCUUAGUUCAAAGUUGCAGACAAGUAGACUUUUAAAAUAACUGAAUUUCAAGUGAUUACCCCUAAACCUAGAAUGAAAACAUUUGUUGAUACAUUUCUUCUAUCAUCUAAAGAACUUGCCUAAUCACUAACUAUGAACCCAUAUAAUCUGAAAUUUGAAAUUUUUGAGCACCAAAUGCCAUACUCCAAAGUUCCAGUCAUGUACCACAAAACCCGUUUUGUUGCUCCAUAAUGAACCUCUGAAGGUUGCUGCAUAAACCUAGAAAUAACACCAAUAGGAAAUACAAUAUUGAGCCUAGUGUGAGUCAAAUAAAUUAAACCUCCAACCAAGCUUCUAAACCUCCUGGCAUUUGCCAUUUCUUUUUCAUAUUCUAGCUGCAAUUUCUCAUUGAUAUUCAUGGGUGUAGUUGCAGGCUUGCAAUUAAGCAUGCCAAAAUUACUGAGAAGAUCCUUAGCAUAUUUUCUUUGUGAGAUAAAAAUUUCAAGACCAAGGAAAUAAUGGAAUAAACCCAUAUCAGACAUAUCGAAUUCAUUCAUCAUUUGAGACUUAAACUCAUCAAUAAGAAAGUUAGAGGAACUAGUAUAAAUGAUAUCAUCAACGUAAAGACAAACAAUGAUGAAAUCAUUUUUACCUUCCUUUUUCACAUAUAAGGUGGGCUCAUUUUUACUUCUUAUGUACCCUUUCUUCUGAAGAUACCCAUCGAUCUUGCUGUACCAUGCUCGAGGGGCCUGCUUCAAUCCGUACAAUGCCUUUUUCAACUUGUACACCUUUGUUUCGUUGCACUUCUCUAUGAAACCUUCUGGUUGUGCUACAUAAACGUCCUCUUGUAGAUCUCCAUUGAGGAAUGCUAAUUUGACGUCAAAUUGAUAAACAUGCCAUUGCAAUUGUGCAGCCAAUGCUAGAACAAGCCUCACCAUUUUGAACCGAGUUACCAAAGAGAAGGUUUCUUCUAAAUCAACACCAUAUUGCUGGCAUAACCUUUCACCACAAUACGAGCUUUGUGCUUUGGAUGCUUCCAUUUGCACCAAAUUUUAUCUUGAACACCCACUUCAAACCAAUUGCAUUUUUAUCUUCAUUUUGUGGCGUUUAGGGACUUUCCUAUUAGAUUACGCUUUUAUUGAAGGAUGAUGAUGCUACCACUGAAUAUGGAUCAAUCAGAAAUCUUAGGGACUGGAAAGAUGCUAGUGGAAUCACACCUCAACAAGUUUUCUAUGCAUGUUAAUAUGAUAAGUAAGAGAAAAAGGUAUAUUUAUAUUUGUAUUUCUAUGCCUACGGCUAUGGUUUUAUUAAUAUUUGUGUUUUGAAUUAUGAUUAUAUAACAUAUAUAAUAUAAUGAUCUAUAAUAUAAUCGGCUAAUGUGGUAGGAGCAAAUUGUGAAAUUGUUAAAAGAAAUUAUGAAUGAAGAAGUUGCGGAGAAACCAGUUUGUCCCAUUGGCUUGCCAAACAUAUCUGCAGAUAUAAACUUGGAGAAAACAAGAGAUGCUCAUUUAGUAGUGGCAGCACUUAUAGUCACCGUCACAUUCGCAGCGGCAAUAACUGUUCCAGGUGGUUUCAAGAGUGAAGAAGGUUCAGACCAGGGCACUCCUUAUCUGAUUCAUGAGGUAGCUUUUAGAAUAUUUGUUGUAACAAAUGCAUUGGCCUUUAGUCUCUCUCUUUCUACCCACUUCAUCCACUUUGGGAUGCUGCUUCCUCUUUUUCCAAAACCGCUUGGUUCAAUUACGUCUAAAUUGUUCAUCGUUGAUGUGAUCCUUGGCCUUGCACUUGUUGCCAUGGUGAUUGCUUUUAGCACAACCACUUAUAUAGUCUUAAAACCUUCGCUUGGACUUGCCACUACUGCGGUUUGCAUCAGCCCUGACAUUAUUUUCUAUGUUUUAUUUUGCUCGAAAUUUAUGCCUGUAUACAUAAUUAAUCAUAAUUAUUUUUAAGUAAACUACACUAACAGUAACUAAAUUUUGUUUAAAAUUAAAUUUCAAUUAUCCAACUUUCACAAGUUAUCAAAUAGCAGUAACAUUAUUGAGCUUGUAAUAACUCAUUUUGCCUGGCCCAAUAAAUACCAAAAAAACAAAUAAAAAUAAAACUAUAAAAAAUAAAAUAAAAAUAGUAAAUAAUGUCCAAAAAUAUUAAUGUCCAAUUACAAUAAAAUUACCAGCCCAAAUCAAACCAUAAUACUUUAAGCUCGAUUCGGUCCUUAACCCAAAUACUAAACCCAUCAGACCCACUAAGCCCAAAUACUACAAACCCAAUACCUAAGCCCAAUUAGCCCGUUUUGAAAGAGUAUUCCAGAAACCCUUAGGGUUUCUGAAACCCUUCAGUCACCGUAGAAGGAAAAUCACGGCCCUCCUCGCACAUGCUACGCCUCCGCGCGUGUGCGCCUCCGUCUGUUGCUCCAGGCUGGCUGAGUACCUGCAAAAUACACACGCAAGCAGUAGCGAAAGGAAGAAUAACAGAAAAGGGUCGAAGGGAUAACAGAUUAGAUUUUUGUAUUUAUUUUUAUUAUUUAUUUUGCAAUUUUGGCUAUAUAAAGUCAAUUCGAAUACUGUAAACGAUUACGCACACAAAGAUUGAAAGUCAAAAAAAUAUAUUCUAAAGAAAAAGAAAACAGAGAAUUCCAAAGGUGAUUUGAAUUUUUUCUUUUUCCUUUCUUUUUUGUUUUUUCUUUCGGUUCUCUUUUCUUCGAUUAUUUGUUCAUUAUUCAAGUAAGAUAACAAAAAAAAAAUUAGAAAGCGAAGAAAUUACCUCGCGGUCAGAUCCUUGUUCUCUUCGUCGCAAUCAGAGUUUGAGCAGGGGUUCGAAGAUCCUUUUUUGAGCGGUCGUUUUACAGAGCGGCGCAGAGAUCAUUUCGUUUAGGUUUUUGUUUAGAAUGAAGUAGGCUGCUGAUUUCUUAGGGUUUGGUCUAUAAGCAGUGAAAGAAACAUCGCCGUUUGAUGCCAAUGUGAUGCUUUCAAAACGGCGUCAUUUGAAGGCUCAGAUCCGCGCGGUGACCUGAUCCGAGGAAAGGAUCUGCGCGUUUUAUCUCAAUGGUCCAUUUGCGCCACAGGUCCUUUUGUAUUUUGUAUUGUUUUAAUUUAAUUUUUAUUAUUAUUUUAAUUUAUACACUAUAUUGGAUUUUGGUUUCAAUUGAAUCCAUGUUUGAAUGGCAUCGUUUUGAAGAUUUUGAUCCGUAUGCCAAAGAAGAUUUGCGCGUUAAAUUGCUAUAAUAGUCCCUUUGAUGCUAAUUGGUUCUCAAUUCGGUCGUUUGCACAUUUAUUUCAAAUUCACCCUAGGAAUUUUGUUUUAAUUCAAAAUUGAUCUAUUUUUAUUAAAUUAAUUGGUUUAUUAUUAUUUAUCACUAUUAUUAUUAUUAGUAUUUUUUAUAUCAAUUAACCUAAUCUUAUUAUAAAUUCUUUUAUUUUAUUAUAUAGUAUUAUUUUAUGUUUUUGUAUAUUAUUACUUAAUUUUACAAAUAUUUUAUUUUAUAUACAUAUUUUAUGUUAUCUUAGUAUAAUUUAUACAUAUUUUUAUAUUUGUUUAGACUCAUAUAUAUGUAUAUAUACCUUUAACUUUAAAGAUUUACCAAUAACAUUUUAUGAUUCUUUCACAUAUGCAUAUAUAAUUUAUAUUGAAUUAUUUUUAGUAUACAUAUGUAUAUAUAAUAAUAUAUGAUUAAUUUCAAAUUGUAAAUUUUUACCUAUUUUCUAUACAUAAAUACUUUAUUUCUUUUAAAUUUUCUAUUCCAAUUUACUUAUUUUGACUUUUACAUAUAUUAUUAUAGGUAUAUUAUUAUUUAAAUUAGUUUUUUUUUUGCUUAUCUAGAUUAAAAAAUAUAUAUAAAUUGUAGAUUUAUUCAUCUUUAUUUUCUUCUCAUAAUUCUUUCUUUAAAAUUCAUUUAAACAUUUUAUUCAUUUUUAGUUCUAUUAUUAAAUUGUUUCAAAUCUUCAUAUUAAUUACAUAUUUUAAUUUUUUCUCUUUUAAAUGUAUAAUUUUGUGUACAUUUUUUUAUUCCUAAAUUCUUUUCUCUUAUUUUUUUUCAUGAGUUAUAUUUUAUUUUUUUCUUUUAGAUUAAUAGUUUUUAAAUGUUGAUGUUAAUAUUUGCAUAAUGUAUGAUUGAAAUUAUUGUUAUUAUGUUUGUUUGUGUUUAUUUAUUGUUCAUUAUUCAUUGGGGUGCAUUUUACGUUCAAAUUUUGCAUGGUUCAUUGUUCGUUUAAUCACUGUAUCUUUUUAACCGUGUUUCAAUAAAAGCAUUAAAAUCAUCUUAUUUCAUAAAUUGUCAAAAUACUCGGUAUUCAUGAUUUUCAAGAGAAUUGCGCCCUAACUUACUGGGCUUCAAUUUUUUUCCGAUGAAUUUAGAUAGCCAAUUAUUUCUUUUGCAAUAAAACCAUAUAAUUUCUAAAUAAAGUUUUUCGGGAUUUCAAAAUGUUGGAUCCUAACUUACUGGAUAUGACAUUUUAUCAUCUCGAGUUAAGGAUUUUAAAAUAAAGGCAAUAUUCAGUGUUUAGGAAUUUCGAGAAAUUGAACCCUAACUUUCUGGAUUCUGAUUUCUCAGUUGACCCAAAUAACAAAAUAUCCUUCUCAAAAUGCAUGAUUUUUUAAAAUUUAAAAAGACAAACCUAAUUUCGAAUAUUGAAUUAUUGCACCCUAACUCACUGAGUGUGACGAUUUAUUUCUUUGAAAUGGGUAUGUCUUAUCAUCCAAUUCGAUUAUCCAAGUUUUCUUUUCAAGGGAUCAUAUUUUAAAAUCUCUUCAAAUUUUUGUAAUACCCCCUACCCGUAUUCGUCGCUGAAAUAGGGUAUGAGGCAUUACCAAAUUUUACCGAAUAAAUUUUUCAUUAUUACGAGUUAAAUACUGUUCAUUUAUUGAAACAUAUCAUGACGUUCCUUGGAUGGGCCUUCGAAGCCCAAAACAUACAUCGGGACUAAACUGGGAUUAAAUCGAAACCAUAAGAAUUUUUUUAUGAACUUAAUAUAACCCCUUUAUAAAUAUCUAAUCUCCCCUGCAAUUUUAAACCGAGACCAAUCCAACACAACCAAUCCAUUUCAACAUAUUUUCAAGAUAUAUUUAACAUAUUCAUAAGAUAACCUCAUCAGAUAUCAAAAUCAAAAUUUGUUAGCCAUACCAAUGGGUAACCAUACAUUCAUUUCACAUUAACAUUUACUUUAAUAGCUUAUACAUGCCAUUGAUUUCCAAAAUAAAGUUUCUUUUUAUACCAGGUUGAUAGUGUGAUAUGUCUUUGACCGAAUCCGACCUCCGAGCUCUUAACACUACAAAACAGGGGAAAAAGAAACAGGGUAAGCACUUUGUACUUAGUAAGCUCAUGUAACAAGAAUUAUACUUACCUAAUAUUUUCAAUACAAUGUAAUAAACAUUCAUACAUCCAUUCAAUACAUUAUUCCCCUAUCAUGCACAAACUCAACUUUCAAGUUAGUUCAAUAAUUUUCAUGUAUCAAUAAUAUAUAUACCAUGAUUGAUGAGCUCAUCAAUUCCAUGAUUUCCAUUCCCUUGUUAUUUUUCCAUAUUUAUCCCGUUGAACUACUUGAAAUUUUGAUGGAUUUUCAGGGGUACACCUAAGUGUACAAAUCCGGGUCCGUCAAUUCAUAUUCAUGCGCGCACAUUUCCAUUUCAGAGAGCACACUCCCGUGAACCUCAUCCUUACAGCGGGAUUACCAAUCCAGGCUAAAUCCCCUGUAAUAUAAUCUCAUAGAGUAUUGUCGGGAUUACCAAUCCAGGCUAAAUCCCUUGCAAUGAAAAUUACUCUAAUGAGCUUGGAUCUGAAUUACCAGUCCAGGCUAAAUUCAGACCCUAAUUCGGAUUACCCGUCCCGGCUAAAUUCAUUUUCCUCAUAUUCUUUGGGAGGGCUAUAUCAAGAUAGGAUCACCCGUCCGGGCUAGAUCCUUUGUACCGUCAAUUCCUUUUCAGAGAUCCAUCAAAUUUUCCUUUCAUUCAAUCGGGAUUUAUUUUCUCUUUUCAUCAAGAAUAUCUAUACUUCAUCAAUUAUCAUACAAUAAACAUCCAAAUCAUAUUCAUAUCAAGAAAAAUAUAUAUCAAGCAUUUAAGAAUAUAAUUCAAGUUACAUGAACUUACCUUGAUACUUGUUCGUAAACAAAAAUCUACUAAUUUCGAACUUUUUCUUUUCCUCGAUCUAGCUUCGUAUUUGAGUUUUUUGGAUCUAAAUAAAUAAAUUUAAUCAUUAAUCUAAUACAUUUUGUGUUCAUAUGUAACAUUCUCUAUAAUUCCAUUAUUAUUUAUAGUUCAUUCAGAGCUGUCUCAUUGAGUCAUAGUCACUAAAUUAUUUAUAUCUUGAGCUACGGAACUCCAAAUUACGAUCCGCUAAUUUUCCCUGAAACUAGACUCUUACAUAUCUUCUUACUAUAAAAUUUUUAGAAUUUUUGGUUUAGCCAAUAAGUACAAUUUAUUCUUCAAAUUCAUCACUGUUCUGUUGUCUGACAGUUUCGACCUUUCUUCACUAAAAAUUAAUUAUCUCAUUGUACAGGAUUUAAAUGAUGUUCUCGUUUAUUCUUUUUGAAAAUAGACUAAUUAAGGAUUUUAAACAUAUAAUUUUAAUCCCCUAAUUAUUUUUCUCCAAUUUUUGAUGAUUUUCCAAAGUCAGAACAGGGGAACCUAAAAUCAUUCUGACCUUGUCUCACAAAACCUAUUAUAUCUCAUGAUUUACAAUUCCAUUGCUUACACCGUUUCUUCUAUGAGAAACUAGACUCAAUAAGAUUUAAUUUAAUAUUUUAUUAAUCCUCUAAUUCAAUUUCUAAAAUUUAUGGUGAUUUUUCAAAGUUAACCUACUGGUGCUAUCCAAAACUGUUUUAUUGCAUGAUGUUAAUUACCAUUUUUCCCCUAAGCUUUCAAUAAAUGAUAAUUUCGUCCCUACUCAAUUAACCUCUCAAUUGAGAUGAUUUUUCUCAAUUAACACUUUAUUAUAUCACUUUAACUACUUUAUAACCUUUGAAAAUCAGAAUUUUAGCACUAGACUUUGAUUCCAAACUUUUUCACAAUUAGGUCCUACAAAUCAAUUUCUAUUGAAAUUACCUAAUAAAAUCAUCUCAUAAACAAAUUAAAGAUUCAAUUUCAUGCUAUUUCAUCAUAAACUUGCAGCACAUAUUCAUAUAAACUUUAAAUUUCAUUCAUAAAAUAAAAAACUAAUAAAUUUAGUAAUAGGACCUAGUUGUAAAAGUCUUAGAAACACAAAAAUUACAGGAAAAAGACAAGGAUUAACUCGCUUGAUGCAAAAAUUAUGAAAUAAAAGCUUGAAUAAACCCUUAGGAUGUUUUUGGCUGAUGAUAAUGAAGAAAAUAUGAAGAGAAUUCUAGAUAUCACAAGUUGGUCCCAUUUUUAUUUUAGUAAAUUUUGUUAUUUUCCCAUUUUGCCCUUAUUUCACCAAUUCUCCAGAUUUCUCUCAGCUUAUGCCGCCCAAAAUAUCUUCUUUUGGGCUUAUUUUCAAUUUAUGUCCCUCCUUAUUUAACAAUUGAGCUAUUUAAUCCUUCUAGUAACUUUUACACCCUUUUCAAUUUAGUCCUUUUCACUUAAUUAACUACCCAAACGUAGAAAUUUUCUAACGAAAUUUUAAUACCAUAAUACUAACACUUCAUAAAUAUUUAUAAAAAUAUUUCCGACUUGGUUUUACGAGAUCAAGGUCUUGAUACCUUAUUUUUACCCAAUUUCUUCAAUAAUUUCUUUUUCUAACUAACCACUAAAUCGGUAAAAUUUUUCUAUCGAUAUUUUCAUAUGAUUUUCCUAUCAUAUCAAUAUUCAUGCAAAAAUAUUAAAAUUAAUUUCUCUUUAAAUCGGAUUUGUGGUUACGAAACCACUGUUCUGAUAACAUUGAAUUUAGGCCAUUACAAUUUUCAACACUCAGACAUUAAACAAUCAAUUCGGUACCAAUUUUUGGGCGUUGCGAGGGUGCUAACCCUUCCUCGUGUGUAACCGACUUUCAAACGUGUUUUCUAAAAAUUUAAGGACCAAAAUCGUUAUUUUAAUAAAUCAAUAUGUUUUAUUAAAAUCCCAAGGUGACCCGAUCACACCUCAAAAAAAGGAUUGGUGACGACUCCAUUUUCAUUUUCAAAGUCGAUUCCUGUUUUUCAAAUGAAAAAAUUGGUUUAUAAAUUUUUUAAUAUUUAUUUUAAAUGAAUUUUUAACUUCUAUUUAAUUAUUGUUGGAUUGGAUGUUGUACUAGUUGAACUAAGAAUAGGUAGUUUGAUUAUUCGACCACCAAUCCAAUUUUUGAAACAUUGAAACAAAAAACCUACAAAAACAUAAACUCGAAAUAUGACUCAACCCGAAAAAUCCAAUAAACAAAUACACAAAAUCUAAAACCGAAAUAAUUCAAGAAAUUUAAACAUAUCCAAAUAAAUCAAACCCAAAUUAAUCUAUUAAAAAAUGAUCCAAAAAGAAAUCUUUAAGAGAGUGUAGGCAUGAGAAUGAAGUUAUUUCAAUGGCGGUGGCAAUGAAUCCAAAAUGCCUUCAUCGCUUAAACGCCGCACCACACUCUCUUUCACUUUAUCUUCUCUUUCAUUUGCAUAUAAAAAACUCCAUAGAUUCAAAUACUCCAUCAAUAAAUCACAGUUGCCUAGUUGCCCUUGCAAACCUUACCGGAAAACGAUGUCGGACUGGGGUCCAAUUAUCGUGGCGUUGGUUCUUUUCGUGCUGCUAAUGCCGGGGUUGUUGUUUCAAGUUCCCGGCCACCACAGGUGCGUGGAGUUCGGCAACUUUAAGACCAGUGGGGCUUCGAUUCUCGUACAUUCGUUGUUGUAUUUUGGGCUCAUUUGUGUGUUUUUGUUGGCUAUUAAGGUUCAUUUGUAUUUAGGUUGAUGAUAAAUGGUUGAUCCUAUCUCAUCUUUGGCUGCUUUAAGUUGUUUAUUUUUCUAAAUUAAAAUAAAAUUAGUAUUUUAUUUUUCAUUCCAUCCGAAAUCUCAAAUUAUGAUCCUCAUUUUAAUUUAGUGUUUAAAUAUUAAAAUGUUCGUUUACGUUUUUAAACUAUGGAUGUUAUAUUAGUAGGGUUCUUUUGUUAUUAAAAUCGUUAAUUUAACUGUCAAAUUUUAUGUAGAUAAAUUUAAACGAACAACUUUAAAGAAAUGGAAUAUCGUCGCAUUCUUUUUAAAAGUGAAAAUUAAAAAUCAAGUAAAAUUGAAAAGAAAAAACAAGCGAAUGAUAAAACUUCUAUAUAAACUUCGAAAAUCUCAAAACAAGUGAAUGAUAAAACAUCUAUUUUAAAAAUAUUUUUUCUUAAAAUUUUUAUUUUAAAUUAUGUCACAUAAGAUCCGACGUGUCAUUUAAUGAUUAAAUUAAUAAUUUUAGUAAUGGAAGGACCUAAUUUAUAUAACCUUAACAAUUUUAAGAUGUAAUUAGAAUGGUUUAAAGUUUUUAUUAAAUCCAAAGAUGUUAAUUUUUAUUGAUGUUUACAUGCUUUAAAAAAAUAAUUUAAAUAAUCAAUUACAUAAAAUUAUUAAUAUUUUUUAAUCUUAAAAAAUUAUUAAUAUGUUUUUAUUAGUAUUACACUUGCUGCAUCUCAGAGAGCAUCUUUAUCGGGCAAAAAUAUUUCUAAAUAAGUUAUCUUUUUUACAGAAAAAGCGUUUCCUCCAAAUAAAAAAAUAGUUUAAAAAUAUUUUUGAAAAAAACUGAAUCCCAAGAACACUUUUGAUAAUCAUUCCUAACCUAGGCCUUCAAGUGUUUAUAAUUUAUUUGAUUUAGGUAUUACUAUGCUCUAUAAAGUGUUUAUGUUGUGAUAUAGAAUUCUAUAAAUCUAUAGGUUUUAGGCUUAGAGUAGGUAGAAUGUUGUUUUUUUUUUUUUAAAUGAAAUAAAGUAUUAAGCUAAAGUGUUCAAGGAAUGAAUUAUGCAUGCCAUGGCGCUUUUGUUAUGUUAUGCUAAAGUGUUUAAGAAUAGGAGUAACAUGGUUUAAAUUCAUGCCAAAUAUAUAUUUUAUAAGAAUUUUAAUUAUUGUUUCAUUCGAGUUAAGAUUAUAUUUUCGUUAUUAUAUAUCGAUAAAGUGUUGAAAUAAUAAAUUAUAUAUAUAUAAAUGUGUGUCACUUGUCUUGAUAAGCCACUAGGUGACUUGAAAUAAGUAAUUAGGCAUUUAAUUUGUAAUAUAUAAUUUUCCUUUUUAUCUUUGAAUUUUCCAAGCUAAUUAAUUAAUUGGUGUUAUCAGGGAAGAAAGCUGUGCAACCUAAGAAUCCUGCAAACAACAUUACUUACAUGGACGUUUCAUUGUAUAAAGCUGCAGCAGAAGGUAAAAUUGAAGAUUCCAAUAAUUACCGGAGGCCUGAACUUGAGUCGCUGAAGACCCCAAACCAUGACAACGUGCUCCAUGUUAACUUGUCAACCACCGAGUGUAUCGGGAACCGUACCAGAUCAGAUUUUAUCGAACAAAUUCUCAGCAAUUGUCUGUCACUGCUACUGCAAACGAAUGGUAAAGGUCAAACUCCUUUGUACGUUGCAGCAAGGUAUGCGCAUUCUGCUAUUGUGAAACUUCUAAUCAAGUCUUGUGCAAAAGCUACAGAUGGAGAUUUAGAGAAGCUGGGAAUGGAUCAAGUAAAUGCAGUGAGGGCGAUGCUGAGGAUUAGGGAUCAGGAAUCCAACACAACUUUACAUGAAGCAGCAGGGUGUGGCAAUGUCGAAGUGGUGAAAUCGAAUUUUUUGUAACGAGAUUAACGGAAGUUAAGUCUGUUUUCUAAGUAGAGAUAAUCGAUUUUUACUACAAACUACUCAUGCUGUCCGAAAGACAAUAAAAGGAAGAGAUCAUGGAAACCCCCAUGGCCAUGGUAGAACAACUUUGCUUGCAGCAGUUAUGGCUGUAGAUGGCAGGCAAUUUGAGCAGCAUAGGAAGUAAUCAAAAUAUAUAUGUCGCACUGCAAGGAAUUCAAGGCUACCUUGUCCACAAAGGCUUAUAGCUGCUAAGCACCAGCACUUAAAUUUGAUUAUGGCCUAAUAAACAACAUAGGGCAUCAUUGACUUCACCACAAAGAGCUGUAGACCUCAUUUUCUUCAAUUCUUCUCCUUCUUUGCGGUUUCCUUGAAACUAAGUUUCACCAUAAAAAUCCUACUUUAUUGACCAGCUUGUUGGCACAUAAUUAAAUUAAUCUUGUACAAAUAAAUUAUGAAAAGUUAAAAGAGUGAAGAGACUUGAAUAUGAAGAGUGAAGAGACUUGAAGAUGAAAAAUUAUACACAUUAUGAAGAGUGAAGAGACUUGAGUAUGAAAAGUUAUACAUAUGCAUGGAUAGUCAUAACUCUUAUAAUAUUUAAGUUAUGUAAAUGAAUAGUGACAACUCCUAGCAUUUAGUGAUAUAGAUGAAUAGUCACUUACAACUCCUAUAUAAAUAGUUGUAUGUGAUGAAGAAUUUAAAGUAGAAUGAUUGAAAUAAAAAAAAGUUUAUUAUAAGGAAUUUUAUUUCUUCCAUAUAAUUUUUUUUUCUCUUUUCAUUAUAUUUUUUUUAUCAUUUUCUUUGUUUUAUUUCUCCAAAUAUUGAUCAAUUUUCUACACAGCUGACCUCAAACCCUAUAUAUUACUAAUACUAAAGUGUUCAAUUAUAUAUAAUGUUCAAUUAACCAUAAAGAGCUGUCCACCCCAUUUUCUUCCAUUCAUUUUCUUCAAUUCUUCUCCUUCUUUGCAGUUUCCUAGAAACCAAGUUUCACCAUAAAAAUCCUACUUUAUUGACCUGACCUCAAACCCUAUGUAUUACUAAUACUGAAGUGCUCAAUUAUAUAUAAUGUUCAAUGAACCAUAAAGAGCUUUCCACCCCAUUUUCUUCCAUUCUUUUCUUUAAUUCUUCUCCUUCUUAGCAGUUUCCUUAAAACCAAAUUUCACCAUAAAAAGCUCCUACUUUAUUGACCUGACCUCUAACCACAGAUUGUCGUUUUGUUUAAUGUAUAAAUUUAAUAAUAGUAUCAAUUACAUCAUUAAUAUCUUUCAUGUAAAUUUUAUUUAGUAAAUAAAUCUUAGAAAAUUUUAGAUUAUCUUUUAGGUAUAAUGAUAAAUUCAACUUUAAACAUUUUUUUUGGUUAAUUUAAUAUUUAUUUUUAAGUCAAAUUUAGCGUUCAAACUUAAAAAAAUAAAACCAUUGACAGUUAAAAUUUGCAUUAUGCGAAAUUAAUUUGGUGGAAGCAUGCGCUUGUGCGCAUUAUCUGUGAAGCAUGUUCAAAAAUGAUGGAUUUGAUGCAUCAUGCAUCUACCUUUCAACAAUUUUUAGCAUUUUAACCAUCUUUAGCAACUUUUUUUUAGUGCCAUUUAAAAAGUUUAAUUUAGUCAUUAAUUGUUGAUGCUUUGAGAAAUUAAGAAAGCAGAACAAAGGCUUAUAGCUGCUAAGCACCAGCUCUUAAAUUUGAUUAUGGCCUAAUAAACAACAUAGGGCAGCAUUGACAUCACCAUAAAGAGCUGUACACCCCAUUUUCUUCCAUUCUCUUUCUUCAUUUCUUCUCCUUCUUUGCCAAGUAAUUUCUUUACAGUUUGCUUAAACCCAAAUUUCAACCGGAGAUUGUCGUUUUGUUUAAAGUAAAAGUAUAAAGUUAGCACAAAGCAAUAAUUGUGUCGAAAUACAUCAUUAACACAUACAUAAACAAGUAGAUAUUUUCAAGCUAAAAAGUUACUCAAAAAUUACAUAUUUUUCCUCCAAAUAAAUUCAAGCACACACAAAAAAAAACCCCCUAAAAAAACAAUACCCAAAAUUAAAAGAAAGUGAAAAUCAAACACCAAAUCACAAAAUGAAUAAUACCCAGAUCUUCAUUUUAAAAGAAAAUGGUAAAGAUUGAAGAUCUGAUAAGAAAAAUGGAAGAUAUAAAAAGGAUAGUGAUGGUAGGUUAUGAUAUUUUUCUUUAUUAUUCAAUGCCUUUAAUUGUAAUUAAGUGGUUGGAGCAAUAAAUGGCACCUGGUAAUUUUAAGGAAUAGAGAGCUAAAUAAACUCGACUGUAAUAACAUAUAUUACAAUGAAUCAAAAUUGCGUUGUAGUGAGCCUAUUGAGCCAGGCCUAAAUGAAUGGCUCAUUCCAUUCAACCAAAUAAGCCCUAAGUGUUUAUAAUUUUUUAUAAUUAAAUUUUUUAUUGUAAUAAUUAAGAAAAUGUGAACUUGAAUACUUAAUCAUGUUUAAUGUCUUGUUGAAAGAUAAAAAUAUUAUAAAUAAUAAAAGAAAUUAUUUAAAAUACAUCUAAAUGAAAUUGAUAAUCUACGUAAUAGAUAAAUUUACUUAAUACAAUUUAUUUUCUAUUAAACUACUAUAUAUUUUUAUCUAUAAUAUUUUUAACUUCAUUGUAAGCACGUGCGUGUAUAUAUAUUAGUAGACUUUAAAAAUACAUAUAAAAUUAUAAAAAUUAUAAAAUUCAUAUAAAAAUAUUUAUAAAUAAAUGAAUACUCAAUUUUCUCUUAAAAACUUGAUCUUUUACCGAAAAUGUGGUAAAUCAUUUUGGUCUUAGGUUGCAGAAUUUCGAAUCCUUCUAUUAAAGAGCGUCUGCCCUGUAGGCAAAAAACCUCUUAAGGCUCUCCACAUCGUUAGCUUAAUCUUAGCAGGUAUAGAUAGUGACCACAAUUUUCUAUAGAUCAUUUGUGUAUCAUUUGAAAUUUCUGUGUUCUCAUUUUGAAUCAUGAGCUCUUUGUAACCACUACGUACAGUAUACUGACCUGUUUUCUCCCCCUGCCACACCUGACAGUUUGCACAUUCAACUUUGGAUAGAGGAAUGCAUCUAAUCACCUCCACAUCUUUAGCAGAAAAAAUCCUAGUAAUUAUCUCUUCGUUCCACAUUCGUUUAUCCUGAUCAAUUAACUGAUACACUGUUUGGACCGAAUCAUCAAUGGGACGUGUAUGAAUCUUGUUUCCAGCCCAUUUCGGUAACCAACGAUCAAACCAAAUCUAGAUAUUCUCUCUUGUUCCUACUCGCCAGCCCAUCCGUUGCUCUAACAAUCCUCGUGCCACAUAUAUACUUUGCCAAGUAUAUGAAGGAUAAGCCCCCAAUCUUGCAUCCCAAAAACUUGACAGAGGGUAGUAUUUUGCUUUAAAAAUUCUAGCUAAUAACGAAUCCGGAUAUAUAACCAGCCGCCAUCAUUGUUUAGCUAACAAAGCAAUAUUAAAUUUCCCCAUAUCGUGAAAAUUUAAACCACCACACUCCUUUGCCUUGCAUAAUUCUGACCAACAACUCUAAUGCAAACCACGUCGGUUACUUCCUUUACCCUACCAAAAUCGGUUCAUUAUUUUUUCAAAGUUAGCACACAACGAUUUCGAGAGAAGAAAACAAGACAUGGAGUAAAUCGAUAUGGCCUGUAACACAGCUUUGAUGAACACUUCUUUACCCCAUUGGGAAAACAUUCGACUCCACCACCCAUUCACCCUCUUCCUCAAUCUAUCGCUAAUCCUUUGGAAAGCCUCUUUCUUCUUCCGCCCCACUAUAGUUGGUAGAUAACUACCCUAACACCCAUAUAAUUUGUUGAUUGAUCUCGAAUAUCUUCAGAACAGUUUGAACUAAAGAAAAUUUGAGAUUUCUCAAAAUUAAUCUUCUGACCUGAUGCUUUCUCAUAAUCAUCAAGAAAACCUUUCAUUAACUUACAACCAUUCUCAUUUGCUUCACAAAAAAUAAUGCUAUCAUUUGCAAAAAACAAAUGGGUUACCCUCGGGCGUCCCAGACAAACUUAAACUCCCUUUAUUAGCCCAUCCCGCUUUGCUAGUUUAAAGAUUAUUGAGAAUCCUUCAAUGCAAAUGAGGAACAGACAGGGACUCAAUGGAUCCCCUUGUCUAAGACCACGUUCUGGUUGGAAAGGCUCACUCAAACUUCCAUUAACCGUAAUCGCAUACGAGACCGAAGAGAUACAGUGGUAAAUCAACUNNNNNNNNNNNNNNNNNNNNNNNNNNNNNNNNNNNNNNNNNNNNNNNNNNNNNNNNNNNNNNNNNNNNNNNNNNNNNNNNNNNNNNNNNNNNNNNNNNNNNNNNNNNNNNNNNNNNNNNNNNNNNNNNNNNNNNNNNNNNNNNNNNNNNNNNNNNNNNNNNNNNNNNNNNNNNNNNNNNNNNNNNNNNNNNNNNNNNNNNNNNNNNNNNNNNNNNNNNNNNNNNNNNNNNNNNNNNNNNNNNNNNNNNNNNNNNNNNNNNNNNNNNNNNNNNNNNNNNNNNNNNNNNNNNNNNNNNNNNNNNNNNNNNNNNNNNNNNNNNNNNNNNNNNNNNNNNNNNNNNNNNNNNNNNNNNNNNNNNNNNNNNNNNNNNNNNNNNNNNNNNNNNNNNNNNNNNNNNNNNNNNNNNNNNNNNNNNNNNNNNNNNNNNNNNNNNNNNNNNNNNNNNNNNNNNNNNNNNNNNNNNNNNNNNNNNNNNNNNNNNNNNNNNNNNNNNNNNNNNGGCACUGCCACAUUUUUGUUGGAUUCCCACAAAGUUUUGACUUGCUUAUAACAGGAAUCUUCUAGGAGCCAGUGUUAACAUUAAUGGAAGACAAUUAAUAAUGGUUGCCAUUAACAUUAAUGGGAGACAAUCAAUAAUGACAACCACCAACUUUGGAAAAGUGGCAAGGGAUAAUUUUUUUUUGGUCCUUGAGAUAAUGGGCUAUUUAUUGUUUGGUCCUUGAACCUCAACUAUAAAUAGGCCUUCUCAUUUCUCAUUUCAAUUCAUCCCAACCAAUCUUUCUCUCUUAGUUUUCUCUCUUCUCUCAUUUGAGAAUUCUUAAGGAAUUCUAUUUGUUUGUAAUAUCUUGAAGAUAGUAAAGUUAUCAUCUGGUGUUAGUGCCCGAGGACGUAGGUAUAAUUUACCGAACCUCGUUAAAACUCUUGUGUUCUUUCUUGUCCUAUUUUUCUUUCAAUAUUUGAGGGUAUAAUAGUAGUAUUUAAUUGUGCUAUUAAGUUACUAUAGAAGGGAUAUUCUGUCUAAGGAAAGGCUUGUUAUUUAAGAGAUCCAUGUGAUCCACCUCUCUUCCUUGGGAAUAGAAACUUUGUGUGAUUUUUUUAGUACAAUAAUUUACACGCUUCCGACCCUAUUGGAACAACAAGUGGUAUCAAGAGUCGAAGGUUAAUCGUAGUAUGCUCUGUGGUUGCAGUUUGAACUAAUCUUCCACAUCAGAAAAGAUUUCCUUAGGUAUAUUGAAAGAUUAUGGAGAAAACGGUCGGUGUAGGAGCUUCAACAUCGUCCAUGUGGACAAAACCGACAAUUGCAAAUGCAAGAUUGGCCGUGGAGAUCUUUGAUGGCACGGGCCAUUUUGGUAUGUGGCAAAGUGAGGUUCUAGAUGCUCUUUUUCAGCAGGGUCUAGACAUUGCCAUUGAUGAAGAGAAACCAGAUGAUGUACAGGAGAAAGAUUGGAAGGCGAUCAAUCGGUUGGCAUGUGGCACAAUUCGAUCAUGCCUUUCUCGAGAGCAGAGGUAUGCUUUUUCAAAGGAGACUUCUGCAAAUAAGUUGUGGGUGGCACUUGAAGAAAAAUUUUUGAAGAAAAACAGUCAAAAUAAGCUCCACUUGAAGAAAAGACUGUUUCGCUUCACAUACGUCCCAAGUACCACAAUGAAUGAUCACAUCACCAAAUUUAAUCAGUUAGUCACUGAUUUGCUGAAUAUGGAUGAGACAUUCAAAGAUGAAGAUUUGGCUUUGAUGCUGUUGGGGUCACUUCCUGAGGAGUUUGAGCUCCUAGAAACUACUCUACUUCAUGGCAGGAGUGAUAUAUCUCUGAGCGAAGUCUGUGCGGCCUUAUACAGUUAUGAACAGAGAAAGAAGGACAAACAGAAAAACUCAAUCAGAGAUACAGAAGCUUUAGUAGUCCGAGGUCGUUCAUACACUCGGAAGAAAACUCAAAAGGGGAGAUCAAAGUCAAAGUCCAGACUCGGGAAAGAUGAAUAUGCUUUUUGUCAUGAGAAAGGCCACUGGAAGAAAAAUUGUCCAAAGCUGAAGAAUAAGGGAAAAGCUGCUGUAGAUGCUUGUGUUGCUAAGCAUGAUACUAGUGACUCUGAACUAUCACUGGUUGCAUCAUCAUCGUCGUUCCAUUCAGAUGAGUGGAUAUUGGAUUCGGGUUGUACCUAUCAUAUGUCCCCUAAUCGGGAGUGGUUCUCUGAUUUAGUAGAACUAAAUGGAGGAGUUGUUUAUAUGGGCAAUGACAAUGCCUGUAAAACUGUUGGGAUAGGUUCAAUCCAAUUAAAGAAUAAAGAUGGAUCAAUCAGAGUUCUGACUGAUGUUCAGUACGUGCCCAGUUUGAAGAAAAAUCUCAUCUCAUUGGGAGCCUUGGAAUCCAAUGGUUCAGUUGUUACUAUGAGAGAUGGGGUUUUGAAAGUGACAUCUAGUGCACUUGUGAUAUUGAAGGGCAUCAGGAAAAAUAACUUGUAUUACUACCAAGGUAGUACAGUUAUUGGAGCAGUCACUGCAGCUUCCGGCAACAAAGAAUUGGACUCAAUACAGUUGUGGCAUAUGAAGUUGGGACAUGCCAGCGAAAAAUCCUUGCAAAUUCUGGCAAAGCAAGGAUUGUUGAAAGGUGCAAAGGCUUGCAAAUUAAAAUUUUACGAGCAUUGUGUUCUGGGAAAGCAAAAGAGAGUGAAAUUCGGUACUGCUAUCCAUAAUACAAAAGGUAUUUUGGAAUAUGUUCACUCAGAUGUGUGGGGGCCUUCCAAGACACCUUCAUUGGGAGGAAAACACUACUUUGUUACUUUUAUUGAUGACUUUUCCAGAAGAGUUUGGGUGUAUACCAUGAGAACUAAGGAUGAAGUGCUUAGAGUUUUUCUUAAAUGGAAAACUAUGAUCGAAAACCAGACUGGCAAGAAAAUCAAGCGGCUUAGGACGGACAAUGGAGGGGAAUAUAAAAGUGAUCCGUUCUUCGAUGUGUGCCAAGAGUAUGGUAUUGUUCGACACUUUACAGUUAGGGAUACACCACAGCAGAAUGGAUUGGCAGAGCGUAUGAAUCGAACAUUGCUGGAGAAAGUUCGAUGUAUGUUGUCCAAUGCUGGGUUGGGCAAGCAAUUUUGGGCUGAGGCUGUGACAUACGCUGGCCAUCUUGUUAAUCGUUUGCCAUCAUCUGCAUUAGAAAGAAAAACUCCUAUGGAGGUAUGGUCUGAAAAACCGGCUACAGAUUAUGAUUCCUUACAUGUGUUUGGAACCACUGCAUAUUACCAUGUGAAGGAGUCAAAGUUAGAUCCGAGGGCAAAGAAAGCUCUCUUUAUGGGAAUCACUUCUGGAGUGAAGGGAUUUCGUCUUUGGUGCUUAAGUACAAAGAAAAUGAUCUGUAGCAGAGAUGUUACCUUUGAUGAAUCUGCCACAUUGAAAAAGGUAGCAGAUAAAGAUAUUCAGACGAGCAAUACUCCACAGCAGGUGGAGUGUACUCCAAAACAGGUAGAGUUUGAGCAGAUGGGGAUUUGCCCAGUUAAUAAGUCUAAUUCUCCAGCCACAAUGGAGGAAUUAGAGGUUGAAGAGGUUCUGACCCAAGAACCACUAAGUACACCAGAACCAGUUGCAGUUGCAAGACCACGGAGAGAAAUUCGUAAACCUGCUCGAUUUACUGAUAUGGUGGCCUACGCCCUUCCCGUUGUUGAUGAUAUUCCUAUCACUUAUCAAGAAGCAAUGCAAAGCUUAGAAAGUGAUAAAUGGAAAAGCGCCAUGGAUGAAGAAAUGCAGUCUCUCCGGAAGAACAAUACUUGGGAGUUGGCGCAAUUACCGAAAGGUAAAAGGGCAAUCGGAUGCAAGUGGGUAUUCGCAAAGAAAGAUGGAUCUCCUAGCAAGAAGGAUAUUCGCUACAAGGCAAGAUUGGUAGCUAAAGGCUACGCUCAGAAGGAGGGAAUUGACUACAAUGAUGUAUUUUCCCCUGUUGUGAAGCAUUCUUCCAUUAGAAUUUUGUUGGCCUUGGUAGCACAGUUGAAUUUGGAGCUAGCUCAACUUGAUGUUAAGACGGCUUUCUUGCAUGGUGAGUUAGAAGAGGAGAUCUAUAUGACUCAGCCAGAAGGAUACACAGAUGCUGGUGGUAGAAAUUGGGUUUGUAAGCUUAACAAAUCGCUAUAUGGAUUGAAGUAAUCCCCGAGGCAGUGGUACAAGCGAUUUGAUAGCUUUAUGAGAAGCCAGAAGUACACAAGAAGCAAAUAUGACAAUUGUGUAUAUUUGCAGAAGCUGCAUGACGAAUCUUUCAUUUAUCUACUCUUGUAUGUUGAUGAUAUGUUAAUCGCUUCGAAGAGCCAAAAUGAGAUAGAUAAGCUGAAGGCUCAGUUGAAUCAAGAGUUCGAGAUGAAAGAUCUAGGUGAGGCCAAGAAGAUUCUCGGCAUGGAGAUAAGUAGAGAUAGACCGAGAGGCAAGCUCUAUUUAAAUCAGAAGCAAUAUCUGAAAAAGGUAUUACAAUGUUUUGGUGUAAAUGAAAACACAAAACAUGUAAGUACCCCACUUGCUUCUCAUUUGAAACUUAGUGCUCAAUUAUCUCCGAAGACUGAAGAUGAAAGAGAAUAUAUGGCGAAAGUCCCAUAUGCUAAUGCAGUUGGGAGUUUGAUGUAUGCGAUGGUGUGUACGAGGCCUGACAUUUCACAAGCUGUUGGAGUUGUGAGCAGGUAUAUGCAUGAUCCUGGAAAAGGACAUUGGCAAGCUGUGAAAUGGAUUCUACGGUAUCUUCGAAAAACCGUAGAUGUUGGUUUAAUUUUUGAACAGGAUGAAGCACUUGGUCAGUUUGUAGUUGGAUAUGUUGAUUCCGACUUUGCUGGCGAUUUAGAUAAACGUCGUUCAACUACGGGGUAUCUGUUUACUCUUGCGAAAGCCCCAGUGAGUUGGAAGUCUACCUUACAGUCUACAGUAGCUGUGUCUACUACAGAGGCAGAAUAUAUGGCAGUUACAAAAGCUGUUAAGGAGGCUAUUUGGCUUAAUGGAUUGUUGAAAGACUUAGAAGUUGUUCAAAGUCACAUAAGUUUAUAUUGUGACAGUCAGAGCGCUAUUCAUUUAGCGAAAAAUCAAGUCUAUCAUUCAAGAACCAAGCAUAUCGACGUAAGAUAUCACUUUGUGCGAGAAGUCUUUGAAAAAGGAAAAAUUCUACUUCAGAAGAUUCCGACAGCAGAUAAUCCCGCAGAUAUGAUGACCAAGGUGGUAACAACAAUCAAGUUUAAUCAUUGUUUGAACUUGAUUAACAUCCUGAGAAUUUGAGCACCUUCAGGUGUAUGGCGCUCGAGAGCGCAUUUGUAGGCACUACAAAAGAUAGCUUUAUCGAAUUUGGGGAGUUGAAGGAAGUGUGUGAAGAUGUGAUUAUCCUAAUCAAAUCUUCAAGGUGGAGAGUGUUAACAUUAAUGGAAGAUAAUUAAUAAUGGUUGCCAUAAACAUUAAUGGGAGACAAUCAAUAAUGACAACCACCAACUUUGGAAAAGUGGCAAGGGAUAAUUUUUUUUUGGUCCUUGAGAUAAUGGGCUAUUUAUUGUUUGGUCCUUGAACCUCAACUAUAAAUAGGCCUUCUCAUUUCUCAUUUCAAUUCAUCCCAACCAAUCUUUCUCUCUUAGUUUUCUCUCUUCUCUCAUUUGAGAAUUCUUAAGGAAUUCUAUUUGUUUGUAAUAUCUUGAAGAUAGUAAAGUUAUCAUCUGGUGUUAGUGCCCGAGGACGUAGGUAUAAUUUACCGAACCUCGUUAAAACUCUUGUGUUCUUUCUUGUCCUAUUUUUCUUUCAAUAUUUGAGGGUAUAAUAGUAGUAUUUAAUUGUGCUAUUAAGUUACUAUAGAAGGGAUAUUCUGUCUAAGGAAAGACUUGGUAUUUAAGAGAUCCAUGUGAUCCACCUCUCUUCCCUGGGAAUUGAACUUUGUGUGAUUUUUUAGUACAAUAAUUUACACGCUUCCGACCCUAUUGGAACAACAGCCAGACCGUUUCAAAAUGAAAUAAUCUACCUGCAUUAGAGAAAUUACCUGAAUUAGUUGAAAAAUUCGUAUCCAACAACAAAGGACAAUGAUCAGAAAUUGUAUUAUCAGCAUGAGUGAGGGCCUGUAAGAUGGAAACUUCUCAGACCAUGCUAGAUUCGCCACUCCCCUAUCGAGCCGCUCUCUGAUGUUAUUUGAUAGUAUGCUCCUCAUGUUAAAAUUUAACACCAAAAUUUUAAAUGUUUAUUUAUUUUUGUCAAUUUGAUACUUAGUUUUUUAGUUAAAUUUAGCAGUCAAUCUUUUAAAAAGAGUAAAAUUUGGCCAUCCACUUUUAAAAAGAAUUUAAUUGCUAUUUUUUACAUUAAAAUGUUACAUUUUUAAAUAUGGUAGUCCGUGUGAAAAUUCACAUACACUUUAUGCUAAUCUAUUUGAAUUUUGAAUUUUUUUAAAAUAAUUUUUAAGUUUUUACAAUUUUUAAAUUAUUUUUUAAUGUAUUAUAAAAGAUAAAUAGUAUUAUGUUAAUAAAAAUGAUUUGAGUUUUUUAAAAAGUUAAUAGUUAAAUUUAACUAAAAAAAUAUAAAUAUUAUGAGUAAAUUUAUGAUUAUACUUUUUUUUAUUAAACCUUUUGAGGGAUAAGGGUGUACUUUUCAAAGGUAACACAUUUUUUUUUUUAGAAAUCUCAUCAUGUGUUUGUGAGAUAUCACUUUUUGACGAAGUUGAUAGCCAUCUCUUUUAUAAAAGAAUAAAUUUUCAAAAAGAAUUUACCAACAUAAAUUUUACAGCCAACAUUCAACACUCUAUUCCAUUUGACCCGUGAUUUAAUCAGAAUUUUACGAGUAAAACUCAAUUUUGAUCCUCAAAAAUUUGGAAAGAAAUUCAAUUUAACCCUCUUUCUAAAUUCAGACAUUUAAUUUUAAUUCAAAACCCAAACCAGAAAAAUUAGUUCAAUUAUAAAAUUAGAUUAAAAAAUCAAUUUAACUAAAAAAUUUCCAAAUGAGCUCCUAUUGGAAAUUUUCUUAAGGCGAUUUCUUGAGUUCAAAUUUGCCUAAGUCAAUUUUACUCUUGAAAAAUAAAAUUUUUUGCAAAAAUUCUUUAAGGCACCGAAAGUAAAGUAGAAGCAAACUUGAAAAAAGAAGAAGCCACACACGCACAAAAAAAUUAGUGCAUACCAAGUGUUUGAAUAAAUACUCUCAAAAGUAUUAUUUAAAAAAAAAUAGUAUACCAAGUGUUUGAGUAAAUGCUCUCAAAAGUAUUAUUUAACUCAAGAAUAGAAAAUCUCUAUUUAUAGUUGAACUCCCCUAGAUCCAACGGUACAAAUUGAAUUACAUUAAUGACUGAGAUUAGUGUCUACCCACAAGAUAAGAAUCCUAAGGGAUUUAAACUCUACUAAUCUUUAUCCCUUAAGAUUUACAAUAAUUACCAUGGUAACUCUAGUUUCAUUGGAGUAUUUUACUGGGCCACCAAGGCUUUAAAUAGAUGAGUUUCUCCAUGUGUUCCAUGUAUCAGGUCAGUUUAAAUUAGUUAAAUGAGCCUCAUUUAAUCAGUUGACGUCUAUGAGGUGUUUUGUGUGCAAUAGUCAUGGGCUUUGAUUUGCGUCCCGUGACAUUCUCCUCCACCCAUUUUUCGCAACACCCUCGUCAUAUCCUCAGAAUGAUAUUGCUUUGACUCGUCUUAGAACUGCCUCAAUGCCUUGGCUAAUUCCCAACUAGUCUCUUUAUCGCAUAGUUUCGCCCCUCAGAAUAUUUGCCUUGACUUAUAUCUCCACCGUCGCCUAACUCAGACUGUAUUUCUCUCUUGUACAUCUCGGUCGUAAGAGGUCACCGCUUUUACUUGUCCCUAUUGUGACUUGUCUCAAUCGAGAUCCCCUUAAUCCUCAAAAACAAGAUUCAACACACCAACAUUAAACACCGAUUUAACCUUGGGUAUUGCCGCUAAUUUUGGUUUUUAAGCCCUUUGGCUUACCCACUUCAGAACAUUGAAAUGCCCUCUGUGUCUUUACCAAUCCAACAAUAAGUCAUAAUGUAAAACACUAGAUAAGUGUUUGAGAUGUACCUCGCUCGUAGAAUUUACUCAAUUUAGUUGCCCAAUUUACAUUACUACUUUUCUUCAAAAAUUUGAUACACAACCUAUCUUUCUCAUAAGUGGUAGCCCCAUUGGUAACUCAACAAACUUCCCAUUGGUUUGUCGCACCUUUAGCAUUUCUAAGGGGGUUUUCUUAGCACUCUGAUCUACUAAGUCGAUGUUUUUCCCACAAUGAACAUCCUCGACUAGCUGGAUUGCCGACGAUAUCUUUAUUUCACCCCUCACGGCUCGACUCACCAACGCAAUGCAUUAUUAAUGUCGAGUAUCGAAGAUACAUAUACAAUCAACAAAAGGAACCAAUAAAGCAUUAAUUCGGUUAAGGAAAUUCAAGCCAAGUACAAAGUCCUAAUCAUCUAAGUGAAUUACCUCAAAGUCUUUCUUGCCUUAUCAUUGAUCGGUUUAUAGCUUAACUUCUUAUGCUACUUCUAUAGUUGAGACCUCUUUGGAAUUUACCGUCUUGAUUUCUUAUUCGUUUUUUAAUUGAGAGACCAAGUUUACCCACAGCUUUCUACGAUAUGAAUAAGUCUAAUGUCCUCAUAUUAACAAGAGCACUCUUUCUUUGGCCUGCUAUGUUUACAUCCACAUGCACCAACUCUUUCUGCUUGCAAUCCCUAUUCACUUUCACAAAAUUGAGUAUCAUUGAUCCAAGCUUUGAAACCUCACUCACUGGCUCCGCUUCAUCUUAUUUGGUGGUCGCAGACAGUUUCGCAUUCUAUGUGGACCAUAACAUAAAAAACACUUUACUAGUUUCUUCUCCUUUUCUUUGACCCUCUAAGCUUCGACAGAACUCAAGAUCGAACCAAACCUCAUCAAUGCUUUCUUUAGCUCAUCAUCACCUUUGAUGACUGAAAUCACAGAUUUCUUUGGACAAUCCCUCACUAUAUGUGAACCAUCAUAAAAGAAAUUGUUAGAGUUGUAACCCGAAUUCUUAUUAAAAUAAAAUACAAGUGGCAAGAUAGGGGGAUCCAUGAGGGUGAAGGUUGAGGUACAGUACAGACUGUACAAGAAGAAUCCAUUUAGAAGUUUAAGAAUCCAUUUAGAAGUUUAAUUCCUUUGUUUGAUAUUGAUUUGAAUAAGGUGUUUCAACCUUACUGCAUUACUUCUAUUAUAUGUUGAUUAGAAUAAGGUUUUCUAAAACCUAUAAAUAGAUGCAGUCUAUACUCCUUGUAAUUAUCCAAAUUCGACAUAGUGAAUUUUAUUCUCCUUUGCUCGUGGUUUUUUUCCGAAAGGGUUUCCACAUAAAAUCUAUGUGUUCUAUUUUUCUCGCUUUUCUUACCAUUAUCGACAUUCUAUUUUGACAGAAACAUUUCAUUAGCCUCUUCGAUUUGUUGUUGGGCUUCCACUUCCCAUUAUGUGGUUUCCCUUUACCACCAUAUUUGUUGCUAUACUUAACAUUUCCUUCAUUUCUCUCACCAUUGCCCUUGUCCUUGGGUUUGGAAGAUUCGAACUUGUCAUUUCUCGGAAUAAGUUUAAUUAAGGACUCUACCAUGAUCAUAGCUUUGGACAGUUCUUGGACCCCUUGACGUUCCAAUUCCUGUUUAACCCACGACUUCAAAUCAUCGACGAUGAAAAAGAAUAAUGCCCACCUUCUCAUUCAAAUCCGUGAUUUGGAGCAUCAAUUCAUUGAAUUCUUUCAUAUACUCCUUCAUUGUGUCUUGUUGCGAGAAUCAUUAACAGAAUGCCGACGCAUCCUUUUUUUAGUAGUGUAAUAAUAAAUUUAGCCCUUCAAUGCCUAUAUAUUCUAUUAAUUUGGUCCUAAUUCUAAAAAAAAAAAUCUAGCCCUUAACUUUAUAGAUUAUGUAAUCUUGAUUCUUAAAAAUUUAUAAUAAAACUUAAAACAAAUAUCUAAUAGCUUUUUUAGAUAAAAAUAUAUACAAAAUUAUAAAAUGCAUAAAAAAAUAUAAAAAUAUGUAUAAAUAAAUUAAUACUCAAUUUUCUCUUUAAAGAAAAACUUCAAAGAAAAACACAAAUAAAAAGUUAAUCUAAUUUAUCAUCUCUUUUGUUGAAAAUGUGGUAAAUCAUUUUGGUCUUAGGGAUUUUCUUUGUUGUAAGGGUGAAAAGAAAAUCUAGGGUUUAGUCUGAAUGAGUCAAUAUUAACUAACAUGACCAAAAUUUAGUGUGAAACAGUUUUCUGAGCUACCAAACACUGUCUUGGAAUAGAAAAAGAACAUAGGGCAGCAUUAACUUGACCACUAAGAGCUGUAGACCCCAUCUUCUUCCAUUCUUUCUUUAAUUCUUCUCCUUCUUUGCAGUUUCCUUAAAACCAAAUUUCACCAUAAAAAACUCCUACUUGAAUGCAGGCAUAUGCAAGCAAGUACCUAACUGAAAAGGCAUUCGGUAAAUUUCUGAAUUUGCAGUAUUUUUUUCUUGAGCUUGGAAUGCUUCAAGCUAAUUAAUUAAAUUCUGUUUGGUGUUAUCCAGGAAGAAAUAGAUCCACAAAAAUGGAACCUCGGGAGCCUGAACAGAACAUCACUCACAUGGAGGCUUCGCUGUAUAAGGCAGCGGCAGAAGGCAACAUUGAAGUAUUCAAUAAUAACCAGGGGCUUCAACUUGAGUCGCUAAAGACCCCAAACCAAGACAACGUGCUCCAUGUUAACUUGGCAACCCAGGAGAUUUUCAAUUUCCCAGAACUCAAAAAUCUUCUCCGUAGUACUUGCAUCAUUGAUUCGGUUUUUGAAUUCCGAAGUACUUGCAUCAUUGAUUCGGUUUUUGAAUUCCGAAGUACUUGCAUCAUUGAAUCGGUUUUUGAAUUCUUUCCUUACUACGAUAGAAAGAAAAAUAAAAUCAGAUUUUAUAAAAAAAAAAACCAGAUUUUGUCGAACAAAUUCUGAGCAAGUGUCCGUCACUGCUACUCCAAACGAAUGCUAAAGGUCAAACUCCUUUGCACGUUGCAGCAGGGUAUGGACAUUCUGCUAUUGUGAAACUUCUAAUCAAUUCUUGCGCAAAAGCUAGGGAUGGAGAUUUUGAGCUGGGAAUGGAUCAAGUAAGUGCAGUGAGGGAGAUGCUGAGGAUUAGGGAUCAAGAAUCCAACACGGCUUUACAUGAAGCAGCAGGGUGUGGCAAUGUUGAAGUGGUGAAAGCAUUGUUGGAGUUUGAAGACCCUGAUUUUCCAUAUUCUGCCAAUAAAAAACAGGAGACUCCACUUUAUAUUGCAGCUAAGAGAAGAGACGGCGGCGUGCUGAAUGUAAUAUUAGAGAAAUCAAAAUCAACAGCUCAUGGCGGCCCCCACGGUAGAACAGCUUUGCAUGCAGCAGCUAUGGCUGGAUAUUCAGGUAUGUUGUUGAGUUAAUUAGUUCCUUUUUUAUAUUAAAAUUUUGAAAUAAAUAAACAGGUCGAUUGACAUUUUUUUUUGCUUGGAUUUAGAGGCAAUAAGGGUAAUAUUAGAGACGAAGGGGAAUUUGACAAAGGAAAGAGAUGAAGAUGGGUACACCCCUCUUCAUUAUGCUGCACACUUAGGUUACAUUUCUGUUGUGGAAGAAGUGUUAAAAUGGGAUGUAUCAGCUGCCUAUAUAGGUGAUAAAAAGAGGGGGAUGACACCUCUUCUUAUGGCAGCCAGGCAAGGUCAUUUUGAAACAGUUUCAAAGAUUCAUUCUUUAUGUCCAGAUUGUUGUGAAAAAGUGGACAACAAAGGUUUGAGUUUACUUCAUUAUCUGGCUUUUAGAGGCUCUUCCUCCCUAAUACAGAGUUCAUUUUUCAAGUACUAUCCAUUUUUCAAGUAUGGUAGUAGUGAGAUUGUAUAUGGAUCAUUCGGAAAUCUAAGAAAGUUGGAAGGUGCCUUUGGAAUGACACCUCAAGAAGUUUAUAAUGCACUUCGAUCUGAGAAACAUCAUCAUAAACAGGUGUGUAUAUAUAUAUAUAUAUGUGGGGCAUUUCCAUGGCUAUGGUUUAAUUAAUAUUUAAGUUUUGAAUUAACAUAUUUAAUAAAUCUACAAUACAAUCGGCUAAUGUGGGUGGCAUGGCAGAAGCAAAUCAAAGAAUUGUUGGAAGAAAUUGAGAAUGAUCAAGUGGCGGAGGAACCAGUUUGUCGCUUUCCCAUACAAAAUGUUUCUACAGAAAGUUUGGAGAAGCAAAGAGAGGCUCAUUUAAUAGUGGCAGCACUUAUAGCCACCGUCGCAUUCGCAGCAGCAAUAACUGUUCCAGGUGGUUUGCAGAGUGAAAAAGGGUCAGAGCAAGGCACUCCCCUUUUGAUUCAUGAGGCAGCGUUUAAAGCAUUUGUUGUUACAAAUGCAUUGGCCUUUCUUUUCUCUGUUUCUGCCCUCACCACCCACUUUGGGGUUCUGGAUAAUCUAUUUUCACGAUUUAAAUUUUAUCGUCAAACAGUUUUAUAUCGAACUCGGGUUGUUUCUGGGAUCCUUGGCUAUGCAACGUUGGCAAUGGUGAUUGCUUUCAGCACAGGUAGUUAUGUGGUCUUAAAACCUUCCCACAGACUUGCCAUUGUUUCGUGGCUCAUCGGCCCUGCCAUUUUACUCUAUUUUUAUGGAAUUUUGAAUCCUUCAAUACAUAUGGAAAUAUAAAUAUGAUAAUAUUACUUUAUCAUUGAUUACAAUGUUGUUCCAAUUCCUAAUAAAAAAAAUUAAAAAUUCUUUUUUAAAAGAUAAUUUUGAGCCUAGGAUAAAAAUUAAGAGAAAAACGUUAUUAUAUGAAAGGGAAGUUUUAACACGCUCGCGACACUCAAAAUUAGCACCUUGUUAAAUAUGAUUUGUCUACAUUCAUAAAUUAAAAUUCAUAUCUAGGUACUUAAUUAUGAUCCAAAUUUUUGAUAAAUUAAAAACAAAUAUAUUAUAUGAGUGAAUCGGUUAUUUAAUAGCAAAACAAAAAUAAGGAUCAAGAUGUAGCAUAUUCAAAUUUCAAGGGCCUUUCUUGAGGUUUUCCAUUUUAUAUUUUUUAUCAUAUAUUACACAUAUGAACAAAUAAGAAAACAUUUGGGGCCAAAUCAAAUAUUAUCCCAAAGUUCAGAAACAUUCGACGUUAAAAAUUGUGAAAUUAAAUAGAAUAGAAAACAAUAACAUUUCAAAACUAAUAAAUAUUAACAAAAAUUGUAUCCCAAUUCCACAAAUUAAAACAAGAAUGUAACCCAUCAUUAAUACACAUGAAUUUCAAGACAACUUAGCCUUGAUUUAUGGUUUGAUUAUUCCACCUUUUACGUAAAAAUUAAGGGUGGUUCAUUAAAUAUCAAAAAAUCAUAAAUUAUACAAAGUAAGAUUUAUUAAAUAUCAAUAUUGUAACUAAUUUUCCAUUAUAAUUAAAAAUUAUAUUGACGAAUCAUUGAAUAAUAUGAGAAGGUUCGCCGCUAAUUUAUUUAGCUACAUGUGAUCAGUCACUUAUAAAAUCACCUUCUAAAAAAAAUUGAAAAUUCCUUUUUAAAAAGAUAAUUUUGGGUUUAUGAUAGAAAUCCAGAUAAAAAUGUUGAGAGUUGGUUAUGCGGAAAGAAGGUUUUAAUACCCUCACGACUCUUAAAAUUGAUACCACAAUAGUUGUAAUGAUAAUAAAAAAUUCCGUCACUAUUAUGAUAAUAGUUGUGACGGUUUAAAUUAUUCCACAAUUAAAUCGUUUUUAUAAAUGUAUAAUUGUCACCUAAUUUAUUUCUCUUUGAGAAAUUAUGUAAUAGGGACAAUAUCACUAUUGUCCAAAUCAUGCUCGGAUCCUAGUUAAUUUAUAUAAAAAUCAUAUAAACCUGAUUUUACUUUGAAUUUUGGUUUUCUCAAAAUUUGGAGCAAGAUUUUUUUAACGGUGGGGUUUUAGUUGGGUUAUGGCUAUGUUGGUUGAAGAGUCUCUUCGUAAUACUAUUGUGUAUAGUUCUUAAAAUUAUACAUUAUUAAUGCUCCAAACAAAAUUAAGUAUCUAUAAAGCUCAAACAAAAACACUUGAAUUUUUUUGUAAAGAAAUGAAUGGAAUUCCGAAUUUUGUAAGUAGAGAGCAUCAAUUUUUACUAAAAAGUACUCAUGUUGCCCAAAGGACAAUAAAAAGAAGAGCUCAUGAAAGCCCAAUGGUAGAACAACUUCGCAUGCAGCAGUUAUGGCUGUAAAUGGCAAGCAAUUUAGAUAUGGAAAUAUGUUAUCAACAACUUCAUUUAUUUCCCCAAAUAUCUGUGAAAGGGAAUUAAAUCUCCAUAUGAAGCCAAAGUGGAUGCGGUUCCAAGUGUUGAGCAGCAUAGUAAGUAAUCAAAAUAUAUAUGUCGCACUGCAAGGAAUUCAUGGCUGCCUUGUCCACAACACAAGGGCUUAUAGCUGCUAAGCACCUGCUCUUAAAUUUGAUUAUGGCCUAAUAAGCAGCAUAGGGCAGCAUUGACUUCACCACAAAGAGCUGUACACCCCAUUUUCUUCCAUUCUUUUUCUUCAUUUCUUCUCCUUCUUUGUAGUUUCUUUAAACCAUAAAAAACUCGUACUUUAUUGACCUGACAUCUAACCAGAGAUAGUCGUCUUUGUUUAGUAAAAAUAUAAAGCAGUAUCCAAAUACAUCAUUAAAACAUUUCCUUUUCUUUUCUUUACAAUUAAGUCAUUAUAUAAUAAUAAUAUCUAAAGUAAGUUAUACAAAUAAUCAUUCAAUUAUUAGUGUGUAUUACUGUUUUGGUCACUCAAGUUUAAAAAAGUCUAAUUUAAUUGUUAAAAUUAUCAACAUUUAAUAUUUUGGUCACUCCUUAAAUCAUGAUCAUAAUAUUGAUAUAAUCUUUUUUUAUUGGCAUAAUAAAAAUUUAGCCCUUCAAUGUCUACAAGUUCUAUUACUUUGGUUAGUAGCGAAUCUAGGGAGGUUGGCAGGCCCAGCCCUCUAAAAUGAAAAAUUUCUAUUUAAGGCCUUUAAAAAUUCAAAUUUGUAAUGCUAAAAUUACACUCCCUUAAAAUAAUAAAAAUUUGAUUUAAUCUUUUAAAAAUUAUAAAGACAAUAAAUUAUUAAAAUGGUAAAAUUUUAUUUUUACUAUUAUAAAAAAAUACAAUUUAAUUUCGCUCCCUCCUCUAAAAUUUCAUUUAGACCCUGAUUUUUCGUAUUCUGCCAACGAAAAACAGGAGACUCCACUUUACAUAGCAGCUAGGAGGAGAGGAUCUGGGCGCUUGUUGACUCUAUUAUUAGAUCAAUUGAAAUCAACUGCUCAUUGUGGUCCCCACGGUAGAACAGCUUUGUGUUGGGUAUGGGUCCCACUAUAUGGGAAACCCAUAUUUUCUGCCAUAAUGUUUUGUCUUUCUAUUAUUAUUGAGUGUCAAAUUCUCAAUUUUAAAAAAAAAAUAGAGAGUGAGAUUGAAGCUCGUUGGAGAAAAAGAGAGAAUAAAAAAAAUCAGUUUUUCAAGCUUGGUGCAGCAGUGAUCAACUCCUCGAUCGAAGGUCCAUCUGUGGUUCGAUUGAGCUGAUUUUUAGACAGCAGCUAGGUGAUAAGGUGUUCUUGACUUUGUACGGUCGGAUUUUUCAUCCGAGACUUGUAGCGUCGGAAAUACCCUUUUUUCAGCAGCUACGUUUUUGGUGAUAUUCUCUCAUUUUUCUCUCUUUUGCUAAAGAUUACAUAUUGUUAGCCUUGUCGGAGUUGAAUGCUUGUUGUAGGCUUGAUAUUGUGAUCUUGUAGUCGAACAUUUGAUGAUAGUAGAGCUCUUUAUCGGACUCUAAAGUCCCGUGGUUUUUACCCUUGAUUUAGAGGGGUUUUCCACGUAAAAAUACCGGUGUCUCUAUUUAUUUUUGUUGUGGUUGCAUUAGUUGAUUUGUGGUUGAUUAAGGUUGCUAGAGAACAUAUCUUGUGCUAUUGUGCUUGCCAUAAUUUUUGACAGGAGUUAUAAGGAGAGAAAGAACACCGGUUGUGCUUUCGCUUUGUUUCGGUUGUUCGGUUUCUUCCCAACAAACUGGUACCAGAGCUUGGUUAUUGUGUCAGGUAAUUAUGGAAAUUAAUACGAGCAAGAUGAUUAUGUUGAAUGGCACAAAUUAUCAACUUUGGCGGAAUAAAAUGAAGGACUUGUUGUUUGUGAAGGCUUUGCAUCUUCCGGUCUUUACUACUCAAAAACCCGAUUCGAAAAGUGAUGAAGAAUGGGAAUUUGAGCAUCAACAAGUGUGUGGCUUUAUUCGGCAAUUUGUUGAAGAAAAUGUUUACAACCACAUUGAUCAAGAGACACAUGCUCGAACAUUGUGGGAGAAGCUUGAAAGCUUGUAUGCUUCGAGGUCGGGCAAUAACAAGUUGUUUUUGCUGAAGAAAAUGAUGGCGCUGAAAUAUAAAGAAGGAAUGUCUAUAGCUGACCAUGUUAGUGAAUUUCAGAGUGUGAUGAAUCAGUUGCUUGGUAUGGGUGUCAAAUUUGAUGACGAGAUUUUAGGACUUUGGUUGCUUGCUACUCUACCAGACUCUUAGGAGACCUUUCGAGUCUCACUCAUUAAUUCUGCCCCACAGGGUAUUAUUACUUUGGAUUUGGCUAAGAGUGGUGUGUUGAAUGAAGAGGUUAGAAGAAGAUCUCUGGGUUCUACAUCACAGUCCGAGGUGUUGGUUAUCGAGAAUAGGGGAGAAACAGAGACAAAGAUGGAAAGGGUAGAGAUAAAAGCCGAAGCAAGUCAAGAUCGAGAUACAAGAAUCUUGAAUGUCAUCAUUAUGGUAAGAAAGGUCAUAUCAAGAAAUAUUGCUUCAAGUGGAAGAAAGAGAACAAAGGUGGUGGUGAUAAACACGAUCGGAAUGACGAUGAAAAAUCCGAGCGUGUUGCUACUGUUACUCGUGAAGAUCUGUUAGUUAUUUGUGAUGAGAAUUUGGUCAACCUAGCAUGCGACGAAACUAGUUGGGUGAUUGAUACUGGUGCAUCACUUCAUGUCACGUCGAGGAAGGAAUUCUUCACAUCUUAUACUCCUGGUGAUUUUGGGGUAUUGAAGAUGGGUAAUGAUGGUUUGGUUUCGGUUAUUGGUAUGGGAGAUGUUAGCUUGGUGAGUAACAAUGGAACAAAGUUAACUCUCAAGGAUGUCAGACAUGCACCGGAUGUCCGUUUGAAUUUGAUUUCUGCAGGAAAGCUUGAUGAUGAGGGAUUCUGUAACACCUUCAGUGAAGGGCAGUGGAAGCUGACUAAAGGCUCCUUGGUUGUGGCUCGAGGAAAGAAGAGCUCAAAUUUGUACUUGAUGCAAGCUUUGAAUUCUCGAGAGACGGUGAAUGUGACACUGAAUGACAACUCAACUGAGUUGUGGCAUAAACGACUCAGUCACAUGAGUGAGAAGGGGCUUAGCUGUUUAGCGAAGAAGAAUCAACUUUCAGGUUUAAAGAAUGCUACACUGAAGAAUUGUGCUCAUUGUCUAGCAGGAAAGCAGAAAAGAGUUUCAUUUAGAAGCCAUCUUCCUCAUAGGAAAUCAGAGUUGCUAGAGUUGGUCCAUUCAGAUGUUUGUGGUCCGAUAAAAGUAAGAUCACAUGGUGGUGCACUUUACUUUGUGACUUUCAUUGAUGAUUGUUCAAGAAAGCUAUGGGUUUACACUUUGAAGUCUAAAAAUCAAGUUUUUGAGGUGUUUAAACAGUUUCAAGCAUCAGUUGAAAGGGAAACUGGGAAGAAGUUGAAGUGCAUUCGUACUGAUAAUGGUGGCGAGUACACAGGGUCGUUUCAUGAGUAUUGUCUGCGACAGGGAAUCAGACAUCAGAGAACACCACCAAAGACUCCACAGUUAAAUGGGUUAGCUGAAAGAAUGAACCGAACAUUGAUUGAGAGAGUCAGAUGUUUGUUGUCAGAUGCAAAGUUACCAAGAUCGUUUUGGGCUGAAGCUUUGAAUAUAGUGACACAUGUGAUAAAUCUGUCUCCUAGUGUUCCUUUGAAAGGUGAUGUGCCAGAUAGAGUUUGGUUUGGUAAAGACGUGUCAUAUGAUCACCUACGUGUGUUCGGUUGUAAAGCAUUUGUUCAUGUUCCAAAGGAUGAAAGAUCCAAGUUGGAUGCCAAGGCUCGACAAUGCAUUUUUAUUGGUUAUGGUCUAGAUGGUGAGUUUGGUUAUAGACUCUAUGAUCCAGUUCAGAAGAAACUCGUGAGAAGCAGAGAUGUUGUCUUCAUUGAGGAUCAGACCAUUGAUGACAUUGAUAAGACGGAGAAAGUGGAUUCACAAGGUAGUGGUGACUUGAUCGAUGUGAAUCCGGUUCCCCUAGACUCUUCACCAGAUCCUAUCCAGGAUGAUGUGCAUGGUGAUGUUAGUGGUAACCAUCAGACUAUAGGUGACUUUGAUACUCCCAUGGAUGAUGUUGUGAAUGAUCAACAACAAGCACCUAUAGCUCCACCAGCAGUUCCACUUCGAAGGUCUUCCAGAGAUCGACGAUCUUCUGUCAGGUAUAAUCCUGAUGAAUAUGUUCUUUUGACUGACGGGGGAGAACCUGAAUGUUAUGAAGAGGCUAUGGAGAGUGAAUGCAAAGAUCAGUGGGUUGAAGCGAUGAAAGACGAACUUCAAUCCUUGCAUGAGAACCAUACUUUUGAAUUGGUGAAACUGCCUAAGGGCAAAAGAGCUUUGAAUAAUCGGUGGGUUUACAGGUUGAAGCAAGAAGAGAAGUCUUCAUCUCCACGAUACAAAGCUAGAUUUGUCGUCAAGGGUUAUACUCAGAAAAAAGGGGUUGAUUUUGAAGAAAUAUUUUCUCCAGUUGUGAAGAUGUCCUCUAUCAGAACUAUACUGAGUUUGGUAGCUUGUUAUGACCUAGAGGUUGAACAAAUGGAUGUGAAAACUGCUUUUCUUCAUGGUGACUUGGAAGAAGAGCUUUACAUGGAGCAGCCAGAGGGUUUUGUUGCACAAGGGAAAGAGGACUAUGUGUGCAGAUUGAAGAAGAGCUUGUAUGGUUUGAAGCAAGCUCCAAGGCAAUGGUACAAGAAGUUUGAGUCUGUUAUGGGGGAGCAAGGCUACAAGAAGACUACUUCUGAUCAUUGCGUGUUUGUUAAGAGAUUCUCUGGUGAUGAUUUUAUUAUUCUUUUGCUCUAUGUUGAUGAUAUGCUUAUUGUUGGUCAGAAUGCUUCUAGAAUUGAGAAGUUGAAACAAGAGUUGAGUAAAUCCUUUGCAAUGAAGGAUUUGGGGCCAGCAAAGCAAAUUCUUGGCAUAAGACUGACACGUGAUAGAAAGGCCAAGAAAUUAUGGUUAUCACAAGAGAGGUACAUUGAGAAAGUACUUCAAAGGUUUAGUAUGGACAAAGCUAAAGCGGUGAAUACUCCAUUUGCUAUGCACUUUAGAUUGAGUGUUAAGCAUAGUCCUUCCACAGAAAAGGAGAAGGAAGAGAUGCAGAAAAUUCCUUACUCUUCAGCCGUGGGUAGUUUGAUGUACGCAAUGGUUUGCACGAGACCAGACUUGGCUUAUGCCGUUGGUACAGUUAGUCGGUUUCUUUCUAAUCCAGGCAGAGAGCAUUGGAAUGCAGUGAAGUGGAUUAUGAGAUAUCUUCGUGGCACUUCCAACAUGAAACUUUGUUUCGGCAAUGAGAAACCUGUUCUUGUUGGGUAUACAGAUUCAGACAUGGCCGGAGACAUUGACUCGAGGAGAUCUACUUCAGGUUACUUAAUCACUUAUGCAGGGGGAGCUGUGGCAUGGCAAUCGAGACUGCAAAAGUGUGUUGCAUUGUCCACCACCGAAUCAGAGUUCAUUGCAGCAACCGAAGCGUGUAAGGAGAUGCUUUGGAUGAAGAAGUUUGUGCAUGAGCUUGGUUUUACUCAGGAGAAGUAUGUCCUAUACUGUGAUAGCCAGAGUGCUAUUCAUCUUGGUAAGAACUCAACUUUUCAUGCUAGAUCUAAGCAUAUUGAUGUGAGGUACCAUUGGAUACGAGAUGUUCUUGAAGCUAAGCUGUUAGAGCUUGAGAAGAUACACACUAAUGAUAAUGGUGCUGAUAUGUUGACGAAGGCCUUACCAAGAGGAAAGUUUGAAGCAUGUUGUUUGACCUCCGGCAUGGAGGCAUUCCCCACAUAGUUGGAGGGGGAGAUUUGUUGGGUAUGGGUCCCACUAUGUGGGAAACCCAUAUUUUCUGCCAUAAUGUUUUGUCUUUCUAUUAUUAUUGAGUGUCAAAUUCUCAAUUUAAAAAAAAAACAGAGAGUGAGAUUGAAGCUCGUUGGAGAAAAAGAGAGAAUAAAAAAAAUCAGUUUUUCAAGCUUGGUGCAGCAGUGAUCAACUCCUCGAUCGAAGGUCCAUCUGUGGUUCGAUUGAGCUGAUUUUUAGACAGCAGUUAGGUGAUAAGGUGUUCUUGACUUUGUACGGUCGGAUUUUUCAUCCGAGACUUGUAGCGUCGGAAAUACCCUUUUUUCAGCAGCUACGUUUUUGGUGAUAUUCUCUCAUUUUUCUCUCUUUUGCUAAAGAUUACAUAUUGUUAGCCUUGUCGGAGUUGAAUGCUUGUUGUAGGCUUGAUAUUGUGAUCUUGUAGUCGAACAUUUGAUGAUAGUAGAGCUCUUUAUCGGACUCUAAAGUCCCGUGGUUUUUACCCUUGAUUUAGAGGGGUUUUCCACGUAAAAAUACCGGUGUCUCUAUUUAUUUUUGUUGUGGUUGCAUUAGUUGAUUUGUGGUUGAUUAAGGUUGCUAGAGAACAUAUCUUGUGCUAUUGUGCUUGCCAUAAUUUUUGACAGGAGUUAUAAGGAGAGAAAGAACAUCGGUUGUGCUUUCGCUUUGUUUCGGUUGUUCGGUUUCUUCCCAACACUUUGCAUGCAGCAGCUAUGGCUGGAGAUGCAGGUAUGUUAAUGAGUUAGUUCCAAUUUCUUUUAAAAUUUUUUGAAAUAAAAAAAGAACAGGUCUAUUGACAUUUUUUUUGCUUGGAUUUAGAGGCAAUAAGGAUAAUAUUAGCGAAGAAUGGGAAUUUGACAAAGGAAAGAGAUGAAGAUAGACACACCCCUCUUCAUUAUAUAUGCUGCACACUUGGGUUCUAGAUUAUCAGUUGUGGAAGAACUGUUAAAAAGGGAUGUGUCAGCUGCCUAUAUAGGUGAUAAAAAGAGGGGAUGACACCCCUUCUUAUGGCAGCCAGGCAAGGUUAUGUUGGAACAGUUUCAAAGAUUCUCUCUUUAUAUCCAGAUUGUUGUGAAAAGGUGGACAACGAAGGUUUGAAUUUACUUCAUUAUCUGGCUUUAAGAGACCUUUCCUCUCCAUUGAGGCGUUCUCUUUUCAAGCGUGGUGGUGUUGAAAUUGCAUAUGGAUCAGUCAGAAAUUUAAUGGAGUUAGAAGGUGUUUUUAGAAUGACACCUCAAGAAGUUUACAAUGCACUUCGAUCUGAGAAUCAUUUCGGGAAACAUCAUCAUAAACAGGUCUAUAUAUAUAUAUAUAUAUGGCAUUUCCAUGGCUACGGUUUUAUUAAUAUUUAAAUUUUGAAUUAACAUAUUUAAUAAACUUACAAUACAAUCCGCUAAUGUGGGUGGUAUGAUAGAAGCAAAUCAAAGAAUUGUUGGAAGAAAUUGAGAAUGAUCAAGUGGCGGACGAACCAGUUUGUCAUUUCGGAUUCCGAAAUAUUUCUACAGAAAGCUUGGAGAAGACAAGAGAUGCUCAUUUAGUAGUGACAGCACUCAUAGCCACUGUCACAUUCGCAGCGGCAAUAACUGUUCCUGGUGGUUUGAUUAGUGAAAAAGGGUUAGAGCAAGGCACUCCCCUGUUGAUUGACGAGGCAGCCUUUAAAGCAUUUGUUGUAACAAAUGCAAUAGCCUUUAUUUUCUCUGUUUCUGCCCUCAUCUUUCAUUUAGGGGUUCUGGAUUAUCUAUUAGCAGGAGUUUUUUUGGCUUCAAAUAGUUUUAUAUCGAACUCGGUCUAUAUCUGAGAUCCUUAGCUGUGCAACGGGGCGAUGGUGAUGGCUUUCAGCCUAGGCAAUUAUGUGGCCUUAAAACCUUCUUAUGAAUUUGCCAUUGUUUCAUAUCUCAUCUGUCCUGCCUUUUUACUUUGGAUGUAGGUAUUUUUGAAUCCUCCAUUUUAUAUGUAAAAUAUAAAUAGAUAAUAUUACUUUAUCCUCUAUUACAAUGUUGUUCCAAUUCCUAGUGCCAAUGUUACCUUAUCAAUAUUACUUUAAUUUAUUUUUGGGAUACCUUAAUAUUAACAAUUUCCAUUUAAUUCAAAUCAAUAUAAAAUUAUUAGUUGAGAGACAUACAAUUUCCAAAAAGGUAAAAAAGAUCACAAUAUUUGUAAAGUAAGAUAUAUUUAAUAUCAAAUAAUAAUAAAGUUAUUGUAAUUAAUUUUCUAUUAUAAUUAAAAAUUAAUUUGACAAAUCAGUAAUAAAAUGAGAAUUUUAGGAUUAAAAAAACACAAAAUUUUAUUUAAAAAUGGGAAGUCAUCAUAAAUCCUUUUAGCUUUUGAAUAUUUAAAAAAAAAGUUAAUAUAAGUAUCAAAAUAAUUAAGUUGCUGUAGGCUUUCUUACAGGUGGUAAAAACAAAAUCAAAACAUUCAUUAACCCAUAUAGGGGCAAAGCCAAUAAUUUUUUUUAAGGGGUUGAAAUUAAAUUGUAUAUUUUUAUGAUAGUAAUAUAUAUAUAUAUAAUUUUACCAUUUUAAUAGCAUAUAUAUUUAUAAUUUUUAAAAAAUUAAAUCAAUUUUUUAUUAUUUUUGGGAGCCAAAAUGAAAUUUUAUGAUUAUUAAUUUAAAAUUUUAUAAAUUAUAAAGGGAUUAAAACAGAAAAUUCCCAUUUUAGGGGUAGGGCCUUACCAACCCUUGGCUCUACCUUAAGCCCAUACAUUUUCAACCAACUUUGGUGAAGUCAUUUUGAGAUUUCCAAUCUAUUAUAUUUGAUGUCUCAACAAUCUAUUAUAUUUGAGCUUUCCAACCUAUUAUAUUUGAUGUCUCAACAACCUCGGCUCCUCCCUUAAUAAUAUUUGAUGUCUUUGACCCUUAUUGCUUAUCCUGAGAGUAGAUAAUUAAUGCAUUCCACUUAUUGAACAAGGUUUUAUAGACAUUAACACAAGUUAAUUAUGAUUAAGGAAAAAUUAUCGUAUGAGUUUGAGAGCAUCUCGGAGAGCAUCCUUAUCGGACUUAAAGUCAGUAGAGUAGCCGUAGAAUAGGUAAGUCUUAGAAGCAAACAAUUUGUUCCUAUAAUUUUCCUUAAGAACCUUGACAACCCUAUCUUUGUUAUCUGAUUUAAGAAUUGAAGAGUAUCUCGAAGUCUGAACUCCAAUGCUCUUAAAGUGUUAUUACGUUUUGUAGGUCCAUUCCUUUUUACUCCACAAAGCUAGAGUCGUCCAAGCCUACCCGAUUCAUCUCCAAUUAAAAGAAACUGAAAUAGAUAUGUUGUGAUAGAAUUAUAUAAAUCUAUACUUCUUAUUCUUAAAGUAAUUAUUGUUAUUAUUAUAUUAGGGAAUUUUACUAACUUUGCUUGAAAACACAACAAGAAUAAAGCAAGUAAAAUGUUGUUUUGUUUAAAUAGAAUAAAGUAUAAGUUAAAGUGUUGAAGGAAUGAAUUAUGCAUGCUAUGGGGCUUUUGUUAUACUAUGCUGAAGUGUUCAAGAAAGGAAUUAUGCAUGCCACGCUUUUGUUAUAUGCUAUGUUAAAGACUUCAAGCCAUAUAUAUAUAUGUGUGUGUGUGUGUCACUUGUCUUGAUAAAGCCACUAGGUGUCGUGGAAUAAGUAAGGCAUUUUGUAAUUUUUCUUAAUUUGUAAUUUUUUUUCUUUUAUCUUUGAAUGUUCCAAGCUAAUUGAUUAAUUGGUGUUUUCAAGGAAGAAAGCUAUGCAAUAGAUCAACAAAUAUGGGACCAUCGUUAAACGACAUUGUUAUUUCCUCCGAUGAACCUGAGAAGCCUGCAGAGAACAUCACUUACAUGGAUGCUUCAUUGUAUAAAGCUGCAGCAAUAGGCAAAAUUGAAGAAUUCGAUAAUUACCAGGGGCCUGAACUUGAGUCGCUGAAGACCCCAAACCAUGACAACGUGCUCCAUGUUAACUUGUCAACCCCUGAGCGUAUCUGGCAACGUACCAGCAGAUUAGAUUUUGUCCUAAAAAUUCUUGUCAAGUGUCUAUCACUGCUACUCCAAACAAAUGCUAAAGGUCAAACUCCAUAGCAUGUUGCAACAAGGUAUGGAGAUUCUACUAUUGUACGACUUCUAAUCCUGUUUUGUGCAAGAGUUAUUGAUAAAGAUUUAGAGAAGCUGGGAAUGGAUCAACUGAAUGCAGUGAGGGAGAUGAUCAGACAUACGGAUCAAGAAUCCAAUACGGCUUUACAUAUAGCAACACGGUAUGGCCAUGUUGAAGUGGUGCAAGCAUUGCUGGAGCAUGAAGACCCUGAUUUUCCAUAUUUUGCCAAUAUAAACCACGAAACUCCACUUUACUUAGCAGCUAGGAGAGGAAGUCGGCGCUUGCUGAGCAUAUUAUUAGAUAAAUCAAAAUCAACUGCUCAUGGUGGCCCCCACGGUAGAACAGCUUUGCAUGCAACAGCUAUGGUUAGAGAUCCAAGUAAGUUAAGUUCCAAAUUUUUUUUUGUUUGAAAUAAAUAGAGAAUAGAACCAUUGACUUUUUUUUGGGCUUGAAUUUAGGGGUUACAAGGAUAAUUCUAGAGAAGAAAGGGAAUUUGACAAAGGAAACAGAUGAAAAUGGACGCACCCCUCUUCACUAUGCUGCACACUUGGGUCACGAUGCAGUUGUGGAAGAGCUGUUAAAAUGGGAUAUAUCUGUUGCUUAUAUAGGUGAUAAAAAGUGGGGGAUGACACCCCUUCUUAUGGCAGCCAGGCAAGGUUUUUUUGGAACAGUAAGAAAGAUUCUGUCUUAUUGUCCAGAUUGUUGUGAAAGAGUGGACAAAAGAGGUUGUGUUGGUGCAGGAGGCAGCAACAAGCUGUUUUGUGUCUUGCUUGAAUAGCAAGCCUCGAGCCUUGGUGAAGAAGCAAACUCGGAAGCAGAAACAGAAAAAUGAAACUAGCUAGUGAAAAAAUAGAAAAGAGAGAAGAAGAUUGAAUGAAAAAUGAGCUGAUUUCUUUCAUUAACACAUCAACAAGGCAUUAAGCCAUUACAUAUAUCAGUCAAGAAGUAAAACAAACAAGUAAUCACCUAAUCAACUACCUAACUCCACUAAUUUGCAUUGAAACUUACAAGAUUAGCUUGUACAACUUGCAUUGCUGACUUUUCAGUCAAUCAAUAUCAAAACAUUUACCUACUUAGUUUAACAUGAACUAGAACACAAAAUGUUCAUUUGAGUAACCAAAUGAAACAAUGCAGUUUCGGUUUGCUGUUAAAGCACGAUCCCUGCAUGGCCACCUUGCAUGGUCACCUUGGCUGCUGCAUGGGGGUUGACUUCAACACUCCUCCUCAGCUUCUAUGCAGCAGACUCCUAGUUGCUUCCUUAGGUUUACAAAUCUCGAUGCACCAAGUGAUUUUGUGAAGAUAUCAGCGAUUUGAUCUUCUGAGCUGCAAUGAAUUAGCUUGAUCUCUCGAGCUUGUUCCAUUUCUCUUAUCACAUGGAGUUUGAUGUUGAAAUGUUUUGUCCUGCCAUGGAAGACAGGGUUUUUAGCAAUAGCAACUGCUGACUUGUUGUCACAAUGUAUCACAGUUGCAUCAUUCUGCUGUAGAUUCAAAUCACCCAAAAUUUUUCUCAGCCACAUAGCUUGAUUAACAGCAUUAGCAGCUGCUACAUACUCUGCUUCUGCUGUCGAUUGAGCCACCAUUGUUUGUUUUCUUGAGCUCCAACAAAUCAUAGCUGAGCCAAGAGUAAAAGCAUAGCCAGAAGUGCUCUUCAUGUCAUCCUUUGAACCAGCCCAAUCGCUAUCAGUGUAGCCAAUCAGUUUCAACUCUUCAGUCUUUCUAAACUGUAUUCCAUGGUUUAAGGUACCUUUGAUGUAUCUUAGCACCCUUUUCCCAGCCUUGUAAUGUUGCUGGUUACAGCAGUGCAUGAACCUUGAUAGCAUGCUCACAGCAAACAGAAUGUCAGGUCUUGUUGCUGUUAAAUACAGCAAACAACCAACAAGGCUCCUAUAAAAUGAUUCAUUGACAGGCUCGUGUUCUUCUUGGCUCGACAGUUUUAUGCCAACUGCCAUAGGUGUGCAUGUUGGCUUGCAAUUUUGCAUUGAAAACUUGGAUAAAACUUUCAAAGCAAACGCCUUUUGUGCCAAAAAGAUUCCUUGAUCAGCUUGUUGUAUCUCUAUUCCAAGGAAAUAAGUCAUCAACCCCAAAUCUGACAUCUCGAACAUUUCUUUCAUUUUUGCUUUGAAAUCAGCCAUCACAAGCUUGUCUCCUCCAGUCACUAGAAGAUCAUCAACAUAUAGUGACACAAUAAGCUGUGUUUCAGCUUCAUUCCUCUUAACAUAGAGUGUUGGCUCACUAGCACUCCUUUCAAAUCCCAAACUGACCAAGUAUGAGUCAAUUCGAGCAUACCAGGCUCGAGGGGCCUGUUUUAGGCCAUACAAGGCCUUUCUUAGCCUAUACACCAAAUGUUCCUUACCAGGCAUUAUAAAACCUGGGGGUUGCUCGAUGUAUAUCUCCUCUUCUAGGAAUCCAUUGAGGAAUGCAGACUUGACAUCCAUUUGGUGGAUUGUCCACUGGUUCUGAGCAGCAACUGCAAUCAGUAAUCUGAUUGUAUCGAGUCUGGCUACUGGAGUAAAUGUUUCCAUGUAGUCCAGACCAUACCUUUGACUGAAGCCCUUUACAACUAGUCUGGCCUUUAGCUUAUUUAAACUUCCAUCCGCAUUGUGCUUCACUCGAUAGACCCAUUUUACACCGAUAGUCUUUCUGAUGGCAGGCUUUUCAACCAACUCCCAUGUCUGAUUCUUUACAAUCAUGUUGAUUUCAUCAACCAUAGCUUGUUUCCAACCUUCAUCUGCCUCAGCCUCUUCAAAACUGCUAGGUUCUGCUAUUGCAACCUGUGCCCUUUCAUAAAUAUCUUCUAGGAGCCUUGUGCCUCUCACAGGCACAUCAUCAACAUCCAUUUCAGGUCCUAGCUGCUCAAGUUCAGCUUGAUUAGGCACUAGGUCUUCUAAAAUUGUUUCUGGCUCAUUUUUCUCCCAAUUCCAGCAGGCUUUUUCAUCAAAGAUGACAUCUCUGCUCACUUGGACUUUGUUUGUCAAGGGAUCCAGAACCCUGUAGCCCUUUUUGACUGAGCUGUAACCUACUAGAACACCUGGUUGAGCCCUUUUGGAGAGCUUGUCUCUCUUUGCUGCUGGUACUUGUGCAUAACACAAGCAACCAAACACCUUCAGAUGUGCCAAGGAAGGCUUGAAACUGAACCAAGCCUCGAAAGGUGUCUCGGAUGCAAGAGCUUUAGUAGGAAGCCUGUUCUGAAGGUAAACAGCAGUGUUUACUGCCUCAGCCCACAUGGUCUUGGGCAGUUUCUUUUCAAACAGAAGACAUCUGGCCAUAUCCAUCAGACUUCUAUUCUUUCUUUCAGCUACCCCAUUCUGCUGAGGUGUGUAGACAUUUGUAAGCUGAUGUUUGAUACUAGCAUCAUUGCAAAUGGCUUGAAACUGAGCUGAAGUGUACUCAGUGCCAUUGUCAGUCCUUAUCGAUUUCAGCUUGCAACCUGUUUCUGUUUCUACAGCAUUUUUAAACUUCACAAACACUUGAGCUACCUCAGACUUGUGUUUUAAAAAGAAAAUCCAGCAAAACCUUGUAAGGUCAUCAAUAAAGAGGAUGAAAUACCUGUUUUUGCUGAGUGAUUCAGUCCUCAUCGGGCCACAUACAUCAGAGUGCACCAGCUGCAGUCUUUCAGUAGCUCUCCAAGCUGAAUUUGUAGGAAAUGGCAGUCUUGCCUGUUUCCCCAUUUGGCAAACUUCACACACAUCAUCAUGCUCCACUGAGCUGGUGAAGUUUUCUGCCAUGCCCUCUUUGGCCAAUCGAGCCAUUGAUCUAAAGUUGGCAUGUCCAAGCCUUUGAUGCCAAAGCUUGAAGUCAUCAACAGAAGUUGUGUAUGCUGAGUUUGAGUCAUUUGCCCAGUGAACCUCAAAGCAUUUAUCAGUCAUUGUGACUGUCAUAAGGCUUGAUCCACUUGGAUCAGCAAUGUGGCAUUGUUUGUCCUUGAACACAACAGAAUAACCUUUCUCGAGCAGUUGAGCUAUGCUGAGAAGGUUUCUGUCAAUCUCUGGCACCAACAGCACAUUUGGAAUGAUCUUGUUGCCUGUGGGAGUACAUAUCAGCACUUCUCCUCUUCCUUCAGCCCUUAUAAACUGACCAUUUCCAACAUUGACCUUGGUUUUAUAACUUCUAUCCAAGGUUUUAAACAAAGAGGCAUCUGGUGACAUGUGGUUAGUGCAACCACUGUCCAGCAACCAGCUUUUUGAGCAUUUCUUCUCAGCAGCUAAACAGGAAACAGCAAAGACCUGUUCUUCUUGGUCACUACUGUCCUCAGCUACUCGAGCUUCAACCUUUGACUGCUGAAAUUGAUUCUGCCUUGGCUUACUCCUGUUUUUGCAGACCCUUUCAACAUGGCCCUUCUUCUUGCAGUGUUGGCAUACUGCAUCUGGCCUAAACCAGCAUCUGUCUUCUGGAUGGCCAGGCUUCUUGCAAUAUCUGCAGGGCUGGUCAUUGCUCCUUGCAGCAUCAGGCUUAGGCCUGUUUUUCCAAGGCUUUUUACCUCUUUGAGCAUUGGUGCUCGAGGCUUCUCUGGCCUUGGCUUGAAAUGCACCUUCUUGGUGAUCUUCAGCUCUGCUAGCUCUCCUUUGUUCCUGAGCAUAGAAGGUGUUGAUUAACUCAGUCAAAGAGAUGCUAGCAAGGUCUCUUGAGUCCUCUAGGGAGGAUAUCUUGGCCUCAUAUCUCUCAGGCAAAGUGGAGAGGACUUUCUCCACAAUUCUUGCCUCAUCAAAGUGCUCACCUAGGAGCCUUAUGCUGUUAACCACUGCCAUAAUUCUAUCUGAAUACUGCUUCACUGUUUCUUCUUCCUUCAUCUUCAAAUUCUCGAAAUCCCUUCUCAAGUUCAACAGCUGCUGUUGCCUUGUUCUCUCAGUACCUUGAAACUCCUCCUUAAGCUUGUCCCAGGCCUGUUUUGGAGUCUCACAGGCCAUAAUUCUGGUAAAGAUGACAUCUGAUACACAGUUCUGAAUACAGGACAUGGCUUUGUGCCUUUUGGUCCUCUCAUCAGCAUGUUGUCUGAUCUGAGCUACUGUGGGAUUAGCCCUCAGUGGUGCUGGCUCAGCAUAUGUGUUAACAACUUCCCACAGAUCGAAGGCCUGUAGGUAAGUCUUCAUCUUGACCAGCCAUAUGUGAAAGCCUUCUCCAUUGAAGACUGGUGUGGCUGCUGGUGAAAAUCCUGAAGAAGCCAUCAAGUUCCUUGAUUUGAAGCAACAGGUCCACUAAGACAAGAGCUCUUGAUACCAAUUGUUGGUGCAGGAGGCAGCAACAAGCUGUUUUGUGUCUUGCUUGAAUAGCAAGCCUCGAGCCUUGGUGAAGAAGCAAACUCGGAAGCAGAAACAGAAAAAUGAAACUAGCUAGUGAAAAAACAGAAAAGAGAGAAGAAGAUUGAAUGAAAAAUGAGCUGAUUUCUUUCAUUAACACAUCAACAAGGCAUUAAGCCAUUACAUAUAUCAGUCAAGAAGUAAAACAAACAAGUAAUCACCUAAUCAACUACCUAACUCCACUAAUUUGCAUUGAAACUUACAAGAUUAGCUUGUACAACUUGCAUUGCUGACUUUUCAGUCAAUCAAUAUCAAAACAUUUACCUACUUAGUUUAACAUGAACUAGAACACAAAAUGUUCAUUUGAGUAACCAAAUGAAACAAUGCAGUUUCGGUUUGCUGUUAAAGCACGAUCCCUGCAUGGCCACCUUGCAUGGUCACCUUGGCUGCUGCAUGGGGGUUGACUUCAACAGGUUGGAAUUUACUUCAUUUUGUGGCGUUUAGAGACCUUCCUAUUGGAUUACGCUUUUUAUUAAAGGAUGAUGAUGCUACCACUGAAUAUGGAUCAGUCAGAAAUCUAAGGGACUGGAAAGAUGCUAGUGGAAUCACACCUCAACAAGUUUUCUAUGCAUGUCAAUAUGAUAAGGAAGAGAAAAAGGUAUAUUUAUAUGUGUAUUUCUAUGCCUACGGCUAUGGUUUUAUUAAUAUUUGUGUUUUGAAUUAUGAUUAUAUAACAUAUAUAAUAUAAUGAUCUAUAAUAUAAUCGGCUAAUGUGGUAGGAGCAAAUUGUGAAAUUGUUAAAAGAAAUUGUGAAUGAAGAAGUCGCGGAGAAACCAGUUUGUCCCAUUGGCUUGCCAAACAUAUCUGCAGAUAUAAACUUAGAGAAAACAAGAGAUGCUCAUUUAGUAGUGGCAGCACUUAUAGUCACCGUCACAUUCGCAGCGGCAAUAACCGUUCCAGGUGGUUUCAAGAGUGAAGAAGGUUCAGACCAGGGCACUCCUUAUCUGAUUCAUGAGGUAGCUUUUAGAACAUUUGUUUUUAACAAAUGCAUUGGCCUUUAGUCUCUCUCUUUCUACCCUCUUCAUCCACUUUGGGAUGCUGCUUCCUCUUUUUCCAAAAUCGCUUGGUUCAAUUACAUCUAAAAUGUUCAUCGCUGAUGUGAUCCUCGGCCCUGCACUCGUUGCCAUGGGGAUUGCUUUUAGCACAGCUACUUAUGUAGUCUUAAAACCUUCGCUUGGACUUGCCACUACUGCAGUUUGCAUCAGCCCUGCCAUUAUUUUCUAUUUUUUAUUUUGCUCAAAAUUUAUGCCUGUAUACAUAAUUAAUCAUAAUUAUUUUUAAGUAAACUACACUAACAGUAACUAAAUUUUGUUUAAAAUUUUGUUACGAAGAAAUUGGACUAAGAGGUAAAAAUGGGUAAAAUGAAAAAAUUUCCGUAUAAGAGUAUUUUGGUCAUUUUUGAAGAAUUUUAUAAUCGAAAUAUUAUUUUGACAUCACGUUUGAUACUUGGUUUAAAUUUGAGCCAUUGGAUGUGAAUGAAACGAAGAGAUGGAAUGUGAACCGCAUGUUAGUAUUUUUUACCUGGCUUUGACUUGGAUAUUUUUAUUUAGGUGUUUUAAAAUUGGCCAAAGAAGGAUGAAAGCUCAUAUAAUAUAUAACACUACAUACCUGAUUCAAUCAUCAGUUCCAAGUUAUAAGGUCUCACACUUGUGUCAGAUCAACUACGAUCAAAUUUAAUACAAUCCACACCAUCAAUCAUAUAAACAUGAAAUUAUAGGCAAACAAAACAAUAUAUAAUCAAUCCCUAGUAUUAUAUAAGCUUACAAAAGCUCAUAAGCUAACCCGAGACUGAAUCAUGACUGAAUUGUAAAUAAAUUAAAUUACAAUGUUGACGUUGUGACAUCGUUACUUCCUCGUUGUGAUGUUGUCAAAUAGUUUGCCACAUCACGACGUUGCAGCGCCACUUAUUGUUUUGGCCUCGUCAAGAUGACGGUGUUUCUCAUAUUGCUGUGACAUUAUAGGUCAUUUCUUGUCGUGGUGUCAUAUGCUAUUUCUACAAAAUUUUUCUUGAUUAUGUUAAAGUUGUAUGACCCAAAUCUCAUCACUUGUUCUUACGUUAAGAAAAUUUACUAACUUUGCUUGAAAACACAACAAGAAUAAAGUAAGUAGAAUUUUAUUUUGUUUAAAUAAAAUAAAGUAUAAGUUAAAGUGUUCAAGGAAUGAAAUAUGCAUGCUAUGAGGCUUUUUUUUAUGCUAUGCUAAAGUGUUCAAUAAAGGAAUUAUGCAUCCUACGCUUUUGUUAUGCUAUGUUGAAGUGUUCAAGCAAUAAUUAUAUAUAUUAUAUGUGUCACUUGUCUUGAUAAGCCACUAGGUGUCUUGGAAUAAGUAAGGCAUUUUGUAAUUUUUCUUAAUUUGUAAUAUUUUUUUCUUUUAUCUUUGAAUGUUCCAAGCUAAUUAAAUAAUUGGUGUUAUCAUGGAAGAAAGCUGUGCAAUAGAUCGACAAAUAUGGAACCAUCGUUCAACCACAUUAUUAUUUCCUUUGGUGAACCUAAGAAGCCUGCAAACAACAUUACUUACAUGGACGUGUCGUUGUAUAAAGCUGCAGCAGUAGGCAAAAUUGAAGAAUUCAAUAAUUACCGGAGGCCUGAACUUGAGUCGCUGAAGACCCCAAACCAUGACAACGUGCUCCAUAUUAACUUAUCAACCUCUGAGUGUGUCGGGCAACGUAGCAGAUCAGAUUUUAUCGAACAAAUCCUUUUCAAGUGUCCAUCACUGCUACUCCAAACAAAUGCGAAAGGUCAAACUCCCUUGCAUGUUGCAGCAAGGAAUGGGCAUUCUGCUAUUGUGAAACUCCUAAUCAAGUCUCGUGCCAAAGCUACUGAUGAAGAUUUAAAGAAGCUGGGAAUGUAUCAAUUGAAUGCAGUCAGGGAGAUGCUGAGGAAUACGGAUCAGGAAUCCAACACAGCUUUACAUGUUGCAGCUAGGUAUGGUCACGUCGAAGAGGUGCAAGAAUUGCUGGAGUUUGAAAACCCUGAUUUCCCAUAUUUUGUCAACAGAAAUCAGGAGACUCCACUUUACAUAGCAGCUAGGAGAGUAGAUAAGCUCUCACAGAUUAUACUAUUAGAUAAAUUGGAAUCAAUUGCUCAUGGAGGCCCCUAUGGCAGAACAACUUUGCAUGCAGCAGUUAUGGCUGGAGAUGUCGGUACGUUAAGUUAGUUCCAAAUCAUUUUUGUUUGAAAUAAAUAAAGAAUCAAUUUAUUGACUUUUUUGUUUUGUUUUGUUUUGCUUGGAUUCUGAGGCAACAAAGAUAAUAAUAGAGAAUAAAGGGGAUAUGAGUAUAUGACAAAGGAAACAGAUGAAAAUGGACACACCCCUCUUCACUAUGCGGCGCACUUAGGUCACGAUUCAGUUGUGGAACAGCUGUUAAAAUGGGAUUUACUUGCUGCCUAUGUAGGUGAUAAAGAGUGGGAAACGGCACCCCUUCUUAUGGCAGCCCGGCAAGGCCAUGGACAAAUAGUAACAAAGACUUUCCCUUCUUGUCCGGGUUGUUGUGAAAAAGUGGACAAAAGGGGUUGGAAUUUUCUUCAUUUCGUGGCCAUCAGAGCAAAAGUUUUCUAGAGCGUUUAAUAAAAUUAUUUUAUAUUUUAUUAACUAAAUAACUGAAUUUAAAUAGAGAAAAGAGUCUUGGGAAAAUAAUUCCCUUAUUCUAAUAAACUAUUUAAACAUAAAAAAAUAAAUUUUCUUAUUCUAAUAAACUACUAAAAGAUAAAAUAAAAUAAUCUUAAAAUAUCUCAAUAAUUUAUUCUAAAAUUUAUCUACCUAAAUAACUUUAAAAUAUAACCUAAAAUAUAUGGAUUUCACAUAUUUCAACAUAUCUCUAUUUACAAUUCUCCAACGUGAUAAUGGUUGUAGCACUAUAUAUGGGCUAGUAAAAAAUCUAAGGCAGUGGAAAAAUGCCCUCGGAAUCACACCUCAAGAAGUCUAUGACACAUGUCGUAGUCGUUUCCAUAUCACUGAUCAGCGUACAGAGAAAACGGUAAAUUUUCUAUGGCCUAUGGCUAUGGUUUUACAUGCAUAUAUGUAAAAUACAAAGACCUAUACUACAAUACAAUCCACUUGUAAGAGGUCAAUUUUGACCUAGGUCUAAAGACCCAAAACCAAUAAAAAUAAGGCCCGUUGGCCCAAAACCUUAAAAAUUUUUAGAAUGACCAAAAAUUAUAGAGUUUAGCGGCGUUUUUAAAAAAGCGCCGCUAAUAAUAAUAAAAUCUAACAACAAUUUCAAUUAUCUCAUUUUUUGAUAUAUUCUUAAGUAAUGUUUGAAUUAUAUUUUUUUAUUAUAAGUUGAAAAAAUUAAUAUUUCGUUGUAUUUAUUAUAUAGUGGUCAAAUUUACAUUUAAAUGAUAACAAAUAAUAUUAUUUAAUACAAAAUGUUUUUAUAAUUAAAGAGAAGUCCUAACUCCUAUCUAUUUAUUAUUUUUCAAUCACAGUUUAUUUAAACUACUUUACUAGAAAAAAUAUAUUAAAUUAUGAGUAAAAUAAAAUAUCAUAAAACUUAAAUUGUUGUGUUGUAAAGAAUAAAAAAUAGAAUAAAUUUUUAUAAGAAUAAUAAAUUUUGAUAGUUCGACUAAAUAAAUCAAAGAAAGUAAUAUAAAACACCAAUUUAUACAAAAUUUUUAACUAUUAAUUAUUGUUUAAUCAAUCUUAACUAUAUUUUAUGAUUAUUAAAGAUUUAGGGAUUUUUUUAGAUGGUAUUUUAAGGAGUAGGGGGUUUGGAUUUAGGGUUUGGGAUUUAAGGUUUAGAGGUUAGGGGUUAUGCUUUAGGGUUAGGGGGGAUUUAGGGGUUAGGGAUUUGGAGUUUAGGGUUUCAAGGGUCAGGUUAGGAUUUCAAGGGUCAAGUUAGGGUUUAAGUUUAGAUUUAUUAGUUUUAUUAAUUUAUAUAUUAAAUAUGUUCUUAUAUAUUUGUAAAAUAGAUAAUAAUAAAUUUAAUAUAUUGAAAUUAUGAGUAUAGUUUAUAUCAUUUAAGAGAUAUAUAAUAGAUAGAUGAUCACUUUAUGCAUGUAGAUCGAUUGGUUAAUUUAGGGUUUAAGGUUUAUUUGAGACUUGUUAAAUGAUACAAUUAAUUAAUACUUGUAUAUUUAAAAACAUUUAACCCUAACCAUUUGAUAUUUUUGAUAUGGAUAUAUAUAUAGGUAAUUAAUUAUUUAAUUUGUAUAGGACCAAAAUAUAAGAAAAAAUAAAAUAAAAAAAUAAAAAUGAAAUAAAAAAACUAAAAUUUAUACAUGUAUCAAAUACUUUUAAAUAUUACUUAAAAUUUUAAUAAUUAUUUAUGUAAAAUUUAAAUGAAAGAUACAAUAAAUAAAUAAAUAAAAUAUGUGAGAUUUAGCGGCGUUUUUAGCAAAAACGCUGUUACUAUAUAUUCAGAUUUCCAAAAAUGGCAACGUUUCGAUAGGAUAAUUUAAAUUUAUUAGUGGCAUUUUUAUCAAAAACGCCGCAAAAGGUAGACAUUACCGGCGUUUUGGUAAAAAACGCCACAAAUAUUUAUUGCAUUUUUCGAUAUGACGUCGUUUCAGUUUAAAGAUUAAAUUUUAGUUGUGGCAUUUUUCCGAAAAGCGCCGUAAAUAAUAUUUAAACUUUGGCAAAACGGCGCCGUUUCAAUGGAAGAAUGGAAUCUUUUAGUGGCGUUUUAUUAAAACACCGCAAGGAUGUAUAAAUGUUUCUGAAAACGUCGCCGGUUCGAUUCAGGUAAUUAUUUGUGGCGUUUUUUGGGAAAACACCAGAAAGUUGCCUUAUAUUUUAAUAAAACGGCGCCGUUUCUUUCUGUACUUGAAAUUUUAGUGGCGUUUUUUAUUUAAACGCAGCAAAUGUGGAUGCAAUAGUGGCGUUUUUUGAUUGGUGGUUGAUAAAAAUGUGGUGUAUAGCAGUCUUAAUAGCAAAUUGUCAAUUUUAUGUGUUUGUUAGUUUCUCGAGAGUUGAGACAUUGACAAUUACCUUAUAGGUUUGGGACCGUUCUAUAAUAUAUCUUAGCUAUAUAUGUAUGCUUUAAAACAUCCACUAGGGUUGAAAAUUGGACCACACAACUUUUCUGCAGAAAGAAAUAUGUAUGGAGUAUAAAGAAGAAAAAGAAAAAGACAAAGAAAACCUUCUUUCAACUUUCGAUUUCUUCACUUCAAUUGGUUGAAUCGUACAAUUCAAAUUUAUUUUGUUGCGUUUAAAUACAAAAUUCAAUAGUAAAUAUAGUAAAUCAUUAUUAAAAUUAUGGUUUUAGUUUAAAGAUAUUUUUAAGUUAAAAUCUCACUAUUUAUAAAUUUUUAUAUAAAAAAUAAAAGAAUUCCUUAUUUACUUGUUCCUAAAUUUUGCAUUUAGGCUGUAGUUUCUGUGUUGCCUUGUUGCUUUGAGAUUCUUAGCUGAAACAAUGGCACCCUCAUGAAGGAAACACUGAGGUACUUAGCAGGCAUUGUAGGCCCAAAUGACUAUGUCUCUAAUAUUUGUUCUGUAACACCCCUUAUCUGAGACCGUUGCCGGAAUCCAGUACGAGAUGUCAUCCAAUUUAACUUACCAAUUCGGAGCAUAAAAAUUUGCUUUUAAAAUUAAAUUCACUGUUCACAACAAAACUGUCCACCUGCGCGACUGUCACUAAUUUAAUUAUAUCUCAAUUUACGAAACUCGAAAUUUAAAUCCGAAAAUUUUUCCUGAAACUAGACUCAUAUAAAUUCUUACCAUAAAAUUUUUAGAAUUUUUUGUUUAGCCAGUUAGUACAGUUUAUUCAUUGAAGUCUCCCCUAUUUCACUACUUGACAGUUCUGACCUCUUGGCACUAAAAAUCAAUUAACUCAUUGUACAUAAUUCAUAUAAGGUUAUAAUUUAUUUCUUUUAAAAAUAGACUCACUAAAGAAUCUAGACAUAUAAAUUAUGACCCAUAAUUAUUUCUUUACAAUUUAUAAUGACUUUCUAAAGUCAGAACAGGGGACUUCAAAAACCAUUCUGACUCUGUCUCACUAAAAUUCAAAUAACUCAAAAUAUAGAAUUCCUUUGCCCACAUCGUUUCUUUCAUGUAAAAAUAGACUUGAUAAUCUUUAAUUCUAUAUAUAAUUCACUCUCUAAUUCCAUUUAUACUAUUUAUGGUGAUUUUUCACAUUCACGUCACUGCUGCUGUCAAAGAAACUGCUUCUUUGUAUUAGCUACCAUUUACACAUACAUAACACCAAAACAUAAUCUUUGCUAACCAUUUCAAUAGCUAAUCUUAGCCAUAUCAUAUGAACACACUCAAAAUGAUUAAUACUCUAUACAUGCCAUAGUUUUAAACAUUUUGAAAAACACAUAAUACCGAGAUCGUUAUGAUAGUGUGAUACGAGCUCCGACGAUCCCCAAUUCGAACAAGCUCAAAUCACUAUAAAACAAAGGAAAGGAGAAAAUAUGUAAGCUACAAAUAGCUUAGUAAGUUACAUGUAAACAAUAAGUACUCAUUUAGUAAUUGACAUUUCUCUCAUAUAACUAAUCAAACAUUUCUUAGCAAUUUCAAUCACUUACACAUGCAUAAUCUUACCCAUUUCACUUGCACAUGCACUUAUACACUUAACAUUUAUCACAUAUGCUCAUUCUUUUAAACAUACCUGCAUACACACUUCAUUUCAUAUUCACUUCAACUCAUUAUUAAUCCCAUUGAACACUCGGAAUAUACACGGAUACAUAGAGAAUUAGCACAUAAGUGCCACACUGAUACGUAGCCGAAGCUACCACUGAAAUGUAGCCGAAGCUACCACUGAUCAAUAACACUGGAAAUGUCCACGGGCCUGCUCACACAAGCUGUCAGGUGUCUGCAACACAUGCUAGAUCACCCAACACCCGGGACUCACUGUAACACUGGUCUCUAGUGACAUGUCACUUGUAUCCACUUCUAUUCCUAAGUUCAACCGGGAAUUUACACUUAACACUUUAUUUUCAACACUUUAUCACUUGAAUAAUUCAUGAACAAUUUUCCUUCUACAUUCAAUAUUGAUUCACAUAUCAAUAAAAUUCACAAUUUAUAAAAAUAUAUUGCUAUUAUUUACACAUAACUUACCUCGGAUGCAAAACGACUAUUUUUGUAAUUUAGUCGAUAACUUUCUCUUUUCCCCGAUCACUUCCACUAUUUCUUCUUUCUUGAUCUAUAUUAACACAAUUUAAUGCAUUUUAUCAAUAUUCCAUUCAAAUACAAUUUAUACACAAUAUUUUGGCAAACUUACAUUUUUUCCCAUAACUUUUCAAAAAUUACACUUUUGUCCGAAAGCUCGUAAAAAUAAAAUUCACUAAAUUUUUAAAUUUCAAACUUCACUAUAUCAUAUUCCAUGCUCAUAACAGCCCUCAAUUUCAAAAAAUCACAACUUUAUGCACACUUUACUAUCUUUCACAAUUUAGUCCUUUUUCAACAUUUUCAUCGAAAUUCAUCUAGUAAAACUUGUAAUUAACACUUCAAACAUUCAUUAUCUAACAUCACUAAUCAAUUUACAAUUAUAUCAUGAAUGAGUCAAUUUUUAAACUUUAAUUCCAUUAAAAAUAAAUGGUAGAAACAUGAAAUUCAAGUUUCAAUAAGCAUAAAAAUACGAAAAUAAUUAAAAACAGGGCAAGAAAUCACUUACAAUUGAGCUUAAAAAAAUCAAGAACCCUAGCUAUGGUGACAUGAAUUUUUUUUUUGGCAGCAAAUGUCUGAUUUUGAAGAAGAUGGACACUUAUUUUCUCUUUAUUUUGUCUUUUAUUCAAUUUGGACAAAAAUGCCCUUGACUCAUUACUUAGAUAUUUUUCUAGAAUUACCUUUUUGUGUCCAUAACACUAAUUUAUGGUCUAAUUGCCACAUAAAUACUUCCAAUUUCAUGCAAUAAUUCAAUUAAGUCAUUUAAUCACUAAUUAGACACACUUUGCAUUUUUCUCGAUUUAGUCCUAAAAAUUCAAUUAGACACUAAAUCAUUAAAAUUUCCUAUCCAUAUUUUCACACAAUAUUUCAAUCAAUCAUUAAUUAAUAAAAAAUUAUAAAAUUAAACUAUUUCACUUCGGAUUUGUGGUUACGAAACCACUAUUCUGAUUAGGCCCUAUUUCGGGCUAUCACAUGUUCAUAUGAACUUGUUUGCGCAUACUGCUUUCGCAUUUAGGCUAUAGUUGCUGUGGCUUCAUUAAACCCCAAACCGAUUAAACGAUUAGCAUUUAGGCUGUAGUUUGUGUGUUGCCUUGUUGCUUUGAGUAAUAAGAGAAAUACGAGUAAUUAGAAAAAUUCAAGGGCCAAUCUUUUGAUUAAGUGUUAAAUUAUUAUUGGACAGCUGAUCAAUGGAUAAUCUAAUUUUGGUUUUUAAUUAAUCUCUUCCCAAGGGAUAGAAAACAGUGAGUCAUUGUUGUUUUUAAAACCUAGUUAAUAUUAAAAUCUGGUUUAGUACAUGAUGUUGAAGUUGUUGAGACUAUUGACAUGGGAAUGGCUUUUAGUGUUUGAUUUGAGUUUAUUAGCACUUGUUCACUUUUGUCUUCUGUUUAUUAGCCAAAUUUACUUCUGUUGCCUUCUGUUUUGUUUUUCUUACUUCUGUUUUUUCGGUAGUAAUGUACUUCUGUCUUUUUUUUCCAGGAUUUGCUUCGAAAUUGAGGAAAUAUAAAGUAUCUAUUCCUAUGUUUCCAUAAUUAGUUUUCUUAAAAAAAAUGUCCAAUUGUUUAAUUUUUUGUAUGGUUAUAUCUGAGCUUUAUUUAUAGUUUAAUUAUUAAUUUUGAUUAUUAGAAGGGAGUUUUAAUUACCAUUUUAGCUAAAUUUGCACGUAACUUUGCAGCUUAUUACAUUAUUUGAGGUUUACAUUAUGAUUCUAACUUCUCCACGUAUUAUUUACCCAGGCAAACACAAAUGUUUUAAACUAUUAAAUUUUUGAUUAUAAUUCUUAAAUAAUUUUAUAUAUUUGAGUAAUUGAAUAAAUUAUGGGCGAUUAAUUUAAUCGGUUUAGCAUUUAUAAAUCAUCGAUUUUCGAUAUUAUGUCAAUAAAUUAUCAGUUUUACCUCAAAUUGUAAAAAUUAUCGAUCUUAUAUUUGCAACUUGUUUUUAUGUUAAUGAUUAAUAAUAUUUACAACUUAAAGCAAAGGCAGCAGCGAGAGAAGUAGAGGUUGCAGCGAGGGAAGCAGAGCAGAGCAGAAAGUACGACGAACUCCAACAGCAACUUCAGAAUAUGAUGAAGAUGUUUCAGUAGUCGCAACAUCCGCCGUCAUAGUGUAUUGUAUAAAAAUUUUUAUCAUUUUAACUUUUAACAUUUUUGUAAAAAUAAUAUGAAUUAUAUUUUAUUUAUUGAUUUUUAUAUUAUAUUAUUCGUUUAAUUUGAAAUAUUAUAUAGAUUUAUUGCUUUUGACUGGUUUAGAUUUUGUUGCUACAGGAGGGCUGAAAAUAUGAAUUUGAAAUCAUUAUCUAUCUUUUGAAGAAUUUCAUCUGGAGUUGCAUAUAGCUAUAUAUGUCCAGAGGCCUUGAAAAUCCUUUAUUACCAGUCCAUCGGCUACUCAAUUACCCUAUUUGAAUACAUCAUGUGUCACGCUAAUCAUCCAAGCUCGUUGAGUAAUUUCUUUAAUAUUAACAAUUUAGUAAUUUAAUGAUCUUUAACAACCUUGUUUUCCCGUAUUAUAUAGUUUUAAUUAAUAUUUUAUAAAUAAAAUUAAAAAUUUAUGUAUUCAAAUUAAUCCAAAUUCACCUUACCUUUGAAUUAAUUGAUAAACUACAUUUAGAUAAAUCCAUUUAUAAUAACGUAAUUUUUUAUUUAAAUUUAUAUAUAAUUCAAUAACAACUUAAUUUUGUGUUUAAAUUUAAAUAAAAAUCAAUCUUAUAAUAUUUGUAAUUAAUAUAGAGUAGUAAACUAUUCUUAGUCAUGAAUUAAUUUCUUCCACCCAUACUUGGCUGCAAAACCAAAGGCAAUGAAAUAAACAAAGAAAAAGAGUCAAGAAUGAAGAAAUCCUAGCCUUGAUUUAUGGUUUCAUUAAUUCCACUUUUGGCUCACAAAAUGAAAAUAAGGACAAAAAGUUAGUUCAAUUCUUGAUUGAGUCUUAGCUCAGUUGUUAUUGACAUUAUCGGUGUAAGAGGACGUAGGUUCAAGUGUGCUGAAGCGUAUUAUUCUCUACCUUAUUUAAGGUUGGGGAGAGAAAAAAAAAGUUGUUCAAUUGAACUAAGGGAUCAUUAGUUAUAAUGGGAAACAUUUGUGAAAAUACUGUUUUGAGUGGUUUAGGUCAUUGUGCUCUUCAAAAAUUUGAAAUUUAAUUCUUAUAUUUUUAUUUUUAAAAAUUUAGUCCCUUUAUUUUUGAGAUCUCAAAAUUCAGGUACAAUUGCUAACUCCAUUGUUUUAAUCUUGAAAAAUUUGUAGAUUGAGAUCACAUCCUUCCAAAAUUUGCUGAAUUUUCAAAAAUAUAUAUUAAAUGUUUGAUGUGAUUAAUCUAUUUGCUUAUAAAAUAGUAUUGAUCACACUGCAAGAGACUAAUUACAGGGAAGUAACAAACAGGAAAGGCAUUUGGUAAAUUUCUGAAUUUGUAGCUUCUUUUUUUCUUGAGCUUAGAAUAUUCCAAGCUAACUAAUUAAUAUUUGUUUUGUGUUAUCUAGGAAGAAAGCUCUGCAAUAGAUCAACAAAAAUGGAACUAUCGAUAAACUUCAUGCCUAUGUCCUCCAGAAAACCUGAGGAACCUGAAGAGAACAUCACUCACAUGGAUGCUUCGUUGUACAAGGCAGCAGCAGAAGGCAACAUUGAAGUAUUCAAUAAUAUGCAGGGGCAUCAACUUGAGUCGCUAAAGACCCCAAACCAUGACAACGUGCUCCAUGUUAACUUGGCAACCCACGAGCUUGCUGCCUGGUUUUCUAAUGGAAUUCUCUCAAGAACUAGAUCCUUCCCCAAUCUAUAUUUAUUAAUCUAUUUGUUUUUGUGGAUUUUCAUUAUUAAGAAAAACAGUGAAAAAAGAUCAUGUUUUAUCGGACAAAUUCUUACCAAGUGUCCGUCACUACUACUCCAGACGAAUGCUAAAGGUCAGACUCCUUUGCACGUUGCAGCAAGGAAUGGACAUUCUGCUAUUGUGAAACUUCUAAUCAGCUCUUGCGCAAAAGCUAGAGAUGGAGAUUUAGAGAAGCUGGGAAUGGAUCAAGUAGAUGCAGUGAGGCAGAUGCUGAGGAUUACGGAUCAGAAAUCCAACACGGCUUUACAUGAAGCAGCACGGUAUGGCGAUGUUGAAAUGGUGGAAGAAUUGUUGAAGCUUGAACACCCUGUGGAAAGAUUGUUGGAGCUUGAAAAUCCUAAUUCUCCGUAUUCUGCCAACAAAAAGCAGGAGACUCCACUUUACUUAGCAGCUAGGAGAGGAGAUGAGCCUUUGCUGACUGUAAUAUUAAAUAAAUGGAAAUCAGCUGAUCAUGGUGGCCCUCAUGGUAGAACAACUUUGCAUGCAACAACUAUGGCCUUAGAUGAAGGUAUGUUGAGUUAGUUCCAUAUUUUUUUUGUAAUAAAUAAAAAAUAGAUUUAUUGACAGUUUUUUUGCUUGGGUUUAGAGGCAACAAGGUUAAUAUUAGAGAAGAAAGGGAAUUUGAUAAAGGAUACAGAUGAAGAUGGGCACACCCCUCUUCAUUAUGCUGCACACAAAGGUUACAAUUAUGUUGUGGAAGUAUUGUUAGAAAAGGAUGUAUCAGCUGCCUAUAUAGGUGAUUUAAAGUUGGGGAUGACACCCCUUCUUGUGGCAGCCAGGGAAGGUAAUGUUGGAACAGUAAAAAAGAUUCUCUCUAAGUGUCCUGAUUGUUGUGAAAAAGUGGACAAAAGAGGUUUGAAUUUACUUCAUUAUUUGGCUUUUAGAGACCGUUACUAUAAAUCAAGUCAUUCUCUUUUCAUGCCUGGUGGUACGAAGACUGAAUAUGGAUCAAUCAGAAAUCUAAGGAAGUUGAAAGGUGCCUUUGGAUUCACUCCUAAACAAGGUUAUAACUUACUUCGAUACGAGGGUCAUAACGAGAUAUCUCUGAAUGCAAAGGUGUGUAUUUAUAUGACUAUGGCUAUGGUUUUAUUAAUAAUUGAGUUUUGAAUUAACAUGUAAUGGUAUGGCAGAAGCAAGUCGAAGAAUUGUUGAAAGAAAUUGCAAGUGAAGAAGUAGCUGGGUUACAAGUUUCCCACAUUCCCUUACCAACAGUCCCUGCAGAGAGCUUGGAGAAGACAAGAGAUGCUCAUUUAGUAGUGGCAGCACUUAUAGCCACCGUCACAUUUGCAGCAGCAAUAACCGUACCUGGUGGUUUGAAUAGUGAAAAAGGGUCAGAGCAGGGCACUCCUUUUCUGAUUGAUGAGGCAGCCUUUAAAGCAUUUGUCGUAACAAAUGCAUUAGCCUUUAUUCUCUCUGUUUCGGCCCUCUCCAUUCACUUUGGGAUUCUGGAUCCUCUUUUACCAAAACUAAAAUUUUGGGGUAUUAAUCUAAUCUUAUAUCGAACUCAGUCCGUUUCUAAUCUCCUUGGCCGUGCAAUGUUUGCGUUGGUGAUUGCUUUUAGCACCAGCAGUUAUGCGGUUUUAAAACCUUCUCAUGGACUUGCCAUCGCUUCGUGUUUCAUCUGCCCUGGCUUUUUUGUUUGUUAUUACGUACAACAAUCCCGAGCUUUCGUGAAGAGGUUUAUGUAGUGAUAAUAACGAAUUUCAUCGCAAAUAUUAUAUUAUGUGUGACAAAUUUUAUUUGUCGCACUAAUUAUACCACAAUAGUUGUAGUGAUAAUAAAGAAUUUCAUCAUUAUUAUGAUAAUAGUUGUGACGGUUUAAAUAUUGUUUCUAUAAAUGUAUAAUGGUGGCCUAAUCUAUUUGUCAUUAGCAAUUCUCUUUCUUCUUGAGUAAUUAUAUAAUAGUCACACCAUAUAAUUAUUCCGAAUAAAAUUAGGCAUUUAUAAAGCUCAAACAAAAGCAUUUGAAUUUUUUGUAAUGAGAUGAAUAGAAGUUAAUUUCGAGUUUUGUAAGUAGGGAUAAUCAAUUUUUACUAAAAGGUACUCAUAUUGUGUGAAAGACAAUAAAAAGAAGAGCUCAUGGAGGCCCAUGGUAGAACAACUUUGCAUGCAGCAGUUCUGGCUGUAGAUGGCAGGCAAUUAGAUAUGCAAAUAUGUUAUCAACAACUUCAUUUAUUUCCCCAAAUAUAUGUGAAAGGGAAUUAAAUCUCUAUAUGAAGCCAAAGUGGAUGUGGUUCCAAGUGUUGAGCAGCAUAGGAAGUAAUCAAAUACAUGUUGCACUGCAAGGAAUUCAAGGCUGCCUUGUCCAUAAAGGCUUAUAGCUGCUAAGCACCUGCUCUUAAAUUUGAUUAUGGCCUAAUAAACAACAUAGGGCAGCAUUGACUUCACCACAAAGAGCUGUACACCCCAUUUUCUUCCAUUCUUUGUCUUCAGUUCUUCUCCUUCUUUGCAGUUUCCUUAAACCCAAAUUUCAACCAGUCAAUUAAAUGUUUAAAUUUGAAAAUCCCCAUACACUUCAUGCUAUUUUUUUUUUGAAUUUAGCUAUGGCAUUUACAGCUUUUAUCAAUUUAGUUCUUUUUAUUAUUUUUUAAAUUAAAUUUGACUCUUCAUCUUUCAUAAUAGAGUCCAAUUUUGCCAUAACACAAAGAGCUGUAGACCUCAUUUUCUUCCAUUCUUUUUUUCAAUUCUUCUCCUUCUUAGCAGUUUCCUUCAAAGCAAAUUUCACCAUAAAAAGCUCCUACAUCAUUGACCUGACCUCUAACCCUAUAUAUUACUAUUACUAAGCAAUAGUUUUCAAGUAUGAAAUUAUAUAUAGUUGUCGUUUGUAGGUGACUUAAAUGGAGGAUAUGCAAGCAACAAUCAGGUAUGGCAUUUGGUAAAUUUCCUAAUUUGCAGUAUUUUUUUCUUGAGCUUGGAAUUUCAAAGCUAAUUAAUUAAAUUUUGUUUUGUGUUAUCUAGGAAGAAAGUUGUGCAAUAGAUCAACAAAAAAUGGGAACAUCGAUAAAUGUUGAAAAUUGGCCAACCAUGCUGCUGUGAUAUUUUUGGUUGAAGUGCAUGCAGCUUGUAAACAUGCUGCAGCACUUAUGCUUGCUGUAACAGCAAGGUUUUCUCUUUAGUUUCAUUGUCUUCAAACUAGUUGAAAAUGAACAAGUUGAUGACAACUUGAUGCAUUAGGUGUUGAAUGACUAGUUUGGGUGGCUUGUUUAUGUGUACAAGCAAUGUUUAUCAAGUUACUAGGCUACUUAGUGGUAGUAGAUAGUAUUUGGUGAUGUAUUUGACUAUAAAUAUAUUGUUUUUCUAGUUGAAUGAAUGAGCUGAAUGAGCUAUCAGCCAUAAGCUCCCUAGCUGCACAUUUGUGAGCAAGUAAAAUUUUUCUUGUAUCUAGUUUCAUUGUUCUGUUCUCUUCUUUUGCUGCUGCCAAUGUUCCAACAAUAAACAUCAUGUUUUUAUCCUCCGGUGAACCUGAGGAACCUGAAGAGAACAUCACUUACAUGGAUGCUUCGUUGUACUAGGCAGCAGCAGAAGGCAACAUUGAAGUAUUCAAUAAGUACCCAGAGCUUGCACUUGAAUCGCAAACGACCCCAAGCAAUGACAACGUGCUCCAUGUUAACUUGGCAACCCACGAGCUUGCUACCUGGUUUUCUAAUGAAAUUCUCUCAAUAACCAGAUACUUCCCCAAAUUAUAUUGUUUUCGUCUAUUUGUUUUAGUGGAUUUUCAUUAUUAACAAAAAAAAGUGUAAAAAGAUAAGAUUUUAUAAUGACCCCAAACCAUGACAACGUGCUCCAUGUUAACUUGGCAACCGAGGAGACUGCUGCCUGGCUUUUAAACAGAUUUCUCUCAAUGCUCAACUUCCUCCCCGUAAAAUAUGUAUUCAUCACCGUAGAAUAUGUACCAUUCUAUCGCUCUUUGAUUAUUUUCAUUACCAUGAUAAGAGAAGAAAAGAGAUCAGAUUUUAUCGUACAAAUUCUCAGCAAGUGUCCGUCACUGCUAAUCCAAACGAAUGCUAAAGGUCAAACUCCUUUGCACGUUGCAGCAAGGUAUGGACAUCCUGCUAUUGUAAAACUUCUAAUCAAGUCUUGUGCAAAAGCAAGAGAUGGAGAUUUAGAGAAACUGGGAAUGGAUCAGGUAAAAGCAGUGAGGGAGAUGAUAAGGAUUAGGGAUCAGGAAUCCAAUACGGCUUUACAUGAAGCAGCACGGUGUGACAUCCAUCAUGUUCCAUUAUUAUUGUCAAAAUUACUGUUAUGCACACAACUUGACUUUGGCUGGUCACUCAUUAUCAAUGGCUCCAGUAUCAAAUUAGGGGUACUUAAUUGUGUUCUCUUGAAAUAUUGAAGAAACUAUUUGAAUACUGAAUACCAAAUUCUCGUUCCCAUUUUAGAAACUAUUUUAAUUUCUUUAAUUUGAAUAUCAAAUUCGAUCUAGGAUCAUCAAACACCCUUAUUUUUUGAAUUAAUUUUUAACGGAUUUAAGAUUAUAUUUCAUUUUCGGUUCCAUCUAAUGUGUUAUUAGUCCAAAUUAACACAUCUAUAUCUCUACUUGAUAGUCAAUAUCCUACCCCGAUAAUCAAGACAAGUUAUUUUUUAUUUUGUUUAAUGAAGAUAGCUAAGAAAUUCAUCAAAGUAUAAGAAAUUUAACUUCUGUGAGGUUAAUAUACAUUUGGUACCUAAACUUUUUUUUUUAAUUUUGUAAUUGAAUCUGGCUUUAGUGUUCAAUUUGGCAUCCAAACCAAAUAGCAUCAUAUGGAAUAAUAAAUAUUUGACAUAUGUGUUCUAGUAAAAAAAAACAUAGGUACUUAAUUGACAUAAAACAAAAGUAAAGAUACCAAAUUAAAGAUUAGAGUCAAAGCCAUGUACUAAAUAAUAAAUUAACCUUUUUUUUAAUAUUUACAUUGAAUGAAACAAAAGGUGAACCCAACAUUAGUCCAUUCACUCCAUUCCCAAGAUACUUUUAAAAAAAAGAAAAAAGAAAAAAGAAAUUAUUAACAUUAGUUCAUCUGCUUUGUUUUGAUCAACUUGUAGAUAGUUUGAAUAAAGGAUGUCGAUAAUUUUUGAAUUAUUACUAUUUUAAUAUUUUUGUCAUAUAUUUUUAAAAAAUUAGAAAAUAUAAAAGCAAAUCGAAUUUAAGCUACUAUGACUUUAAUAAUGCUAAUUUUGUAAUUUCAACCAUAACACUAUUUUUUAAAAUAAAUAUUUACAUAAAUUUUUUAAUUACAUGAUAAAUAUGUGAUUUUUUUUCUCAAUGUAUCCACUAAAGCAAGCAUAGUGAUUUAUUUUCCGCAUUUUAUAAACCUAUUAAGAGAGUAAAUGUUUAAAUAUAUAAAAAAUAUAUUAAGUGUCUCAUAAUUUUUAUUAAAAAUGAUUAAAAUUUAACACAGUAAACUCGGCCUAGACGGAAAGACUAACUUUGAGAUGUCACAUGAGCUUACCAGAACACAGUUGUACUUAGAGCUGGCUUAAUCAAUACAUAGUUAAGUCUUUAAAAAAGGUCAAUCAUUCAAAGCAUAAUUCACUCUUAAAACUUAAAGUCCGAAACCAAAUAAAUGAUUUAAACACACACGCAUAUAUUUAAAGUAAGUCCAAUAGAUGACCGAGUCCCUCGUUCGCCGGCCACUCAGUUCUGAGAGUUUCCUGAUAUCCAUUCAAUCCAGUUAGUGUGUUGCAACUUAAUAUACACAUAAAGACAAUUUGACAUGUUUAUAAUAACUCAGAUAUAAUUGGAAGUUCAGUCAGCAUACUCAGUUUUGAUCGGUCAAAUUAAUAAUUUAGUACAAUUUCGGAAACAAAACAGUUCUAGUACGCAACAAAUCAGAUACAGAAACAGGUACAGAUGUAAAUACAGAUACAAAUACAAAUACAGAUACAGAUGUAUUUAUCCUACCCCAUCCCCUAUACACCAUCUCCGACCAACCCAACACACCAGUAGGUGUAUAAUACCCGUCCAACCUUACACACCCCAUAGUGUCGGUAUGACACGUUGCAGUGCUUACAGUCUCACUGCCUAUAUAGAUACAAUUGUGGAUGGUUUAACCACCAAAUCAGUACAAAACACUUCUUCCAUUUCAUGAUCCCCGCCCCAUGCAAAUGUAGAGAGCAAAUGACAAAUAUAUAUGUUUCUUAUGCAAAUAUAAUCACAUAGUCUAGUAUAAUAGAGGGUUGAAAUUCUUAAUAAUUAUCUCAUACGGGUAUGUAGAACAAGUUUAUAAUCAUGAUAAAAUAGAUCAUAUAGUUCAGUUUAGUUCAUACAUAUCCUACGGACGGCUUACACUCAUCUCGUACAACAACUAUGGCGUUAAUAGAAAUUUUGUCAUUCAGGCUCACACACCCGUGUGGGUGGCCAUAUGGCUCCACACAGUCUGACACAUGGCUGUGUCGCUACUCGUGUACCCCAAUUCAUCAAAUCAAUGAGUUACACAGUCUAAGCACACACCCGUGUGCUGCCUGUGUACCUCACACGGUUUGACAUACACCGCUAUCCCUUGCCUGUGUGUCCCUAAUACAUAAAUAGUGAAUUACACGAUCUAGACACACGCCUGUGUGCCCCCCGUGUGACCACUACACCUUAAUUUCUCACACACGGUCUACCACACGCCCGUGUGGCUCGCCUGUAUGUCUCCAAUCCGAAGUCAGUGAGUUACACAGUCCACCACACGGUCAUGUGGCACACACGGCCUACACACACGCCUGUGUGCCAUCUGUUGCGCGGAAGCGUGUGAAAGAGUAAAAUUAUUGUACUGAAAAAUCUCACUAAGUUCAAUUCCCAGGAAAGAGAGGUAGAUCACGAAGAUCACUUAAAUACCAAGUCUUUCCUAGCCAGAAUAUCCCUCUAUCGUAAUUUAAUAGCACAAUAAAUCACUACAAUCACAUUCACAAAAUAUGCAAAACAAAUAAUAAAGAACACCAGAAUUUUAACGAGGUUCAGCAAAUUUUGCCUACGUCCUCGGGCACUACCAAAUAUAUUUCACUCCAAAAAUUACAAGUGAAAUUUACAAAUAGAGAGAGAGAAUAAUGCCUUAAGUAGAGAAUGGCAAUUAUGGGAUGAAGAAAGUAAGAAAUGGUUAGGCCUAUUUAUAGUUGAGGUUCAAGGAUCAACUUGCAAUGUCCCUAUACAAUUAGGGACCAAAAUUGCAAUUAUCCCAUGCCAACUUUUAACCCAACUUGCCAACCAAUUUUACUUUCUACUUUCGGUGCCCACCCUUUUUGACUUUUCAAACAAUGGGUGGGUUCCAAUACCAUCGAUAGUCCCGUUUCUGGCAGAGAAAAAUGCAGAAAAGAAGGAAUUUCGAUACCCACCUGUUACACGACGCUGUAGAAGCACCCAAAUGCAAUUUCCAAUUCUAAAACAAGUUCCAAACGCUCAAUUCAAUAAAACAUUUGCAAAAAAUACAAGUAACAAUAAUCAAUGUUCAUCGAAACAGCCAACUCACUACACAAAAUGGACGGAAGCCUACUUACCGCAAAUUCCCAGUACACGUUUAGUUCCUAAGUAAGGCGAGAAGCAUUAGGCAUCUUCCGGGUCUUCUCCUACAAUUCAUCGAAGUACCUGAAAUGACAAAACAAAUUAACUCAACGAAAUGAAAUUCAAAAGAAAAACCCCAAACAACAAAACCAUCACAACGAACAAAUUAAAAACACAAACUCUUAUCGUUAGCAACAAAAUCGACCACAGAAGAAUUCAAUCAGCAAUUGAUAUAAUCAACAACAAAAAUAAUACGAGGCCAAUUGUUAAAAGAAAAGAAAGAAAAAGAAACGGUAACUGAAGAAGAACAGAAAAAUAACGCAGGAGGGAAAUUUUAAGAAAACAAAUCAUAGAAUUUCAAGAAAAAAAACUAAUGUUUGCAAAUAAAAAGAAAUAUUCCUUAACCAAAUGAUACAUAGAAACUGAACUAUUAAAUUACUAGGCCAAUCAUUGACACAAGUUAGCGAAUAAGUAAGUUUGAGUCAAAAGUUCCCAACUAAAGUUCCAACAAAAGAAUAACAAUAUUUUCAAGUAUGCGACUUGAACCUCAUACCUUUAACAAACACACAAAACACAACCACUAGAACAAACACAUACUUAUUAAAAUAACUUAAUAAGAAAACUCAAAUUUUUGUUGUGAAGUUGAUGAAAUUUUAUUAAAAAUGAUUGAAUAAAAAUAAAAAUUGAAAUCAGUAAAUCGAAGGAUUUAAACGUUGAUUAAUUAUGCAUAGUUUGAGAGAAAAUUUAAGUAGACAAUUUUAAUUAAAAUUAUGAAAAAAAUAAGUAAUAAAAAAUUUGAGUCAAAUGUUGUCGUAACCAUCGCUAAUCGUAUAUAGCAAGAAUAGCAUAGUAAAAUUAUGGUGCUUUCAUCAAUUAUGGAAUCAUAUAUGGUUUUCAUUAAAUUUAAUAGCUAAAUUGCACUUUGUUCGAGGGUUUCUAUUAAAUUGAAAUUAGAAUGAAUAAACAUAGUAAAAAUAAUCAAUUUCCCUAUUUUAAAAAAAAUUAAAUUUGGCCCUCAAUUUUUUAAAAAAAAUUGAAUUGUUAUUUUUUUAAUUAAAAUAUUAAUUAAAAUUUUAAACAUGACAGCCUGCAUGGUAAUUCGCUUAUACUUUAUGCUAAUUUGUUGAAUUUUUAUGAACCUAUUAUAAUUAAAUUUUGAAAUUUGAAAUUUUUUUAUUUUUUGAAUUUUUAAAUUAAUUGUUGACAUGACAUAUAAGAUAAUAAUGCUAUAUCAACAUGAACUACAAAUGGACUGUUGUGCCAAAAUCGUUAAAUUUUUUUAUGUUAUGGUCAAUUUUUUUAAUUAAAAAAUUAUUUAACUUUUUUUAAAAGGUUAAUAACCAAAAUUAAUUCAGUGGAUGCAUGCGUACGCAUUAUCUAUAAAGCAUGUUAAAAAAUGACGGAUUUGAUGCAUCUACUUUUCAACAAUUUAGUAUUUUAACCAUCAUUAGCAACUUUGUUUUAGGGCCAUUUGAUUUCCUUUUUGCUACAAUUAAGUCAUCGUAUAAUAAUAUUUAUGGUAAGAUACACAAAUAGUUAUCAUUGUUUUGGUGAUUUGGGUUUAAUUUUUAUUAGUUAUUACUAUUAUCGACAUUUGAUAUUUUAUUCACUCUUUCAUUAAAUCAUUAGCAGAAUGCUGAUGCAACCUUUCUUUAUUGACAUUGUUGACACCAUUUUUUGAUGGAAAACGGGGUCGACUUGGGUUUUGAAAAAUGAAACGGGAGUCGCCACCAAUCCUUUUUUUUAUGAGGUGUGAUUGGAUCACCUCGAAAAGGGGUUGUUUUUAAUAAACGGUUUGAUUUUAUUAAAACAACAAGUUUGGUCCACGAAAUUCAGAAAAAUGGGUUCGGGAGUCGGUUACGCACGAGGAAGGAUUAGCACCCUCGAUACGCCCAAAAUUGGUACCUAGUUGAUUACUUAAUGUCUUAGUGUCGAAGAGUGAAAACUUUGAAGAAUUUAAAAAUACGAUCAUUGUAUUAAAAAGUUGAAAAUUUUGGGAAAAGAGGGCACAUUCCACGUUAAUCGAGAAAGAAAGCAUCAUAUCCAGUAAGUUAGGACACAAUGUCUCGAAUUCCCGAUACGCGAAUAAAAAUGGUUGUUCAAAAGAUUAUUUAACUAUUUUUGGAUAAAAAAUGGAUCACGACCAGUAAGUUAGGACACGAUCCUUUUUUAAUUCCCGAUAUCGUUUAAAACUUGAGUUUGAAAAGAUUCGUGUAAUAAAGUUUAAAAGAAUAUUCAAUUGUUUAAAUCAAAUGAAGAAAUCGCAACCCAAUACGUUAGGGCACAAUUUAUCAAAAUAUUAAACAUUGAAUAUUACAUUUAUUUCAAAAAAUCCUCGUUUCGAGAAAACAACAUGUCACAUCCAAUGCGUUAGGACACAAUAUAUUGAAUUCUCGAUAACGAACUUUUUAUCAUUUUUAAAAGAGUAAUCUCGGUUAUUUUGAUUCAACAAAGAAAAUCGGAACCCAAUACGUUAGGGCUCGAUUCUCUCAAAGAUCUCAAAUAUCGAGUGUUAUUUUUAUUUUGAAAUUUUCCAUUUUUGGAUAAAUCCGAGUAAAAAAAAUGAAUGUAAAAUAAUAAUAAUGAUGAUAAUGCAAAUAAAAUAAUACAAGCAAAAUAAGAAAAGAUAAAUAAAUAAGAUGACAAAUAUAUAAUAAAAAGAAAUCAAUAAAUAAACAAAUAAAAAUUAAAGCACUUAAGUAAAUAAUAAUAAUGAGCAUGUAAAUAAAUAAAUAAAUAAAUUAACACCAAAUAUAUAUAUGAAAAUGAAAACGUAUAUAUAGGACAUAUAUAAUAUAAGGUAUAAAAUAUAAUAUAUAUAUUAGGGAAGUAUAUAAAUACAUAAAUAUGUACAUAAAUAAUAAUAAAGGGAUAAAUGUAUGCCUAUAUAUAUAUAUCCUAAAAUAUGUCCGUAUAUAUUAAGAUAAUAAAAAUGCAUGCAUAUAUACAUAGAUUAUAAAAUAUAUAUAUGUAUAUGUUUUAAAAUGUGUAUGUAAUAACAAAAUACAUUAAUACGUAUAUAGGAUACAACAUAUAGAAUAUAAGUACAUAAUGCCCAAAUAUUUGAUUAUAAUAUCAAUAAUAAUAUUAUAAUAAUAUUGUAUAAUGAUAUUAAUAAUAUUAAAACAAGUAAUUUUAAAUAAAAUAACCUAAACAACAAAAAUGGGAUUAAAUUGAAAACGAAAUUAAAGUUUGGGCUCGAAAUAAAAAGAACGAAAGGAUUAAAAGGUAAGGCACACAAAAGAGAAGGGAUCAAAAGGGCAAUUUCCCCGCGUUGAUUAAAUGGUGCCGUUAUAGUACAGCGCAUGCAUAGGGUUCAUGGACCAAAUUGAAACAGACGCGAAAUUCGUGGCCAAAAUUAAAAUGAAACAAAAGGCAGCAUUGAAUGCAUCGCAGGAUUAAAGGGACCAAAGGCGCAAAUUAUCCAUUAGGGCAAGAGUGCGCAGGUUUUCCCUCCUUCAAACGGCACCGUUUCCUUAGGGGUAUUUAAACCCAAUUUUUCCGAAAAAAAUCAUUCAGCCACUUCUUUUUGAAAAAAACUGAAAUUUCUCCCUCUCUCUUUCUUCUCCCCAAAUUCCGGCCUAGAUCCGGCCAUGGUUUUCGGCGGGUUUCCGCUGUAGCACCACCGUGUGUGGCAGCCGGAGACCCAAAAUUGGACCUUUUUGGUCCCUUUUUGAGGCCGAUUACUCCUAGACCUCAGAUCCAGGGCUGAAACUCACGAAAAGGAGGCCGAAGACUCAAAAACGAGACAAAACCGUUUGUCUUCUCGUCCUCCGACGGGGUGCAGGGAGAAAGGUACCUUCUUUUUCUUUUAUUUACUGCCUUUAUUUAUAUAUAUGCGAACGAAAAGAAAAUAGAAUAAACUAGAAAAAUCUUUCAGAACCAAAAAGAAAGAAAGAAAAAACAACACAUUGAAUCUGCUCUUUUUAUUUUCUUUCGAUUGAAUCUGUUUUUGUUUGUUACAAAAGUUGCCUGGGGGGGCCAGAGAGUUACAUUUUGGCUUUUUUUUUUUAUAGCCGAUCUUAAUUUCUAUUUUUGUUUUCUUUUUCCUUUCUUUUCUUUGGCUGUUGCGUGUUUGCAGGUGGAGCAAGUGAGGAUGAUGGGACAUGCGCGGCGCAAGUGGGGUGAGUCGGUGGUGGCAGUUGCGGCGGUAAUGUCAGAAGGCCCUAGGUGCGGCGCACCUAGGGUUAGGGUUUCUCUUUUUUUUUAUGAUUUGUGUUUUGGGUAAUGGGUUUUGCAUUUGGGCUCCGGGAUUGGGUUAGGCUAGUUUGGCCUGGGUAGGUUUUGGGUCUGUUUGGGUUAUGGGUUGUAAUGGGUUAGGUCAAAAUGGGCCUGUACAGCUGCCCCUCUUUGCUCGUUGUCGUGUAACGAUAACAGAGUAAAGACUAAGAAAGGCCCAUUUUGCUCGGCAUCGCCGGGUCUUGACCUCUCGGUGCAUUUCUUCUUCAGAUAGUCUUCUCGCAAUCUACUGUGUCUUGUUGCUUCAAUCCACUUCACUACACUUCAAAGAGAUACGGCUUGUAGCUUCAAUCCACUCUGUUGCAACUUCAGGGGGAUGAGAUUCGAAGUAAGAUUCAUUAUUGUUGAUCUACUCCACUACUGCUUAGGGUGAUAGGACUAAUGGUUUAAAUCUGCUUCUCCACUGUAUUUAAAUCUGCUUCUCCACUGUAUUGGGAAGAUAAGAUUCACCAUCUUCGAUCUGCUCCACUACUGCUUAGGGUGACAGAAUCUGCAAUCUUUAACCUACUCCACUACUGCUUAGGGUGAUAGGACUAAUGGCUUAAAUCUGCUUCUCCACUGUAUUGGGAAGAUAAGAUUCACCAUCUUCGAUCUUCAAUCUAUUCCACUGCCAACUAAGGAGAUAGAAUUAUCGGCUUCAAUGUACUCCACUGUGGUCACAGAGAGGUAAAACCUGUCAUAUUUGAUCUGCUCCGCUGUCAGUACAGGAAGGCAAGAUCUGCUAUCUUUAGUCUGCUCUACUGUCAGUACAGGAAGGUAAGACCGGUUUCCUCGAUCUGCUUCACCGUUAAUACAGGAAGGCAAGAUUUGUUGUCUUCAACUAGCUCUAUAACAACCGAGAGAGGCAAGGUUUGUCUUUGAUCUGCUUCAUUGUCAAUGCAGGAAGGCAAGAUCUGUUGUCUUCAACCAGUUCCGCUACAACCGAGAGAGGAAAGGUUUGUGUCUUCGACCUGCUUCGCUGUCAAUGUAGGAAGGCAAGAUCUUUUGCCUUCAACUAGCUCCACCACAACCGAGAGAGGCAAGGUUUGUGUCUUCGACCUGCUUCGCUGUCAAUGCAAAAAGGCACGAUCUGUUGUCUUCAACCAGCUCCACCACAACCUAGAGAGGCAAGGUUUGUGUAUUUGACCUGCUUCACUGUCAAUGCAGGAAUGCAAGAUCUUUUGUCUUCAACUAGCUCCAUCACAACCGAGAGAGGCAAGGUUUGUGUCUUCGACCUGCUUCGCUGUCAAUGCAGGAAGGCAAGAUCUUUUGUCUUCAACCAGCUCCAUCACAACCGAGAGAGGCAAGGUUUGUGUCUUCAACCUGCUUCGCUGUCAAUGUAGGAAGGCAAGAUCUUUUGUCUUCAACCAGCUCCGUCACAACCGAGAGAGGCAAGGUUUGUGUUUUCGACCUGCUUCGCUGUCAAUGCAGGAAGGCAAGAUCUUUUAUCUUCAACCAGCUCCAUCAGAACCGAGAAAGGCAAGGUUUGUGUCUUCGACCUGCUUUGCUGUUAAUGCAGGAAGGCAAGAUCUUUUGUCUUCAACCAGCUCCAUCACAACCGAGAGAGGCAAGGUUUGUGUCUUCGACCUGCUUCGCUGUCAAUGCUGGAAGGCAAGAUCUUUUUUCUUCAACCAGCUCCAUCACAACCGAGAGAGGUAAGGUUUGUGUCUUCGACCUGCUUCACUGUCAAUGCAGGAAGGAAAGAUCUUUUGUCUUCAACCAGCUCCAUCACAAUCGAGAGAGGAAAGGUUUGUGUCUUCGACCUGCUUCGCUGUCAAUGCAAGAAGGCAAGAUUUUUUUGUCUUCAACCAGCUCCACCACAACCGAGAGAGGCAAGGUUUGUGUCUUCGACCUGCUUCGCUGUCAAUGUAGGAAGGCAAGAUCUUUUGUCUUCAACCAGCUCCAUCACAACCGAGAGAGGCAAGGUUUGUGUCUUCGACCUGCUUCGCUGUCAAUGUAGGAAGGCAAGAUCUUUUGUUUUCAACCAGCUCCAUCACAAUCGAGAGAGGCAAGGUUUGUGUCUUCGACCUGCUUCGCUGUCAAUGCAGAAAGGCAAGAUCUUUUAUCUUCAACCAGCUCCAUCACAACCGAGAAAGGCAAGGUUUGUGUCUUCGACCUGCUUCGCUGUCAAUGCAGGAAGGCAAGAUCUUGUCUUCAACCAGCUCCAUCACAACCGAGAGAGGCAAGGUUUGUGUCUUCGACCUACUUCGCUGUCAAUGCCGGAAGGCAAGAUCUUUUGUCUUCAACCAGCUCCAUCACAACCGAGAGAGGCAAGGUUUGUGUCUUCGACCUGCUUCGCUGUCAAUACAGGAAGGCAAGAUCUUUUGUCUUCAACCAGCUCCAUCACAACCGAGAGAGGCAAGGUUUGUGUCUUCGACCUGCUUCGCUGUCAAUGCAGAAAGGCAAGAUCUUUUGUCUUCAACCAGCUCCAUCACAAUCGAGAGAGGCAAGGUUUGUGUCUUCGACCUACUUCGCUGUCAAUGCCGGAAGACAAGAUCUUUUAUUUUCAACCAGCUCCAUCACAACCGAGAGAGGCAAGGUUUGUGUCUUCGACCUGCUUCGCUGUCAAUACAGGAAGGCAAGAUCUUUUGUCUUCAACCAGCUCCAUCACAACCGAGAGAGGCAAGGUUUGUGUCUUUGACCUGCUUCGUUGUCAAUGCAGGAAGGCAAGAUCUUUUGUCUUCAACCAGCUCCAUCACAACCGAGAGAGGCAAGGUUUGUGUCUUCGACCUGCUUCGCUGUCAAUGCAGGAAGGCAAGAUCUUUUGUCUUCAACCAGCUCCAUCACUACCGAGAGAGGCAAGGUUUGUGUCUUCGACCUACUUCGCUGUCAAUGCCGGAAGGCAAGAUCUUUUGUCUUCAACCAGCUCCAUCACAACCGAGAGAGGCAAGGUUUGUGUCUUCGACCUGCUUCGCUGUCAAUACAGGAAGGCAAAAUCUUUUGUCUUCAACCAGCUCCAUCACAACCGAGUGAGGCAAGGUUUGUGUCUUUGACCUGCUUCGCUGUCAAUGUAGGAAGGCAAGAUCUUUUUUCUUCAACCAGCUCCAUCACAACCAAGAGAGGCAAGGUUUGUGUCUUCGAUCUGCUUCGCUGUCAAUGCAGGAAGGCAAGAUCUUUUGUCUUCAACUAGCUCCAUCACAACCGAGAGAGGCAAAGUUUAUGUCUUCGACCUGCUUCGCUGUCAAUGCAAGAAGGCAAGAUUUUUUUGUCUUCAACCAGCUCCACCACAACCGAGAGAGGCAAGGUUUGUGUCUUCGACCUGCUUCGCUGUCAAUGUAGGAAGGCAAGAUCUUUUGUCUUCAACCAGCUCCAUCACAACCGAGAGAGGCAAGGUUUGUGUCUUCGACCUGCUUCGCUGUCAAUGUAGGAAGGCAAGAUCUUUUGUCUUCAACCAGCUCCAUCACAACCAAGAGAGGCAAGGUUUGUGUCUUCGACCUUCACUGAUCUGUUCUCUGGGAAACAUGACCUGUAUAAUGAACCUAAUUAUGCCUAAAGAUUAGGAUGACAUGAUCAGAACGAAUCAAAUGCUCCUAACUAGAUGUGUAUGAAUGCAAAAUGUCAUGAAAAUGAUUCAUUAAUGCUUAGGUUAUCAUCACGCAAAAGCCUAUUAAGGCUUUAUCAUUGACAUGUUACAACGCCUUCUUGCUCGGCUGGCUCAUCCAAAGAAACACUUAAUCUGAUUGCCCCCCAGUGUGAUAUUCAAACUUUAAUCCACUGGGAUGCAAAAUUUGUACCAUCAUUCUCCCACUGUAAUACAAGGGUAGAAAGAUAUGGCUUUUCUCAAUCUUCUCCUAUCGCAAUUCAAGGAUACAGAAUGUGAAGCUCUUUGGUCCUUUACCCCAUUCCCAAGGUUUCAUACCAAAUGCGCAUGCACAAUUGCAAAAUUUUCUUCUCCUAGAAAACCUUUUCUUUUUGCCUGGUAAACAUCGCUUGUUGGUUCAUUGAAGCUUUGCCACCAAUACGACAUCUUGUCAUUUUGCUUAAUCAAUGUUUGGACAACAAAAUCUGAAAGAAUAGUCUUUAACUUAGACCCUUCCUUCUUAGAUAUUUCGCCCUUUAAACUUGGUGUUUUCUAAACAAUAGUCCUGUUUCAGGUUCCUAUAUUAUUUAGAAACUUCUAAAGUAAUAUGCAAAACUUCCAUUGUGAAAGUGUUAUUAGUCCAUUAAUCAUUAUUCUAAUGCAACAUGCUUGUAAAGAGAACAUAACGAUAGAUAAAAUAAAAAUGAUUUGAGAGCAUAGCUCGAAAUGAAUGAAUUAUCAAGGGUAGCAAGAAUAAAAGAGGAAUUGAUUGGAACACGUAUCUUGAAAAAGAAUGAAGUAUUCCCAGAACAACAACAAAUUCAAUAUAUAAAUAGUAUGAAGGUUAGGUGCCCUAGAUAUCGUAGCUUGAACUUCUCUGUACAAACUUUCUGAAGACUUUCCUGAGUUUGACAUGUUUUUAGGAGAUCUACAUGACUCUAUCGAUGCCCCAAGACGUUGCCUUACCCUUUCAAGUAUAGCAAGAUCACCACAUGCCCCGAUCUGAUCACUUCAUGCCCCAUUCUGAUCAAUAUUUGAGCCGCCCUUCAGGUUUUCAACUCAAAUCCCCUUUGGCCUAAGGUGCCCUUUGCUGGGUUUCCCCUUAGCCUCUCCAUUUUUACUUUUUAAUUUUUUUCAUUUUUCAUUUUUUUCAUCAUUUUUUUUGUUUGACUCAAAGUACCCUUUGCAGGUUCUCACCUUGGUCCUUCCUUCUUCGAAGUGUUUCUCAAUUGGAUCCGAGUUUAUAGGAUUGGCAAUCUCACUCAGGAUCAGUGCUCCUCUGAAAAUGGUCUUCUUUACAAUAUAGAGACAUUCCUAGUUUGACAUUCAUUUCCCUUUAGAAUCCUUUCAUUAAGGAAGAAUCUUUUUCAACAUCCAGCCCUCUCGUGGAAUUCUCUGAGACGAGCCUGUUUAUUAUGGGCUUAUAUUAUUUAUUUAUGGUACAUCCGACCUUGAUGAAUAGCUUCUAACCCUUUUCCUAGGAUCAACUGAUCACAUCACGAUAGGAUCCCUCCAACAAGCAACGAGGGGAUUUUAAUAGGUAAAACUACCUCAAUCCUGUAAACCAAAAAGAGAGGUGUUUCCCCAGUACAGAUGUUUGAUAAACAAUGAGGGCAAAUGGUAAUUUCUCAUGCCAGUCCUUGUUCACAUCUAGGUAAUUCGGUGACAAAACAUUGUGUCUGCUUCUGAAUUGAUUUCAGACCUCAGUUAUCGUGCUAUCAUUUAAGUUCAAUGCAUUUUCCAAUACCAUCCUCUCUGAAAUUCUGUAUCGGUAUAGGAUGACCUUGAUCCAUGAAGUAACCUCUCAAAAAAAAUGAAGCAAUGCCAAUUAGAAGUCUUCGAUAAUGGUGAAGUCCAUGCCCCAUUUUGCUUAAAAUUUGAGUCGCCAUUUUUCGGGUUUUCAACUCAGAUCCACCUUUGGUCAAAGUGCCCUUUGCGGGUUUUCGCCUUGACCUCUCCUUUUUCUUUUUCUUUUUUCUUAUUUUCUUAUUUUGACUUUGAUUUUUUUUUGAUUUUUUAAUUUUUUUUGAUUUUUUGAUUUUUUUUUUGAGUCUGAACUUAUGAGAUUAAGCAAGUCCUGGUCAUGCUUUUCGACCAGAAUCAAUGUUAUUCUAAAGUCUUCCAUAUAAGAUCUUCCACUUUCAUCUUGUAUGUGAGAAACCUUCUUUGGUACCAGAUUUCUUUCAUAGAGCCCUUUUGGGACGCAACUACGACAGAAAACUUUAGAUCUUCCUCUUUAAUCAGGAUAAAAUCCAGCAACAUCUUGAAGGGAUGGGAACUUGACUUCAAAUGGGCAAAGCUAUGCUGACUCAACGAGAGAGGCAUUGCCCCGGCAAAGAAUUGCAUCGUUCGUACUGUGAAUUUCUGACAUCAUGCUAUUAUGCAGAUUUUAUUAUAAGAAUCGAGGCAUACCCUGGUAUGAUCAUACAAAGACAUCAUUGAACUCUAGAGGUAACUCAACAAGGUUUUGCUUCGUGUCUGUGGUUAGGUCAAUUCUAGUCUUCACCAAGUUCACAAAUUCUAAUGAUUCCUUGAGAGGUAGGACCUGUUUAGCCUUUUAUUCUACCAUCCUCAACAAGUCCAGAGAUAGGCUACAAUCUAUGUCAUCUUCAAAGGCGUGAGAUCCCUCUAAACACAUGUCUCACUUAAAAGGAGAUUCUAAGUCUGUAGCGGUGUUAUUCAUGUCGUUGAUAUCCAGGGCCCUACUGUAGGUACAAAGAAUGUACAAAGAAUGUAUGAAUUUAAGAAUAAUUAUCUGCACAGUAUGAUUAUGAAUGAAAAAAAUGAUUUUGAUGAAAGAAUAAAAGAAUAAUCGUUCAAGAAAUGAAAGAAUAUUGGUUCAAAAGAUCGCAAAGAUGCAUUCCAUUAAAAUAAUGACGUUCAGACAUGAGCCUAUUUCACAAAAGACUUCUUGUUGCCUCUAGGCUAAAAGCAACAAGUGUGUUUUGAAUAUUACUCUGAGUAAGCUCUAAAUACUACAGGGGUUCCUUUAAACCACUCCCAAGUUUAUAAGGGUGAACAUCUAAUAAGAUCUCUUCUCCGGUUGCUUCUUCGUAUUCGGCACUGAUGUGAAUGUUUCCCAACAUCUCUUCAUUCAUCGUAUUCCUUUCAUUAUCCGUAUGAUUGAGUAGCGGGUUUUCUGUACUGAGUGAAUCCUCAAAUUUGACGAUGCCCAUAUUGAUAAAUCUUUCGACCAGCUUUUUAAAGGCAGUGCAGUUUUUUAUAGAAUGCCCCGUAAUUCCCGCAUGAUAGUCACAUUGCGUAUUUAUGUCAUACCAUUUAGGGUACGGAGGUUGUAAAGGCUUCAAGUAGAAAGGGGAGACAACAUGUGCGUCAAAUAAACUCUGAUACAGCUUCUGGUACGACAUUGGGAUUGAGACUUCUUAAUGCUUUGCUUAGUGCCAGAUUCAUGUCUUGGGGAUAUCUGAUGGCCAGUAACAACCGACCUUUGCUGACCUGCGGUAAUCGACUUUGAAUAACCCUCAUUAUGCCUACCCGUAUUGCUCACCUCAUUUUUCCUCUUCCUCGAGACUUUUGAAGUAUUGUUUUGGGAGUUCCAUUCUUGCCCUUUCUGUUUGUAAUGAUCUUCGAAUUGUUUUGAAAACUCUACCCUUGCCUGUUUUGUUCCCGCUAGAUCAUCAAGGACAGCAGAAUUAGUUAGAUUGCCCCUCAGAUUGGAACCUGAACCUGUCGCGAAAUUCACUGGUGUCGAGGUAUUGGUCUGGAUGUUGACAGUUACCCUUUGUGGAUAUGUGUUUGGUUGUGCUUGGAUGUCGGUUGGAGUAAAGUCUGGAAGAUAUGCAGGAACUUCAUUAUCAUUCCCAAAGUGGACCACUAGGUUUUUUCCUUUUUCCAACCUCAUAUCCAAUAACUGGGUUAACUGGCUCAUCAGAUUUCUCUGGACUUCUAGCAUUUGAUCCUUCACAUCUUGUUGAAAUUUGGCCAAUUGCUCUAGCAUCUGUAUCUGCAUUCGCUCUAAUCUCUCCAACCUUUGGUCCAGUCCUUAGUUUCUAUUCGGGUACAGCAAAAAUGUUGGUUUUCCAAACUUUCUGAAAUAAUUUUACCUAAUUAGGGUCACUUUAUGAAAAACUAAUGCAUAUGAUGCAAUGUAAUGCAAAUGCAUGAAAUGAAUGCCUAAAGAGACGUUGAUUCUGAUUCAAUCACAUUUAGGAAACUUUUCUGGAAAGCAAAUUCCCUUACACAAAACGGAUACAUGUACGACCUCACCCUCAUAUUCCAAGAAACAACAUCGGUCUUUUUCUUCAUCUGCAUGCUUGAGGUAAUCUCGCCAAUAGAUGCCAUUGCUAGCUCCUUCUCUUGAUCUUGGUUGUAAUCCAUCACCUGCCUGUCCUCAUAAGGCUCGUCCGCCUCUUUAAGGGGUUGGAAUGUUCAAGGCUCUUAGACAAUUGCCUUGAAUCCUCAGGCCACGAAGCAGGGUCACGAACUCUUCCAUCGCCCUUCUUGUGUUUCUCGGAAUAUAUUUGGGAAGUCGUAUUGUUUUCCACUUUAUCAAGGAAUCCGUAUUCCAUGACAAGCUUUCUAAUUUAGUAAUCGAACUUAAAUCAAUAUCUCUUUCCUAAGAUGCAGAUGCGAUGCAAUCAUAAUCAAAGCACAAUAAAAAGGGUUAGUACAAAAACAAACAAGGAAAACAGAAAGUAUGUAAUCGGGUGACUACUAGGGGUUUGGAGUGGCUCUAUCUAGGUUAAGUUCCUAAGUCCACUACAUGAGGUUUAGUUCUAAAGUAAGGGUACCCAAACCAGCAGAUUCCUCGAUCCUCACCCAUUAUAGGCUCAUACGGACCAAGUUCGGUUCAGGGGAAUACAUUUCCCUAUGGCUGCACGGAGAUGAAAAUCUCACGAAGACAUAGGUACGGAUGUAUCCCAAAAGCGAUCCACUAUCCUGCAUGGAGGUGAAAACCUCACGAAGGAGUAGCUUCUCACUCCCACUUAAAAGGUGUGACGAGCGGUCAUGCAAUGCAAUGCAUAAAGAUAUAAAAAUUUAAACAAAUAGAGCAAUUAUAAACCACAAUAAUGAAAAUUAUAAUGAAGAAUGAUAUGCAAUGAAAGGAUCAUAAAUUUAAACCAAAUUUUCAAUUUUCGACAAAAAAGACAAAAAAUAAUCAACUCGUGGCUCGACUCACUUAUUUAAAGUCCCCAGUGGAGUCGCCAAGCUGUUGACACUAUUUUUUGAUGGAAAACGGGGUCGACUUAGGUUUUGAAAAAUGAAACGGGAGUCGCCACCAAUCCUUUUUUUAUGAGGUGUGAUUGGAUCACCUCGAAAAGGGGUUAUUUUUAAUAAACAAUUUGAUUUUAUUAAAAUAACAAGUUUGGUCCACGAAAUUCAGAAAAAUGGGUUCGGGAGUCGGUUACGCACGAGGAAGGAUUAGCACCCUCGAUACGCCCAAAAUUGGUACCUAGUUGAUUACUUAAUGUCUUAGUGUCGAAGAGUGAAAACUUUGAAGAAUUUAAAAAUACGAUCCUUGUAUUAAAAAGUUGAAAAUUUUGGGCAAAGAGGGCACAUUCCACGUUAAUCGAGAAAGAAAGUAUCAUAUUCAGUAAGUUAGGACACAAUGUCUCGAAUUCCCGAUACGCGAAUAAAAAUGGUUGUUCAAAAGAUUAUUUAACUAUUUUUGGAUAAAAAAGGGAUCACGACCAGUAAGUUAGGACACGAUCCUUUUUUAAUUCCCGAUAUCGUUUAAAACUUGAGUUUGAAAAGAUUCGUGUAAUAAAGUUUAAAAGAAUAUUCAAUUGUUUAAAUCAAAUGAAGAAAUCGCAACCCAAUACGUUAGGGCACAAUUUAUCAAAAUAUUAAACAUUGAAUAUUACAUUUAUUUCGAAAAAUCCUCGUUUCGAGAAAACAACAUGUCACAUCCAAUGCGUUAGGACACAAUAUAUUGAAUUCUCGAUAACGAACUUUUUAUCAUUUUUAAAAGAGUAAUCUCGAUUAUUUUGAUUCAACAAAGAAAAUCGGAACCCAAUACGUUAGGGCUCGAUUCUCUCAAAGAUCUCAAAUAUCGAGUGUUAUUAUUAUUUUACAUUCAUUUUUUACUCGGAUUUAUCCAAAAAUGGAAAAUUUCAAAAUAAUAAUAACACUCGAUAUUUGAGAUCUUUGAGAGAAUCGAGCCCUAACGUAUUGGGUUCCAAUUUUCUUUGUUGAAUCAAAAUAAUCGAGAUUACUCUUUUAAAAAUGAUAAAAAGUUCGUUAUCGAGAAUUCAAUAUAUUGUGUCCUAACGCAUUGGAUGUGACAUGUUGUUUUCUCGAAACGAGGAUUUUUCGAAAUAAAUGUAAUAUUCAAUGUUUAAUAUUUUGAUAAAUUGUGCCCUAACGUAUUGGGUUGCGAUUUCUUCAUUUGAUUUAAACAAUUGAAUAUUCUUUUAAACUUUAUUACACGAAUCUUUUCAAACUCAAGUUUUAAACGAUAUCGGGAAUUAAAAAAGGAUCGUGUCCUAACUUACUGGUCGUGAUCCCUUUUUUAUCCAAAAAUACUUAAAUAAUCUUUUGAACAACCAUUUUUAUUCGCGUAUCGGGAAUUCGAGACAUUGUGUCCUAACUUACUGGAUAUGAUACUUUCUUUCUCGAUUAACGUGGAAUGUGCCCUCUUUUCCCAAAAUUUUCAACUUUUUAAUACAAGGAUCGUAUUUUUAAAUUCGGCAAAGUUUUCACUCUUCGACACUAAGACAUUAAGUAAUCAACUAGGUACCAAUUUUGGGCGUAUCGAGGGUGCUAAUCCUUCCUCGUGCGUAACCGACUCUCGAACCCAUUUUUCUGAAUUUAGUGGACCAAACUUGUUGUUUUAAUAAAAUCAAACCGUUUAUUAAAAACAAUCCCUUUUCGAGGUGAUCCAAUCACACCUCAUAAAAAAAAGGAUUGGUGGCGACUCCCGUUUCAUUUUUCAAAACCCAAGUCGACCCCGUUUUCCAUCAAAAAAUGGUGUCAACAGACAUAAUAAUAAAUUUAACCAUUCAAUAUCUACAAAUUCUAUUAAUUUGGUUCUAAUUCUAAAAUAUAAAUUUAGCUUUUAACUUUAUCCAUUAUGUCAAUUUAGUCUUGAUUCUUAAAAUUUUAAAAUAAAAAUUUAAAAAUUUUUAUCAAUAAAAAUACAUACAAAAUUUUAAAAUGCACAAAAAAUAUAAUUUUUUUAAAGGUGAAUACUCAAUUUCUCUUUAAAGGAAAACACAAAUAAAAAUUAGAUCUAAUUUAUCAUUUGUUUUUGUUGAAAAUGUGGUAAAUCUUACGGAUUUUCUUUGUUGUAAGGGUGAAAAGAAAAUGUAGGGUUUAGUCUAAAUCACUCAAUAAUAACUAACGUGAUCAAAAUUUAGUGUGUAACAAUUUUCUCAGCUACCAGACACUGUAGGCCCCGUUUUCUUCCAUUCUUCAUCAUCAUUUUCUCAGCUACCAGACACUGAAGACUACACGGGCGUGUGACCUUGAACCUAGGAAAAAUUUUAAAAUUUUGUGAAAAAUUCUUUGAGUUCUCGAUUUGGGCCACGAGGGCCCACAGAAGGGACGAUGUGGUUAAAUUAUAAUUAAUUUCUGAUACGAUUGUAAAAUAACGUGAAAUAUCUGAAUAUGAUCUGUAAAUUUUGGUAAUGCUCCUAAACCCUGUUCUGGCGACGAAUACAGGUUAGGGGUGUUACAUUAUCACCUUUCGAUUAUUUAACGUAAUAAUUCAAAGGAUUCCUUAAAACUAAAAUUGACUAACUAAAAUAACUAACGAAUGUGCCAAAUAGCAAAACACGAAAAUAAUCUAAUAUCAUCUGAUUUACUAAACGAUACCCACGUAAGAAUCCACUUAGAAUUCAUCUAAAAUUCUCAAUUUAAUUUCUGCAAUUUAUUUCCUUAGUUUCCUUGAUCCGUAGAAAUACCUAACUUAUGCUAAUAUCUCUUUCAAGCAUAAAAGCAACUAACUCUAGGUUGAUUAAUUAAAAUUCCCUUCUAAUAAAAACCCUUAUUAUCGCAUUAAUUCACUCUAUGGAUUCUCUUAUUAGAUUUGACUCUAAUUUGGUAGAUUUGUGUCAUCCUAUUUCUAGGAUUAUAUGCAACUCCAUUCGAUUAUGCAAGAUCUAAUCACAAGAAGGGUCUAUUCAACCUCAAACUCAUGCCCAUCAAACAUGGAUUAAGACCCUAGAAAUAUUAACCCAAGAACAAAUUUAGAAUUCAUAAUUGAAAAUAAAGAAGCUAAGAUUUUAUUGCAUAAAACUAUAAAUCAAAUAAUAUAAUCCAUCGUAUGGUUCAUCUCCCUUAGGUAUUUAGAAAAUUAGUUCAUACUUGCAAGAAUAAAAAUCGACAUUAAAAUAAAAGAAACCUAUGAUAACUUCCCCAGAAAUCAAUUUGGAAUCUUUAAUCUUGAUGGAGAACUACUUUGAAAUCAACUUCAAUGGUGUUCUUUUGGGUAAUUUUCGCUUUAAACCAAGACGGAUGUUGUUUUCCCUUUUUUAUUUCCUUAUAUAUGCCUUCUUAAAGUGCCAAAAACUUAAAAAUUGAAACUUCUCACUGUCAUUGUACACGGUUUCCGAAAGUUACACACCCUUGCCACACACUCUUGUGGUUCAUAUAGCCUUGUGGUCUGGCCGUGUGAAAAUCUGUUACCCGUGUACAACUUCCAGACUGCUUCAAUGUUAUGAUUUUCACUUGUUUUUCACUCUAUUUGUUCCCAAGUACUCCAUUAAGCUUCAAAACAUGAAUUUAAAGGAUUAUAGGUAUAUAAUUCACAAUUAACACCACUUAAUUACCCAAAAUGCACUAAGAAUGAGGCUAGAAUAUGUUACUUUUGACACUUAUCAAAUAUCCCCAUACUUAAGCAUUUGUUUGUCCUCAAGCAUAGUUCUCUACUCACAUUCGAAUUUCCUUCACCCAUUAUUUUCACUAAUCAUGGCUUAGGAUAAUCUAUAUAUAAUUUGAAAAUUAAACUAAAAUGACAGUAAAGAGCAUAAGCAAUCCAAGCAAAAAUUUUAAUUUCAAAACAUAGGAUUCUCCCCUACCUUAUAAUAACCUGAAAUUCAAACCCAAUCAGAUUUAACAUCCUUACUAAGAUUCACUCAAAACACUCAAAGUAUUUAAAGGUUAAUUAAUAUGCACUCAAUAGUCAAACAAGGAAUGUUAUUACCAUAAGCUUGCUUAAGAAUCAAAUCUCCACCACUACAAAUAUGAGAUGACACGGAGAUCAAGAGGUUUUUACAAGAGUUGUAACGGGGUUUAGGUUAAGGGUACAGAAGGUAUAAAAGGUGAAUAUAGUCAAGAGUUGAAAUGAUGAGUUACCAAACUAAAAGAGUAGGAUUUUGAAUUGCAAAAAAUUUAACAUUAAAGUGAAACAAAGAAUUGAAGUGAGCUUUUAUAUAUGAUGAUGAUGAUGAUUUAAGCUCAAAAAAAAAAGAAAAAAAAGAAAAAAGAUAAUGAUGCUUAUAACAUGAAUAUUGACCUCUCAAUUGAACAAGAUAGCCUGAAGAAUUUUUAAGAAUGAUCGAACAUAUCUAGGAAACUUACCAAAAAUCUAAUCUCAACUAAAGGAAAGCAAUAAAAAAAGUAAUUCACAAAAUUAAUGGGGUUUAAGGGUUAAAAUGGAAGGGAUGAUAAACAAACAAAAAGGGACUAGGCUCAAAGGGGUUUAUUAGUGGGCAAUGAAAUGGGUAGGCUAUUUAAAUGUUAAAUGGUUUAAUGGUUAAAAUGGAAGGGAUGAUAAACAAACAAAAAGGGAUUAGGCUCAAAAGGGUUUAUUAGUGGGCAAUGAAAUGGGUAGGCUAUUUAAAUGUUAAAUGGUUUAAAUCCUAAGUGUCUCUAUCAUCUCAAUAUAUCAAAUUAUUAUAUUUGAGAAUUUGCCACAAAUGUUGGACCUCAGUAACAUUUGUAAUCAAUCCCAUACAAGUGCGCACAAGACCCUAUUGACACGCCAAUUGUAUCUUAACAUUUACUAAGUUCACACGAGCAUUUCUUACACAUAUAAAUAUUUCUUUUCAAUUUAAUCCAAUUCUAACCUUUAGAACCAAUUCACAAUCAAUUGAUCCACAAUCACACACUUAUAUAUAAAUCAAAUCAAUUAAUUAUUUUAAAUAUAAUUAUUUUUAGUAAAAAUAAAUUUUAUAUGUGGAAUAUUUAUUUUUUUUCCAUCCAUAUCAUUGGUGUGACAAAUUUUAGUAUUAUAUAUUUUUAUGUGUAUUUUAGAUAAUUAUUUAAAAUAUUUUACAUAUAAAAACAAUGAUAUUUGAAAUAAUUAUUUUUAUAAUAUUAGAAUUUACAUACUUACAAUAUAGGUGAAAAUAAAUUGAUAUUUGUAAUAGUUAUUUAAAAUAUUUCACAUAUAUUUGAAAUAAAAUUUUGAAAUAAUUUACAUAUAAAAUCAAUAGUGAUAUUUGAAAUAAUUAUUUGAUUUUAUAAUAUUAGAAUCUACAAUAUCCACAAUGUAGGUGGAAAAAAAUAUUUCACAUAUAAAAAAUUAUAUUUAUUAUUUACUAGAAAUAAUGAUAUUUGAAAUGAUUAAUUGAUUUUUUUAUAGUAGAAUUUAUCAUACUUACAAUGUAUAUAAAAAAAAUAAAUAUUUGAUAUAUAAAAAUUAUAUAUAAAAAAUUAGUUGAUGUUUUUAAAAAAUAAAAAAUAUAUAACAUAAUGAUACACAUGAAUAUAUUUUCACUAUAUCCACAAUGCAAGUGAAAAAAAAUAAUGAUAUUUGAAAUAAUUAUUUUUAUAAUAUUAGAAUUUAUGUUACCCACAAUGUAUGUAAAAACAAUUUUUUUGACAUAAAAAUUUAUUUAUAAAGAAAAAUAUAUCAAAAUAUUAGUUGAUGUUUUUAAAAAUACAUAUAAGUUUAACAUAAUGAUACAUAUGACUAUAUAUUCAUCAUAUCCAUAAUGUAAGUGAAAAAAUAAUAAGAUUUGAAAUAAUUAAUUUUAUAUAUUAGAAUUUACGAUACCCACAAUGUACGUAAAAAAAAUAUUUGACAUAAAAAAUAUAUAAAUAAAAAUAUAUCAAAAAAAUUAGUUGUUGUUUUUAAAAAAUAAAAUAUAUUUAACAUAAUUAUAUAUAAAUUAUUUUCAUUAUAUAAUUACAUAUUUAUUAUUUUGUGCAUAUAAAUAAAGAAGUGAUUAAUUAAAAUAAAAAUAAAAAAUUAAUUGAAGACUUGAAAAUAGCAUGAUUAUUAAUUAAAAAAUAAGAAAAAAAAGCUUGAAGAAACAUUCAUUAGAAAAAAAACAAAUAAUAUGGGGGGGGAUUCGGAUAUGGGACUUAAGGGUAGAAAAUGCAAGAAAAAUAAUGAGGUCCUUGGAAGUAAUAAAUAUUAAUAUUUUGAUAUUUUUAUAAAAAAAUUAUAAACUAUAUAAGCAUAAUAGGAUUUGAAUUUAAGUUACUAUGACUUCAACAAUCUUAUUCUUGUUAUCAGAACAUUAUUUAUUUCUUUUUAUAAACAUUUACAUAUAUAUUUUUUUGAUCUAACAAACAGGGAAGGCAUUUGGUAAAUUUCUGGAUUUGCAGUAUUUUUUCUUCAAGCUAAUUAAUUCAAUUUUGUAUGGUGUUAUCCAGGAAGAAAUAGAUCAACAAAAAUGGGAGCUGAGGAGCCUGAAGAGAACAUCACUCACAUGGAUGCUUGGCUUUAUAAGGCAGCAGCAGAAGGCAACAUUGAAGUAUUCAAUAAUAACCAGCGGCUUCAAUUGAGUCGCUAAAGACCCCCGCACAAUACGUAUUCUCCCUGAUAGAUUUUGUAUCACACGAUUCGGGUUUCAAUAUUUUCAUAACUGUGAUAAGAAGAGACAAAAUAUCUGAUUUUAUCAGACAAAUUCUCAGCAAAUGUCCGUCACUGCUACUCCAGACGAAUGCUAAAGGUCAAACUCCUUUUCACGUUGCAGCAAGGUAUGGAAAUUCUACUAUUGUGAAACUUCUAAUCAAGUCUUGUGCAAAAGCUAGAGAUGGAGAUUUAGAGAAGCUGGGAAUGGAUCAAGUAAAUGCAGUGGGGGAGAUGCUGAGGAUUACGGAUCAGGAAUCCAACACGGCUUUACACGAAGCAGCACGGCGUGACAAUGUUGAAGUGGUGAAAGCAUUGUUGGAGUUUAAAGACCCUGAUUUUCCGUAUUCCACCAACAAAAAACAGGAGACUGCACUUUACAAUGUUGAAGUGGUGAAAGCAAUGCUGCACACUUGGGUUCUAGAUUAUCAGUUGUGGAAGAAGUGUUAAAAAGGGAUGUAUCAGCUGCCUAUAGAGGUGAUAAAAAGAGGGGGAUGACACCCCUUUGUUAACAUUAAUGGGAGACAACAUUAAUGGCAAACAAUACAAAGUGGUGCAAGUUUAGCACCCUAAAGUUGACUUUGAAAAAGUGGCAUGGGAUAAUUUUUUUUGGUCCUUGAGAUAAUGCGCUAUUUAUUGUUUGGUCCUUGAACCUCAACUAUAAAUAGGCCUUCUCAUUUCUCAUUUCAAUUCAUCCCAACCAAUCUUUCUCUCUUAGUUUUCUCUCUUCUCCCAUUUGAGAAUUCUUAAGGAAUUCUAUUUGUUUGUAAUACUUUGGAGAUAGUAAAGUUAUCAUCUGGUGUUAGUGCCUGAGGACGUAGGUAUAAUUUACCGAACCUCGUUAAAACUCUUGUGUUCUUUCUUGUCCUAUUUUUCUUUCAAUAUUUGAGGGUAUAAUAGUAGUAUUUAAUUGUGCUAUUAAAUUACUAUAAAAGGGAUAUUCUGACUAAGGAAAGACUUGGUAUUUAAGAGAUCCUUGUGAUCCACCUCUCUUCCCUGGGAAUUGAACUUUGUGUGAUUUUUUAGUACAAUAAUUUACACGCUUCCGACCCUAUUGGAACAACAAGUGGUAUCAAGAGCCGAAGGUUAAUCGUAGUAUGCUCUGUGGUUGCAGUUUAAACUGAUCUUCCACAUCAGAAAAGAUUUCCUUAGGUAUAUUGAAAGAUUAUGGAGAAAACGGUCGGUGUAGGAGCUUCAACAUCGUCCAUGUGGACAAGACCGACAAUUGCAAAUGCAAGAUUGGCCGUGGAGAUCUUUGAAGGCACGGGCCAUUUUGGUAUGGGGCAAAGUGAGGUUUUAGAUGCCCUUUUUCAGCAGGGUCUAGACAUUGCCAUUGAUGAAGAGAAACCAGAUGAUGUACAGGAGAAAGAUUGGAAGGCGAUCAGUCGGUUGGCAUGUGGCACAAUUCGAUCAUGCCUUUCUCGAGAGCAGAGGUAUGCUUUUUCAAAGGAGACUUCUGCAAAUAAGUUGUGGGUGGCACUUGAAGAAAAUUUUUUGAAGAAAAACAGUCAAAAUAAGCUCCACUUGAAGAAAAGACUGUUUCGCUUCACAUACGUCCCAAGUACCACAAUGAAUGAUCACAUCACCAAAUUUAAUCAGUUAGUCACUGAUUUGCUGAAUAUGGAUGAGACAUUCAAAGAUGAAGAUUUGGCUUUGAUGCUGUUGGGGUCACUUCCUGAGGAGUUUGAGUUCCUAGAAACUACUCUACUUCAUGGCAGGAGUGAUAUAUCUCCGAGCGAAGUCUGUGCGGCCUUAUACAGUUAUGAACAGAGAAAGAAGGACAAACAGAAAAACUCAAUCAGAGAUACAGAAGCUUUAGUAGUCCGAGGUCGUUCAUACACUCGGAAGAAAACUCAAAAGGGGAGAUCAAAGUCAAAGUCCAAACUCGGGAAAGAUGAAUGUGCUUUUUAUCAUGAGAAAGGCCAUUGGAAGAAAAAUUGUCCAAAGCUGAAGAAUAAGGGAAAAGCUGCUGUAGAUGCUUGUGUUGCUAAGCAUGAUACUAGUGACUCUGAACUAUCACUGGUUGCAUCAUCAUCGUCGUUCCAUUCAGAUGAGUGGAUAUUGUAUUCGGGUUGUACCUAUCAUAUGUCCCCUAACCGGGAGUGGUUCUCUGAUUUAGUAGAACUAAAUGGAGAGUUGUUUAUAUGGGCAAUGACAAUGCCUGUAAAACUGUUAGGAUAGGUUCAAUCCAAUUAAAGAAUAAAGAUGGAUCAACCAGAGUUCUGACUGAUGUUCGGUACGUGCCCAGUUUGAAGAAAAAUCUCAUCUCAUUGGGAGCCUUGGAAUCCAAUGGUUCAGUUGUUACUAUGAGAGAUGGGGUUUUGAAAGUGACAUAUGGCGCACUUGUGAUAUUGAAGGGCAUCAGGAAAAAUAACUUGUAUUACUACCAAGGUAGUACAGUUAUUGGAGCAGUCGCUGCAGCUUCCGGCAACAAAGAAUUGGACUCAAUACAGUUGUGGCAUAUGAAGUUGGGACAUGCCAGCGAAAAAUCCUUGCAAAUUCUGGCAAAGCAAGGAUUGUUGAAAGGUGCAAAGGCUUGCAAAUUAAAAUUUUGCGAGCAUUGUGUUCUGGGAAAGCAAAAGAGAGUGAAAUUCGGCACUGCUAUCCAUAAUACAAAAAGUAUUUUAGAAUAUGUUCACUCAGAUGUGUGGGGGCAUUCCAAGACACCUUCAUUGGGAGGAAAACACUACUUUGUUACUUUUGUUGAUGACUUUUCCAGAAGAGUUUGGGUGUAUACCAUGAGAACUAAGGAUGAAGUGCUUAGAGUUUUUCUUAAAUGGAAAACUAUGAUCGAAAACCAGACUGGCAAGAAAAUCAAGCGGCUUAGGACGGACAAUGGAGGGGAAUAUAAAAGUGAUCCAUUCUUCGAUGUGUGCCAAGAGUAUGGUAUUGUUCGACACUUCACAGUUAGGGAUACACCACAGCAGAAUGGAUUGGCAGAGCGUAUGAAUCGAACAUUGCUAGAGAAAGUUUGAUGUAAGUUGUCCAAUGCUGGGUUGGGCAAGCAAUUUUGGGCUGAGGCUGUGACAUACGCUGGCCAUCUUGUUAAUCGUUUGCCAUCAUCUGCAUUAGAAAGAAAAACUCCUAUGGAGGUAUGGUCUGGAAAACCGGCUACAGAUUAUGAUUCCUUACAUGUGUUUGGAUCCACUGCAUAUUACCAUGUGAAGGAGUCAAAGUUAGAUCCGAGGGCAAAGAAAGCUCUUUUUAUAGGAAUCAUUUCUGGAGUGAAGGGAUUUCGUCUUUGGUGCUUAAGCACAAAGAAAAUGAUCUGUAGCAGAGAUGUUACCUUUGAUGAAUCUGCCACAUUGAAAAAGGUAGCAGAUAAAAAUAUUCAGACGAGCAAUACUCCACAGCAAGUGGAGUGUACUCCAAAAUAGGUGGAGUUUGAGCAGAUGGGGAUUUGCCCAGUUAAUAAGUCUAAUUCUCUAGCCACAAUGGAGGAAUUAGAGGUUGAAGAGGUUCUGACCCAAGAACCACUAAGUACACCAGAACCAGUUGCAGUUGCAAGGCCACGGAGAGAAAUUCGUAAACCUGCUCGAUUUAUUGAUAUGGUGGCCUACGCCCUUCCCGUUGUUGAUGAUAUUCCUAUCACUUAUCAAGAAGCAAUGCAAAGCUUAGAAAGUGAUAAAUGGAAAAGCGCCAUGGAUGAAGAAAUGCAGUCUCUCCGGAAGAACAAUACUUGGGAGUUGGCGCAAUUACCGAAAGGUAAAAGGGCAAUCGGAUGCAAGUGGGUAUUCACAAAGAAAGAUGGAUCUCCUAGCAAGAAGGAUAUUCGCUACAAGGCAAGAUUGGUAGCUAAAGGCUACGCUCAGAAGGAGGGAAUUGACUACAAUGAUGUAUUUUCCCCUGUUGUGAAGCAUUCCUCCAUUAGAAUUUUGUUGGCCUUGGUAGCACAGUUGAAUUUGGAGCUAGCUCAACUUGAUGUUAAGACGGCUUUCUUGCAUGGUGAGUUAGAAGAGGAGAUCUAUAUGACUCAGCCCGAAGGAUACACAGAUGCUGGUGGUAGAAAUUGGGUUUGUAAGCUUAACAAAUCGCUAUAUGGAUUGAAGCAAUCCCCGAGGCAGUGGUACAAGCGAUUCGAUAGCUUUAUGAGAAGGCAGAAGUACACAAGAAGCAAAUAUGACAAUUGUGUAUAUUUGCAGAAGCUGCAUGACGGAUCUUUCAUUUAUCUACUCUUGUAUGUUGAUGAUAUGUUAAUCGCUUCGAAGAGCCAAAAUGAGAUAGAUAAGCUGAAGGCUCAGUUGAAUCAAGAGUUCGAGAUGAAAGAUCUAGGUGAGGCCAAGAAGAUUCUCGGCAUGGAGAUAAGUAGAGAUAGACCGAAAGGCAAGCUCUGUUUAAAUCAGAAGCAAUAUCUGAAAAAGGUAUUACAAUGUUUUGGUGUAAAUGAAAACACAAAACAUGUAAGUACCCCACUUGCUUCUCAUUUGAAACUUAGUGCUCAAUUAUCUCCGAAGACUGAAGAUGAAAGAGAAUAUAUGGCGAAAGUCCCAUAUGCUAAUGCAGUUGGGAGUUUGAUGUAUGCGAUGGUGUGUACGAGGCCUGACAUUUCACAAGCUGUUGGAGUUGUGAGCAGGUAUAUGCAUGAUCCUGGAAAAGGACAUUGGCAAGCUGUGAAAUGGAUUCUACGGUAUCUUCGAAAAACUGUAGAAGUUGGUUUAAUUUUUGAACAGGAUGAAGCACUUGGUCAGUUUGUAGUUGGAUAUGUUGAUUCCGACUUUGCUGGUGAUUUAGAUAAAAAUUGUUCAACUACGGGGUAUCUGUUUACUCUUGCGAAAGCCCCAGUGAGUUGGAAGUCUACCUUACAGUCUACAGUAGCUGUGUCUACUACAGAGGCAGAAUAUAUGGCAGUUACUGAAGCUAUUAAGGAGGCUAUUUGGCUUAAUGGAUUGUUGAAAGACUUAGGAGUUGUUCAAAGUCACAUAAGUUUAUAUUGUGACAGUCAGAGCGCUAUUCAUUUAGCGAAAAAUCAAGUCUAUCAUUCAAGAACCAAGCAUAUCGACGUAAGAUAUCACUUUGUGCGGGAAGUCUUUGAAAAAGGAAAAAUUCUACUUCAGAAGAUUCCGACAGCAGAUAAUCCCGCAGAUAUGAUGACCAAUGUGGUAACAACAAUCAAGUUUAAUCAUUGUUUGAACUUGAUUAACAUCCUGAGAAUUUGAGCACCUUCAGGUGUAUGGCGCUCGAGAGCGCAUUUGUAGGCACUACAAAAGAUAGCUUUAUCGAAUUUGAGGAGUUGAAGGAAGUGUGUGAAGAUGUGAUUAUCCUAAUCAAAUCUUCAAGGUGGAGAUUGUUAACAUUAAUGGGAGACAAUAUUAAUGGCAAACAAUACAAAGUGGUGCAAGUUUAGCACCCUAAAGUUGACUUUGAAAAAGUGGCAUGGGAUAAUUUUUUUUGGUCCUUGAGAUAAUGGGCUAUUUAUUGUUUGGUCCUUGAACCUCAACUAUAAAUAGGCCUUCUCAUUUCUCAUUUCAAUUCAUCCCAACCAAUCUUUCUCUCUUAGUUUUCUCUCUUCUCCCAUUUGAGAAUUCUUAAGGAAUUCUAUUUGUUUGUAAUACUUUGGAGAUAGUAAAGUUAUCAUCUGGUGUUAGUGCCCGAGGACGUAGGUAUAAUUUACCGAACCUCGUUAAAACUCUUGUGUUCUUUCUUGUCCUAUUUUUCUUUCAAUAUUUGAGGGUAUAAUAGUAGUAUUUAAUUGUGCUAUUAAAUUACUAUAAAAGGGAUAUUCUGACUAAGGAAAGACUUGGUAUUUAAGAGAUCCUUGUGAUCCACCUCUCUUCCCUGGGAAUUGAACUUUGUGUGAUUUUUUAGUACAAUAAUUUACACGCUUCCGACCCUAUUGGAACAACACCCUUCUUAUGGCAGCCAGGCAAAGCUAUCUUGGAACAGUUUUAAAGAUUCUCUCUUUAUGUCCAGAUUGUUGUGAAAAAGUGGACAACAAAGGUUUGAAUUUACUUCAUUACCUGGUUUUUAGAGGUGCUUUCUCUCCGUUAAGAGUUUCUCUUUUCGAGCUUGGUGUCAUUGAGACUGUAUAUGGAUCAUUCAGAAAUCUAAGGGAGUUGGAAGGUGCCUUUGAAAUGACACCUCAAGAAGUUUAUUAUGCACUUCGAUCUAAGAAACAACAUCAGAAACAGGUGUGUGUGUAUAUAUUGUAUUUCCAUGGCUAUGGUUUUAUUAAUAUUUAAGUUUUGAAUUAACAUAUUUAAUAAAUCUUCAAUACAAUCAGCUAAUGUGGGUGGCAUGGCAGAAGCAAAUCAAUGAUUUGUUGGAAGAAAUUGAGACUGAUCAAGUGGCGGAAGACCCAGUUCGACUCAAUCUCUUGCCUACUAUCUCUGCAGAAAGCUUGGAGAAGACAAGAGAUGCUCAUUUAGUAGUGGCAACACUUAUAGCCACCAUCGCAUUUACAGCGGUAAUAACUGUUCCCGGUGGUUUGAAUAGCGAAAAAAGGGUCAGAGCAAGGCGCUCCCCUUUUGAUUGAUGAGGCAGCCUUUAAAGCAUUUGUUGUAACAAAUGCAUUGGCCUUUAUUCUCUCUAUUUCUGCCAUCUUCAUCCACUCCGGGGUUCUGGGUAAUAUGUUAUCAGGAUUUAAGUUUGGGCAUCGGAUAGUUUUAUAUCGAACUUUGUCUGUUUCUGGGAUCCUUUUCUAUGCAACGUUUGCAAUGUUGAUUGCUUUCAGCACAGGUAGUUAUGUAGUCUUAAAACCUUCCCACGGACUUGCCAUUGUUUCAUAUCUCAUCUACCCUGCCUUUUUUGUCUUUAUGUUGCUAAUUUUGAAUCUUACAUCAUAUAUGUAACAUAUAAAUAUGAUAAUAUUACUUGAUCAUGGAUUACUAUUCUUCCAAUUCCUAGUGUCAAUGUUAUCUCUUUGAAGAAAUAUUACUUAAUUUUUUUUUUGAGAUAUAUCUAACUCAUAAGUAUUAACAAUCUCCAUUUAAUUGAAAUCAAUGUUAUUAGUUGAUAAAUACACAUUUUCAAAGAAAAUUAAAAAAAUUCAUAAUUUAUGUAAAGUAAAAUUUAUUAAAUAUAAAAAAAUAAUAAAUAUGUUGCAACUAAUUGUCCGUUAUAAUUAAAAAUUAGUUUAAUAAAUAUGAAAAUUUUUAAGUUCACCACCAAAUUUUGUUGGCUAGGUGUAUUCAAACACCUAUAAAAUCACUCUUUAAAAAGAAAAUUUUGAUUUAAAAAAAAUAAUUUUGGGUACGAUAGAAAUUCAGAAAAUAAAUAUUUAAGUUCAAGAGUUGAUCACGUGAAAAGAAGAUUUUAGCACCCAUGCCUAAAAUUGAUAGCUUGUUAAAUAUGUUCGUAAAUUAAAAUUGAUAUCUCGGUAUUCAAUUAAAAUCCAAAAUUUUGAUAAAUUAAAAAUAAAAAUAUGAAAGAUGUCCAGAUUGUUGUGAAAAAUUGGAAAAAAGAGGUUUGAAUUUACUUCAUUAUUUGGCUUUUAGAGACCGUUCCUACAAUUAAGUCAUUCUCUUUUCAUGACUGGUGGUACUAUGACUGCAUAUGGAUCAAUAAGAAAUCUAAUGAAGUUGAAAGGUGACUUUGGAUUUACAGCAGCAAUAACUCUACCUGGUGGUUUGAAUAGUGAAAAAGGAUCAGAGCAGGGCAAUCCUUUUCUGAUUGAUGAGGCAGCCUUCAACAAAUGCAUUGGCCUUUAUUCUCUGUUUCUGCCCUCUCCAUCCAGUUUGGGAUUCUGGAUCUUCUUUUAUGUUUCUAAUCUCCUUGAUUGUGCAAUGGUUGUGAUGGUGAUUGCUUUUAGCACAAGUUGUUAUGUGGUUUUAAAACCUUUCCAUAGACUUCGUACCGAUUCAUGUUUCAUUUGCCCUGCCUUCUUUGUUUAUUAUUACAUACAACAAUACCUAGCUCUCGUGAAGAUGUUGUACUAAAAAGUACUCAUAUUGUGUGAAAGACAAUAAAACGAAGAGCUCAUGGAGGCCCUCGUGAUAGAACAACUUUGCAUGCAGCAGUUAUGGCUGUAGAUGCCAGGCAAUUACAUAUGCAAAUAUAUUUAUUAACAACUUCAUUCCCCCCCCCCCCAAAUAUCUCUGUAUUAAACCGAAAGUCCAUGUGAUUCCAACUGUUAAGCACCAUGGGAAGUGUCGAAAUAUAUAGGAAGUAAUAAGAAUUUUAUACAUAAUAAUAAAUUUAACUAAUUUGACCUUUUUCAUAAUUAAAUUUAGCCUUUAACUUUUUAAAAAGAAUUAAAUUUGAUUAUUUACUUUCAAAAACUAUUUAAUUAUCGUUUUUACACUAAAAUAUUAAAAUUUUAAAUAUAGUAGUUCGCGUGAAAGUUGGCAUGAACUUCAUGUUAACUUUUUCAACUUUUAAAUUUUUUAUAAUUUUUAAAUUAUUUCUUGACGUGCCAGAUAAAUAGUGUUAUCCCACCGUUUACGAGUUUUUCCAUUCCUAUGAUAAAAAGAGAAACGAGAUCAGAUUUUAUGUAACAAAUUCUCAGCAAGUGUCCGUCACUGCUACUCCAAACGAAUGCUAAAGGUCAAACUCCUUCGCACCUUGCAGCAAGGUAUGGGCAUUCUGCUAUUGUGAAACUUCUAAUAAGUCUUGCGCAAAAGCUAGAGAUGGAGAUUUAGAGAAGCUGGGAAUGGAUUGAGUAAAUGCAGUGAGGGAGAUGCUGAGGAUUAGGGAUCAGGAAUCCAACACCGCUUUACAUGAAGCAGCACGGUGUGGCAUUGUCGAAGUGGUGAAAGCAUUGUUGGAGUUUGAAGACCCUGAUUUUCCGUAUUCUGCCAACAAAAAACAGGAGACUCCACUUUACAUAACAGCUAUGGCUGGGGAUGCAGGUAUGCUGUUGAUAUUAAUAAUUUUGAUAAAAUGUCUGCAAUUUGUUAAAAUGCAACCUGAAACUUAGAAACCUUUCCAGCAUCAGAAUUAACCGGAAGAGCUUACAUCAUGAUUUCAUGGAUUAUGAACUAUACAUUUAAAUUACAAAUUGAUAGAAGUUGUUUUUGUUAGUACAAAUUUCCGGUAAGUAAAAUUUCGAACACACGAACGAAACUUGAACAGCAAAUGAAGAAAUAGGACAAGGCUCUAAAGUGUGUAUCAAAUCGCUAUUUUUAAGGUUAUAUUCGCCCCACCUAUGUUUGAUGUGCAAAAGAGUUUCGAGCAAAUUAACCUUAAGGAUACAAUGAAGCCGAAGACUAUUUGCGUUUUGUACUGAUGAAAAUAGAUCGCUAAUCACUGAGCAAUGUAUAACAAAAAACUCAAUUUUUAUAAAGGAUUUUUACGGUAAUACUUUAUAGAAUAAUCUAAUAAUAUUUGAAGAUGGAGGAAGGAAAGAAAGAAUUUUAGAAUUUCUUGAUGUGAUUUCCAAAUAAAAUCUCAUUCCUAUUUAUAAGAAUUUUCAUGUUUCUCCAUAAACUCCUUAAGAAAGUGUGAAUUUUAUCCAAUUAAUGUUUUUGUUUCUUGUUUUGUUUAAUGAAGAUCAUAUGUUAGAAGCUAGGAAGCUCGACAAGAGUUUAAGCAUCCAUUUUGUUUCUUGUUAUUUUCAUUAAUUUCUAAUCUAAUUUUGAUUCCUACAGUUAUAUAAUGUUAUUAAUUAAUCAAAAUUGUUAAUACAAUUAAUUUUUCGAUUAAAACAUUUUAUAGUUAUAUAUAAUUUGAAUGUUUUAAGGGUUUUAGAGAUGAAUAUGUGACUCAUUAUUUCUUUUAGGUUUGUCUUACUCUUUUUUUUAUAUUAUAAGAAAAUGAUAAAAUUUAAUUUUAGCCCUUACACAAUGUGAAAAUUUGAGAUUUAAUCUAUAUACAUUAUUUUUUACAUAAUUUGAUCAUUCUACUUUUACAAUGUCAUUAGUUAGCCCUUACACGAUGUUGACAUCAAUAUUUUUAGGAAUACAAUUCCAAGAAAAAAUAUUCAUGACGAGUUCGAAUGAAUGUUCGAAAGGAAAAAUCUAUAUAAACAUUUUCAACGUUAUUUUUAUUUUUACAUGACUACCAAGUAGUUUUUUUUUUAAUUUCAAAAUAUUACACUAAUGAAUUUAAUAGAAGAAUUUUAGUAGUAGUAAUGAUUGGACCUAAAAUUUUAAAUCUAAAAAAAAUAGAGGGUCUAAAGUUCUAAAAAUAAAAGUAUGCUUAAAGUAUAUUGUCCUUUAAAUUUAUACUACAUAAUUUAAUACAAAUAAAUAAUGAACCCUUCGCGAAGCAUGAGACUCAUACUAGUUUAUGAUUAGGUUAAUGGGCAUUAAUUACCAAAUUUGCUAAAAUUUCUAUUUGUUGAAAUAACACAAUCACUAGUCUAAAACAUACAAGGUUGUGGAAUGCUUGUACUAUUAUAAAUAGAGGUGGUUUCUCCACUUUUAGAUUAUCCCGAAAUUUGUUGUUUCUUUCUUGUAAUUUUCUAUUUUAUCUUUUGCUGGGAAAUAUAUUUAGUAAUAUUCAAGGACGUAGGAAUAAUUUGCUAAAUCUCAUCAAAAUUUUAGUGUUAUUAUUAUUACUAUUUUCUCAAUAUUUUGUAGAGUGUAUUUGAAGUGAUAUAUUGGACUUUAAGCGGGGUCAUCUGUGACCCUUCCAAUCUUUGUUGGGAGUUGAACAAGUAUUUUUUACGACAAUAAUUUACUCUCUUUUAUCCUAUUCACACGACAUUAUUAACUCUUUAUGAUUAUACUAACAGUCUUAUUUUUCUCUUUUGAUAGUAAAAAAGUAGCAGCAAAAUGCUUCAAAACAAACCAAAUCAAAGACUAAACUUGUUUCCAUGGUAAGUAAGCAGCUCCAAAACACCAGGCGAUGGCUCUUCAAAAAAAUGCAGAGUAAUUCCCAAAUCAGGACCCAGCGGCGCCAUAAAGUCUGCAAUCUUAGUAGCUUCCGGUCUCUUCUGCAUAAAUUGGAAUCCAUCUGGCAAUAGCUUGGUCAUUAGUCGCCUCUUUAAAAUAUCCAUCGCCCCUCACAUUUUCCGAUUCAAUGAUAAGCUUGCGAUAGCCUUGGUGGCAGGCCAACAAUAUAGUAUUUUAAUCAUCUUUAACAACCUUGUUUUGGCCCCAUUUGAUAAUUUUAAUUAAUGUUUUACGCAUAAAGGGAAUUUGACAAACGAAAGAGAUGAAGUGUAUUUCAUCUGCCCUAUCAACUUUGUCAAAUUCCCAUGGACUUGCCAUAGUUUCAUUUUUGAUCUGCUCUGCUUUUUUUUUGUUUGUUAUUACUUACCACAAUACCUAGCUUUGUUGAAGAUGGUGUUGUAGUGAAAAUAACGAAUUUUGUGACAAAUUUUGCAUGUGACACUAAUAAUUGUAUUACCAUUUCGUCACUGUGAAAUUCUUACAUUGGAUCUAUGUUGUGCGGAAGCGUGUGAAAGAGUAAAAUUAUUGUACUAAAAAAUCACACUAAGUUCAAUUCCCAGGAAAGAGAGGUGAAUCACGAGGAUCACUUAAGUACCAAGUCUUUCCUAGCCAGAAUAUCCCUCUAUCGUAAUUUAAUAGCACAAUAAAUCACUACAAUCACACUCACAAAAUAUGAACAUUAAAUAGUAAAGAACACCAAAAUUUUAACGAGGUUCGGCAAAUCUUGCCUACGUCCUCGGGCACUACCAAAUAUAUUUCACUCCAAAAUACAAGUGAAACUUUACAAAUAGGGAGAGAGAACAAUGCCUUAAGUAGAGAAUGGCAAAUGUGGGAUGAUGAGAAUGAGCAAUGGUUGGCCUAUUUAUAGUUGAGAUUCAAGGGCCACCUUGCAAAGUCCCUAUUCACUUAGGGACCAAAAAUUGCUAUUAUCCCAUGCCCAACACUAAAUAAAUAUUUGGUGCCCAUAACUUUGACCUUUCCAAGGUAUGGGUAGGUAUGGGAAAGGUAUGGGCAAGGUAUGGGAUAUAUUCUAAUAAUCUCCACCUUGAAGAUUUGAUUAGGAUAAUAUUAUCUUCACACAAUUCUUUUUGCCUUUGACAACAAUACUUGAUAGUGCCUUCUUCGACUGUUAAACUUGCAGGAUAUUGAUCAAGUUCAAACAAUGUUCGAACUUGGUUGCUGUUACCACCUUGGUCAUCAUAUCUGCGGGAUUAUCUGCAGUCUUGAUCUUCUGAAGACAAAUUUUCCCCUCUUCAAUAAUUUCCCGCACAAAAUGGAAUCGUACGUCGAUAUGUUUUGUACGUGCAUGAUAGACUUGAUUCUUUGCUAAAUGAAUAGCACUUUGACUAUCACAAUACACGUUAAUAUGCUCCUGAACCAACCCCAAGGUUUUAGCCAUACCUUGUAACCAAAUAGCCUCCUUUACAGCCUCUGUUACAGCCAUGUACUCGGCUUCUGUGGUUGACAACGCAACUGUAGACUGUAGUGUAGACUUCCAACUUAUUGGUCCUCCAGCAAGUGUAAACACAUAACCGGUGGUUGAUCUUCGCUUGUCCAAAUCACCGGCAUAGUCAGAAUCAACGUACCCAAUAACACCUUUACCAAGUGUAUUAUCCUGCUUGAACAGUAAUCCAACAUCUACGGUCUUCUGAAUAUACCGUAGAAUCCAUUUCACAGCUUGCCAAUGUCCUUUUCCAGGAUUAUGCAUAUACCUGCUCACUAUACUAACUGCCUGUGAAAUGUCGGGUCUUGUACACACCAUUGCAUACAUCAAGCUACCCACUGCAUUAGAAUACGGAACUUGCAACAUGUAUUCUCGUUCCGUAUUCGUCGAAGGAGAUAGUUGUGCAGAAAGCUUGAAAUGAGAAGCCAACGGGGUACUUACAGGUUUUGUCUGCUCGUUCAUGCCAAACUGCUGUAGUACCUUUUUCAAAUACUGCUUCUGAGACUAGCUAACUCUAUCAUGAGCUCUAUCUCUCCAUAUUUCCAUGCCGAGAAUCUUUUUAGCUUCUCCUAGAUCUUUCAUCUCAAACUCGAGAUUGAGUUGAGUCUUCAAUCUUUCAAUCUCAACUUUGCUCUUAGAUGCUAUUAGCAUAUCAUCAACAUAUAAGAGCAAGUAUAUGAAAAUUCCUUCUUGUAGCUUCUGAAGAUACACGCAAUGAUCAAAUUUACUUCUUGUGUACCUUUGCCCUUUCAUGAACUGAUCAAAUCGCUUGUACCACUGCCUCGGAGAUUGCUUCAAUCCAUAAAGCGACUUUGUCAGUUUGCAAACCCAAUUUUCUUUUCCAGCAACCUUGAAUCCAUCUGGCUGAGUCAUAUAGAUUUCCUCUUCCAAAUCACCGUGUAAAAAUGCGGUCUUCACAUCAAGCUGAACUAGUUCAAGAUCAUAUUGCGCAACCAAGACUAGCAAAAUCCGAAUAGACGAAUGCUUCACAACUGGAGAAAACACUUCAUUGUAGUCUAUUCCUUCUUUCUGAGCGUAACCCUUUGCUACUAAUCUAGCCUUGUAUCAAAUUUCAUUUUUAUCAGGAAAUCCUUCCUUCUUUGCAUAUACCCAUUUGCAUCCAAUUGCCUUCUUUCCCUUGGGUAGUGUCACCAACUCCCAGGUCUUAUUUUUAUGAAGAGACUGCAUUUCUUCAUUCAUUGCUUGCUUCCACUUUACACCAUCAGGGUUACUUAUUGCUUCUGUGUAAGUAGAAGGAACAUCAUCAUCUGCAAUUGGAAGUGCAUAGGCCACUAUAUCAUCAAAGCGAGCAGGCUUACGAAUCUCUCUUCUUGGCCUCCUAUAUGCAAUUGAAUCUUGUUGCUGUAGAGGUUCUUGGGUAGGAACCUCUUCAUCAUUUGUCCCUUCAAUAUUAGCUGGAUCAUCGUUAACCUUUUCAAGCUCCACCUGCUGCAAAGUACUACUGGUUUUGCCAUCCUUUUGUGAAUCCUUGUACUUUAACAUGGUUGAUUCAUCAAAAGUCACAUCUCUACUGAAAACAAUCUUCCUUGUAUCAGGACACCAGAGACGAUAUCCUUUUACUCCAUCAGUUAUACCCAAGAAUAAUGCUUUCUUUGCUCUUGGGUCUAACUUAGAUUCUUUUACAUGAUAAUAUGCAGUGGAACCAAAUACAUGCAAAGAAUCAUAAUCAGUAGCAGAUUUACCAGUCCACAUCUCCAUAGGAGUUUUUCCAUUUAUUGCAGCUGAUGGCAAACGGUUAAUUAGAUGGCACGCAUAUGUAACUGCCUCAGCCCAAAAUUCUUUGCCCAAUCCAGCAUUGGACAACAUACAUCGAACUUUCUCCAGUAUAGUUCGAUUUAUUCGUUCUGCCACCCCAUUUUGCUGUGGUGUAUCCCGAAUAGUGAAGUGUCGCACAAUGCCCUCAUCUUGGCAUACUUGUAGAAAUGGAUCGUUUUUGUACUCAGUACCAUUAUCUGAUCGAAGUCGUUUGACCUUUCGACCAGUCUGAGUCUCCACCAUCUUCUUCCAUUUCAGAAAUGCAUCCAAAACUUCAAUUUUUCUUUUCAUUAGAUACACCCAUACUUUUCUUGAAUAAUCAUCAACAAAAGUAACAAAAUAGUGCAUACCUCCCAAAGAAGCUACUUUGGUAGGUCCCCACACAUCACUGUGAACGUAGUCCAAAAUUCCUUUCGUAUUGUGAAUUGCUGGACCAAAUUUUACUCUCUUCUGCUUGCCCAGAACACAAUGUUCACAGAAUUCCAUUUUGCAAGAAUUUGCACCUUUCAAUAAGCCUUGCUUCACCAAUGUCUGCAAAGCUUUUUCACCAGCAUGUCCCAAUCGCAUAUGCCAUAAUCUGGUAGCCUCUGAAUCUACAUCUUUUGUAGAAACUGUUGAUGUUGAUCCAAUAACUGUACUUCCAUUUAAAAAAUACAAGUUAUUUCUUCUUGUGCCUUUCAUCACUGUCAGUUGCCCAGCUACUACUUUUAGUAAUCCAUCUCUCAAAGUGAUUGUGAGCCCUUUAGAUUCUAGGGCACCUAAUGAGAUGAGAUUUUUCUUCAGGCUAGGUACGCAGCGAACAUCUGUCAAGACUUGGAUUGAGCCGUCGUGAUUCUUCAAUUGGACUGUACCCACUUCCAUUGUCUUACAAGCACUAUCAUUGCCCAUAAGAACAAUUCCACCUUCUAGCUCUUUAAGACUAGAAAACCAGUCCUUAUUAGGACACAUAUGGUAAGUACAUCCUGAAUCCAAAAUCCACUCAUCCGUUUGACAUGCCAUUGCCAUGCCAACCAAGCUAAAGUCUGACUCCUCAUCAUGCUCCGCUACACAUGCAUUAGAAAUAGCCUUGCCCUUUUGUAGCUUAGGACAAUUCUUUUUCCAAUGCCCUUUUUCACGGCAAAAGGCACAUUCAUCUUUGGCGGGUCUCCCUUUGGACUUUCCCCUUCUACCAGAUUUGCUGCUGUGUGAACGACCUCUUACUGUUAAGACUUCUGCGGUUGUAUCUCUGUGAUCUCUUUUAUCUUUCUUUCGAGUCUCAGAUCUAUACAACGCACUACAGACUGCAUCAAAUUCACAUGGUCAUUCAUCGACAUACCGGGUGCAUACGUGAAUCGAUAAAGUUUCUUUUUCAUAUAAAGCCUAUUUUCAAGACUUUUCGUUAGAAACUUUUCUUCCAGUGUAUCCCAUAACUUCUUCGCUGAUGUCUCCCUCAUGACAGAGUACUUCUGCUCUUUGGCCAAACAUAGGCGGAUUGUACCACACGCCUGUCUAUUGAUCUUGGCCCACUCCUUGUCAUCCAUCUUGUCAGGUUUUUCUUCAAGGGCUAUAUCUAGCUCUUGCUGACAUAAGACAUCCAGGAUCUCACAUUGCCACAUACCAAAAUUAUUGGUACCGUCAAAUUUCUCUACUUCAAAUUUUACAUUUGUCACAGUAGUCCUUGCUGAUGACGAUGCUGCUGCCAUUUUUCUCCUCAAUCCCAACUACUGUAUACGUGAACAGUACCAUAUACGUGAAUAGUACUGUAUACGUGAAUAGUACCGUAAACGGUCGUAUUCCCCAAGUACGAACCUGGCUCUGAUACCAAUUGUUGUGCGAAAGCGUGUGAAAGAGUAAAAUUAUUGUACUAAAAAAUCACACUAAGUUCAAUUCCCAGGAAAGAGAGGUGAAUCACGAGGAUCACUUAAGUACCAAGUCUUUCCUAGCCAGAAUAUCCCUCUAUCGUAAUUUAAUAGCACAAUAAAUCACUACAAUCACACUCACAAAAUAUGAACAUUAAAUAGUAAAGAACACCAAAAUUUUAACGAGGUUCGGCAAGUCUUGCCUACGUCCUCGGGCACUACCAAAUAUAUUUCACUCCAAAAUACAAGUGAAACUUUACAAAUAGGGAGAGAGAACAAUACCUUAAGUAGAGAAUGACAAAUGUGGGAUGAUGAGAAUGAGCAAUGGUUGGCCUAUUUAUAGUUGAGAUUCAAGGGCCACCUUGCAAAGUCCCUAUUCACUUAGGGACCAAAAAUUGCUAUUAUCCCAUGCCCAACACUAAAUAAAUAUUUGGUGCCCAUAACUUUGACCUUUCCAAGGUAUGGGUAGGUAUGGGAAAGGUAUGGGCAAGGUAUGGGAUAUAUUCUAAUAAUCUAAAUUAUGUAAUAGUGACAAUAUAUAAAUAUUCCCUGUUGUAAUAUAAUUAUUUUUGGCCAAAUCACAUUCAGAUCCUAGUUAAUUUAUAUAAAAAUCAUAUAAACCAAAAAAUUUACUUUGAAUUUUGGUUUUCUUAAAAUUUAAAUGGUGGGGUCUUAGUUGGGUUACGUAUAUAUUGGUUGAAAAUUUCUUCGUAAUGUUAUUGUGUUUCGUUCUAAAAUUACACAUUAGAUGUUUAUAAAGCUUAAACAUAAACCCUUGAAUUUUUUAUAAUGAAGUGAACAGAAGUUAAUUCUAAGUUUUCUAAAUAGAGAUAAUCGAUUUUUACAAAAAAAAAAAAAAUACUGUCUGAAAGACAGUAGAAAGAAGAGCUCAUGGAGGCCAACUUUGCAUGCAGCAAUUCUGGCUGUUAAAUCUAUAUAUUAAACCAAAGUCGAUGUGGUUCCAAGUGUUGAGCAGCAUAGGAAGUAAUCAAAAUAUAUAUGUCGCACUGCAAGGAAUUCAAGGCUGCCUUGUCCACAAAGGCUUAUAGCUGCUAAGCACCAGCUCUUAAAUUUGAUUAUCGCCUAAUAAACAACAUAGGGCAUCAUUGACUUCACCACAAAGAGCUGUAGACCUCAUUUUCUUCAAUUCUUCUCCUUCUUUGCAGUUUCCUUGAAACCAAGUUUCACCAUAAAAAUCCUACUUUAUUGACCUGACCUCAAACCCUAUAUAUUACUUAUACUAAAUUGUUCAAUUAUAUAUAAUGUUCAAUUAACCAUAAAGAGCUGUCCACCCCUUUUUCUUCCAUUCUUCUCCUUUGCAGUUUCCUUAAAACUAAAUUUCACCAUAAAAAACUCCCACUUUAUUGACCUGAUCUCUAACCACAGAUUGUCGUUUUGUUUAAUGAAUAAAUUUAAUAAAGCACAAAGGCAAUAAUAGUAUCAAUUACAUCAUUAAUUCUUUCAUGUAAAUUUUAUUUAGUAAAUAAAUCUUAAAAAAUUUAGAUUAUCUUUUAGGUAUAAUGAUAAAUUCAAUUUUAAACAAUUUUUUUGUUACUUUAAUCUUUAUUUUUUAAGUCAAAUUAAGCGUUCAAACUUAAAAAAAUAAAACCAUUGAAAGUUAAAAUUUGCACCCUGCGAAAUUAAUUUGGUGGAAGCAUGCGCUUGUGCGCAUUAUCUGUAAAGCAUGUUCAAAAAUGAUGGAUUUGAUUUAGUAUUUUAACCAUCUUUAGCAACUUUUUUUUAGUGCCAUUUAAAAAGUUUAAUUUAGUCAUUAAUUGUUGAUGUUUUGAGAAAUUAAGAAAGCAGAACAAAGGCUUAUAGCUGCAAAGCACCAGCUCUUAAAUUUGAUUAUGGCCUAAUAAACAACAUAGGGCAGCAUUGACUUCACCACAAAGAGCUGUACACCCCAUUUUCUUCCAGUCUUCUUCUUUGCAGUUUCCUUAAACCCAAAUUUCACCAUCAAAAACUCCUAAAAAUGAUGGAUUUGGUGCGCCUACUUUUCAACAAUCUUUAGUAUUUUAAUCAUCUUUAGCAACUUUGUUUUAUGGCCAUUUGCUUUCCUUUUCGUUACAAUUAAGUCAUCAUAUGGUAAUAACAUUUAAUGUAAGUUAUACAAAUAAUCAUUUAAUUAUUAGCACAUUAUUAUUUUGGCCACUCAUGUUACAAAUAGUCUAAUUGAUAUUUUUGUCAUUCCUCAUUCAAUCAUUUAUAGAAUGCUGAUGCAACUUUUUUUUUAUUGGCAUAUUAAUAAAUUUAACCUUUCAAUCUCUAUAAAUCCCAGUAAUUUGAUCCUAAUUCUAAAAAACAAAUUUGGCCGUUAACUUUACACAUUAUGUUAAUUUAAUCUUGAUUCUUAAAAAUUUUAAAAAAAAACUUAAAAAAAUAAAAAUAUAUAUUUAAUUUUUUUCUAUAAAAUACAUAUACAAAAUUAUAAAAUACAUACAAAAAUAUAAAAAUGUUUAUAAAUAAAUGAAUACUAAUUUUAUUUCUUCAAAGAAAAUCUAGGGUUUAGUUUGAAUGAGUCAAAAUUAACUAACAUGACCAAAAUUUAGUGUGUAACAGUUUUCUGAGCUACCAAACACUGUCUUAGAAUAAAAAAAGAACAUAGGGGAGAAUUAACUUGACCACGAAGAGCCGUAGACCCCAUUUUCUUCCAUUAUUUUCUUUAAUUCUUCUCCUUCUUUGCAGUUUCCUUAAAACCAAAUCUCACCAUAAUACUUUAUUGACCUCACUUCCAACCCAAAUGCCACUAUUACUAAAGUGUUCAACUAUAUAAAGUUUUCAUUUGUUGGUGACUUGAAUGCAGGCAUAUGCAAGCAAGUAACUAACUGGAAAGGAAUUUGGUAAAUUUCUGAAUUUGCAGUAUGUUUUUUCUUGAGCUUGGAAUGCUUCAAGCUAAUUAAUUAAAUUCUGUUUGGUGUUUUUAUCCAGGAAGAAAUAGAUCCACAAAAAUGGAACCUCGGGAGCCUGAACAGAACAUCACUCACAUGGAGGCUUCGCUAUAUAAUGCAGCAGCACAAGGCAACAUUGAAGUAUUCAAUAAUAAACAGGGGCUUCAACUUGAGUCGCUAAAGACCCCAAACCAAGACAACGUGCUCCAUGUUAACUUGGCAACCGAGAAGACUGUCAAAUUCUCAAUAAUCAAAUUCUUCUCCGUAGGAUUUGUACCAUCCUAUCCGUUUUUCGAUUUAUUCGUUACUAUGAUAAAAAGAGAAAAAAAAUCAGAUUUUAUCGAACAAAUUCUCAGCAAGUGUCCGUCACUGCUAUUCCAAACGAAUGCUAAAGGUCAAACUCCUUUGCACGUUGCAGCAAGGUAUGGACAUUCUGCUAUUGUGAAACUUCUAAUCAAGUCUUGCGCAAAAGCUAGAGAUGGAGAUUUAGAGCUGGGAAUGGAUCAAGUAAGUGCAGUGAGGGAGAUGCUGAGGAUUACGGAUCAGGAAUGCAACACGGCUUUACAUGAAGCAGCAGGGUGUGGCAAUGUUGAAGUGGUGAAAGCAUUGUUGGAGUUUGAAGACCCUGAAUUUCCGUAUUCUGCCAACAAAAAACAGGAGACUCCACUUUACAUAGCAGCUAGGAGGAGAGGAUCUGGGCGCUUGUUGACUCUAUUAUUAGAUAAAUUCAAAUCAACUAGUCAUGGCGGCCCCCACGGUAGAACAGCUUUGCAUGCAGCAGCUAUGGCUGGAGAUGCAGGUAUGUUGUUGAGUUAGUUCCUUUUUUAUAUUAAAGUUUUGAAAUAAAUAAACAGGUCGAUUGACAUUUUUUUUUUUGCUUGGAUUUAGAGGCAAUAAGGGUAAUAUUAAAGAAGAAGGGGAAUUUGACAAAGGAAAGAGAUGAAGAUGGAUGCACCCCUCUUCAUUAUGCUGCACACUUAGGUGGUCGAUUUUCAGUUGUGGAAGAACUGUUAAAAAGGGAUGUAUCAGCAGCCUAUAUAGGUGAUAAAAAGAAGGGGAUGACACCCCUUCUUAUGGCAGCCAGGCAACGUAAUGCUCAAACAGUUUCAAAGAUUCUCUCUUUAUGUCCAGAUAGUUGUGAAAAAGUGGACAACGAUGGUUUGUCUUUACUCCAUUAUCUGGCUUUUAGAGGCUCUUCCUAUCCAUUAGAGCUUUCUCUUUUCAGGCGUGGUGGUAUUGAGAUUGUAUAUGGAUCACUCAGAAAUCUAAUGAAGUUGGAAGGUGCUUUUGGAAUGACACCUCAAGAAGUUUAUAAUGCAGUUCAAUAUGAGAAACAUCAUCAUAAACAGGUGUGUGUGCGUGCAUAUGUAUUGCAUUUCCAUGGCUAUGGUUUUAUUAAUAUUCAAGUUUUGAAUUAACAUCUUUAAUAAACCUACAAUACAAUUGGCUAAUGUUGCUGGCAUGGCAGGAGCAAAUCGAUAAAUUGUUGGAAGAAAUUGAGAAUGAUCAAGUGGCGGACAAACCAGUUCGUCCCUUUGGCUUGCCAACUAUCUCUACAGCAAGCUUGGAGAAGAAAAGAGAAGGUCAUAUAAUAGUGGCAGGACUUAUAGCCACGGUCACAUUCGCGGCAGCGAUAACCGUCCCAGGUGGAUUCAAGAGUGAAAAAGGAUCCGAACAGGGUACUCCUUUUCUGAUUCAUGAGGCAGCCUUUAAAGUAUUUAUCAUAUCGAAUGGAUUGGCCUUUAUUCUCUCUCUUUCCACCCUCUCCGUUUACCUUAGGACGAUGAAUUUCUUUUCCUCAAACUCAAAGCAGCGACGCAAAAUUUUAAUAACAAAGUUGACCGCUAAGAAUCUCCUUAAUGGUGCACUGAUUGCAAUGGUGAUUGCUUUCAGCACAGCUAACUAUGUUGUGUUAAAACCUUCUCACGCACUUGCCAUAGCUUCGUGUUUGGUCGGCCCUGCCUUUAUUUUCACUCCUUUACUUACCCGCAAAUGGAUGUUAAUUUUUGUGUGGAUCUCGGCAUACAUUGUGAAUGUUUUUAUACCAUUUUCAUUGGUUUAAACUUGGUUUUUAUACUGAAAUUGCUUUUGUUUGUGCCUUAUUUUAGUGUUUUUGGAAUUUAUCGUUGUAUUGUUUGUGUUGAUUUUACUUUAUUUUAACUUUUUUGCUAUGUAGUUUUACAUUACAACUUAAUAUUUAUAAUCUCCAUUUAAUUGAAAUAUAAAGUUAUUAGCAGAGACACAUACAAUUUCAAAAAAGAUAAAAAAAAUCACAAGAUUUAUUAAAUUCAAAGAAUAAUAGAGAUGUUGUAACUAAUUCUAAUUUUAGGUUUAAGAAAAACACUAGAUUUUAUUUAAAAAUGAGAAUUGCCGUCAAUCUUUUUUAUUAGGUGUGAUCGAACACCUAUACAAUCACCUUUUAAAAAGAAAAUUUUGAGUCUAUAAUAGAAAUCCAUAGAAAAAUGUUUCAGUUUGAGAAUUGGUUACUCAAAAAAUUAAGUUGUAUACUUUUACUAUAAUAAAAAAAAAUUACAAUUCCACCAUUUUGAUAACCUAUGUCUUUAAAUCAAAAUUUUAUCCUUUUUGGGAGGUUAAAAUGUAAUUUUACCGAUACUAAUUUAAAAUUUUAUCAAUUUUAGGGGGACUAGUACCCUGCCAACGCUAGCUUCGCCCAUAAACUCUUAUAUCUCAAUCAAUUUUGAUGAAAUCAUUUCCCACUUUGCACUCUAUUAUAUUUUUUAUGUCUCAAGAAUCUUAACUUUCAACAAAAUAAACUUUGUUGUUAUUUUUAAAUUAACGUGAACCCCAAAAGGAAAUUAAAAUAUGUUACGGAGCUUUCAACAUAUUUCUCCCAAUAAUCAAAUUCGUCCCCUUGCUAUAUGGAUGCUUCUCUCCACCUAUGCGUGAUUUAAUUACUAUUAGAAAAAAGAUCAGAUUUUUUUUAUCGAACAAAUUCUCAGCAGGUGUCAGUCACUGCUACUCCAAACGAAUGCUAAAGGUCAAACUCCUUUGCACGUUGCAGCGAGGUAUGGACAUUCUGCUAUUGUGAAACUUCUAAUCAAGUCUUGUGCAAAAGCUAGAGAUGGAGAUUUAGAGAAGCUGGGAAUGGAUCAAGUAAAUGCAGUGAGGGAGACGCUGAGGAUUACGGAUCAGGAAUCCAACACGGCUUUACAUGAAGCAGCACGAUGUGGCAAUGUUGCAGUGGUGAAAGCAUUGUUGGAGUUUGAAGACCCUGAUUUUCCGUAUUCUGCCAAUAAAAAACAGAAGACUCCACUUUACAUAGCAGCUAGGAGAGGAGACCGGGGCAUGCUGAGUAUACUAUUAGAUAAAUCGAAAUCAACAGCUCAUGUUGCAUGCAGCAGCUAUGGCUAGAGAUGCCGGUAUGUUGUUGAGUUAGUUCCAUUUUUUUUUUAAUUUGAAAUAAAUAAAGAACAGGUCUAUUGACAAUUUUUUUUUUUUUUGCUUUGAUUUAGAGGCAAUAAGGAUAAUAUUAGAGAAUAAGGGGAAUUUGACAAAGGAAAGAGAUGAAGAUGGACACACCCCUCUUCUUUAUGCUGCACACUUGGGUUAUAGAUUAUCAGUUGUGGAAGAACUGUUAAAAAGGGAUGUGUCAGCUGCCCAUAUAGGUGAUAAAAAGAGGGGGAUGACACCGCUUCUUAUGGCAGCCAGGGAAGGUAAUGGUGGAGCAAGUGCAAAUAUUCUCUCUUUAUGUCCAGAUUGUUGCAAAAAAGUGGACAACAAAGGUUUGGAUUUACUUCAUUAUACGGCUUUUAAAGACUCUGUCUUUCCAUCAGGGAGUUCUGUUUUUAAGCGUGGUGGUGUUGAGAUUGUAUAUGGAUCAGUUAGAAAUCUAAUGGAGUUGGAAGGUGCCUGUAAAAUCUAAUGGUUUUGCAUUUCCAUGGCUAUGGUUUUAUUAAUAUUUAAGUUUUGAGUUAACAUAUUUAAUAAACCUACAAUACAAUCGGUUAAUGUGGGUGGCAUGACAGAAGCAAAUCAAAGAUUUGUUGGAAGAAAUUGAGAAUGAUAAAGUGGCAGAGGAACAAGUUCAUCACUUUCAGUUACCAAAUGUUUCUAUGGAAAGAUUGGAGGCUAUAAGAAAUACUCAUUUAAUAGUGGCAGCACUUAUAGCCAAUCGUCACCAUCGCAGCGGCAAUAACUGUUCCUAGUGGUUUGGAGAGUGAAAAGGGGUCAAAGCAAGGUGAUCCCUUUUUGAUUCAUGAGGCAGCCUUUAAAGCAUUUAUUGUAACAAACGCAUUGGCCUUUAUUUUCUCUGUUUCUGCCUGUUGGGAUUUGGACAAUGAUAGAUGAAGAUUAACAGAAGCUUGAGCAACAAUGUUGUAUGUUUGCUGGUGAAAAUAAAUAGAAUCGGGCUUGGGAGCAAAGAAAAUGAAAAACAAGAAAACAGAGAGUUUUGGAUGAAAUUUUCAAAAUGAUUUCAUUAACAUUGAAUGAAGGCACAAAGCCAAUACAUAUACCAGACAUUUAGCUGGUCAAAUCAAAACAAAUUGUCACCUAACAUUACCUACUAUCACUAAGUAACAUUGGAACUUAUGAAAACAUUGCUUGCACACAUAGGUAUACUGAUUUAUCAAUUCAUCAAUACCUAAUUACAUCAAAACAAUAUCAACUUAGUUCAAAUCUGACUAAAUUACAAAGCAAUAUUUAAGGUAACAAAACGGAAUGAAAUACAAUAGCAAUAAUGUGCUUCAGCAGCUGCAUGCAUACUUCAUGUGCUGUAAUUGCGGCUUGAUCUGCUUCUUCAUACUUCAUGUGCUAUAAAUGCGGUAUGCAGGCCAACUUCAACACUCCUCCUUGGCUUGCAUGCUGCAUACUCUCAUUUUAACUCUCAAAUGCACGAACCUUGACACACUAAGGGGCUUUGUUAAGAUAUCAGUAAGUUGUUAUUUAGAACUGCAAUGAAUUAGCUUCACUUCUUGAGCUUGCUCCAUCUCUCUAACAAAGUGAAAUUUGAUCUUGAAGUGUUUCAUUCUCCUAUAGAACAUUGGAUUCUUUUCAAUUGCAACAGAAGAUUGGUUGUCACAAUUGAUCUCUAUUGCUUCCCUUUGGUGUAGAUUCAAAUUAACCAUGAUUUUUCUUAGCCAAAUAGCUUGAUUGACAGCACUAGCAGUUGCUACAUAUUCUGCUUUAGUAGUUGGUUGAGCAACAACAUUUUGUUUCUUCGAAUUCUAGCAAAAAAUGGCUGAUCCAAGAGUAAAAACAUACCCUGAGGUACUCUUCAUGUCAUCUAUUGAUCCAACCUAAUCACUAUCAGCAUAACCAACCAAUUUCAUACUUUCAGCUUUGCUAAAUAACAUUCCAUAGCUCAAUGUACCUUUGAUGUACCUGAAAACUCUUUUGGCAGCUUGAAAGUGCUUUUCAUUGUAGCAAUACAAGAAUCUAUAUAGCAGACUCACAACAAACAUGAUGUCUGGUCUAGUGGUAAUAAGAUAUAGCAAACAUCCUACCAAACUCCUAUAGACAGAUUCACUAACCUGCUCAAAGUCACCUUGGCUCGAUAGUUUCUCUCCAAUGGCAACUGGUGCGUUUGUUGCCUUGCAAUUUUGCAUGGAGAAUUUUUUCAGAAUCUUGGAGACAAAAGCCUUCUGACUUAGGAAGAUUCCAUGUUGUGUUUAAGUCGCUUCCAUACCAAUGAAGUAAGACAUUUGCCCCAAAUUUGACGUCUUGAACAUCUGUUCCAUCUUGGCUUUGAAAUCAGCCAGCAUUUCAUGAUCUCCUCUAGUUACUAGCAGGUCAUCAACGUAUAGGGACACUAUUAGUUAAGUUUCACUACCUUGCUUCUUCACAUACAAGGUAGGUUCACUGAUGCUUCUUUCAAAUCCAAGGCUAGCUAGGUAGCCAUCGAUCCUGCUAUACCAGGCUCUUGGUGCUUGUUUCAAACCAUACAAGGCUUUCUUCAGUUUGUACACCUUGUCCUCUUCACCUGCCACUUUAAAACCUUCAGGUUGCUCAACAUAGAUUUCUUCAUCAAGAAAAUCAUUGAGGAAUGCUGAUUUUACAUCAAGCUGAUGAAUUUUCCAUUGCAUUUGUGCUGCUAAGGCAACUAGCAGCCUUAUGGUAUCAAGCCUAGCUACUGGUGCAAAGGUCUCAAAGUAGUCAAUGCCGUACUUUUGACUGAACCCUUUUACAACCAGCCUUGCUUUCAGUUUGUUUAAGCUUACAUCAGCAUUGUGCUUAGCUCGAAAUACCCAUUUCACCCCAAUGACAUUUCUAUUUGCUGGUCUCUCAACUAGCUGCCAUGUCUGAUUAUUUUCAAUCAUUCUGAUUUCAUCAGCCAUUGCCUGUUUCCAGCCUUAUUAAGCUUCAGCUUCUUCGAAGCAGCUUGGUUCAACUGCAACCACUUGAGCUCUUUCAUAAAUCUCAGCCAAUGGUCUAGUGCCCCUGACUGGUUCAUAAUCAAUGUCCAUUUCAAAACCAGUUUGAUCAGCUUCAGUCUGAUCUGUCAAUAAAUCUUCAGAGACUGCCUCUGGUUCAUUCUUCUCCUAAUUUCAACUUGAAUUCUCAUCAAAGACUACAUCUCUGCUCACAAGCACUUUGUUGCAUGAAGGAUCGAAGAAUUUGUAGCCUUUCUUCAUACUGCUCUAGCCCACCAGGAUGCUAGGUUAGGAUGCAAUGGUUUUCUUAUGGUUGAACUCACAUUGAGUUUCAUAGUUCACUUUUCUUUUAUUUCCAUCUUUACAGAUAAUCCACCAUGUUAGGAUGUAGACUCGGCAUACAGAGGACUCGACUCGGGUUUUAUUUAUUAAAAUAUUUUGGAUUUAUUAUUCAAAAUCUUUCGUUAUUCAAGAACUAUAAUAUCUUAUUUAAAUCAUGGCAUGAGACUUAGGUUUUUGUUUAAUUUAGCAUGUAUGACAUUUAACUUAAUUUAAUAUAUUAUUUUUAAUUAAUUAAACAUGAAAUAUGAUUUUAAUAAAAUUAAGUUGAAAUCAUUUUUCCAUUGCGAAAUUAUAAUUUAGUAUUGAGUUGUAAAUAAAUCGAAAAAUUUAACAAAUUUUCAAUCUCAUAUGUUAUACUGAAAAUAAGCUAAGUUUUCUAUAUUUUAAAUUGGUCAUUUUUUAAACUUUGAUCGCUACUAGGUCAUUUCGGCGGUCGAUGUAUUCUCUCAAAUUUGGAUCUAAUGUAUAGGCCGAGUUGAAGAGGUUACAACAAGAUGCAAGAUUAAUGUUGUUUUGUUUGAAGUAUAAAAUUAGUAAAACACAUAGCAAGGAUAACAUUAAUUGUUGGAGAUUAUGGUAUGCUAAAAUGUUGAUGUAGAAGCCCAAUUUCACCUGGGCCCUACCAGCAAAACAAACCUCAGCCCAAACGGCCCAAUUACAUUAUAAAAUUAAUUGGACCAACCCAAACCCACCUAAACCCAAAACAACUACAGCAACCCAAUUGGCCUAACUACCCAAACCCUAAUAGCCCAAACCACAAAAAAAAAACAAAACCCUAGGUGUGCCGCACUUAGGGCUCUCUGCCUUCUGACUUCUGCACUGCCGCUGUCAAUCACCUGCAAAAUGAAAAUCAAACACGCAAAGCAGAAGCAAAAACAGUGUAAAAUAGUAGAAAAAAAUAGAUAAAAUUGUAUUGCAAAUUGGCUAUAAAAGCCUGGAUCUCAGCCUUGUAAUGGUCUUCUUCUUUUUUCACGAGAAAAUAAAUAGAAAAAUUCAAGGUUUUUUUAUUUCGGCUUUUAUUUAUUUAUUUAUCUAUUUUUUUCUCUCAUUUUCUUUUAUUUUUAUGAAUGAAAAUAAAAAAAAUAAAAGAAGAAGAAAGAGGGAAAGCUUACCGGACGCCCCGUGACCGCACCGUCGGAGGGCAGAUCUCGUCGUCGAGACCGGGUUCGGAGAGAGGGGGUUGUGGGCCACUAUCUCCGUCCUUAGGGGGCUCGAAAGCCUGACCUCACAGCUCGCCUGGAACCGGGCUUUAAAAACCCUUUAUCGUGCUUCAUCGACCGUCGAUUUGGUGGCGGUACGGCGGACGGACGAGCGGAGGUAAGGAGGCCGUCGGAAGGCAUGAGGGGCCUUCAGAGAGUUUUUUCAAAUUUUUUUUUCUGAAGAAGAAGAAAAAUGAAAACAAAGAAAAAAAUUUGGUUUAAAUAACCAUUUCAAAACGGCACCGUUUUAGCCCCCAUGACCCGUGCACGACCCGACCCGCUCCAGGGGGAUCCGCGCGUUUUCAUGAAAUGAGUUAUUUGCGCGCGUGGUCCCUCCGCUUUUGCAGCGCGUUACAAUUAGCCCCUUUUUCCUUCUUUUCUUUUAUUUUAAUUUAGCCGUAUAAUUUUAUAGUUGUUUCAUUUCAAACCCACGUGGAACGACGCGUAUAUGGCUAGGGGUAAUUGCCCAAUCGGUCCCUCUCCCUCUGUGCGAGUCACAGAUUGAUCUUUUACCUUAUUUUAUUUUUGUUUUCUCCCCUGGGAUUUUGUUUUGUUUUCAAUUUAGUCCCGUUAUUAUUAUUAUUAUUGCAUUUAUUAUUAUGAUCAUUUACCCAUUUAUACUUUUUUUAAUUUUUGUUAUAUAUAUAUAUUCUUAUAUACACACACUUACAUAUUUUUAAUUUUCUUAUAUGUACGUAUUAACAUUUUUAUACACCUUAUAAUUUACAUACAUAUAUGUACAUACAUAUUGUUAUAGUGUACGUAUGCAUAUAUAUUUUUUAUUUUAUUCAUAUAUAUAUAUACCUAUUUAAAUUUAUAUUAUUUAUACUUUAUAUUUUAUAUAUGUGUACACAUUUUUAUUAUUUUUAUAAAUACAUACACAUAUUUAUAUAUAUUCUUUAUAUUUUAAAAUCUAUUUCUUCUUAUAUAUUUUCUAUAUUUUAUAAUCCAUAUAUAUAUAUAUAUUAAUAUACAUAUCAAUAUACGCUUUUAAAUUUCAUAAAUACAUAUAUAUAUUUACUUACCUUUAUAUUUUAUAUAUUUUAUAACUUUAUACGUAUAUAUAUGUAUACAUACAUACUCAUAUAUUUUUAUAUAUUUUUUUAUAAUUUAUGUAUACAUAUAUUUAUAUCUACAUACAUAUUUUUUUUAUUUUUAUAAGUGUAUAUUUAUAUAUGUACAUACUUAUAUAUUUUAUACUUUAUAAUUUAUAUAUACAUAUAUACAUAUUUUUUAAUACAUUUUCAAACACACAUACGUUUAUAUAUUUUUAUUUGUUUAUAUAUUUUUUAAUACAUAUUUACUUGUUUAUAUAUUUUUAUUCUUUUCAAACUUUGUUGUAUUCAUACACAUAUGUUUUUAUUUUAUUUUAUUUUUUUUCAUUAUUGUUAUUAUUGUUUUACUCAACAUUUAUUUAUUUAUUUAUGUGUCCAUCAUUAUUUUUACUAUUAUUAACCUUUUAGUCAUUUAUAUAUCAUUUAUUUAUGUAAUUGUUUAUUAUCGUUUUUAGCUUAGCUCUAGUUUCUGUUCAUUCUUGUAUCUUUUAUGUAUUUAUCUUACUUUCGCCUUUAAUUAGUACCAUUCGUAUUAUCGCAUUCAUCAUCUUAUAUAUAUUAAUCUUGUGAUUUAUUUAUAUGGUUUACUAUAACAUCGCGUACCUUUUACUCGAUGCAUUUCAAAUGAUGUUCUAACUAAACUUGUAUUUUAAGGUUUGAAAAAGUCGUACCCUAACUUACGGGUUUCGACUUUCUCGAUAAAUUCGAACACGUGAAUAUUUUUAAACUUAAACUUUUAAACGAUCUCGAGAAUUAAAAAAAAACUCGUGUCCUUACUUACAGGACAUGAUUUCUUUUUCUAAACCAGAGAUAGUCGAAUAUUUCAAGUGAAUAAAUUUUUGACAAUUAUUCUUACAUCGAAAAUUCAAGACAUUGUGUCCUAACUUAUGAGAUGCGAUUCUUUUUCUCGAUCAACGUGAAGUAUGCCAUUUUUCUUUUUAAAUAUUUUUUCGUAUUUCAAUAAAUGAUCGUAUUUUUAAAAUUUUUCAAAGUUUUCAAUUUUCAACACUAAGAUAUUAAUUAAUCAACUAGGUACCAACUUUGGGCGUUACGAGGGUGCUAAUCCUUCCUCGUACGUAACCGACUCCCGAACUCAUUUUUCUAAAUUUCGUAGACUAAAACUGUUGUUUUAAUAAAAUUAAAUUAUUUAUAAAAAAUAACUACUUUUCGAGGUGAUCCAAUCACACCUCAUCAAAAAAGAUUGGUGGCGACUCCUGUUUUCGUUUUCAUUUUUCAAAACUCAAGUCGACCCCGUUUUCGUCAAAAAAGUGGUGUCAACAGUUGAAGUAGGGAAUUUGACAAAGGAAAGAGAUGAAGAAGUGUUAAAGGGAUGGAGGGGGAUGUCACCUCAACAAGUUUAUGAUGCACUUCGAUAUGAGUCAUCACGAGAACUAUCAGUGUGAAAAGGUGUGUGUAUUUCUAUGACCAAGGGCUAUGGUUUUAUUAGUAAUUGGGUUUUGAAUUAAUAUAUAUAUAUAAUAGACCUACAUUACAAUACAAUCGGCUAAUGUGGGUGGCAUGCCAUAAACAAAUUGAAGAAUUGUUGAAAGAUAUUGCACUUGAAGAAGUAGCCAAGUUACCAUUUUUUCACAUUCCCUUAUUAACUGUCUCAGUAGAAAGCUUGCAGAAGACAGGAGAUAUUCAUUUAGUAGUGGCGGCACUUGUUGAAAAGUCAAAAAUGGUGGGAGGUGCAAUUGGCACCGAAAGAAAAAAAAAUAGUUGGCAAGUUGUUUAAAGUUGAAUGGGAUAAUUGCAAUUUUGGUCCCUAAUUUUUUAGGCCAUUUGCAAGUUAGUCCCUGAACCUCAACUAUAAAUAGGCCUAACCAUUUCUCAUUUCAACCAUCCCAACCAAUCUUUCUCUCUUAGUUUUCUCUCUUCUCCCAUUUGAGAAUUCUUAAGGAAUUCUAUUUGUCUGUAAUACUUUGAAGAUAGUAAAGUUAUCAUCUGGUGUUAGUGCCCGAGGACGUAGGUAUAAUUUACCGAACCUCGUUAAAACUCUUGUGUUCUUUCUUGUCCUAUUUUUCUUUCAAUAUUUGAGGGUAUAAUAGUAGUAUUUAAUUGUGCUAUUAAAUUACUAUAGAAGGGAUAUUCUGUCUAAGGAAAGACUUGGUAUUUAAGAGAUCCAUGUGAUCCACCUCUCUUUCCUGGGAAUUGAACUUUGUGUGAUUUUUUAGUACAAUAAUUUACACGCUUCCGACCCUAGUGGAACAACAAAUGGUAUCAAAAGCCGAAGGUUAAUCGUAGUAUGCUCUGUGGUUGCAGUUUGAACUGAUCUUCCACAUCAGAAAAGAUUUCCUUAGGUAUAUUGAAAUAUUAUGGAGAAAACGGUCGGUGUAGAAGCUUCAACAUCGUCCAUGUGGACAAGACCGACAAUUGCAAAUGCAAGAUUGGCCGUGGAGAUCUUUGAUGGCACGGGCCAUUUUGGUAUGUGGCAAAGUGAGGUUCUAGAUGCCCUUUUUCAGCAGGGUCUAGACAUUGCCAUUGUUGAAGAGAAACCAGAUGAUGUACAGGAGAAAGAUUGGAAGGCGAUCAAUCGGUUGGCAUGUGGCACAAUUCGAUCAUGCCUUUCUCGAGAGCAGAGGUACGCUUUUUCAAAGGAGACUUCUGCAAAUAAGUUGUGGGUGGCACUUGAAGAAAAAUUUUUGAAGAAAAACAGUCAAAAUAAGCUCCACUUGAAGAAAAUACUGUUUCGCUUCACAUACGUCCCAAGUACCACAAUGAAUGAUCACAUCACCAAAUUUAAUCAGUUAGUCACUGAUUUGCUGAAUAUGGAUGAGACAUUCAAAGAUGAAGAUUUGGCUUUGAUGCUGUUGGGGUCACUUCCUGAGGAGUUUGAGUUCCUAGAAACUACUCUACUUCAUGGUAGGAGUGAUAUAUCUCUGAGCGAAGUCUGUGCGGCCUUAUACAGUUAUGAACAGAGAAAGAAGGACAAACAGAAAAACUCAAUUAAAGAUACAGAAGCUUUAGUAGUCCGAGGUCGUUCAUACACUCGGAAGAAAACUCAAAAGGGGAGAUCAAAGUCAAAGUCCAGACUCGGGAAAGAUGAAUGUGCUUUUUGUCAUGAGAAAGGCCACUGGAAGAAAAAUUGUCCAAAGCUGAAGAAUAAGGGAAAAGCUGCUGUAGAUGCUUGUGUUGCUAAGCAUGAUACUAGUGACUCUGAACUAUCACUGGUUGCAUCAUCAUCGUCGUUCCAUUCAGAUGAGUGGAUAUUGGAUUCGGGUUGUACCUAUCAUAUGUCCCCUAACCGGGAGUGGUUCUCUGAUUUAGUAGAACUAAAUGGAGGAGUUGUUUAUAUGGGCAAUGACAAUGCCUGUUAAACUGUUGGGAUAGGUUCAAUCCAAUUAAAGAAUCAAGAUGGAUCAACCAGAGUUCUGACUGAUGUUCGGUACGUGCCCAGUUUGAAGAAAAAUCUCAUCUCAUUGGGAGCCUUAGAAUCCAAUGGUUUAGUUGUUACUAUGAGAGAUGGGAUUUUGAAAGUGACAUCUGGCGCACUUGUGAUAUUGAAGGGCAUCAGGAAAAAUAACUUGUAUUACUACCAAGGUAGUACAGUUAUUGGAGCAGUCGCUACAGCUUUCGGUAACAAAGAAUUGGACUCAAUGCAGUUGUGGCAUAUGAAGUUGGGACAUGCCAGCGAAAAAUCCUUGCAAAUUCUGGCAAAGCAAGGAUUGUUGAAAGGUGCAAAGGCUUGCAAAUUAAAAUUUUGUGAGCACUGUGUUCUGGGAAAGCAAAAGAGAGUGAAAUUCGGCACUGCUAUCCAUAAUACAAAAGGUAUUUUGGAAUAUAUUCACUCAGAUGUGUGGGGGCCUUCCAAAACACCUUCGUUGGGAGGAAAACACUACUUUGUUACUUUUGUUGAUGACUUUUCCAGAAGAGUUUGGGUGUAUACCAUGAAAACUAAAGAUGAAGUGCUUGGAGUUUUUCUUAAAUGGAAAACUAUGAUCGAAAACCAGACUGGCAAGAAAAUCAAGCGGCUUAGGACGGACAAUGGAGGGGAAUAUAAAAGUGAUCCGUUCUUCGAUGUGUGCCAAGAGUAUGGUAUUGUUCGACACUUCACAGUUAGGGAUACACCACAACAAAAUGGAGUGGCAGAGCGUAUGAAUCGAACAUUGCUGGAGAAAGUUCGAUGUAUGUUGUCCAAUGCUGGGUUGGGCAAGCAAUUUUGGGCUGAGGCUGUGACAUACGCUGGCCAUCUUAUUAAUCGUUUGCCAUCAUCUGCAUUAGAAAGAAAAACUCCUAUGGAGGUAUGGUCUGGAAAACCGGCUACAGAUUAUGAUUCCUUACAUGUGUUUGGAUCCACUGCAUAUUACCAUGUGAAGGAGUCAAAGUUAGAUCCGAGGGCAAAGAAAGCUCUCUUUAUGGGAAUCACUUCUGGAGUGAAGGGAUUUCGUCUUUGGUGCUUAAGCACAAAGAAAAUGAUCUGUAGCAGAGAUGUUAUCUUUGAUGAAUCUGCCACAUUGAAAAAGGUAGCAGAUAAAGAUAUUCAGACGAGCAAUACUCCACAGCAGGUGGAGUGUACUCCAAAAUAGGUGGAGUUUGAGCAGAUGGGGAUUUGCCCAGUUAAUAAGUCUAAUUCUCUAGCCACAAUGGAGGAAUUAGAGGUUGAAGAGGUUCUGACCCAAGAACCACUAAGUACACUAGAACCAGUUGCAGUUACAAGGCCACGGAGAGAAAUUCGUAAACCUGCUCGAUUUACUGAUAUGGUGGCCUACGCCCUUCCCGUUGUUGAUGAUAUUCCUAUCACUUAUCAAGAAGCAAUGCAAAGCUUAGAAAGUGAUAAAUGGAAAAGCACCAUGGAUGAAGAAAUGCAGUCUCUCCGGAAGAACAAUACUUGGGAGUUGGCGCAAUUACCGAAAGGUAAAAGGGCAAUCGGAUGCAAGUGGGUAUUCGCAAAGAAAGAUGGAUCUCCUAGCAAGAAGGAUAUUCGCUACAAGGCAAGAUUGGUAGCUAAAGGCUACGCUCAGAAGGAGGGAAUUGACUACAAUGAUGUAUUUUCCCCUGUUGUGAAGCAUUCCUCCAUUAGAAUUUUGUUGGCCUUGGUAGCACAGUUGAAUUUGGAGCUAGCUCAACUUGAUGUUAAGACGGCUUUCUUGCAUGGUGAGUUAGAAGAGGAGAUCUAUAUGACUCAGCCAGAAAGAUACACAGAUGCUGGUGGUAGAAAUUGGGUUUGUAAGCUUAACAAAUCGCUAUAUGGAUUGAAGCAAUCCCCGAGGCAGUGGUACAAGCGAUUUGAUAGCUUUAUGAGAAGGCAGAAGUACACAAGAAGCAAAUAUGACAAUUGUGUGUAUUUGCAGAAGCUGCAUGACGGAUCUUUCAUUUAUCUACUCUUGUAUGUUGAUGAUAUGUUAAUCGCUUCGAAGAGCCAAAAUGAGAUAGAUAAGCUGAAGGCUCAGUUGAAUCAAGAGUUCGAGAUGAAAGAUCUAGGUGAGGCCAAGAAGAUUCUCGGCAUGGAGAUAAGUAGAGAUAGACCGAGAGGCAAGCUCUGUUUAAAUCAGAAGCAAUAUCUGAAAAAGGUAUUACAAUGUUUUGGUGUAAAUGAAAACACAAAACAUGUAAGUACCCCACUUGCUUCUCAUUUGAAACUUAGUGCUCAAUUAUCUCCGAAGACUGAAGAUGAAAGAGAAUAUAUGGCGAAAGUCUCAUAUGCUAAUGCAGUUGGGAGUUUGAUGUAUGCUAUGGUGUGUACGAGGCCUGACAUUUCACAAGCUGUUGGAGUUGUGAGCAGGUAUAUGCAUGAUCCUGGAAAAGGACAUUGGCAAGCUGUGAAAUGGAUUCUACGGUAUCUUCGAAAAACCGUAGAUGUUGGUUUAAUUUUUGAACAGGAUGAAGCACUUGGUCAGUUUGUAGUUGGAUAUGUUGAUUCCGACUUUGCUGGUGAUUUAGAUAAACGUCGUUCAACUACGGGGUAUCUGUUUACUCUUGCGAAAUCCCCAGUGAGUUGGAAGUCUACCUUACAGUCUACAGUAGCUGUGUCUACUACAGAGGCAGAAUAUAUGGCAGUUACAGAAGCUGUUAAGGAGGCUAUUUGGCUUAAUGGAUUGUUGAAAGACUUAGGAGUUGUUCAAAGUCACAUAAGUUUAUAUUGUGACAGUCAGAGCGCUAUUCAUUUAGCGAAAAAUCAAGUCUAUCAUUCAAGAACCAAGCAUAUCGAUGUAAGAUAUCACUUUGUGCGGGAAGUCUUUGAAAAAGGAAAAAUUCUACUUGAGAAGAUUCCGACAGCAGAUAAUCCCGCAGAUAUGAUGACCAAGGUGGUAACAACAAUCAAGUUUAAUCAUUGUUUGAACUUGAUUAACAUCCUGAGAAUUUGAGCACUUUUAGGUGUAUGGCGCUCGAGAGCGCAUUUGGAGGCACUACAAAAGAUAGCUUUAUCGAAUUUGGGGAGUUGAAGGAAGUAUGUGAAGAUGUGAUUAUCCUAAUCAAAUCUUCAAGGUGGAGAUUGUUGAAAAGUCAAAAAUGGUGGGAGGUGCAAUUGGCACCGAAAGAAAAAAAAAUAGUUGGCAAGUUGUUUAAAGUUGAAUGGGAUAAUUGUAAUUUUGGUCCCUAAUUUUUUAGGCCAUUUGCAAGUUAGUCCCUGAACCUCAACUAUAAAUAGGCCUAACCAUUUCUCAUUUCAACCAUCCCAACCAAUCUUUCUCUCUUAGUUUUCUCUCUUCUCCCAUUUGAGAAUUCUUAAGGAAUUCUAUUUGUUUGUAAUACUUUGAAGAUAGUAAAGUUAUCAUCUGGUGUUAGUGCCUGAGGACGUAGGUAUAAUUUACCGAACCUCGUUAAAACUCUUGUGUUCUUUCUUGUCCUAUUUUUCUUUCAAUAUUUGAGAGUAUAAUAGUAGUAUUUAAUUGUGCUAUUAAAUUACUAUAGAAGGGAUAUUCUGUCUAAGGAAAGACUUGGUAUUUAAGAGAUCCAUGUGAUCCACCUCUCUUUCCUGGGAAUUGAACUUUGUGUGAUUUUUUAGUACAAUAAUUUACACGCUUCCGACCCUAGUGGAACAACAGCACUUACAACCAUAACUGUUCCAAGUGAUUUCAAGGGUGAAAAAAGGUCAGCGCAGGGAAUUCCUUUUCUAAUUUACGAGGCAGCCUUUAAAGUAUUUGUUAUGCAUUGGCCUUUAUUCUCUUUGUUUUGCUACUCUCCAUCCACUUUGGAAUUCUGAAUCCUCUUUUAUCAAAAAUAAAUUAUUGAGAUAUUAAUAUAAUUUUAUAUUAAACCCAGUUCAUGUCUAAUGUCCUUGGUGAUUGCUUUAGACACAGGUGGUUAUGUGAUUCUAAAACCUUCUCAUAGACUUGCAUAUUGUUUCAUCCGCCCUGCCUUUUUUGUUCAAUUCUUCUCCUUCUUUGCCAAGUAUUUUAUUUACAGUUUCCUUAAACCCAAAUUUCACCGUAAAAAACUCCUCCUUUAUUGACCUGACCUCUAACCAGAGAUUGUGGUUUUGUUUAAAGUAAAAUUAUAUAGUUAAUAAUGCACAAAGCAAGAAUAGUACUUAGGGCAGCAUUGCCUUGACCACGAAGAGCUGUACACCCCAUUUUCUUCCCUUCUUUUUCUUCAAUUCUUCUCCUUCUUUGCCAAGUGUUUUCUUUACGGUUUCCUUAAACCCAAAUUUCACCAUAAAACCUCCUACUUUAUUGACCUGACCUCUAAUCCUAUAUAUUACUAUUACUGAAGUGUUCAAGUAUGAAAUUAUAUAUAUAGUUGUAGGUGACUUAAACGGAGGAUAUGCAAGCAACAAACAAAUAGGUAUGGCAUUUGGAAAAUUUCUUAAUUUGCAGUUUUUUUUUUCUUGAGCUUGGGAUGUUUCAAGAUAAUUAAUUAAAUUUUGUUUGGUGUUAUCCAGGUAGAAAUAGAUCAACAAAAAUGGGACCUCAGGAGCCUGAAGAGAACAUCAGUCACAUGGAUGCUUCGCUCUAUAAGGCAGCAGCAGAAGGCAACAUUGAAGUAUUCAAUAAUAAGCAGGGACUUCAACUUGAGUCGCUAAAGACCCCAAACCAUGACAACGUCCUCCAUGUUAACUUGGCAACCCAGGAGACUGCCGCCUGGCUUUUAAACAGAUUUCACUCAUGCGAUCCGGUUAUGAGUUUUUUCAUUACUAUGAUAAAAAAAGAAAAAAGAUCAGAUUUUAUCGAACAAAUUCUCAGCAAGUGUCCGUCACUGCUACUCCAAACGAAUGCUAAAGGUCAAACUCCUUUACACGUUGCAGCAAGGAAUGGACAUUCUGCUAUUGUGAAACUUCUAAUCAAGUUUUGCGCAAAAGCUAGAGAUGGAGAUUUAGAGAAGCUGGGAAUGGAUCAAGUAAAUGCAGUGAGGGAGAUGCUGAGGAUUACGGAUCAGGAAUCCAACAUGGCUUUACACGAAGCAGCACGUUGUGGCAAUGUUGAAGUGGCGAAAGCAUUGUUGGAGUUUGAAGACCCUGAUUUUCCGUAUUCUGCCAACAAAAAACAGGAGACUCCACUUUACAUAGCAGCUAGGAGGAGAGGAUCUGGGCGCUUGUUGACUCUAUUAUUAGAUAAACUCAAAUCAACUGCUCAUGGCGGCCCCCACGGUAGAACAGCUUUGCAUGCAGCAGCUAUGGCUGGUGAUGCAGGUAUGUUGUUGAGUUAGUUCCAUUUUUUUUUUUUAAUUUUGAAAUAAAUAGAGAACAGGUCUAUUGAGUUUUUUUUUUUUUGCUUGGAUUUAGAGGCAAUAAAGGUAAUAUUAAAUAAGAAGGGGAAUUUGACAAAGGAAAGAGAUGAAGAUGGACACACCCCUCUCCAUUAUGCUUCACACUUGGGUAAUAGAUUGUCAGUUGUGAAAGAACUGUUAAAAAGGGAUGUAACAGCUGCCUAUAUAGGUGAUAAAAAGAGGGGGAUGACACCCCUUCUUAUGGCAGCCAGGCAAGGCCAUAUUUUAACAGUUUCAAAGAUUCUCUCUUUAUGUCCAGAUUGUUGUGAAAAAGUGGACAACAAAAGUUUGAAUGUACUUCAUUAUCUGGCUUUUAGAGACUCUCCUUCUCCAUUUGGGAAUUCUGUUUUCAAGAGUGGUGAUAUUGAGAUUGUAUACGGAUCAGUCAAAACUCUAAUGGAGUUGGAAGGUGCCUUUGGAAUGACACCUCAAGAUGUUGAUAAUGCAGUUCGAUCUCAGAAACAUCAUCAUAAACAGGUAGUUGUGUGUACAUUUUACAUUUCUAUAGCUAUGGUUUUAUUAAUAUUUAAAAUUUUGAAUUAACAUAUUUAAUAAACCUAUAAUACAAUGGGCUAACGUGGUGGCAUGGCAGAAGCAAAUCAAAGAAUUGUUGGAAGAAAUUGAGAAUGAUCAAGUGGCGGAGGAACCAGUUCAUCACUUUACCGUACGAAAUAAUUCUAUAGAAAGUUUGGAGAAGACAGGAAAUGCUCAUUUAGUAGCUGCAGCUCUUAUAGCCACCGUCGCAUUUGCAGCAGCAAUAACUGUUCCUGGUGGUUUGGAGAGUGAAAAAGGGUCAAAUCGAGGCACUCCCAUUUUGAUUCAAGAGGCAGCCUUUAAAGCAUUUGUUGUAACAAAUGCAAUGGCCUUUAUUUUCUCUGUUUCUGCCCUCACCACCUACUUUGGGAUUCUGGAUCAUCUUUUUACACGAUUUAUUUUUUGGCGUGAAGCAAUAAUUUUAAAUCGAACUUGGUCUGUUUCUACGCUCCUUAGCUCUGCAACGCUUGCGAUGGUGAUUGCUUUCAGCACGGGUAGUUAUGUGGUCUUAAAACCUUCCCACGAACUUGCCAUUGUUUCAUAUCUCAUAUGCCCUGCCUUUUUACUUUGUAUGUGGGCAGCUUUGUUUGUAAUUUUGACUCGUUCAAUACAUAUUUAAAAUAUAAAUAUGAUAAUAUUACUUUAUGGUUUUUUACAAUGUUGUUUCAAUUAUUAUAAAUUCAAAAAUAUUUUAUUUUCUUUUAAUAGUUUUUCAAAUAUUAAAUAUAUAAUGCAAAAAUAUAUAUAUUUUGUUUCUCAUGAAAAAUAGAUAUCAAUCAUGCAUUUCAAGUUUUCAUUAUUGAAAACAAAAUUUUAUUUCUAGUUAUCAAACUUGAUUUUAAAUUUUCAAAAAAUAGAAAAUAAAAAUAUUUUCAGAAACCUAACGAAGCUUAACUUUUUUUUUUUGUUAGUAUACCAUUUGGUAUUUGAGUUAAUUUCAAUGUUCAAUUUGAUACUUAAGUUCGGCUUCAAUAUUUAAUUUGAUAUCUAAACCAAACGAUUUCAUAAGGCCUAAUAAAUAUUUGACAGGUCUACUCUAAUAAACAAGCAUGGGUAUUCUAAUUGAGACAAAAGAAAAAAAAAAGAAAAAGAAGCUCAAGUAUUAAAUUGAACUUUUUUAAAGUUAAACUCGGAUUCUUAACUAUGACAAAAAGAAACUCAAGUAUCAACGUGAAAAAAAAUUAAGUACAAAAUCGAACAUUCAAACCAAAUUCAUAUACAAAAUUAUAAAAAAUAAUCUUUUAAUAUUAAAUUAAAAUUUGAUAUGAAAUUCAAGUAUCAAAUAAUAUAUUAACUCUUCUUUUUUUUUUUUUGUUAAAUCCUCACCUUGAAAAAAAGCUAAGGUUAUUUGUUUUACAUUUACAACUUAAAAUUUUCAUAUAAAUAGAUUCUGUAUUUAUAAAAAUCUAUUUUUAUUAAAGAUUAAAUAAGAUUUAAGUGGUGUGUUGUUUUAAAGUUCACAGAUUUUUAUUUAAAAUAAUUACAUAAAAAUAAAAAACUCAAAAUUUCACACUAACAAUAUGAAGUUAAAAAAUCACACAUAAAAAAUAGCAUUGCUAAAGAUUCUGCUUUACUAAAUUGUUUAAGUAAGGAAUUAUACAUGCCAUGGUGCUUUCUUUGUAGCAAUGAUCUCUUUGGAUGGAUGAUGCGUUUAUUUACGGUUAGUGUAAAAAUAACGAUAUAAUACUCCAAACCCGGUCUAGAUGUUAUGGCCGAAUAUGGAGGACUUACAUUAGUUUGUUUUAAAACUCUUGAUUUAAUCAAACUUAGUUGUGCGUUUCAAAAACAAAAAACUUGGUGGAACUCUCACAAACGUUCAGAAAAACUUAAGUCCGAAAACACUUAUUUCAAACUCAGAAAUUUAGUUCAAUUUCAUUUGUUUCAAAAGUACCAAUUUUGGAUAAAUCAUUUCCGGUUAAUGCCAAAAUUUGUUAAAAACUAUUUAUUUAUUUACAGAAAAACAUUUAAGAGUAACUUAAUUUGCAGUGGAAAAUUUUUCAAAAUAAUUUUAGCUUUGAAAACCCUAAUCUAAUUUGCUAACCCAUGUGAUUUUAUAGUUUUAAGAUAAAAAAUAUCAAAAAAAAUCAACGAACGAAACGAAAACCAAAACACAACUGAAAAAUAGAUUACAGUCCCAAAAUUAAUUAAAACAUAAACCAACAUAUUUCAUUUAACGACUGGUAACCAAUCCAAGCUCCCGCACGCCGUCCGGUUCUAAGUCUGAAGUUUACCUAAAACAUAUUAAACAAGCAAGUGAGUUAGAAGCCUAGUGUGUGACCUGACCCACAAACAGAGUUUUCUUAUAAGUUUUGCAUAAACAAUAAUCACAUUGAAAUUUCGUAUCGUAUUACAUAUUAAAGCAUGUCAUGUAAUGUAUCGGAAAUUAUCACAUAUCAUAUUUGAAUGUCAUAAUUUUAAAAACAUAUAUCAGAACAAAAUUUCAUAAUAAACACAUUCUCUUAUACAAAAUUAAUUAUAUGUGUGUUCAGAUUCAAAUAUAAAUACAGACACAAAUCCUACCUCCAUUCGCAACACACCAAAUAGGACUACAAGAGUUCAUCCAUCCAAUCACACCAAUAUGUGGCGGUGUGCCACUCAUAAAUAUGUAGCUAAGCUUCUAUAUAGAAAUUUGCGAUCUAGUCGCCAUAUAUUUGCAAUAAAAACUGCCAUAUAACACUUCUUCUAUUAUAUCAUAACCCACCUCAAUGUAUAUGCAAAAUCACGUUAACAUUCAUACAUAUAUCAUAGAUUGUAUGGCAUGCAUGCAUAAAUAGAUAUUAUACAAAGCAUAACGCAACACAUAACUUAUACAGAUCAUAACAUAUUGAGAUUAUGCUCCACACAAAGGUUGCAAUUUUUUCGUGGAAGAAUUGUUAAAAAGAGUUGUAUCAGCUGCCUAUAUAAGUGACAAAAAGAGGGGGAUGACACCCCUUGAUUAAGUGCUAAAGUUACAUAUUUUAUGUAAUUGAAUUAGUUAAUUUAUGAGAGUGCACCGCUAAUUUUUCCAUGUUUACAUUGAAUUUUGUGCAGAGAUGCAAUUUGGGGCUAAAUAGAAGAAAAAUGAAACAAUUGGGCUAAAUUGAAGAAAGAAGCAAAGAAGGAGGGCCAAAGCAAAAUUUUCCCAAUAUUAAUUAGCUGAAAUUUUUGUUGACUUAGUGGGAGAUUAUUUUGGGAUUUUAUUUUAUAUCAUGGAAUAUUUUUCCAAGGCCACUAGUAUAAAUAGAGGCUACUUUGUUCAUUUUAUUCAUCAAUCAAUCAAUCAAAAUAUUAAGCUUUCAUCUUUCAAUACAUUUUCUCUCUUCCUGUCACGAAUUCAUUUGCUGCUUUUAGUUUCUUUUCCUUCAAUUUAUUAAUUCCUAGUAGCCACCAACUUAAGCCAUUUGCAAUCCCUUUUUCAAAUUCCCUUUUUAUUUCCAGUAGCCAACCACCCAUUUACCUUAUUUAAUUUAUCCAAUAGUCAACAUGCCCCAAACCUUAGUUAACUAAACCCAUUUUCAGCUUUAGGUCGGAAUUAACCUCGUCAAAACCCGUGAGUUACGAACCCGAGCAAUUUAACUCCUAAAUUCCAGUACUUAUUAUUUCUCUGGAUUAAGAGUAUGAUUUUUUCAACUCACAAAGUCAAACCAACAUUAAGUCAAAAAAGACGUCGUUUGAUUUAGUGUGGUUAGACGUACAGUUGAAAUUCCGAAAGGAACGUUUCUAAUCGGUUUUCUGUGAACACAUUGGCGUGCCAAGUAGAGAUUGCUGUUUGGUUCCGUCAAGGGAAGUAGUAACCAGAUUUAAAUGUCCCACGCGGUUGAGGGCAUUGGUUCGAGCUAGGCUUUUCUAGAACGCAAAGCUACCGGAGUUCUAAAUUACGAACGUUUCGUGGUUGUUCGAUCGGUAAGGGUUAGUUAUUGGACGUUCCAUAACUAAUUUACAGAAAGAAGAGUUGGUGUCUGAGGCAUCCUUGGUAGCUAUAACUAGCUUAUUGGAAAAGAGGAGUUCAUCUAAUUUCGAGGAUCGGUUCAAAGACGAGGAAAAAUCCGUGCCUAAAGCUGAGCUUUUUUUAAUUAAUUCCCCUUCAGAUUUUAUUUAACUAUUUUUAUUAUUUUGUCUUCAAGUUUUACUUUUUUACGUUUUUUUUAUUUAUUUAUUUCAAGUUUCAGAUUUUAUCCUCCCGAAUUUCUUGGGCACGACAAUUGCCCCGACAAAAAUCUAGUCAAGAGAAGAACAAUUUGCAGUAAACCCAGUCUCUGAGGGAUCGACCCUACUCUCUAUACUACUUAAAAUGCAAAUUAGGCAUAGGUUUAUAUUGGUGGAUUUGACACCCAUCACCCCUUCUUAUGGCUGCCAAGCAAGGUUAUCUUUUAACAGUUUCAAAGAUUCUCUCUUUAUGUCCAGAUUGUUGUGAAAAAGUCGACAACAAAGGUUUGAAUUUACUUCAUUAUCUGGCUUUUAGAGGCUCUUCCUCUCCAUUAGAGUGUCAUCUUUUCAAGCUUGGUGGUAUUGGGAUUGCAUAUGGAUCGGUCAGAAAUUUAAUGGAGUUGGAAGGUGCCUUUGGAAUGACACCUCAAGAAGUUUAUAAUGCACUUCAAUAUGAGAAACAUCAUCAUAAACAGGUUUAUAAUCAAUGAUUUUUUAUAUCUCAUCCGCACUUCAUUUUGGUGGCCUCCUCAUGGAUGGUUAAAGUUUAAUGUGUGUGGGAUUGCUAAAGAAGAUAGAGCAGGUUGUGGAGGUGUCUUGAGAGAUAAGGAGGGUGUCGCAAGAGCAUUUUUCUGGUUCAGUAGCAGCAAAUGAUGCCGAUGUGGCUGAGAUUGGUGCGGUGAAGAUUGCUCUGUAAGUAUUUUUUUUAGCUAUGAACUGGAAGAUUAAUGAUUCUUUAUUUAUUGAACUUGGUUCAUUGGUGGUGUUUUCUUGGUGUGCUAACAAGGAAUGAGACCAUGGUCUCUUCAAGCAAUUUUUGCAGGUAUUGAAAAUGACAUGUUAAAGGCUUGCAGGUCUCUUCAAGAAAGGUAACGAGAUGGCAUCUUCCUUGGCGAUUGCAGGUUAUAAUCGGGUGAAAAUGUUUAAAGCUUGGUGAUGAAUUUUUGUUUUGUUGCAUUCAUAGGUUUAUUAGAGUUGGAAUGCGUUUUAAUUUUGAUUGCUGUAAUACUGAAAUUUUUGUUGUUGUUCUGUUCGUCUUUGACAACAGUACAGCUCGAAUGAAGCAAAAAAAAGAAAAACGAAUGUUACCUCUUUGAAUAAGCAUUACUUUGAUUUUCAGUUAUAAUUAAAAAUUAGUUUGACAAAUCAUUGAAAAAUAUAAGAAUAAGUUUAAGAAAAAUACAAAGUUUUAUUUAAAAGUGGGAAGUCGUCCUCAACUUUUUUAGUUAGCUUUAAAAAGAUAAAAUUGAGUUUACAAUAUAAAUUCAAAGAAAAAUGUUUAGGUUAGAGAAUUCGUUAGCACUCUUGUGACGCCAAAAAUUGGGCACCUUAUUAAAUAUGUGUUGUCUACAUUCGUAAAUUAAAACUCAUAUCUUGGUUUUGAUUAUGAUCCAAUUUUUUGAUAAAUUAAAAAUAAAUAUUAAAUGAGUGAAUCAAUUUUUUAAUAGCAAAACAAAGAUAAUGAUCAAGUUGUAGCAUUUUCAAAAUUCAGGGGCCUUUUUUGAGAUUUUCCAUUUAUUUUUCAUCAUGUUUAAAAGAGAAGUUAUAAAUUUUGAAGUCAGUAGCCCAAUAUUUAUUAAACAUUAAUUGCGCCCAAAUCAAAUAUUAGCUCAAAGUUCAGAAACAUUCGAAUUUUAAAAUUGUGAAAGCAAUAACAUUUCAAAAACUAAUAAAUAUCAACAAAAUAAAAUUUGAUAUUAUCAUGUAAGCUGCUAUUUUCAAGAAUUUAAUGUUUUAGUCAAUGUUUUCGUUAAAAAAAAUCAAUUUGAUUCCUUUUGAAAGGUUUAUGAACUAAAUUCGACUCUUUUUUGAAAAGAUUUAGGACCAAAUUUAGCUCAAGAAAAGAAUAAGGGUUAAAUUUAGCUCAAAAAAAGAAUAAGGGCUAAAUUGAUAAAAAUAAAUUAUACAUAAAUACUAAGGGCUAAUUUUUUUUAUUAUGCCUACUAAGGGCUAAUUUUGUUAUUAUGCCUAAUGAAAAUUAAGAACUCAAUUUAAGUACUUAUAAAAUCUAUUUGAUAUAUUUCUUAAAAUACAGAACAUUAUUAGAUUGUUUGAUAAAUGUAAUUCUUAAAUUUUAAAAGUAAAGUAUUUAAAAUUUAAUGUUAAAAGAAAUAAAAUACAAAAGAAAAUCUAUCAAUAGUCUAUUAUUUACUUAUCAUUUUUCAUAUUUUUUUCGUUGAAAAAUUCUGUACUUUGAUUUGUCACUCAUUAUCAAUGGCUCUACUUUCUCCAAAUUUGUCUAAAAAUGGGUUUAAAAAUUUGUCUAAGCCUUACUUGAAAGAAAAUUAUUAAGCCUGAGCCCGGCCCAUAUUAAAUUUUACAACACCAAAAAAGGUAUAUAUUUAAUAUAUAUAUUUGAUUAAAAGUAUAUUUGAUUAAAAAUAAAAAAAUAUUUAAUAUAUAAUUUGGGUCGGGCCGGGCUCGGGUCAAAAAAAGUUUUACAAGAACCCCGCCCGUUUUCUAAACGGACCUCAUUUUUUUGCCCAAACUCAUAUUUCAGGCCUAUAUUUUUACCCGAACUCUCCCAUUUUUCGAGCAGGCCGUCGGGCCGGGAUGGACCACUCAACCCAUGAUCACCUCUACAUACAGGGCGACGAAAUUUAUUUUUUGAGAGGGUGGAAAUUAAGUUGAAAUUAAGUUGUAUACUUUUAUGAUAGUAAAAAAAUGUAAUUCCAUCCUUUUAAUAGUUUAAAUUUUUAUAAUAUUUAAAAGAUUAAAUUAAAUAUUUAUAAUUUUUAGAAGGUCAAAAUGUAAUUUUAUCAUUAUUAAUUUAAAAUUUUAUAAAUUAUAGAUAGGUUAAAAAGAGAGACCUAUCGUACCCUUGGCUGCACCCCUAAACCCAUAGGUUUUCAUCCAACUUUGAAAGUCCUUUCAAGCUUUCCAAUCUAUUAUAUUUGAUGUCUCAACGAUCCUAACUCUCGACCAAAUAAUCAUUUCCACUAUUUUUAAGCUAAUAUACUUAGGAUUGAGGUAGAAUAAGGACAUAGUGAAUUCCAAAAGUAAAUUAAUUUUUAAAGGGAUUUAAGCCUAAUUCAUUUUGUGUCAAGUCUACAGUAUUAUUAGUUCAUAUUAACACAUCUCUCUAAAGUUAAUCCUAUUCCGGCAAUCAAGAUAAAUUAUCUCUCCUUAUUAGAUUUUAGACAACAUAAUAAUUUUUAUAUAAAUUUCUCUCUCUUCGUAAUUCUAUAGAUUAUAAGUCAUGUAUUUAGAUUACCGACUAAUGGAAGUUGUAUUUUGCAUACAAAACUAAAUUUGUGAUGCAACUUCGAAUUAAUUUAACAGAGGAAAAGAAGAGGAGUGCGGCAGCCAUGCAGCAACGACCAAAGCCAAAGAGAAGGCGGCUUCCACACAAUUUCUUGACUUUUCUUGUGUUUCUCGUCCAUACAAUUAUUUUAUAUUCUAGUAGCACAUUUUCAUUUUGUUUCCCUUGUAAAUAUUUAAAAAUAUAUAAAUCUAAUUAUUUACAUGUUUGAUAAAUAAAUUGUUUGUAUAAAAAAAGUGAAUUUUAAAAUUAAAAUUCGUUUAUAUAAUUAAACAAAUUAAAAUUUAUGUCCAUAUUACAAAUUAAAUUAAAAUUAAUACAUGAUUUUGAUAUUUAUUUCUUUGCAUUUUCGAGAAAAUGUAUUGACUUCACCAAAAAGAGCUGGAGAGCUCAUUUUCUUCCAUUCUUCUCCUUCUUUGCAGUUUCCUUAAACCCAAAUUUCACCAUCAAAAACUCCUACUUUAUUGACCUCACUUCUAACCCUAUAUCACUAUUACUAUUACUAUUACUAAAGUGUUCAACUAUAUAUAGUUGUCAUUUGUAGUUGACUUGAAUGCAGGAUUUGCAACUAACUGGUAUGGCAUUUGGUAAAUUUCUGAUUUUGCAGUACUUUUUUCUUGAGCUUCGAAUGUUUCAAGCUAAUUAAUUCAAUUUUGUUUGGUGUUAUCCAGGAAGAAAUAGAUCAACAAAAAUGGGACCUGAAGAGCCUGAACAGAACAUCACUCACAUGGAUGCUUCGCUGUAUAAGGCAGCAGUAGAAGGCAACAUUGAAGAAUUCAAUAAUAAGCACGGGCUUCAGCUUGAGUCGCUAAAGACCCCAAACCAUGACAACGUGCUCCAUCUUAACUUGGCAACCCAGGAGAAUGCUACCUUGCUUUUUAACAUAUUUCUCUCAAUAAUCAAAUUCUUCCCCUUACUAUAUGGAUGCUUCUCUCCGCCUAUGCGUGAUUUAAUUACUAUUAUAAGAGGAGAAAGAAGAUCGGAUUUUAUCGAACAAAUUCUCAGCAAGUGUCCGUCAAUGCUACUCCAAACGAAUGCUAAAGGCCAAACUCCUUUGCACGUUGCAGCAAGGUAUGGACAUUCUGCUAUUGUGAAACUUCUAAUCAAGUCUUGUGCAAAAGCUAGAGAUGGAGAUUUAGAGAAGCUGGGAAUGGAUCAAGUAAAUGCAGUGAGGUGGAUGCUGAGGAUUACGGAUCAGGAAUCCAACACGGCUUUACAUGAAGCAGCACGAUUUGGCAAUGUUGAAGUGGUAAAAGCAUUGUUGGAGUUUGAAGACCCUGAUUUUCCGUAUUCUGCCAAUAAAAAACAGGAGACUCCACUUUACAUAGCUGCUAGGAGAGGAGACGGAGGCAUGCUGAGUAUACUAUUAGAUAAAUUGAAAUCAGCAGCUCUUGGUGGCCCCCACGGUAGAACAGUUUUGCAUGCAGCAGCUAUGGCUAGAGAUGCAGGUAUGUCGUUGAGUUAGUUCCAUUUUUGUUUUAAUUUGAAAUAAAUAAAGAACAGGUCUAUUGACAUUUUUUUUGCUUGGAUUUAGAGGCAAUAAGGAUAAUAUUAGAGAAGAAGGGGAAUUUGACAAAGGAAAGAGAUGAAGAUGGGCACACCCCUCUUCAUUAUGCUGCACACUUGGGUUCUAGAUUCUCAGUUGUGGAAGAACUGUUAAAAUGGGAUAUAUCAGCUGCCUAUAUAGGUGAUAAAAAGAGGGGGAUGACACCCCUUCUUAUGGCAGCCAGGCAAGGCUAUCUUGGAACAUGUUCAAAGAUUCUCUCUUUAUGUCCAGAUUGUUGCGAAAAAGUGGACAACUAUGGUUUGAAUUUACUUCAUUAUGCGGCUUUUAGAGACUCUGUCUUUCGAUUUGGGAGUUCUGUUUUUAAGCGUGGUGGUGCUGAGAUUGUAUAUGGAUCAGUUAGAAAUCUAAUGGAGUUGGAAGGUGCCUUUGGAGUCACACCUCAAGAAGUUUAUAAUACACUUCGAUCUAUGAAACAACAUCAUAAACAGGUGUGUGUGUAUAUAUAUUGCAUUUCCAUGGCUAUGGUUUUAUUAAUAUUUAAGUUUUGAAUUAACAUAUUUAAUAAACCUACAAUACACUCGGUUAAUGUGGGUGGCAUGACAGAAGCAAAUCAAAGAAUUGUUGGAAGAAUUGGAGAACGAUCAAGUGGCAGAGGAACCCGUUUGUAAGUUUCGCUUACCAAAUGUUUCUACAAAAAGAUUGGCGGCUAUAAGAAAUACUCAUUUAAUAGUGGCAGCACUUAUAGCCACCGUCACCUUCGCAGCGGCAAUAACUGUUCCUGGUGGUUUGGAGAGUGAAAAAGGGUCAAAGCAAGGCACUCCCUUUUUGAUUCAUGAGGCAGCCUUUAAAGUAUUUGUUGUAACAAACGCAUUGGCCUUUAUUUAUUCUGUUUCUGCCCUCUGCAUCUACUUUGGGGUUCUGGAUAAUCUAUUAUCAAGAUUUAAUUUUUGGCGUGAAACAAUUUUACAUCGAACUAAAGCUGUUUCUGGGCUUCUUGGCUAUGCAACAAUCGCGAUGAUGAUUGCUUUCAGCACAGGCAGUUAUGUGGUCUUAAAACCUUCCCACGGACUUGCCAUUGUUUCAUAUCUCAUAUGCCCUGCCUUCUUUUUCAUUCUGCAUUGGACUAUUUUUGAUUACUAUAUUAAGAGGAUAUUAUUUUAUCGUUGAUUACAAUAUGUUCCCAAUUCCUAAUGUCAAUGUUACCUCUUUGAAGAAAUAUUACUUUAAUAUUAAUAAUCUCCAUUUAAUUGAAAUAAAUAUAAAAUUAUUAGAUACACAUACAAUUUCAAAUAAAGUAAAAUUUAUUAAAUAUCAAAGAAUAAUAAAGAUGUGGCAAUUAACUCUCGGUUAUAAUUAAAAAUUAGUUACAUUAUAAUAAAGACAAUGAGAUUAAAAAAAAAUUCAAAGUUUUUGUGCAUUAGACUUUCAACAUUGUAACUUUAGCAUUUCGACUAUAACUUAAACUACGAAUCUCUAUUUUGAGCCCAUAAUAUAGUAAACUACUUCACAAAUCAAGCACCAAAACCUCAAGAAUGCAUCCAAAAAUAGCCUGGAAGUUUGACGUGAAAGUUGCUAAGAAAUCUUGAAACAAUCUGCUUUAUGUAAAUAGGUAAAUUUUUGCAUUUUCUAUAUUAUAUUAUCUUUGCCUUAUAAACAUACAUUAUUAGGUUAAAACUUGAGGAGAGACCCAGACAUAGUCACCUUAGCUUUAUUUUGUUUUUGCGUUUUAUUUUCUUUAUGAUUUUUUUUAAUUUUUUUUCUAGUUUAAGGUCAAUCAAAGUUUGAUUCAAUUAAUUUGUGAGACAUGAUUUGCACUUUAAUUCUUUUUUGUUCUUUGGUAUUCAUGCAUCUUCUGUUAUAAUUACAAUUGCUCAGGUUUGUUAGUAUUGAGUCAUCAACUAGAACUAAUUUAUUAAAAACAUUGAAGAUAUCAUUACAUAGAUGAUCGAACUUAAAAAUCAAUUGUAGAUUUUACCUUUGGGUAAAAUUACUUUCUUUGGUUCAGUUUUUAAUUUGAAUUUAGUUUUUUAUUUUAUAAAACCCUUUUUUUUAUUUACCUUAGUGGUUCUUACUUAAGGAAUAUAAUUAUCACUAAUAUCUAUAUAUGUGGGUAUAAUUUUGCUUGUUGUUUUCUAUUAGUUUAUAUGUUUAAAUUAAUUUCAAUUUUAUAGGUGUCGAUAGUCUAACAACUCUCUUGGAUCUUCCUUGUUGAGCAUUUUUGAACUUCUUAAACCUUUGGCUUCAUUUUGAUCUGUAUUUAAAAACUUUGUUUAAGUUUCGAGAUAAAAGGGUUAUCUACUCUUGCAACUCUUCUAUAGUAGUGUUAUGAUUAGUGGACAUUACUUCUGUCACUUGUAAGGAAACACCCUUUUUUCCUCCGCUUCAAUUUUCUUUUUAUUUCAUCUAGAUUGAUCUCAUAGGUUUGUAGAAAUCCAAUUAACCCAUCAAUUCACAUAUUAUCAAUAUCUUUGGCUUCUCCAAUGAUUGUGACUUUGAUGUUGAAUUUCUUUAGAAAAGAUCAAAUCACACAAUUUGGAAUAGAACUUGUCAAUUGUUUCAUUAUCCUUCAUUUUUAGAGUUUUAAACCUUGUUAUGAGCAUUUGUAAUUUAGACUGCUUCACAAUCUCUAUAACACCCCUAAACCCCGCCUGAACGUUAUGGCCGAAUCUGAAAUGUUACAAAGAAGAGUUUUGAAACCGAUCUUUACAUGAAAAAAACAACUCGUAUGGUAUGUUACUAGAAAAGAGUCCUUAUUUUAUAAAACAUAUCCAUUUAACAUUUUCUUUACUAAAACCAUCGAUAUUUUGUUCUUUAAGAAAAACUUAAUUUGCUGCAGAAAUCUUAAGUGUCAUUAUAUGUCGAAAACCAAGUUUGUGUUUCCCAAAAUGUUUGUUUGUGUAAAACCGUUAUUUAAAAAAAAAGCGUCUGUUGUACAUUGCAGAAAACAUAAUCAAACCAAAAACAACAUCAAAAACCAAAAGAAAUCAAAAAGGACGGAGAGUCCCAAAAUUACAAAACUCUCAACAAAAACCAAAAAUUAAAAUAAAACCAAUAAUUAAAGGAUAGUUUCCAUACUAGUGGUCAUCGCUGAGCCUCCGUCGCACCGACCCACCUAUGUUUGAAGAUUACUUGAAUAAAGUAGACAAACAGAUGUGAGUUUUCAAAAACUCAAUGUGUAACUUAACAGAGACAUGCAUACACAUAAACUCAGAUUUCUCAUGUAAUAGAUCAGAUACAGGCAUAAGUCCUUAACAGAAUCAUAUAAUAUCAUAAUCGGAUUAUCAGAAACAUACAGAUACGCAAAGUCCUACCCCCAUCCUCUACACACCAUCUCAGACCAUCCUAACACACCAUGUGGGGUAUAAAACACCCACCCAUCCCUACACACCACAUAAUGUCUUUAUAACACUUAUCAAGAAUAGUUUGCAGUCAAGCUGCCAGUAUAUCAGCAACAUGUUGCCUCACAGAACACUUCCUCCACAUAUACAAAUCCCACCCCAUACACAGAUAUAGAUAACAGAUAACAAAUAUAACAGAACUAACAUGUCCGGCAUCCUCAUAUACAAAUAUCAUACAUGUUAUUAUGAAAUAGUCAAAUCAUACAUAUCAACUUCUAAUUACUCAGAUUAGUCUAUCAAAAUAGCAGAUAUCAUGCAUUAAGGUUUGUUUUGCCCUUACUGACCCUAUGAAAGGCCCACAGUUGAUCGGGACGACGUGUGCGACCCUAAGGAAAAUUUUAGAAAUUUGGGCCCACACGCCCGAAACAGCCGGUCACACUGCCACACAUACUCCCGUCACACGGCUGUGUGGCAUCAACAGGCCACUUUUUCAACUUUCAUCGAACCUCGAUUUCUCGUGAUUUCAUUACACACCUGGUUCAAUUUUUAUGUGAAACAAUCUCGAGACCACCAAAACCUAAAAAUUGACAAUACAAGCCCUAAAAUCAGUCCUUAAUCCUCAAUUAAACCAAAACAAAAAAAUAAACUACAGUGAAACUCAAGUAUUCGCCACUUACCCAACUUCCCGAACAAUCCCAAUUAUGUUUCCGUAGGAAGAGAGUUUCGUUCCUCACGAUUCACUGCUACCAAUAAUCCACAAAUUAAUACUAACGAAAGACAACAUCGACUUAGAUCAACUUUAACAAUCGCCAAUAACCCGUGUAAAAUCUCACUACCUCUACUUACCUAGUCGCACGAAGAGAUUCAAAUUUCGAAGCAUCACAAUUUGAAUGGAAAAUCAUGACAAAAACUAAAAGAAAAGAAAGAGAAAGUUUUUGACAGAGGGAGAACAGAAGAAAGUUAGAAAAAGGAGAAUUUUUGGGAAAAAUAAAAUAAAAUCAAAAUAAAUCAAAAUUUAACACAUAUCUUAACUUCCCUCACUACUCAGAAUUUCACUACCACCGAACUUUAUCAUACAACUGAAGCAAAAAUUAAUAUUCACGCUCACACGGGGACUCAAACACAAAACCACAAGGCAAGUUAACACUUUACUAGUCAAACCAACAAACUCAUUCUAUUAUGACUUGACUAACAAUAGAAUAUAAGCCAAACCGUCAAGGAUAAAGCUAGGGUACAAAAUAACAUAAUUUUCCAAAAGAAAAACUUAAACCUAAGACCUCAAAUACACAAUCAGAACACUUAACCAUUGAAACAAAUACCCAUUUAUGAUAAAACUCACAGAAACAAAGUUAAAUUAGUUAGGGCGUUACAAUCUCCAUGCCUUGAUGGGCAAUCUCAGAGACUUCAAGCUAUAUAUAUAUAUGUGUGUCACUUGUCUUGAUAAGCCACAAGGUGUCUUGGAAUAAGUAAGGCAUUUUGUAAUUUUUCUUAAUUUGUAAUGUUUUUUUCUUUUAUCUUUGAAUGUUCCAAGGUAAUUGAUUAAUUGGUGUUUUCAAGGAAGAAAGCUGUGCAAUAGAUCAACAAAUAUGGGACCAACGUUAAACGAAAUUGUUAUUUCCUCCGGUGAACCUGAGAAGCCUGCAGAGAACAUCACUUACAUGGAUGCUUCAUUGUAUAAAGCUGCAGCAAUUGGCAAAAUUGAAGAAUUCAAUAAUUACCAGAGGCCUGAACUUGAGUCGCUGAAGACCCCAAACCAUGACAACGUGCUCCAUGUUAACUUUUCAACCCCUGAGCGUAUCUGGCAACGUGCUCCAUGUUAACUGAAUUGUAAAUAAAUUAAAUUACAAGGUUGACGUUGUGACAUUGUUACUUUCUCGUUGUGACGUUGUCAAAUAGUUUGCCACAUCACGAUAUUGUAGCACCACUUAUUGUUUUGGCCUCGUCGAGAUGACGGUGUUUCUCAUAUCACUGUGACAUUAUAGGUCAUUUCUUGUCGUGGUGUCAUAUGUUAUUUCUACAAAAUUUUUCUUGAUUAUGUUAAAGUUGUAUGACCCAAAUCCUAUCACUUGUUCCUACAUUAAGAAAUUUUACUAACUUUGCUUGAAAACACAACAAGAACAAAGUAAGUAGAAUUUUAUUUUGUUUAAAUAAAAUAAAGUAUAAGUUAAAGUGUUCAAGGAAUGAAAUAUGCAUGCUAUGACGCUUUUUGUUAUGCUAUGCUAAAGUGUUCAAUAAAGGAAUUAUGCAUCCUACGCUUUUGUUAUGCUAUGUUGAAGUGUUCAAGCAAUACAUUAUAUAUAUUAUAUGUGUCACUUGUCUUGAUAAGCCACUAGGUGUCUUGGAAUAAGUAAGGCAUUUUGUAAUUUUUCUUAAUUUGUAAUAUUUUUUUUCUUUUAUCUUUGAAUGUUCCAAGCUAAUUAAAUAAUUGGUGUUAUCAAGGAAGAAAGCUGUGCAAUAGAUCGACAAAUAUGGAACCAUCGUUCAACCACAUUAUUAUUUCCUUUGGUGAACCUAAGAAGCCUGCAAACAACAUUAUUUACAUGGACGUGUCGUUGUAUAAAGCUGCAGCAGUAGGCAAAAUUGAAGAAUUCAAUAAUUACCGGAGGCCUGAACUUGAGUCGCUGAAGACCCCAAACCAUGACAACGUGCUCCAUGUUAACUUAUCAACCUCUGAGUGUAUCGGGCAACGUAGCAGAUCAGAUUUUAUCGAACAAAUCCUUUUCAAGUGUCCAUCACUGCUACGCCAAACAAAUGCGAAAGGUCAAACUCCCUUGCAUGUUGCAGCAAGGAAUGGGCAUUCUGCUAUUGUGAAACUCCUAAUCAAGUCUCGUGCCAAAGCUACUGAUGAAGAUUUAAAGAAGCUGGGAAUGGAUCAAUUGAAUGCAGUCAGGGAGAUGCUGAGGAAUACGGAUCAGGAAUCCAACACGGCUUUACAUGUUGCAGCAAGGUAUGGUCACGUCGAAGUGGUGCAAGAAUUGCUGGAGUUUGAAAACCCUGAUUUCCCAUAUUUUGUCAACAGAAAUCAGGAGACUCCACUUCACAUAGCAGCUAGGAGAGUAGAUAAGCUCUCACUGAUUAUACUAUUAGAUAAAUUGGACAGCUUUGCAUGCAGCAGCCAUGGCUGGAGAUGUCGGUACGUUAAGUUAGUUCCAAAUCAUUCUUGUUUGAAAUAAAUAAAGAAUCAAUUUAUUGACUUUUUUGUUUUGUUUUGCUUGGAUUCAGAGGCAACAAAGAUAAUAGUAGAGAAUAAAGGGGAUAUGACAAAGGAAACAGAUGAAAAUGGACACACCCCUCUUCACUAUGCUGCGCACUUAGGUCACGAUUCAGUUGUGGAAGAGCUGUUAAAAUGGGAUUUACUUGCUGCCUACGUAGGCGAUAAAGAGUGGGAAAUGACACCCCUUCUUAUGGCAGCCCGGCAAGGCCAUGGACAAAUAGUAACAAAGAUUCUCUCUUCUUGUCCGGGUUGCUGUGAAAAAGUGGACAAAAGGGGUUGGAUAACUUUUUCAUUUUGUGGAGUGAAAGUUUUCAAGACAACAUUUAAUAGAACUGUUCUAUAUUUUAUUAACUAAACAACUGAAUUUAAAUAGAAAAAAGAGUAUUAAUUUAAUUGGAAAAAUAAUUUCCUUAUUUUAAUAAACUACUAAAAGAUAAAAUCAAAUAUUCUUAGAAUAUCUCAAAUAAUUUAUUCUAAAAUUUAUCUACCUAAAUAAGAUUUAUCUACCUAAAUAACUUUAAAAUAUAUCCCAAAAUAUAUGCCUUUCACAUAUUUCAGCACAGAGAUCCUUCUUUAUUUACAAUUCUCCAACGUGAUAAUGGUUGUAGCACUAUAUAUGGGCUAGUAAAAAAUCUAAGGCAGUGGAAAAAUGCCCUCGGAAUCACACCUCAAGAAGUCUAUGACACAUAUCGUAGUCGUUUCCAUAUCACUGAUCAGCGUACAGAGAAAAUGGUAAAAUUUCUAUGGCCUAUGGCUAUGGUUUUACAUGCAUGUAUAUAAAAUACAAAGACCUAUACUACAAUACAAUCGAUUAAAGUGGCAGGAGCAAAUUAUGGAAUUGUUGAAAGAUAUUACAAAUGAGGAAGUAGCCGAGAAACCAGUUCGUCCCAUACCUUCGAUAACUAUCUCUGCAGAUAGGUUGGAGAAGGAAAGAGAGGUUCAUUUAGUAGUGGCAGCACUUAUAGCCACCGUGACUUUCGCAGCAGCCAUAACCGUUCCAGGUGGUUUGAAAAAGGAAAAAGGGUCAGAGCAGGGCAUUCCUUUUCUCAUUCAUGAUGCAACUUUUAAAGCAUUUAUUGUAACCGAUGCAUUGGCCUUUCUUUUCUCCCUUUGUGCCCUCCUUUUCCAUUUUGGAAUGCUGCCUCCUUUUUCCUCAAUUCAGCGCCCUACUUUUCUGUCUCACGUCGGUGCCACUACGUUUCUUGGUUAUGCAACGUAUGCGAUGGUGAUUGCUUUCUGUACAACCAUUUAUGUGGUGUUAAAGCCUUCGUACGGGCUUUCCUUCGUUUGCUAAUCCAUGGCAUUGUUUUCCAUUAUUUGGUGGUGAUUGUACAUUAAAGAUGAAAGAGGGAAAUAGUCCUUCAUUAAAAUUGAGUUAUUAGAAUUCCACGUAUUGGCCUAAUAGUUAGGGUGUUUAUUGUCCUUGGUGUCGCUUAAAUUCGAGUAGCGCUAGUCACGUUGCUAUUAAGGCUUUGUCCUCCUCUUAUAAUUCACCAAAAAAAAAAUUUUGAGUUAUUAAAUGCUGAUUUAUGUUUUAUAAGUAUAAGGAUUAAUGAUAAAUUUAUAAAUAAUAUUAUUUGCACAAUUUUAAUUAAAUUAAUGAUUAAAAAUCAACUAAUAAAUUAUUUGAGUCAAAAGUUGAAUAUAAAAACACAGCAAGAAUAAGAUAAUAGAUUAAUGUUGUUUUGUUUGAAGUAAAAGUAUAAAAUUAGUAAAACACAUAGCAAGGAUGCUAUGCUAUGCUAAAAUGUUGAAGUAGGGAAUCGGUGCUUUCAUCAAUUAUGGAAUUAUAUAUGGUUUUCGUUUGUUUUGAUAACUUGUAGGUGAUUUGAAUGAAGCAUGUUAUAGUUAAACCCUAAAUUCUAAAACAUAAACUUUAAAUCGAGAAAGAAAACCUUAAAUAAAUGAGUAAAAGUAUAAUUAUUGUUAAUUAAAUGGUAAUUAAAAUAAAAAUAUAGUCAAAAUAAUAUAAUGAGUUUUAUCUGCUACAAUUCGUUACGACAAAUUAAGUUCUUUUCUGUAAUUAAUAAGCUUAUUUUUGAAUAAUUUGAUUACAUUUCUAUUAAUUUCCCAUUUUAGCAUUUUAUGUUCGAUUUCAAUAAAAUAAACAUUUUUACAUAGUUAGGUGUUUUAAUGGCCCGUUAGGCCAAUCAAAGCCUAAGAAACAACUAAUGGAUUAAUUGAGUGUGUCGGACAUCGUUUCGGGCCAAGAAAUUUGAAGAACGACCCCAAUGUCGCAACAUCCAUUAAUAGUGUUGUAACAACCAACUUCGAAAGUUAGAAUGGGGAUGCAAAGACGACAGUGUCGCAAAAAUGAACUUUGCAUGCAAGCUAGGAGAGUAAAAUCGAUGAUGUCGUGACACCCAACUUCGAGGCCAAGAAAGUCUCAUUCGAUGUCCGAUGUCUUGACAUCAGUCCUAUUGACACUGAUUCAACGAGGGCAAAAUACAACUGAGGAGGGUGUUUUCAUAUGCACAACUCAUCCUAACCCGUUAAUCACUUGCAUUUGAUCUAAUAAGAUCAUAAAAUACCAGAAUUAUAAAUAGAAUAGUUUAAGGUUUAAUUGGGAUUUUAUUCCCUUACUUAAUUUUCUAGCUUUAGGUUUUGUUAGAUUGGGAACUUCUAUUUUAGAUUCAAUUUUAAUUCGAGUUUUAAUUUCUUCAUCAAUCUUUAGUUUUUCUUUUGCAUUGGCUUUCAAUCGCUGUUUCCUCAACGAUUAUUAAGGGGUUUUUGUCUUCCAAGCACAAUCGGCAUAUCAACGAAUCAAAAUUAUAUUUUCCCCUCUUUCUAGUUUGCUAUUUGUUUUAAUGUCUGGAUUGAAUUUAAGGAAAAUUGUAUUUAGACUUAUGAGGAGCUAAACCAGUAGGAAGAUUAAAGAUCGAAGGUGGAAUUAAUUAACUGAGAAAUUAGAGUUCUCCUUAGAAUUAGUUGACUUAAAUUAUGUGUAAUUAAAUCUUAAGGUUGACAACUCUAAGAAGUUAUUUAGGUAAAUGAGGUCAAAAGAAUAGUUUAUCGAGUAUUUCCUAAUUUAAUUCGAUUUAAACUGCGAUGUCAAAAUAUAAGUAGUUUCUAAAGAUUAAUUGAUCUAGUUACAGGCUGAAAGGUAAUAACUAGGUUAAUUAUUAACUAAUUCAUCAAAACCCGAAUUCUGAAGUUAAUUAUGAACACUGACAUGAGUUAAUCUUCUGUCUUUUACCGAGUGAAUUUCAAUUGUUAGUUUAGUUUUCUUUAAUUUACGGUAGUGUCACUACUUAAUUUUAUUUAGAUUUUUCGUACUAUAAUUUUAAAUUAUUAUUGUUUAAACCUGUUAGUGUAGAAAUUAAUCUCUAGUUUAAUCUAGCCUCUUUUGGUACAAUUUUUUGAAUACUUAGUUGUUCCAUUGUAACUUUUAUGUUAUAACCUGACUUGUAUAUUUGCGAACAUAACUAUUAUUUCAUAUAUUUUAUUUACAGUAUUUCCAGCCCCGAUAUUUACAUGUCGAGGCGAGUAAUCAGAGUUCCAACAACUCGUCCUUAGAAGUAAUAAAUAUUAAUAUUUUAAAUAGAUAUAGUCAAAAUAAUAUAAUGAGGUCCAACAACUUGUGGUUGGAAGUAAUAAAUAUUAAUAUUUUAAAUAAAUGUAGCCAAAAUAAUAUAUUUAUGUCCAACAACUAGUCCUUGGAUGUAAUAAAUAUUAAUAUUUUAAAUAAACGUAGCCAAAAUAAAAUCCAACAACUCGUCCUUGGAAGUAUUAAAAUUUUGAUAUUAUUGUUUUUUUUAUAUUUUUAUAAAAAAUAAAAUAUAUAAGCAAUUUGAAUUUUAGUCAACAUGAUUUCAACGUUCUUAAAUUUAUCAUUUCAAUCAUAACAUUAUUUGUUUUUUUAUAAACAUUAACAUGGUAAUAUUUUUAUUUUGGUUUUUUCAAAAUAUUCAUUGAAACAAGUCUAAUGAUUAAUCUUUCGUAUUCUGUAAGUCCAUUAAGAGGUAAGUGCUAAAGUAUAUAUAAAAUAUAUAAAAUAUACUAAGUGUGUCUUAAUUUUAUCAUUUCAGUUAGAGCAUUAUUUAAUUCUUUUAAAAAACAUUUACAUAAAAUUUUCACUUACAAUUAAUGUGUCAUAAUUUAGUCAUAUAUAAAUUUAAAAGUGAUAAAUUUGUUUUUUGGGUACAUGAAGAAUGAUCAAAUCAUAACUAGACUAGAUGGGACCAAGUCAUUUCAAAGCAAUCAUUAUAUAUCUUUUGAAGGAUUUCAUCUGGAGUUGCAUAUAGCUAUAUAUGUCCAGAGGCCCUGAAAAUCCAUUAUUACCAGUCCAUCGGCUACUCAAUUACCCUAUCUGAAUACGUGAUGUGUCCCACUAAUCAUUCAAGCUCCUUGAGUAAUUUCUUUAAUGCUAACAAUUUAGUAAUUUAAUGAUCUUUAACAACCUUGUUUUCCGUAUUAUAUAAUUUUAAUUAAUAUUUUAUAAUUAAAAUUAAAAAUUUAUGUAUUCAAAUUAAUUCAAAUUCACCUAACCUUUGAAUUAGAUUGAUAAACUACAUUUAGAUAAAUCUAUUUAUAACAACUUAAUUUUUUAUUUAAAUUUAUAUAUAAUUCAAUAACAACUUAAUUUUGUAUUUAAAUUUAAAUAUAAAUCAAUCUUAUAAUAUUUGUAAUUAAUAUAGAGUAGUAAACUAUUCUUAGUCAUGAAUUAAUUUCUUCCACCCAUUCUUGGCUGCAAAACCAAAGACAAUGAGAUAAACAAAUAAAAAGAGUCAAGAACGAAGAAAUCCUAGCCUUGAUUUAUGGUUUCAUUAAUUCUACCUUUUGGCCCACAAAAUGAAAAUAAUGACAAAAAGUUGUUCAAUUCUUGAUUGAGUCUUAGCUCAAUUGUUAUUAACAUUAUUACCUGUGUAAGAGGACGUGGGUUCGAGUGUGCUGAAACGUAUUAUCUUCUACCUUAUUUAAGGUCGGGGAGAGAAAAAAAAAAGUUGUUCAAAUGAUGUAAGGGAUCAUUAGUUGUAAUGGGAAUAGAUUUGUGAAAAUACUGAUUUGAGUGGUUUAGGCCAUUGUGCUCUUCAAAAAUUUGAAAUUUCGUUCUUAUAUUUUUAUUUUUAAAAAUUUAGUCCCUCUAUUUUUAAGAUCUUAAAAUUUAGGUCCAAUUGUUAAUUCUAUUGUUUUAACCUUGAAAAAUUUGUAGAUUGAGAUCACAUCCCUUUCAAAAUUUGCUGAAUUUUCAAAAAAAUAUGUUAAAUGUUUGAUGUGAUUUUUCAAAAACUUUACAGAAACUUGGUUGAAGAAUUAAUGGUUUCCAGUUGACAAGUUGACUUAGGCAUUACAGGAGAACUGAUAGUUUGAUGAAUCUAUUUGGUUAUAAAAUAUUUGUAUUGAUCACUCUGCAAGAGACUAAUUACAGGCAAGUAACAAACAGGAAAGACAUUUGGUAAUUUUCUGAAUUUCUAGCUUCUUUUUUUCUUCAGCUUAGAAUAUUCCAAGCUAACUAAUUAAUAUUUGUUUUGUGUUAUCUAGGAAGAAAGCUCUGCAAUAGAUCAACAAAAAUGGAACUAUCGAUAAACGUCAUGCCUAUGUCCUCCGGAAAACCUGAGGAACCUGAAGAGAACAUCACUUACAUGGAUGCUUCGUUGUACAAGGCAGCUGCAGAAGGCAACAUUGAAGUAUUCAAUAAUAAGCAGGGGCAUCAACUUGAGUCGCUAAAGACCCCAAACCAUGACAACGUGCUCCAUGUUAACUUGGCAACCCACGAGCUUGCUGCCUGGUUUUCUAAUGGAAUUCUCUCAAGAACUAGAUCCUUCCCCAAUUUAUAUUUAUUUGUCUAUUUGUUUUUGUGGAUUUUCAUUAUUAAGAAAACAAGUGAAAAAAGAUUAUAUUUUACCGGACAAAUUCUUACCAAAUGUCCGUCACUACUACUCCAGACGAAUGCUAAAGGUCAGACUCCUUUGCACGUUGCAGCAAGGAAUGGACAUUCUGCUAUUGUGAAACUUCUAAUCAGCUUUUGCGCAAAAGCUAGAGUUGGAGAUUUAGAGAAUCUGGGAAUGGAUCAAGUAGUUGCAGUGAGGCAGAUGCUGAGGAUUACGGAUCAGGAAUCCAACACGGCUUUACAUGAAGCAGCACAGUAUGGCGAUGUUGAAAUGGUGGAAGAAUUGUUGAAGCUUGAACACCCCGUGGAAAGAUUGUUGGAGCUUGAAAAUCCUUAUUCUCCGUAUUCUGCCAACAAAAACCAGGAGACUCCACUUUACUUAGCAGCUAUGAGAGGAGAAGAGCCUUUGCUGAAUGUAAUAUUAAAUAAAUGGAAAUCAGCUGAUCAUGGUGGCCCUCAUGGUAGAACAACUUUGCAUGCAACAACUAUGGCCGAAGAUAAAGGUAUGUUGAGUUAGUUCCAUAUAUAUUUUUUGUAAUAAAUAAAGAAUAGAUUUAUUGACAGUUUUUUUGCUUGGAUUUAGAGGCAACAAGUAAAAUAUUAGAGAAGCAAGAGAAUUUGAGAAAGAAAAAAGAUAAAGAUGGGCACACCCCUCUUCAUUAUGCUGCACACAUAGGUUACAAUUCUGUUGUGGAAGUAUUGUUAGAAAAGGAUGUAUCAGCUGCCUAUAUAGGUGAUAAAAAGUUGGGGAUGACACCCCUUCUUGUGGCAGCCAGGGAAGGUAAUGUUGGAACAGUAAAAAAGAUUCUCUCUAAGUGUCCUGAUUGUUGUGAAAAAGUGGACAAAAGAGGUUUGAAUUUACUUCAUUAUUUGGCGUUUAGAGACCGUUCCUAUAAAUUAAGUCAUUCUCUUUUCAUGCCUGGUGGUACUAAGACUGAAUAUGGAUCAAUCAGAAAUCUAAGGAAGUUGAAAGGUGCCUUUGGAUUCACCCCUGAACAAGUUUAUGCAUUACUUCGAUAUGAGGGUCAUAACGAGAAAUAUCUGGAUGAAAAGGUGUGUAUUUCUAUGACUAUGGGUAUGGUUUUAUUAAUAAUUGGGUUUUGAAUUAACAUGUGGUGGUAUGGCAGAAGCAAGUCGAAGAAUUGUUGAAAGAAAUUGCAAGUGAAGAAGUAGCAGGGUUACAAGUUUCCCACAUUCCCUUACCAACUGUCCCUGCAGAAAGCUUGGAGAAGACAAGAGAUGCUCAUUUAGUAGUGGCAGCACUUAUAGCCACCGUCACAUUUGCAGCAGCAAUAACCGUACCUGGUGGUUUGAAUACUGAAAAAGGGUCAGAGCAGGGCACUCCUUUUCUGAUUGAUGAGGCAGCCUUUAAAGCAUUUGUCGUAACAAAUGCAUUAGCCUUUAUUCUCUCUGUUUCGGCCCUCUCCAUCCACUUUGGGAUUCUGGAUCCUCUUUUACCAAAACUAAAAUUUUGGGGUAUUAAUCUAAUAUUAUAUCGAACUCAGUCCGUUUCUAAUCUCCUUGGCCGUGCAAUGUUUGCGAUGGUGAUUGCUUUUAGCACCGGCAGUUAUGUGAUUUUAAAACCUUCUCAUGGACUUGCCAUCGCUUCAUGUUUCAUCUGCCCUGGCUUUUUUGUUUGUUAUUACGUACAACAAUCCCUAUCUUUCGUGAAGAGGUUGUUGGAGUGAUAAGUGAUAAUAACGAAUUUCAUCACAAAUAUUAUAUUAUCUGUGACAAAUUUUAUAUGUCGCACUAAUUAUACCACAAUAGUCAUUAUUAUGAUAAUAGUUGUGACGGUUUAAAUAUUGUUUCUAUAAAUGUAUAAUGGUGACCUAAUCUAUUUGUCAUUAGCAAUUCUCUUUCUUCUUGAGUAAUUAUAUAAUAGUCACAACAUAUAAUUAUUCCGAACAAAAUUAGGCAUUUAUAAAGCUCAAACAAAAGCAUUUGAAUUUUUUGUAAUGAGAUGAAUAGAAGUUAUUAAUUCCGAGUUUUGUAAGUAGAGAUAAUCAAUUUUUACUAAAAGGUACUCAUAUUGUGUGAAAGACAAUAAAAAGAAGAGCUCAUGGAGGCCCAUGGUAGAACAACUUUGCAUGCAGCAGUACUGGCUGUAGAUGGCAGGCAAUUAGAUAUGCAAAUAUGUUAUCAACAACUUCAUUUAUUUCCCGAAAUAUAUGUGAAAGGGAAUUAAAUCUCUAUUUGAAGCCAAAAUGGAUGUGGUUCCAAGUGUUGAGCGGCAUAGGAAGUAAUCAAAAUAUAUGUUGCACUGCAAGGAAUUCAAGGCUGCCUUGUCCACAAAGGCUUAUAACUGCUAAGCACCUGCUCUUAAAUUUGAUUAUGGCCUAAUAAACAACAUAGGGCAGCAUUGACUUCACUACAAAGAGCUGUAGACCCCAUUUUCUUCCAUUCUUUGUCUUCAAUUCUUCUCCUCCUUUGCAGUUUCCUUAAACCCAAAUUUCAACCAGUCAAUUAAAUGUUUAAAUUUGAAAAUCCCCAUACACUUGAUGCUAUUUUCUUUUCUUUUUUUUGAAUUUAGCUAUGGAAUUUACAUCUUUUAUCAAUUUAGUUAUUUUUAUUAUUUUUUAAAUUAAAUUUGACUCUUCAUCUUUCAUAAUAGAGUUCAAUUUUACCAUAACACAAAGAGCUGUAGACCUCAUUUUCUUCCAUUCUUUUUUUCAAUUCUUCUCCUUCUUAGCAGUUUCCUUAAAAGCAAAUUUCACCAUAAAAAGCUCCUACAUCAUUGACCUGACCUAUAACCCUAUAUAUUACUAUUACUAAGCAAUAGUGUUCAAGUAUGAAAUUAUAUAUAGUUGUCGUUUGUAGGUGACUUAAGUGGAGGAUAUGCAAGCAACAAACAGGUAUUGCAUUUGGUAAAUUUCCUAAUUUGCAGUAUUUUUUUCUUGAGUUUGGAAUUUCAAAGCUAAUUAAUUAAAUUUUGUUUUGUGUUAUAUAUCUAGGAAGAAAGUUGUGCAAUAGAUCAUGGGAACAUCGAUAAACAUCAUGUUUAUAUCCUCCGGAAAACCUGAGGAACCUGAAGAGAACAUCACUUACAUGGAUGCUUCGUUGUACUAGGCAGCUGCAGAAGGCAACAUUGAGGUAUUCAAUAGGUACCCAGAGCUUGCACUUGAAUCGCAAACGACCCCAAGCACUGACAACGUGCUCCAUGUUAACUUGGCAACCCACGAGCUUGCUACCUGGUUUUCUAAUGAAAUUCUCUCAAUAACCAGAUACUUCCCCAAAUUAUAUUGUUUUCGUCUAUUUGUUUCAGUGGAUUUUCAUUAUUAACAAAAAAAGUGAAAAAAGAUAAGAUUUUAUAAUGACCCCAAACCAUGACAACGUGCUCCAUGCUAACUUGGCAACCGAGGAGACUGCUGCCUGGCUUUUAAACAGAUUUCUCUCAAUACUCAACUUCCUCCCCGUAAAAUAUGUAUUCAUCACCGUAGAAAAUGUACCAUCUAUCGGUCUUUGAUUAUUUUCAUUACUAUGAUAAGAGGAGAAAAGAGAUCAGAUUUUAUCGUACAAAUUCUCAGCAAGUGUCCGUCACUGCUAAUCCAAACGAAUGCUAAAGGUCAAACUCCUUUGCACGUUGCAGUAAGGUAUGGACAUUCUGCUAUUGUAAAACUUCUAACCAAGUCUUGUGCAAAAGCUAGAGAUGGAGAUUUAGAGAAACUGGGAAUGGAUCAGGUAAAUGCAGUGAGGGAGAUGCUAAGGAUUAGGGAUCAGGAAUCCAAUAUGGGUUUACAUGAAGCAGCACGGUGUGGCAUCCAUCAUGUUCCAUUACUAUUGUCAAAAUUACUGUUAUGCACACAACUUGACUUUGGCUGGUCACUCAUUAUCAAUGGCUCCAGUAUCAAAUUAGGGGUACUUAAUUGUGUUCUCUUGAAAUAUUGAAGAAACUAUUUGAAUACUGAAUACCAAAUUCGCGUUCCCAUUUUAGAAACUAUUUUAAUUUCUUUAAUUUGAAUAUCAAAUUCGAUCUAGGAUCAUCAAGCACUCUUAUUUUUUGAAUUAAUUUUGUAACGGAUUUAAGAUUAUAUUUCAUUUUCGGUUCCAUCUAAUAUGUUAUUAGUCCAAAUUAACACAUCUAUAUCUCUACUUGAUAGUCAAUCCUACCCCGGUAAUCAAGACAAGCUAUUUUUUAUUUUGUUUAAUGAAGAUCAUAUGUUAGAAGCUAAGAAAUUUAUCAAAGUAUAAGAAAUUUUUGAAUUAUUACUAUUUUAAUAUUUUUGUCUUUUAUAUAUUUUUUAAAAAUUAGAAAAUAUAAAAGCAAAUCAAAUCUAAGCUACUAUGACUUUAAUAAUGCUAAUUUUGUAAUUUCAACCAUAACACUAUUUUCUAAAAUAAAUAUUUACAUAAAUUUUUUUGUUACAUGAUAAAUAUGUGAGAAUUUUUUUUCUUAAGGUAUCCACUAAAGCAAGCAUAGUGAUUUAUUUUCCGCAUUUUCUAAACCUAUUAAGAGAGUAAAUGUUUAAAUAUAUAAAAAAAUAUAUUAAGUGUCUCAUAAUUUUUAUUAAAAAUUAUUAAAAUUUAACAACCUAAAUCCGGCCUAGACAGAAAGACUAAGUUUGGGAUGUCUCAUGAGUGAUGAAACUUAGUUGUAUUCCAACUAAGUUUGUUAGUGGUAGUAGGUGGUGAUUUAUUUUAAGUGGAUGUAAUGAUGAAACUUAGUCGUAUUCCAACUAAGUUGUCAAGUUGUAAGCUUGUAUAAAUAGGCUUUAUGCCAUUUUAAAAAAAUGAAUGAAUUCAAUCAAGAUUUCAUCCAUAUACUCUCUAUUUUAGCUUUGCUUAAAAUUUAUUUCAUUUUUCUUCUUUGUUUCUGCCGCAAGUCUCGAUUCUUGCUCGGCAAGCUUUUUGUUGAACCUUGCUAUUUGUUGCACUUAGCUCCAACAAUUGGUAUCAAGAGCCUAUUUCUUAAGGGAUCUGUUAUACAAAUUCAUGGCUUCAUCAAGCUUUUCACCAGCUGCACCUCAAGUCUUCAAUGGAGAAGGCUACCACAUAUGGGUGGUUAAAAUGAAGACCUACCUACAAGCUUUCGAUCUGUGGGAGGUAGUCAACUCAGAUGUUGAACCAGAGCCACUUAGAGGCAAUCCAACAGUGGCUCAAAUCAGGCAGCAUGCUGAUGAGAGGACCAAGAGGCACAAAGCCAUGUCUUGCAUCCAGAACUCAGUGUCAGAUGUGAUUUUCACAAGGAUUAUGGCCUGUGAAUCACCAAAACAAGCCUGGGACAAGUUGCAAGAGGAGUUUCAAGGGACAGAGAGGACAAGGCAGCAACAGUUGCUGAACUUAAGGAGAGAUUUCGAGAAUUUGAAGAUGAAGGAAGAAGAAACUAUCAAGCAGUACUCUGACAGGAUUAUGGCUGUGGUUAACAGCAUAAGGCUCCUUGGAGAGCAGCUCAAGGAAGCUAGGAUAGUGGAGAAGGUUAUUGCAACUCUGCCCGAGAGGUAUGAGGCAAAAAUCUCAUCUCUCGAGGACUCAAGGGACCUGUACACCAUCUCCCUGAUAGAGUUGAUCAAUGCUUUAUAUGCUCAAGAGCAAAGAAGAGCAAGCAGACUGGAGGAGCAUCAAGAAGGUGCCUUUCAGGCAAGAACAAACACUGCCUACAAAGGCAAGAAAGCCUGGAGAGACAAGCCAAGGACUGAUGUUGCAAGAAAAGAGGGUCAGACUUGCAAGCACUGCAGAAGGGCUGGUCAUCCAAAAGAAAAAUGCUGGUUCAAUCCAGAUGCUGUAUGUCAGCAUUGUAAAAAGAAGGGUCAGGUUGAGAGAGUCUGCAAGAGCAAGGCCAAAUCAAGGCAGAGUCAGUUUCAACAGAAGAAAGCUGAGGCUCGAGUAGCUAAGGAGGACAGUGACCAAGAGGAGCAAGUCUUUGCUGUGUUAUGCUCAGCUGCUCAAGAAAGGUUCUCAUCUGGUUGGCUUCUAGACAGUGGAUGCACCAACCACAUGACACCUGAUGCUGCAAUCUUCAAGUCUUUAGAUAGAAGCUGCAGAACUAAAGUCAAGAUAGGAAAUGGACAUUUUAUUCAAGCUGAAGGCAAGGGUGAUGUGCUGAUAUGCACCCCCACAGGUGCCAAAGUGAUUUCAAAUGUGCUUUUGGUGCCUAAAAUUGACAGAAACCUGCUCAGCACAGCUCAGUUGCUGGAGAAAGGUUAUUCUGUUGUGUUCAAAGACAACCAAUGCCAAAUCAAUGAUCCAAGUGGAUCCAAGCUGAUGGCAGUUCCUAUGGCUAAUAAGAGCUUUGUAAUUGACUGGACCAGGGAGUCAGACAUUGCCUACACAGUCACAUCAGAUGAAUCUAAGCUUUGGCAUCAAAGACUGGGACAUGCCAACUUCAGAUCGAUGGCUCGAAUGGUCAGAGAGGACUUGGCUGAAAACUUCAUCAACUCAGUGGAUCAUGAUGAUGUGUGUGAAGUGUGUCAGCUAGGAAAGCAGGCCAGACUCCCAUUUCCCUCGAAUCAAGCCUGGAGAGCUUCUGAAAAACUCCAACUGGUGCACACUGAUGUGUGUGGCCCUAUGAGGACUGAGUCAUUAAGUGGAAACAGGUACUUCAUACUGUUCAUUGAUGAUUUUUCAAGAUAUUGCUGGCUUUACUUCCUAAAACAGAAAUCAGAGGCGGCCUCAGUGUUUUGGAAGUUCAAGACUGCUGCUGAGACUGAAACAGGUUGCAAGCUGAAGUCCAUAAGGUCUGAUAAUGGGACUGAGUACACCUCAGCUCAGUUCCAAGCCUUCUGUGAUAAGGCGGGCAUCAAACAUCAACUUACCAACACAUAUACACCUCAGCAAAAUGGUGUAAGUGAAAGGAAGAAUAGGAGUUUGAUGGAUAUGGCCAGGUGCUUGAUGAUUCAGAAGAAUCUGCCUAAAGCACUAUGGGCAGAGGCAGUUAACACUGCAAACUACAUUCAAAAUAGGCUUCCAACCAAGGCCUUGGAUCAGAAGACUCCAUUCGAAGCCUGGUUUGGAUUCAAGCCAUCACUGGCUCAUCUGAAGGUCUUUGGAUGCAUCUGUUAUGCUCAUGUACCUGCUGUCAAAAGGGACAAAUUGUCUGAAAGAGCUCGACCUGGUAUUUUGGUGGGCUACAGCACUGUUAAGAAGGGCUAUAGGAUCUUGGAUCCUUCAACAAAGAAAGUGUCAGUCAGUAGGGAUGUGGUAUUUGAUGAAAAGUCAUGUUGGAACUGGGAAAAACAUGAACCUGAGGAAGUUUCAGAAGGACUUGCAGCAGAUCAAGCUGAGCCAGAUCAAAAUGUUCCUGAAAUGGACAUUGAUGAUGAACCAGUUAUAGGAACAAGACCAUUGAUUGAGAUUUAUGAAAGAGCUCAUGUAGCCAUAGCUGAACCAAGCAAUUUUGAAGAGGCUGAAGCUCAGCAAGAGUGGAAGCAGGCAAUGGCUGAGGAGAUUAGCAUGAUUGAGAAGAACCAGACCUGGGAAUUAGUUGAAAGGCCAGUCAAAAGGAAGAUAAUUGGGGUGAAAUGGGUGUAAAAAGCCAAGCAAAAUGCUGAUGGUACCUUGAACAAACUGAAAGCAAGGCUAGUUGUCAAGGGGUUCAGUCAGAGGUAUGGCCUGGACUACUUGGAGACCUUUGCACCAGUGGCCAGGCUAGACACCAUCAGAUUACUGAUUGCCUUAGCAGCACAGCUCGAGUGGAAGAUCCAUCAACUCGAUGUGAAAUCAGCCUUUCUGAAUGGUUUCUUAGAUGAAGAGAUCUAUGUUGAACAACCACAAGGGUUUGAGAUAGCUGGCAGAGAGCAUAUGGUCUACAAACUGAAGAAGGCCCUAUAUGGCUUAAAACAGGCUCCAAGGGCCUGGUAUAGCAGAAUCGAUGGCUACUUGACUAAUUUGGGAUUCAAUCGAAGCAAGAAUGAGCCAACACUGUAUGUCAAGAAGCAAGGGACACAAACACAGCUCAUUGUAUCCCUAUAUGUUGAUGACCUGCUGGUGACAGGAGGAGAUCGAGCAGUGCUGGUCGAUUUCAAGACAAAGAUGCAAGAAGUAUUUGAAAUGUCUGAUCUAGGGGAAAUGUCUUAUUUCCUUGGAAUGGAGGUGACUCAAGCACAAAAUGGGAUAUUUCUAAGUCAGAGAAACUUUGCCACAAAGAUUCUGACCAAGUUCUCCAUGCAAAACAGUAAAGCAACUAAAACACCUAUUGCUGUUGGAGAAAAACUAUCGAGCCAAUGUGAUUUUGAGAAGGUUUGUGAAACAACCUACAGAAGUCUAGUUGGUUGUCUGUUAUAUUUAACUGCCACUAGACCAGACAUAAUGUAUGCUGUAGGAUUGCUCUCAAGGUUCUUGCAUUGUUGCAAUAAAAAGCAUUUACAAGCUGCUAAGAGAGUGCUUAGAUAUGUCAAAGGCACUUUGAGCUAUGGUUUAAGGUACAGCAAGGAAGGAAAUCUGAAGCUGGUUGGCUACACUGAUAGUGACUGGGCUGGCUCAAUAGAUGACAUGAAAAGCACCUCAGGGUAUGCUUUCAACCUUGGUUCAGCCAUGUUUUGCUGGAGCCCGAAGAAGCAAAGUCUGGUGGCUCAAUCUACUGCUGAAGCAGAAUAUGUGGCAGCUGCAAGUGCUGUCAACCAAGCCAUUUGGCUAAGAAAAAUCUUAGCUGAUUUGAAAGUGCAUCAAAAGGAAGCUACUGAGAUCUUCUGUGACAACCAAUCUUCAGUUGCAAUUGCUAAAAAUCCAGUGUUCCAUGGAAGAACAAAGCAUUUCAGUAUCAAGUUGCAUGUUGUUCGAGAAAUGGAGCAAGCUCAGGAAGUGAAGCUGAUCCAUUGUAAUUCUGAGGAUCAACUUGCAGACAUUUUGACUAAAGCCCUUAAUGUCACAAGGUUCGAAUGUCUAAGAAGGAAGCUAGGUGUUUGCUCCAUGCAAACCAAGGAGGAGUAUUGAAGCAAUGGUUAGCAUGUAGCAAUCACAUGUUUUAUUAUUAUUAUUAUUAUUUGGAUGUAAUGAUGUAACUUAGUUGUAUUCCAACUAAGUUUGUUAGUGGUAGUAGGUGGUGAUUUAUUUUAAGUGGAUGUAAUGAUGAAACUUAGUUGUAUUCCAACUAAGUUUGUUAGUGGUAGUAGAUGGUGAUUUAUUUUAAGUGGAUGUAAUGAUGAAACUUAGUUGUAUUCCAACUAAGUUUGUUAGUGGUAGUAGGUGGUGAUUUAUUUUAAGUGGAUGUAAUGAUGAAACUUAGUUGUAUUCCAACUAAGUUGUCAAGUUGUAAGCUUGUAUAAAUAGGCUUUAUGCCAUUUUAAAAAAAUGAAUGAAUUCAAUCAAGAUUUCAUCCAUAUACUCUCUAUUUUAGCUUUGCUUAAAAUUUAUUUCAUUUUUCUUCUUUGUUUCUGCCGCAAGUCUCGAUUCUUGCUCGGCAAGCUUUUUGUUGAACCUUGUUAUUUGUUGCACUUAGCUCCAACAAUGAGCUUACCAGAACACGGUUAUACUUAGAGCUGGCUUAAUCAAUACAUAUAGUCAAGUCUUUAAAAAAGACCAAUCAUUCAAAGCAUAAUUCACUCUUAAAACUUAAAGUCUGAAACCAAAUAAAUGAUUUAAACACACACGCAUAUAUUUAAAGUAAGUCCAAUAGAUGACCGAGUCCCUCGUCCGCCGGCCACUCAGUUCUAAGAGUUUCCUGAUAUCCAUUCAAUCCAGUUAGUGUGUUGCAACUUAAUAUACAUAUAAAAAAAUUUGACAUGUUUAUAAUAACUCAGAUAUAAUUGGAAGUUCAGUCAGCAUACUCAAUCUUGAUCGGUCAAAUUAAUAAUUUAUUACAGUUUCGGAAACAAAACAGUUCUGGCACGCAACAAAUCUGAUACAGAAACAUGUACAGAUGUAAAUACGGAUACAAAUGUAAAUAUAGAUACAGAUGUAUUUAUCCUAACCCCCAUCCUCUAUACACCAUCUCCGACCAACCUUAUACACCCCAUAGUGUCGAUAUGACACGUUGCAGUGCUUACAGUCACGCUGCCAGUAUAGAUUCAAUUGUGGAUGGUUUAACCACCAAAUCAGUACAGAAAGCUUCCUCCAUUUCAUGAUCCCCGCCCAAUGCAAAUGUAGAGAGCAAAUGACAAAUAUAUAUGUUUCUUAUGCAAAUAUAAUCACAUAGUCCAGUAUAAUAGAGGGUUGAAAUUCUUAAUAAUUAUCUCAUACGGGUAUGUAGAAAAAGUUUAUAAUCAUGAUAAAACAGAUCAUAUAUAGUUCAGUUUAGUUCAUACAUAUCCUACGGACGGCUUACACUCAUCUCGUACAACAACUAUGGCGUUAAUAGAAAUUUUGUAAUUCAGGCUCACACACCCGUGUGGGUGCCCAUGUGGCUCCACACAGUCUGACACAUGGUCGCGUGGCUACCCGUGUGCCCCUAUUAAUCAAAUUAGUGAGUUACACGGUCUAAGCACACACUCGUGUGCUGCCUGUGUACCUCACAAGGUUUGGCAUACGCCGCUGUCCCUUGCAUGUGAGUCUCUAAUAUAUAAAUAGUGAAUUACACGAUCUAGACACAUGCUUCUGUGCCCCCUGUGUGACCACUGCACCUUAAUUUCUCACACACGGUUUACCCCACGCCUGUGUGGCUCGCCUAUAUGUCUCCAAUCCGAAGUCAGUGAGUUACACAGUCCACUACACGGUCAUGUGGCACACACGGCCUGCACACACGCCUGUGUGUCGUCGAUAGUCCCGUUUCUGGCAAAGAAAAAUGCAGAAAAGAAAGGGAUUUCUAUACCCACCUGUUACACGACGCUGUAGAAGCAUCCAAAUGCAAUUUCCAGUCCUAAAAUAAGUCCCAAACGCCCAAUUCAAUAAAGCAUUUGCAAAAUAUGCAAGUAACAACAAUCAAUGUUCAUCAAAACCGUCGACUCACUACACAAAAUGGAUGGAAGCCUACUUACCGCGAAUUCCCAGUACACGUUUAGUUCCUAAGUAAGGUGAGAAGCGUUAGGCAUCUUCCGGGUCUUCUCCUACAAUUCAUCGAAGUACCUGAAAUGACAAAACGAAUUAACUCAACGAAAUGAAAUUCAAAAGAAAAACCCCAAACAACAAAACCAUCACAACGAACAAAUUAAAAACACGAACUCUUAUCGUUAGCAACAAAAUCGACCACAGAAGAAUUCAAAUCAGCAUUAAUUGAUUUAAUCAGCAACAAAAAUAAUACGAGGCCAAUUGUCAAAAGAAACGGUAACUGAAGAAGAACAGAAAAAUAACGCAGGAGGGAAAUUUUAAGAAAACAAAUCAUAGAAUUUCAGGAAAAAAAACUAAUACACACAAAACACAUAACCACUAAAACAAACACAUAUUUAUUAAAAUAAUUUAACAAGAAAACUCAAAUUUUUGUUGUGAAGUUGAUGAAAUUUUAUUAAAAAUGAUUGAAUGAAAAUAAAAAUUGAAAUCAGUAAAUCGAAGGAUUUAAACGUUGAUUAAUUAUGCUUAGUUUGAGAGAAAAUUUAAGUAGACAAUUUUAAUUCAAAUUAUGAAAAAAAUAAGUAACCAUCGCUAAUCGUAUAUAGCAAGAAUAGCAUAGUAAAAUUAUGGUGCUUUCAUCAAUUAUGGAAUCAUAUAUGGUUUUCAUUAAAUUUAAUAGCUAAAUUGCACUUUGUUCGAGGGUUUCUAUUAAAUUGAAAUUAGAAUGAAUAAACAUAGUAAAAAUAAUCAAUUUCCCUAUUGUUUUUUUAAAAUUAAAUUUUGCCUCAAUUUUUAAAAAAAUUGAAUUGUUAUUUUUCUAAUUAAAAUACUAAUUAAAAUUUUAAAAUUUUAAACAUACAGCCUGCAUUGUAAUUCGCUUGUACUUUAUGUUAAUUUGUUGAAUUUUUAUGAACCUAUUAUAAUUGUUUUUUGAAUUUUGAAUUUUUUUUAUUUUUUGAAUUUUUAAAUUAAUUAUUGACAUGACAUAUAAGAUAAUAAUGCUAUAUCAACAUGAACUACAAAUGGAUUGUUAUGCCAAAAUCGUUAAAUUUUUUUAUGUUAUAGUCAAUUUUUUUAAUUAAAAAAAUUAUUUAACUUUUUUUGAAAGGUUAAUAACCAAAAUUAAUUUAGUGGAUGUAUGCGUACGCAUUAUCUAUAAAGCAAGUUAAAAAUGACGGAUUUGAUGUCUCUACUUUUCAACAAUUUAGUAUUUUAACCAUCACUAGCAACUUUGUUUUAGGGCCAUUUGAUUUCCUUUUUGUUACAAUUAAGUCAUUGUAUAAUAAUAUUUAUGGUAAGAUACACAAAUAGUUAUCAUUGUUUUGGUGAUUUGGGUUUAAUUUUUUUUAGUUAUUAAUAUUAUCGACAUUUGAUAUUUUGUUCACUCUUUCAUUAAAUCAUUAGCAGAAUGUUGACGCAACCUUUCUUUAUUAACAUAAUAAUAAAUUUAACCAUUUAAUAUCUACAAAUUCUAUUAAUCUGGUCCUAAUUCUAACAAAUAAAUUUAGCUCUUAACUUUAUCCAUUAUGCCAAUUUAGUCUUGAUUCUUACAAAUUUAAAAUAAAACUUUAAAAAAAAUUAUUUAAAAAUUUUUAUCAAUAAAAAUACAUACAAAAUUAUAAAAUGCACAAAAAAAUAUAAAAUUUUUUUAAAGGUGAAUACUCAAUUUCUCUUUAAAGAAAAACACAAAUAAAAACUUAGAUCUAAUUUAUCAUUUGUAUUGUUGAAAAUGUGGUAAAUCUUAGGGAUUUUCAUUGUUGUAAGGGUGAAAAGAAAAUGUAGGGUUUAGUCUAAAUCACUCAAUAAUAACUAACAUCAUCAAAAUCUAGUGUGUAACAAUUUUCUCAGCUACCAGACACUGUAGACCCCAUUUUCUUCCAUUCUUUUCUUUAAUUCUUCUCCUUCUUUGCAGUUUCCUUAAAACCAAAUCUCACCAUAAAAAACUCCUACUUUAUUGCCUCACUUCUAACGCUAUAUAUUACUAUUACUAAAGUGUUCAACUAUAUAUAGUUGUCAUUUGUAGUUGACUUGAAUGCAGGAUUUGCAAGCAACUAACUGGUAUGGCAUCUGGUAAAUUUCUGAUUUUGCAGUACUUUUUUCCUGAGCUUCGAAUGUUUCAAGCUAAUUAAUUCAACUUUGUUUGGUGUUAUCCAGGAAGAAAUAGAUAAACAAAAAUGGGACCCGAAGAGCCUGAAGAGAACAUCACUCACAUGGAUGCUUGGCUGUAUAAGGCAGCAGCAGAAGGCAACGUUGAAGUAUUCAAUAAUAACCAGGAGCUUCAACUUGAGUUGCUAAAGACCCCAAACCAUGACAACGUGCUCCAUCUUAACUUGGCAACCAAGGAGAAUGUUCUCUGGCUUUUUAACAGAUUUCACACAAUAUUCGAAGAAUUCCCCGCAGAAUAUGUAUUAUUCCAUCGGUGUUUGAGUAUUUUCAUUACUAUGAUAAAAAGAGAAAAGAGAUCAGAUUUUAUCGGACAAAUUCUCAGCAAGUGUCCGUCACUGCUACAACAAACGAAUGCUAAAGGUCAAACUCCUUUGCACGUUGCAGCAAGGUAUGGACAUUCUGCUAUUGUGAAACUUCUAAUCAAGUCUUGUGCAAAAGCCAGAGAUGGAGAUUUAGAGAAGCUGGGAACGGAUCAAGUAAAUGCAGUGAGGGAGAUGCUGAGGAUUACGGAUCAGGAAUCCAACACGGCUUUACAUGAAGCAGCAGGGUGUGGCAAUGUCAAAGUGGUGAAAGCAUUGUUGGAGUUUGAAGACCCUGAUUUUCCGUAUUCUGCCAACAAAAAACAGGAGACUCCACUUUACAUAGCAGCUAGGAGGCGAGGAUCUGGGCGCUUGUUGACUCUAUUAUUAGAUAAAUUCAGAUCAGCAGCAGCUCAUGGCGGCCCCCAGGGUAGAACAGCUUUGCAUGCAGCAGCUAUGGCUGGAGAUGCAGGUAUGUUGUUGAGUUAGUUCCUUUUUUUUUUUUUUUAAUUUUGAAAUAAAUAAACAGCAGGUCUAUUGACAUUUUUUUUUUGCUUGGAUUUAGAGGCAGUAAAGGUAAUAUUAAAGAAGAAGGGGAAUUUGACAAAGGAAAGAGAUGAAGAUGGACGCACCCCUCUUCAUUAUGCUGCACACUUUGGUUCUAGAUUAUCAGUUGUGGAAGAACUGUUAAAAAGGGAUGUAUCAGCUGCCUAUAUAGGUGAUAAAAAGAGGGGGAUGUGUUGCGCGGAAGCGUGUGAAAGAGUAAAAUUAUUGUACUGAAAAAUCACACUAAGUUCAAUUCCCAGGAAAGAGAGGUGGAUCACGAGGAUCGCUUACAUACCAGAUCUUUCCUAGCCAGAAUAUCCCUCUAUCGUAAUUUAAUAGCACAAUAAAUCACUACAAUGACACUUGCAAAAUAUGCAGAACAAAAAUAAAGAACACUAGAAUUUUAACGAGGUUCAGCAAAUUUUGCCUACGUCCUCGGGCACUACCAAAUAUAUUUCACUCCAAAAAUACAAGUGAAAGUUUACAAAUAGGGAGAGAGAACAAUUGCCUUAAGUAGAGAAUGGCAAGUGUGGGAUGAAGAAAGUAAGAGAUGGUUAGGCCUAUUUAUAGUUGAGGUUUAAGGAUCAACUUGCAAUGUCCCUAUACAAUUAGGGACCAAAAUUGCAAUUAUCCCAUGCCAACUUUUAACCCAACUUGCCAACCAAUCUUACUUUCUACUUUCGGUGCCUUUCGGUGCCAACUUUCUGCCACUAUUCAUCUUUGAAAAGUCAAAGAUUGUAGGUAUCCAAUAAUCUCCACCUUGAAGAUUUGAUUAGGAUAAUCUUAUCUUCACACAAUUCUUUCUUCCUUUGACAAUAAUACUUGAUAGUGCCUUCUUCAACUGUUAAACUUGCAGGAUAUUGAUCAAGUUCAAACAAUAUUUGAACUUGGUUGUUGUUACCACCUUGGUCAUCAUAUCUGCGGGAUUAUCUGUAGUCUUGAUCUUCUGAAGACAAAUUUUCCCCUCUUCAAUAAUUUCCUGCACAAAAUGGAAUCGUACGUCGAUAUGUUUUGUACGUGCAUGAUAGACUUGAUUCUUUGCUAAAUGAAUAGCACUUUGACUAUCACAAUACACGUUAAUAUGCUCCUGAACCAACCCCAAGGUUUUAGCCAUACCUUGUAACCAAAUAGCCUCCUUUACAGCCUCUGUUACAGCCAUGUACUCGGCUUCUGUGGUUGACAAUGCAACUGUAGACUGUAGUGUAGACUUCCAACUUAUUGGUCCUCCAGCAAGUGUAAACACAUAACCGGUGGUUGAUCUUCGCUUGUCCAAAUCACCGGCAUAGUCAGAAUCAACGUACCCAAUAACACCUUUACCAAGUGUAUUAUCCUGCUUGAACAGUAAUCCAACAUCCACGGUUUUCUGAAUAUACCGUAGAAUCCAUUUCACAGCUUGCCAAUGUCCUUUUCCAGGAUUAUGCAUAUACCUGCUCACUAUACUAACUGCCUGUGAAAUGUCGGGUCUUGUACACACCAUUGCAUACAUCAAGCUACCCACUGCAUUAGAAUACGGAACUUGCAACAUGUAUUCUCGUUCCGUAUUCGUCGAAGGAGAUAGUUGUGCAGAAAGCUUGAAAUGAGAAGCCAACGGGGUACUUACAGGUUUGGUAUGCUCGUUCAUACCAAACUGCUGUAGUACUUUCUUCAAAUACUGCUUCUGAGACAAGCUAACUCUGCCAUGAGCUCUAUCUCUACAUAUUUCCAUGCCAAGAAUCUUCUUAGCUUCACCUAGAUCUUUCAUCUCAAACUCGAGAUUGAGUUGAGUCUUCAAUCUCUCAAUCUCAACUUUGCUCUUAGAUGCUAUCAGCAUAUCAUCAACAUAUAAGAGCAAGUAUAUGAAAGUUCCUUCUUGUAGCUUCUGAAAAUAUACGCAAUGAUCAAAUUUACUUCUUGUGUACCUUUGCCCUUUCAUGAACUGAUCAAAUCGCUUGUACCACUGCCUCGGAGAUUGUUUCAAUCCAUAAAGCGACUUUGUCAGUUUGCAAACCCAAUUUUCUUUAUCAGCAACAUUGAAUCCAUCAGGCUGAGUCAUAUAGAUUUCCUCUUCCAAAUCACCAUGUAAAAAUGCUGUCUUCACAUCAAGCUGAACUAGUUCAAGAUCGUAUUGCGCAACCAAGGCUAGUAAAAUUCGAAUAGACGAAUGCUUCACAACUGGAGAAAACACUUCAUUGUAGUCUAUUCCUUCUUUCUGAGCGUAACCCUUUGCUACCAAUCUAGCCUUGUAUCGAAUUAUAUUUUUACCAGGAAAUCCUUCCUUCUUUGCAUAUACCCAUUUGCAUCCAAUUGCCUUCUUUCCCUUGGGCAGUCUCACCAACUCCCAAGUCCUAUUUUUAUGAAGAGACUGCAUUUCUUCAUUCAUAGCUUGCUUCCACUUUACACCAUCAGAGUUACUUAUUGCUUCUGUGUAAGUGGAAGGAACAUCAUCAUCUGCAAUUGGAAGUGCAUAGGCCACCAUAUCAUCAAAGCGAGCAGGCUUACGAAUCUCUCUUCUUGGCCUCCUAUAUGCAAUUGAAUCUUGUUGCUGUAGAAGUUCUUGGGUCAAAACUUCUUCAUCAUUUGUUCUUUCAAUAUUAGCUGGAUCAUCAUUAACCUUUUCAAACUCCACCUGCUGCAAAGUACUACUGGUUUUGUCAUCCUUUUGUGAAUCCUCGUUCUUCAUCAUGGUUGAUUCAUCAAAAGUUACAUCUCUACUGAAAACAAUCUUCCUUGUAUCAGGACACCAAAGACGGUAUCCUUUUACACCACCAGUUAUACCCAUGAAUAAUGCUUUCUUUGCUCUUGGGUCUAAUUUAGAUUCUUUUACAUGAUAAUAUGCAGUGGAACCAAAAACAUGUAAAGAAUCAUAAUCAGUAGCAGGUUUACCAGUCCACAUCUCCAUAGGAGUUUUUCCAUUUAUUGCAGCUGAUGGCAAUCGGUUAAUUAGAUGGCACGCAUAUGUAACUGCCUCAGCCCAAAAUUCCUUGCCCAAUCCAGCAUUGGACAACAUACAUCGAACUUUCUCCAGUAUAGUCCGAUUCAUGUGUUCUGCCACCCCAUUCUGCUGUGGUGUAUCUCGAACAGUGAAGUGUCCACAAUGCCCUCAUCUUGACAUACUUGUAGAAAUGGAUCAUUUUUGUACUCAGUACCAUUAUCUGAUCGAAGUCGUUUGACCUUUCGACCUGUCUGAGUCUCCACCAUCUUCUUCCACUUCAGAAAUGCAUCCAAAACUUCAUUUUUUCUUUUCAUUAGAUACACCCAUACUUUUCUUGAAUAAUCAUCAAGAAAAGUGACAAAAUAGUGCAUACCUCCCAAAGAAGCCACUUUGGUAGGUCCCCACACAUCACUGUGAACAUAGUCCAGAAUUCCUUUCGUAUUGUGAAUUGCUGAACCAAAUUUUACCCUCGUCUGCUUGCCCAGAACACAAUGUUCACAGAAUUCCAAUUUGCAAGAAUUUGCACCUUUCAACAAGCCUUGCUUCGCCAAAGUCUGCAAAGCUUUUUCACCAGCAUGUCCCAAUCGCCUAUGCCAUAACCUGGUAGCCUCUGAAUCUGCAUCUUUCGCAGAAGCUGUUGAUGUUGAUCCAAUAACUGUACUUCCAUUUAAAUAGUACAAGUUAUUUCUUCUAGUGCCUUUCAUCACCGUCAAUACCCCAGCUACUACCUUUAGUAAUCCAUCUCUCAAAGUGAUUGUGAGCCCUUUAGAUUCUAGGGCCCCUAAUGAGAUGAGAUUUUUCUUUAAGCUAGGUACGUAGCGAACAUCUGUCAAGACUUGGAUUGAGCCGUCGUGAUUCUUCAAUUGGACUGUACCCACUCCCAUUGUCUUACAAGCACUAUCAUUGCCCAUAAGAACAAUUCCACCUUCUAGCUCUUUAAGACUAGAAAACCAGUCCUUAUUAGGACACAUAUGGUAAGUACAUCCUGAAUCCAAAAUCCACUCAUCCGUUUGACAUGCCAUUGCCAUGCCAACCAAGCUAAAGUCUGACUCCUCAUCAUGCUCUGCUACACAUGCAUUAGAAAUAGCCUUGCCCUUUUGUAGCUUAGGACAAUUCUUUUUCCAAUGCCCUUUCUCACGACAAAAGGCACAUUCAUCUUUGGCGGGUCUCCCUUUGGACUUACCCCUUCUACCAGGUUUGCUGCUGUGUGAACGACCUCUUACUGUUAAGACUUCUGCAGUUGUAUCUCUGUGAUCUCUUUUAUCUUUCUUUCGAGUCUCAGAUCUAUACAACGCACUACAGACUGCAUCAAAUGUGAUCGUGUCCUUCCCAUAAAGCAAUGUGGUGGUAAGAUGAUCAUAUUCAUCAGGAAGGGAAUUCAACAACAAUAAUGCCUUGUCUUUAUCUUCAAAUUUCUCAUCCAAAUUUAGCAAGUCUGCUAAAAUUUUAUUGAAUGAGUUCACAUGGUCAUUCAUCGACAUACCGGGUGCAUACGUGAAUCGAUAAAGUUUCUUUUUCAUAUAAAGCCUAUUUUCAAGACUUUUCGUUAGAAACUUUUCUUCCAAUGUAUCCCACAGCUUCUUCGCUGAUGUCUCCCUCAUGACGGAGUACUUUUGCUCUUUGGCCAAACAUAGGCGGAUUGUUCCACACGCCUGUCUAUUGAUCUUGGCCCACUCCUUGUCAUCCAUCUUGUCAGGUUUUUCUUCAAGGGCUAUAUCCAGCUCUUGCUGACAUAAGACAUCCUGGAUCUCACACUGCCACAUACCAAAAUUAUUGGUACCGUCAAAUUUCUCUACUUCAAAUUUUGCAUUUGUCACAGUAGUCCUUGCUGAUGACGAUGCUGCUGCCAUUUUUCUCCUCAAUCCCAACUACUGUAUACGUGAACAGUACCGUAUACGUGAAUAGUGCCAUAUACGUGAAUAGUACCAUAUACAUAAAUAGUGCCGUAUACGUGAAUAGUACCGUAAACGGUCGUAUUCCCCAAGUACGAACCUGGCUCUGAUACCAAUUGUUGCGCGGAAGCGUGUGAAAGAGUAAAAUUAUUGUACUGAAAAAUCACACUAAGUUCAAUUCCUAGGAAAGAGAGGUGGAUCACGAGGAUCGCUUACAUACCAGAUCUUUCCUAGCCAGAAUAUCCCUCUAUCGUAAUUUAAUAGCACAAUAAAUCACUACAAUGACACUUGCAAAAUAUGCAGAACAAAAAUAAAGAACACUAGAAUUUUAACGAGGUUCAGCAAAUUUUGCCUACGUCCUCGGGCACUACCAAAUAUAUUUCACUCCAAAAAUACAAGUGAAAGUUUACAAAUAGGGAGAGAGAACAAUUGCCUUAAGUAGAGAAUGGCAAGUGUGGGAUGAAGAAAGUAAGAGAUGGUUAGGCCUAUUUAUAGUUGAGGUUUAAGGAUCAACUUGCAAUGUCCCUAUACAAUUAGGGACCAAAAUUGCAAUUAUCCCAUGCCAACUUUUAACCCAACUUGCCAACCAAUCUUACUUUCUACUUUCGGUGCCUUUCGGUGCCAACUUUCUGCCACUAUUCAUCUUUGAAAAGUCAAAGAUUGUAGGUAUCCAAUAGGAUGACACCCCUUCUUAUGGCAGCCAGGCAAGGUAAUGCUGGAAUAAUUUCGAAGAUUCUCUCUUUAUGUCCAGAUUGUUGUGAAGAAGUGGACAAUAAAUGUUUGAAUUUACUUCAUUAUCUGGCAUUUAGAGGCUCUUCCACUCUAUUUGGGCGUUCUUUUUUCAAGCUUGGUGGUAUUAAGAUUGCAUAUGGAUCACUCAGAAAUCUGAUGGAGUUGGAAGGUGACUUUGGGAUGACACCUCAAGAAGUUUAUAAUGCACUUCAAGAUGAGAAACAUCAUCAUAAACAGGUCAUGUGUUUGCCCAUAUAUAUUGCAUUUCCAUGGCUAUGGUUUUAUUAAUAUUUAAGUUUUGAAUUAACAUAUUUAAUAAACUUACAAUAAGACCUGCUAAUGUGGGUGGCAUUGCAGAAGCAAAUCAAAAAAUUGUUGGAAGAAAUUGAGAAUGAUCAAGGGGCGGAGGAACCAGUUCAUCGCUUUCUUUCACGAAAUGUUUCUACAGAAAGCUCGGAGAUGACAAUAAAUGCUCAUUUAAUAGUGGCAGCACUUAUAUAUACCGUCGCAUUCGCAGCAGCAAUAACUGUUCCUGGUGGUUUGAAUAGUGAAAAAGGGUCAGAGGAAGGCACUCCCCUUUUGAUUGAUAAGGCUGCCUUUAAAGUAUUUUUUGGAACAAAUUUAUCGGCCUUUAUUCUCUCUGUUUUUACCCUCACCAUCCACUUCGGGAUUCUGGAUAUUUUAUUUUCAGGAUUUAGUUUUUGGCAUCAAACAGGAUUUAUUCGAACUGAGUUUGUUUCUUUGAUCCUUGGCUAUGCAACAUUGGCGAUGGUGGUUGCUUUCAUUACAGGCAGUUUUGUGAUCUUAAAACCAACCUACGGACUUCCCGAUGUUCUUUUUCUCAUUAGCCCUGCUGUUUUUUUCUUUGUUUUCAUAUUUACUAUAUACAUACAAUAAUAUUACUUUAUCAUCUAUUGUAAUCUUCUUCCAAUUUUUAGUAUCAAUAUUAUCUCUUUGAAGAAAGAUUACUUCAAAUAUUUUUUUUGAGAUAUGUCUAACUUAUCCAUGUUAAUCAUCUCUAUUUAAUUGAAAUUAAUAUAAAGCUAUUAAUUGAUAAACAUACAAUUUCAGAAAAGGUAAAAGAAAAAUCACAAUUUGUUUAAAGUAAGAAUUAUUAAAUAUCAAAGAGUAAUAAAUAUGUUGUAACUAAUUUUCCGUUAUGAUUAAAAUCCAAUUUGACGAAUCAUUGAAAAAUAUGAGAAUUUUAAGUUUAAGGAAAAACUUAAGGUUCUAUUAAAAAAUGGAAAUUUGUCACCAAUCUUUUUAAUUAGGUGUGAUCAGACACUUAUAAAAUCGCUUUUAUUGUGAAGUUCAUGAAAAUGAUUAAAUGUCAGCUAAUUAACAAAAUUUGGUUUGGUGUUAUUAAGUGAAAGCCUUGAGUAAAACAAGAAUGUAACCAUCGUUAAUCGACAUGAAUUUCAAGAAAACCUAGCCUCCAUUUAUGGUUUGAUUAAUUCCACGCUUUGGCCAAGAAAAUGGAAAUAAAGAUACAAAGUUGUUCAAUUGAAGUAAAUGCAUCAUUAGUAGAGGUGUUCAUGGUUAGGCUAAAUCUAUGCAUGUAUAUAUGUGAUGUCCACUAAAUUAAUUAAUAAAUUGACUAAGUUAAAUGCACCUAUCAAUUAAUAGUAUAGUUAUGGCGACCACACAUAUCGUUCCCUCGAGGAUUACAAUUAGUAAUAAUUAUCUGUAAUAGCCCGAUUUUUAGUGAUGUCGGAAACAGUCCAAAUCUGGCAAAUGAGCUCAAAAAUUUUAUUAUUUAAUAUUUACGAGCCAAAUGAGGUAUUUAAAAGAUUUUUGAAUUAAUAAGUUUGUGGUUAUAAGGAUUUAUUAGAUUAAUUAAUUUAGAAAAAGAGGUAUCGAGACCUCGGUAUUAUAAAUUGAGCCGUAAAUAUUUUUAUAAAUAUUUACAGAGUGUCAAUAAGGUAGUAUUAAAGUUUCAUUAGAAAAUUUUAACGUUUUGGUAGUCAAUUAAUUAAAAAGAACUAAAUUGAAAAAGGUGCAAAAUUUGCUCAAGUGAUUAAAUAGUCUAAAUAAUAAAUAAAGGAAGACUAAAAGGGCAAAUAGACUCAUAUGAAUGGCAUGAAAAAAAUCAAGGAUUUUAUGUGAAAUAAGGGCAAAAUUGUAAAUUUCACCAAAUUAAAGAGAAAUAAAUGGGAAAUUGAAAAAUCUUGACAAAUUCAUCAUCAUUUUCAGCUCAAAAACAGCCAUAAGCUGAUUUUUCAUAUUUUAGCUUAAUGUAAGUUUAAUUCUUACUUUUUCCUUAAAAUUUUUAUGUUUUUGGACUUUUACAACUAGGUCUAACUUACUAUUUUAUUAGUUUUUGAUUUUGUUGAAAGUUUUGGAAGAUAUCAUUGAUAAGUUCAUAUGAUUUUAGUUAUCUAUGAGGAAGCUUUGCACACAUCUGUUGCCAAUACUUGUAGUUAUGAGUUAUUGUAUGCCAUUGAAUUUGUGUUAGAUACAUGUUAUAUGCUAACUCACUAUGUUUUGGAGAAUUUUAAUGUCAUGGUAAUCAAAGAAGCAAAGCAUUUUAAUGGCAUCAGCUUUUUUACAAUUAAAAUGUCCACAAGCUAAUGUGUAUGAACUUGGGAUGUGGAGUUCAGCUUAUUGGGAUGUGGAAACUAAAUAGUAAAAUGUUGAAAUUGUCCCAGUUAAUACCACAUUACGGUUGGUUUCCAUGUUACAAUACGAAAUCCGAUGGGAAAAUUGAAUUGCUGUCUGCUAAUCAUUUUCAUUUAGUUUGCUGUUUAAAUAAUGUUGCCUCACUCUUAUAAUCACCACUUUUUCUAUUUUUAUAUGCCCUCUCUCUUUCCCCAAAGUGGCGUUCCACGUGUUCACUUACUCUAUAUAACACCUUAGGUUUAGUCUUUUAAUUACUAAGGAUGUGGGUGUUUACCCAGACCAUGAGCUGAGUAGUGUUAUUGAUUUUGGAUAAAGCAUGUCGGCUACGUGCAUCUUAAUUGCCAUAAACAAGGGAUAAAUGAGAGACAUUGAGGCCCCAAUGGAAUGCUAAAAACAAUUUGAAACAAGGUUGAGAGAAGUGGGGUUUGGUAAACGUCACAUGCAAAUGCAAUUAUUAUUAUUAACUUCAACAUAUUAGUAUAAAAAAGGGGGACGAAUGUGGGCUAUGGGCCUAAAGUCAAAAAGGGGUUUUGUUAUGAAUCUAAAUUAAAGCAACCUAAAAGCAUUUCAUAAGCUUAUGAUUAAGACAAAUCUUGCUUUUAAAUUAGUAUUAUUUGCAUGGUCAUGGCCUUAUCCCUAGAGCUACACCUUUUGAAAUGACAAGUGCUAUUUUUAGAUUGUCUGAACAUUGAAGAGACAAAAGCUGUCAUAUAGUAAUCUAUCCUUCAAUUAUUGUCGCCUAUUCCUCACUAUUAACGGAAUAACAGGAUUCAUUUAUAAUUCACCAUUUUCCAACUUAAUUAACAACUAAAAAGGUCAAAUGUUCCAUAUUUCAAUGGCAUCAGGGAGAUGGAAUUCCUUGAUCUAACAUUUAAAUUCCACAAUUAGUUAUAAUUUUGAUUUUCUUUUUAUAAAAAAGACAGAAGCAUGCAAUAGAUAGUAAUAUAUAGCACUCUAUUACGUAGGUGGAUUAAAAAACAUAUUUUUUAUCGAUUGUGAAAGAGUUUAAACCGUACAUAGACUCCGAUAAUGGAUGUUGUCUUUAUUAUAUCACAAACCUUAAUUGUUGACUAAGUCGGCAAACAUCCAAGCUAAUCCGCUCUAACUUCCAAUGUACCUUGACACUUGCCCAAUAAAACCCUCCUCCAUCAAUUGUGAAAAUCAUAACAAACACGGCCUUCAACGUUAAGUUUUCGAUUAUUAAUUAAUAGCUCUCAAAAAACAAGUAGGGGACUAUGAAUUGGAUUUAUACUAGUAAAAGAUCGACAAACUAUUACAUGAUCCAAAAAAUCUCUAAGAGCAAUUACUAUAUAUCCCUACCGUAGUACCAUCUUAUUCUUGCCAACCAAACAAAUAUCACUACUACUCAUUCCUGGCCAAUCUAUACUGGAGUUGCUAUGACUAGAUCAUCUUUUUAUAACCAAACUACCUUCUUUUUUCUACUACUUCUAUUUUGAAAUACCUCUAUAGUUGUUGUAGACAAUUUUUGAACCUCAUUCCUUGUUUAUAAAGAUCAAGUUUCGCACCUUUAAAUAUCACCUCAUUCCGCAUUUCCAUAUCAACCACAUAGUCUUCGCACCGAUACUAUAUAUACAAGUUGCAUCGUCUACCCCUUUCCAUUGUUUUCAGCUUAACAUCCAAUUCUUUACAUUGCCUACGUUUAUACUUCCCAUUCUAAUGCCUAAACCCAGUCCAAACUAUACAGCGUGCGAACAAACCUUUAAUGAAUAAGUGAUUCACAUCCUCGUCCUUCUGCUUACAUAGUUGACAAAUAAGUUUUACAUUUUGUAAGAGGUGCUAAAGAAAAAUCACAAUUUCAUAAGGAAUAUCACGAUUCCACAACCACUUCCAAUCAAAGUGAAGUGUAGUUUCUAUGCCUUCAUAUGAAUUCAUAAGGAAUAUCACGAUUCCACAACCACUUCCAAUCAAAGUUAAGUAUAGUUUCUAUGCCUUCAUAUGAAUUCAUAAGGAAUUUAGGGUUUAAGGAAGUUGUCUAAGCUUGUAUACGCUGACUUCAUAUGAAUUCAUAAGGAAUAUCAAUGAAUGCGUUCAAAUGAAUUCAUCUUUCCCUUCACUAGGAGAGUACUUAGUUCCUUACCCUAACCAUUCUAAGCACUUUGAUUGAUACACUUUGGGACUUUAACAUAAGACAAUCAAUACGAAGGUAGAGAUGCAAAUUGGGAGUAUACCAUUGUAACAACCUGACAUUAGUCAAAGUCAGAAAAUACGGUUUCAAAACUCUAUUUCCGUAAACUGAGUCCAAAAAGACAAAAUAAGAAUAUUUAUGGAGUUUAUAGAAAAUAUAUUAAAGAUCGGUUAAGUAAUUUAACCGAGAAACUCAUUAAUUAAAGCUCAGGUGUUAAAUUGCAAUCGCUAUUGAAUUUUAAAUUGAAAAUGCUUGAAGACCAAAUUAACAAUUAGUCAAAGGACCAAAUGGUUAUUUAACCAUUAAUUUGAAAAGAGUUUUAAUUAAUGUAUUUUAAUUAAGUUUUGGAAACCUAUUUGCUUGUAUGAAUCGUCGAGUAGGUAUUAAAACAAAAUCAUAAUUGCUUCUACCACAAAUGUGGCAUUUCAUGUUUCGGACCGAACGACCGGGUCGUGUGCAAGGUCUUACAACCAUUGCCUUAAACAUAAAGGCUUCCAAUGUGCUCAUUUAUUUUUGCAAUAUAUCAAUAGGGGUUGGAAAAACUUUCUUGUUACAAAGGUAACCCAACUAGAUUCCAAGAGUUUUGGGGUCGCUCUACUCGUUUGAUUCCUACAUAUUCGAAAACCACCGCUUUUAUUGACUCCUACUUGAUAGACUAAGAUAUAAAUAAAGAUUUUCUAUAAUUGAUGGACAAACUUGAUAUUCCUCCAAAAUUCCCUUCCCUUAUUUUGUAUUCCUAAUUGCAUGCAUAAGUUCAACCCCUAAGAAAAUAUUAUCAAUAAUACGUCUCCCUUAUGGUGUAAUCAAUCUUGACUAGCCCCUUCAAUCUACUCACUGAAACUUUUGUUCAAAUUUUAUAAACCACAUUAUACAGGCUAAUUGGACAUUACCUUUAUCCUCAAGAUACGAGUGAUCUACGGUCUUAAAUUCUUUCAAUAAAAAACCAAAACAUGCUUGAGUUAUGAGAGGACCUACAAUAUCCCAGAACAUGCUAUCAAUCCCGGCAGCUUUAGAGCAUCAUUUUAAAAUAUAUACCACCUUUACUAUUUCUUCUGGUCUAAUCACCCCUCAAAGAUAGUUUAUGGGGUAAUCGUAAAAAAAAAAAAGAAAGAAAGAAACCCAUCAAUAAGAAAUAAAAAUAUCAAUUAAACUUUCAAUUCAACUCUUGUAGCUGAAAAAAUUAAUCAACGAAACCUUAAACUAACAUUGAUCGUGACAUUUUUAUUGACUUUGACUAAAAUAGUAAUAAUACAUAACAUAUCAUAUGGACUGCAUAUUGACAUGGCAUUUUUUACGCAUCAAGCAAAUAUUUAAAAAAUCGUUAACAAAUAGAUACAUUUUUUUAAAAAUAAUUAUUUAAAAUAAUAUAUCUAGAAUAAACCUAAAUAAACAACUAUCCACAUUCAUUUGAAUCUAGAUAACUAUUUAUCCAGACUCAUCUUGAACUUGAUUCCUUUGAUAAUUACUAAAAAUUAAAAAAAAAGAAUAUAAAAGAAACUUUUUAAUAAUUAUAAGUUAUUAAAAUUAUUAAAAACUUAUAAAAGAUAUUAAAAACCACUGAGAUGAACCUAGACUCUUUUUUUUUUUUUUCACUUAACACGUACAAAACUAAUUUUCAUAGAAAACCAAAAUAAAAUUGUCAACAUUAUAAGGAUUAAACAAAAUUUUUACUGUUUUGCUCAAAAUACAAUCGACAAAUACUUAAAAAAUGAAAGCCCCAAAAUGAAUUCUAAAGCAUUGAAUACAAACAUUCACAUUGAGAAUAAGAAGUUACAUUGAAGCGUCACUAUAAAUAUAGUUGAAUGAGCUCAUCACUAAUCACGGAAGGAGUAAGCACACCCAAGUCUGUAUAGAGUAGAGUAAGAUAUUGAGGAGGAGUGUAAUCUCGAGCCGAUCUUUUUACCUCAACCUUGGAUGGGAUUAGUACCCCAAAAUCAAUGGGGUGUCGCGCAGGACUCAUAUCUUUUUGGUCCUAAGGAUAAUGUCGAGCAAACUACAAGGGAGAAGAAAUUCACAACUGAGUUAUGCUAGCCGGUAGUCUGAACCCUUCUUUCUAGGUUCGUUGUAUGUAGCCUAUUUCUUUGCUCGGAUUCAAAUACUUAAGAGCAAGAAAUGAAGCUUUUUAGUUACCUUGUAGCAUUCUGCAGCCACAUAAACAGGCUUGUUCAUGCUAUGUGCCACAAAUGCAAUCCGGAAUGGCGCCAUCAUGUUAAUGAUACCUUCACUUUCAACCACUCCAUCAGCUCCAAAGAGUACCAUGUCCACCUCAUCCAUAGUGUAUGCCACAGCAGAGUCUAUUAAAAGCUUUACGGGAACAUCAAGGUUGGCCAGCUCAUUAGAAAAUCGUAAUCCAGUUCUAUCUGGCCUUCCUUCUGUUUUAAAACAAUGUGAACUCUUUCAUAAACACCGCCAUCUGAUAUGACUUAGUAGAACAUAUGCAAAAAAAAAAAGAAGAUAAAAUGACUAGACUUCUUUUUUGGUGACAGCACAUUUGGUUUAAUCCUGUUAAGAAUUAGUUGCAUGCACAUGACAAGGUACACAGAAAGUAAAACCUGUGCAGAGAACUCUAAAAGUGUUUCUUGUUUUCAGCUGCUGUCUUCAAUACUUCGAGAACAACUCUAGAGAAACCAUGUACCAAAAUGGUACAACCAUCAAAAAUAAAAUCUUGACUUAGCAUUGCAAUAAUCCUGCGAGCCUACAAUGUUUGGCAAUAAUGUCUUUCAACAUCAGGAAUGCUUCAAGUAUAAUUAAAAUGAAAUGAAACAGUAGAGAAGUAAUUUACUAGAAAAGCCACAAUUUAUCUGAAAUACCUUACAAGAUAUUUCCCCAAACUUCUCUGCACGUUCGAUCAGGCGAGACUUAGCUGAAUUAAAGUCCUCAUACUCUAAAGCUGAUGUUCUUGUUACAUACAACAUGAAGAGAUCACAACCAGCUGUCAACGAGAUAGAGGUUGUGUCCCAUGACUGGCAAUACAAACAUAAGCUUGAUGAUGAAAUUGAGAUGUUGAUGGGUGUUUAAAGGUAUUUUAUUAAGGAAUUUUGGAUGAAAUCAUGUUUUAGGGAUUAAUUAGUAAAGUUGUUGAAUUUAUGUGAAAUUCUAAAAUUUCAUCGAAUUUAUGGGAUGCUAUUGAUAUAUGUGAAAGUAUUUAGGCUUGGAAUAAGGAAUAAAUUACUUAAAUUUCAAUUUUCGAGCCUAGGGAUGAAAUCGUCAUUUAGUAAAAGUAUAGGGGCAAAAUAAUAAUUUUGCCUAAGAUGUGACUUGGAUAGAAUUGAAUGUAAAUUUUAUUAAGUUGAUGUUAAAUUUACUCAUAUAGAUCCGGAUAGAUCAAAUACGAAGCUAGAUCGAGGUAAAGAAAAAGUGACGGAUUAGUAGACAUCAAUUCACAAACACUUGUCGAGAUAAGUUCGUGUAACUAAAUUGUGUAUAUUUAUAUGCUUAAAUUUGAAUAUUGAAUAUGUAAAUUGUAUAAAUGUCAUGUAUGUGUAUAUAAUUUACCUCAUAUCCGAUAAUUCCUGAUAAAUGAGUCAUGUAUGUGUAUAUAAUUUACCUCAUAUCCGAUAAUUCCUGAUAAAUGAAUAAGUCCCAUAAAAUGAAUGAAACUCGAUUGGAUACAGGGUUCUGUUUCCCAAUAUGGUAAUGUUCCUGCAUAUGUUGCAAACGUCCGUAUCUCGAAAGAGCGUCCCGUUACAAGCCCUCUCAAGCUUCCCGUUAUAGUGUUCUUGCGAGCUUCCCGUUAAAUGCUCUUCUGAGUAUCUCGACUGGUUGUGUUCUGCAUAUGUUGUAGACACACCCACGCUCUUAUGGGUGUUCUGUUUAUAGGUUCUUUGUGAACCUCCUGUUAAAGUGCUCUUCGGAGCUUCCCGUUAGUGCUCGCUUGAACUUCCCGUUAUAUGACUAUCCGGUGCUCUCUGUUAAAGUGCUCUUUGGAGCUACCCGAUAUAGGCUCUUUGUGAGCUUCCUGUUGUUAAGCCCAGAAAAGCUUCCCGUUAUAGUGCUUGAGAGAGAGCUUUCUGUUUAAGUGCUCUAAUGAGUACUCGACAUGAAUUGACAGAUUUCUGAUUUAUACACUUUAUGUGUGUAACAGCCCGAUCUUGACCCUAAUCGGAACAGUAGUUUUGGGACCACAAAUUCGAGUCUAAAAAAAUAUUUUAAUAUUAUUUUCUGUGUUAAUUAUGUGUGAAUUUACAUGUGUGAAAGUUUCGUAAAUUAAUUUUAUUGUUUGUGUGCUUAAUUUGAAAAAAAAGGGGCUUAAUCGCGUAAAAUGAAAAUUUGAUGGCUAAUUAAGAAAGUGCCUAAUUGUUGUUGUCUUUAUAAGUUGGAGGCCUUAUGUUGUAAUUUAGCCAAUAAUAAUAGGUAGUGGAUGGCAUAAUGAUGAUAUGUGAUUUAUAUAUAUAUAAAAUAAAAGUUAAAAUAAUAUUAAUAUAAUAAUAUAUGUUAUAAUAAAACAAAACAUUAAAAGCCACUAUUUUUUUUAUGUUCAUCUUUCUUCACCGAAUGGAGAAAAGAAAAACAAGGUUUGAAAGCUUGAAACAUUCGGCCAUUUUGAAGCUUAAUUCAAGGUUGGUUUUUGUUCGGUUUUUGAUAAUUUUUACGUUUUUGAGAUCGUUGCUUUGAAUACUUCAAAACCCAUGUCUUAAUUUUGUGAAUUGUUGAUGAUUUUGAGAAAUGCCAUUGAUGAAUGCUUGAGCUUUGUGAUAGUUGAUGAUGAAAUAUGAAAGAUAUGUGAAAGAUUAACAUGUUUGUCUUUGAAUUUUUGAUGAAUUUGAGUAAUUAGGGUUAAAUUGUAAAAAUAAAUUUUUGAGGGACUAAAAUGUGAAAUAAAUGAAAUGUGUGGUCUUGUAUGGACACUAGGAAUAUUUGGCCCUUAAGGAGUGUAGUCAAAUUUUGUGUAUUUUGUGUUUUGAGCAAAAAGGACUAAAUUGUAAAAAGUGUGAAAUGUUAGGGGCAAAAUUGUAAUUUCCCAUUUAUGUGUUUUUAGGCUAAAUUGAAUAGAAUGGUGUUUAACUAAGCUUAAUUUGAAUAUGCUUAGAUUAAGAAUUAAAGAAAUCUAAUUUGGAUCGAGGAAAGACAAAAGUGGUGGAGUAGCCGAUUUAACAGUCGACGACAUCCGAGGUAAGUCUAUAGGCAUAUAAAUGUCGUUAAAUUUGAUAAUAUAUAUGUUACAUGUUGGAUGGAAUUUUUGUGAAUAUAUUUGUGUAUGGCCGAAUGUAUAUUGAGCAAAUGAGCUAUAUUCGAGUUCGAUUCGAUCGAGAUACGUUAUCCGAAAGUCCCGUACGAACCCUAGGAAUAGAUAGGAUACAUAUGUCAUGGCAUAGGAUUUUCGAUAUGUGUUAUCGUGUAAGACCACGUCUGGGACGUUGGCAUCGACUUGUGUUUACGUGUAAGACCCUGUCUGGGACAAUGGCAUCGAUAUGUGAUUACAUGUAAGACCACGUCUGGGACGUUGGCAUUGUACGAGUCUUCCGACUAUCCGAGUAUCCUUUUUAAUUCCGAAUGGUUCAACGGGAAAAGAUAAGUUGUGUACGAAUGUAUAAAUCGGGCUAAGUGACCAGGUAUGUGAUAGUUAAUUACCUAUUUGAAAAUAAGGCAAGUUGUAUACUUGAAUUGAUGAUAUGAAGUUAUGUGAAAUAUGGAUUAUGUUAUUGCAUAUUUGAAUAUAUAUGUAUUCGACCUUGAUGUAUAUGUGCAUUGAGGAAAGUGAUGAUUGGUUAUAUUAAUGUUCAAUGGAUUAUUCAGUAAAGAGGGAAGUUAUUACAAAUUAUAUAAGUUUUGAUAUAUAAGUUGAUAAAUUGAAUUAUAUGUGAAAUUAUAAUGGUUUAUUACUAAUUGUCUAGCUCAAUUUAUGUAAAUGAUUAAAUGUUUAUUUGCUUAUGAAUACUAAGCUUUAAUAGCUUACUGUGUGUAAUUGCUUUCAAUUUUAUAGAUUUGGAAGUUGGUUAAGAGCGGGGAUCGUCAGAGAAGUCUAUCACACUAUCGACUAUUUUCGGUAUUUUACUAAGUUUGAAUUUAAACUUAUGGCAUGUAUAGUCUAGUUAAUAUGUUUGAUUUUUGGGGAUGUAAAUAUGAGCCAUGCGAAAAUGGCUUAUUUAUUUUGUUAAGCAUGGUUUUUAUGCUUUCGAUCAAGUGAUAGAUAUGUUGAUUUUGGUAUUUCGGCUAUGGCAUAUUUAUUUAUGUGAAUUAUGUUUGAUAUAUUUUGUUAAUAAGGUGGUAAAUAAUUCGGCAUAGGUGAGCUUAGUUAAAGCAUAUAAUUGAAGUGAGUUUCGUAUAAUAUGUUAAUCUCUGAAUCGGCCAUGGUAUAUAUAUUAUGGUGUUUUAGUCAUGUGCUUCGGUAAUGAGGUAAAUGAUAUUCAAGCUUAAUUAAUCUUGGUUAUGUGUUAUAUAUAUAUAUGAUAUGUGUGAUAUGUUUGGUUUUGGUCUUGGUGUUUCGGCUAUGGUUUAUUUAUAAGUAAAUAUAUGUGAAUCUUGUUUGAUAUGCUUUGUUAAGGUAUUGUUAUGUAAUUUAGUAAUUAAGUGAACUCGGUUAUGGCAUAUAGGUGAAAUGCUAAGUAAAUCAUAGAUGAAAUGACAGUUAAAUUUGGUUUGUAAGAGUAUAUUUGCAUUAAUAAAUUGAUUUGAAAGAAACUAGUAAUGUGCAUAGGUAUGUACGAUUAUAAGGUAUGGAAGAAUAUGUGUAUAUUUGGUCAUGAUCUAGACCUGUUUUGGAAGUGUGUUUUAUGCUAUAAAUUGGUGUAUGGAUAUAGGUUUGGAAAAUGUGAAUUGAUAUGUAUGAUUUUACUAUUUGAAUCGAUAUGGUUUGAUUAGUAAAUGCCAUAUUUUGACUUAUGAUUUAAUGACUAAAUCUUGUACAGUUUAUGAGGUUAUUUAUGGAUGCCAAUUUGUUAUGAAAUAAAUUAGGAAUGUCGAGUAUUUAAUAAAGGUACGAUUUGCUCAUGCAAGUGGACUUAAUAUUCGAUUUUAUAUUUGUAAAAUGAUAUGAAUUGUAUGGAUUUUUGGAUAUGGCUAAAAUGGUGUAUUCAUAUGCGCAAACUUGUAAUAGAUAAAUAUGAAUGUUUUGGUCUUUUGAAUGAUAUAUAUAUAAAUGAUUUUAAGGUAGGUUUAAAAUUUAUGAAUAAGAUACAAACAAAUUCGGGUAAUGAUAGUUAAGUGAGUAAAACAAGUUUGAAUUUAGCUUUUAUAAAUUUAUUGGAUUAGUCAAUUAAAGGAUAAGUUGAUUUGUAUUGAGCGUAUAUAAUUUAUGAUUGAAUGAUUUCACUGAAAUGGUCAUAUGUGUAUAAUAUAAUGGCAUAAAAGGUAUGUACGACCAUAAUAUAAUGUUACUAAUGUUGUAUAUGUGAUUGGACAUUAAGUUGUAUACAUAUUGGUUUCAUUAUGUACAUAUACAGAAGUUAUGAAAUGCAAUGUUUGAUAUUUAGAUAGUAAAAUUAUGUACGGAAGUAUUUUCUAUAUAUGAAAAGUGAAGAUAUAUGCUUGAAUAUGAUUUAAUUAUGAAAAUGUCAUUAAUACGAUGGAUUUAGGGAAAUCGAAUAUUGAAAGUAUUUUAAUUUAACAUGACUCUGAUGUAUACAAGUUUGGUUCGAAUUUGUUAAUUAUAGAAUAUGUUCAUUGAGCUUUGAUGUAUGUUUAAAUUGAAUUAGUUUAAAUUUUGAAAUGUGUUUAUUUGUGAUACAUGCUUAGUAAGGUAUGAUUGAUUUGAAUUGUAAUUAUCAUUUUAUACAUAUUUGAAUUUAAAAUAAGUAAAAUGAGGAUAUUCAAGUUUGAUAAUGUUAUAAAUGAAUCGUUAUUCUUUGGUGUAUGAAAGGAGGUAAAUGACUGUGCUGAACUGUGUCUUGUUCGGUAAUGCCUUGUAACCCUAAUCCGAUGACGAAUACGGGUUAGGGGUGUUACAAUAUGUACUACCCUCGUAUCCAUCGAGAUUUCAAAUGAUUCAACAGGUGAAAUUCUGACAUGAAGACAAGUGAAAAUUAAAAUGAAAUCAAUAUAUGAAAAAUACAUGAAAUGCAUGGAACUUGGUAUUUGAUGAGCUCAUCUUUGGUGUUGAUAUUUACAUGAAAUGAAUAACUAACAUAUUUGAUGAGAUUAUGUACUUAGGCUAUGGCCAAGUUGUUUGGAAUGCAUGAGUAUGUUUACUUAGUGUACAAAUGAAUGGUAAGUUUACUUCCCGUUAUACGAACUUACUAAGCACUAAGUGCUUACUCUGUUUUAUAGUAAUCGGAAGCUCGUUGGGUUGGAAGCUUGGCGGAGAUCACUCACACUAUCCAUUGGCUCACUUUGGUAUAUUUAUGACACUAUUUUUGGAUAUAAUGGCAUGUGUAGGUUUGGUUAGCCAAAGUUGGCAUACAAAUAUUUUGGUUGUAAAUAGCCAUUGGAAUGGCUUGUGAUGAAUGUGUUUUGGCAUAUUAACAUAUGAGUUAAUUUCAUGUUUGGUAUAAGUGCUUAAUUUGGUUUAUGAAUAUUAGUAUGAUAUUAAGUAAAUGUGGUCAAAUAUAUAAAUUCACAAACAUGGAUUAUGAAGUGAUAUGGUAAGUAUGAGACUUGAGUUUUGCAUGUUUUUAAAUGUUUUAGAUUGACUUUUGGAUGUGUUAAAAUGUUUGUAUAGGUGAGUGAUCAAAUGGGUGAGAAAUAAGGCUUGGAAAUGACAUUAUUUUGUCCACACGGGCAGAGGCACGAGUGUGUGUCUUAGUCGUGUGUGACACACGGCCUAGCACAUGGGCAUGUGUUCUAGCCAUGUGUCCCUUGCAUUUUAAAAUUUUAAAAUAGAGCACUUGAAAUUGAUCACACGGUCUGGCACACGGGCAUGUGACUUAGCCGUGUGACCCCUGCACUUAAUUAAGUUGCAAGUCAGAGAGUUACACGGGUUAGAGACACGGGCGUGUGCCCUACCUCAUAUACCACACGGCCUAAGACAUGGGCAUGUCACUUGGCCGUGUGAGCCACAUUGCUUGACCACACAAGCGUGUGACCCCUGAACCUAGGAAAAAUUUUGAAAUUUUGUAAAAAUUCUCUAAGUUCCCGAUUCAGUCUCGACUCAUUUCUAAUGUAUGAUUUGGGCCACGAAGGCCUAUAGAAGGGACGAUAUGGUUAAACCCUGUUCCAACGACGGAUACGAGUUAGGGAUGUUACAUUAUCGCCUUUCGGUUACUUAACCUAAUAAUUCAAAGGAUUGCUUAAAACUAAAAUUGACUAACUAAAAUAACUAACGAAUGUGUCAAAUAGCAAAACACGAAAAUAAUCUAAUAUCAUCCGAUUUACUAAACGAUACCCACGUACGAAUCCACUUAGAAUUCAUCUAAAAUUCUCAAUUUAAUUUAUGCAAUUUAUUUCCUUAGUUUCCUUGAUCCAUAGAAAUCCCUAACUUAUGCUAAUAUCUCUUUCGAGCAUAAAAGCAACUAACUCUAGGUUGAUUAAUUGAAAUUUCCUUCUAAUUAAAACCCUUAUUAUCUCAUUAAUUCACUCUAUGGAUUCUCUUAUUAGAUUUGAUUCUAAUUUGGUAGAUUUGUAUCGACCUAUUUCUAGGAUUAUAUGCAACUCCAUUCGACUAUGCAAAAUCUAAUUACAAGAAGGGUCUAUUCAACCUCAAACUCAUGCCCAUCAAACAUGGAUUAAGACCCUAGAAAUAUUAACCCAAGAAAAAAUUUAGAAUUCAUAAUUGAAAAUAAAGAAGCUAAGAUUUUAUUGCAUAAAACUAUAAAUCAAAUAAUAUCAUCCAUCGUAAGGCUCGUCUCCUCUAGGGAUUUAGAAAAUUAGUUCAUACUUGCAAGAAUAAACACCGAUAAUACAAUAUAACCAUUAAAAUAAAAGAAACCUAUGAUAACUUCCUCAGAAAUCAAUUUGGAAUCUUUAAUUUUGAUGGAGAACUGCUUUGAAAUCAACUUCAAUGGUGUUCUUUUGGGUAAUUUUCGUGCUAAACCAAGACGGAUGUUGUUUUCCCUUUUUUAUUUCCUUAUAUAUGCCUUCUUAAAGUACCAAAAACUUAAAAAUUUAAACUUCCGACUAUCAUUGUACACGGUUCCCAAAAGUUACACACCCUUGCCACACACCCUUGUGGUUCACAUAGCUUUGUGGUCUGGCUGUGUGAAAAUCUGUUACCCGUGUACAGCUUCCAGACUGCUUCAAUGUUAUGAUUUUCACUUGUUUUUCGCUCUAUUUGUUCCCAAGUUCUCUAUUAAGCUUCAAAACAUGAAUUUAAAGGAUUAUAAGUAUAUAAUUCACAAUUAACACCACUUUAUUACCCAAAAAUGCACUAAGAAUGAGGCUAGAAUAUGUUACUUUUGACACUUAUCAAAUAUCCCUAUACUUAAGCAUUUAUUUGUCCUCAAGCAUAGGUCUCGGCUCACAUUCAAAUUAACUUUCCUUCACCCAUUAUUUUCACUAGUCAUGGCUUAGGAUAGUCUAUAUAUAAUUCGAAAAUUAAACUAAAAUGACAAUAAAGAGCAUGAGUAAUCCAAGCAAAAAUUUUAAUUUCAAAACAUAGGAUUCUCCCCUACCUUAUAAUGACUUGAAAUUCAAACCCAACCAGAUUUAACAUCCUUACUAAGUUUCACUCAAAACACUCAAAGUGUUUAAAGGUUAAUUAAUAUGCACUCAAUAGUCAAACAAGGAAUGUUAUUACCAUAAGCUUGCUUAAGAACCAAAUCUCCACCACUACAAAUAUGAGAUGACACAAAGAUCAAGAGGUUUUUACAAGGGUUGUAACGGGGAUUAGGUUAAGAGUAUAGAAGGUAUAAAAGGUGAAUAUAGUUGAGAGUUGAAAUGAUAAGUUACCAAACUAAAAGAAUAAGAUGCUGAAUUGCAAAAAUUUAACAUUAAAGUGAAACAAAGAAUUGAAGUGAGCUUUUAUAUAUGGUGAUGAUGAUGAUUUAAGCUCAAAAAAAAAAAGAUAAUGAUGCUUAUAACAUGAAUAUUGACCUCUCAAUUGAACAAGAUAGCCUAAAGAAUUUUUAGAAUGAUCGAACAUAUCUAGGAAAUUUACCAAAAAUCUAAUCUCAAUUUAAGGGAAGCAAUAAAAAAGGUAAUUCACAAAAUUAUUGGGGUUUAAGGGUUAAAAUGGAGGGGGUGAUAAACAAACAAAAAGGGAUUAGGCUCAAAGGGGUUUACUAGUGGGCAAUGAAAUGGGUAGGCUAUUUAAAUGUUAAAUGGUUUAAAUCUUAAGUAUUUCUAUCAUCUCAGUAUAUCAAAUCAUUAUAUUUGAGAAUUCACAACAAAUGUUGGAUCUCGGUAACAUUUGUAAUCAAUCUCAUACAAGUGCGCACAAGACCUUAUUUACAUGCCAAUUUUAUCCUGACAUUUACUAAGUUCACAUGAGCAUCUCUUACACAUAUAAAUAUAUAUUUUCAAUUUAGUCCAAUUCCAACAUUUAGAACCAAUCAAUAAAUCCACAAUCACACACUUAUACACAAAUCAAAUCAAUUAAUUAUUUUAAAUAUAAUUAUUUUUAGUAAAAAUAAAUUUUAUAUGUGAAAUAUUUAUUUUUUUUCCAUCCAUAUAAUGGGUCUGACAAAUUUUAGUAUUAUAUAUUUUUAUGUGUAUUUUAGAUAAUUAUUUGAAAUAUUUUACAUAUAAAAACAAUGAUAUUUGAAAUAAUUAUUUUUAUAAUAUUAAAAUUUACCAUACUUGCAAUAUAGGUGAAAAUAUAUUGAUAUUUGUAAUAGUUAUUUGAAAUAUUUCACAUAUAUUUGAAAUAAUUUUUUGAAAUAAUUUACAUAUAAAAUCAAUAGUGAUAUUUGAAAUAAUUAUUUGAUUUUAUAAUAUUAGAAUCUACAAUAUCCACAAUGUAGGUGAAAAAAAAAUAUUUCACAUAUAAAAAAUUAUAUUUACUAUUUACUAAAAAUAAUGAUAUUUGAAAUGGUUAAUUGAUUUUUUUAUAGUAGAAUUUAUCGUACUUACAAUGCAUAUAAAAAAAAUAUUUGAUGUAUAAAAAUUAUAUAUAUAGAAAAAUAUAAAAAAAUUAGUUGAUGUUUUUUAAAAAAUAAAAAAUAAAUAACAUAAUGAUACUUAUGAAUAUAUUUUCACUAUAUCCACAAUGCAAGUGGAAAAAAAUAAUGAUAUUUGAAAUAAUUAUUUUUAUAAUAUUAAAAUUUAUGUUACCCACAAUGUACGUAAAAACAUUUUUUUUAUAUAAAGAAUUAUUUAUAAAGAAAAAUAUAUCAAAAAAUUAGUUGAUGUUUUUAAAAAUACAUAUAAUUUUAACAUAAUGAUACAUAUGAAUAUAUAUUCAUCAUAUCAAUAAUGUAAGUGAAAAUAUAAAGAGAUUUGAAAUAAUUAAUUUUAUAUGUUAGAAUUUACGAUACCCACAAUGUACGUAAAAAAAUAUUUGACAUAAAAAAUAUAUAAAGAAAAAUAUAUCAAAAAAAUAGUUGAUGUUUUUAAAAAAUAAAAUAUAUUAACAUAAUUAUAUAUAAAUUAUUUUCAUUAUAUAAUUACAUAUUUAUUAUUUUGUGUGUAUAAAUAAAGAAGUGAUUAAUUAAAAUAAAAAGUUAAUUGAAGACUUGAAAAUAGCAUGCUUAUUAAUUAAAAAUUAAGAAAAAAAAGCUUGAAGAAAUAUUCAUUAGGAAAAAAAAAAUAAUAUAUGGGGGGGGAUUCGGAUAUGGGACUUAAGGGUAGAAAAUGCUAGAAAAAUAAUGAGGUCCUUGGAAGUAAUAAAUAUUAAUAUUUUGAUAUUUUAUAAAAAAUUUAUAAACUAUAUAAGCAUAAUAGGAUUUGAACUUAAGUUACUAUGACUUCAACGAUCUUAUUCUUGUUAUCAGAACAUUAUUUAUUUCUUUUUAUAAACAUUUACAUAUAUUUUUUUUAGAUCUAACAAACAGGGAAGGCAUUUGGUAAAUUUCUGGAUUUGCAGUAUUUUUUUCUUCAAGCUAAUUAAUUCAAUUUUGUAUGGUGUUAUCCAGGAAGAAAUAGAUCAACAAAAAUGGGAGCUGAGGAGCCUGAAGAGAACAUCACUCACAUGGAUGCUUGGCUUUAUAAGGCAGCAGCAGAAGGCAACAUUGAAGUAUUCAAUAAUAACCAGCGGCUUCAACUUGAGCCGCUAAAGACCCCAAACCAUGACAACCUGCUCCAUGUUAGCUUGGCAACCCAGGAGAAUGCUGUCUGGCUUUUUAACAGCGUUCACUCAAUAUUCAAAUCGUCCCCGCACAAUAUGUAUUCUCCCUGAUAGAUUUUGUAUCACACGAUCCGGGUUUCAAUAUUUUCGUAACUGUGAUAAGAAGAGACAAAAUAUCUGAUUUUAUCAGACAAAUUCUGUUGGGACAAUGGCAGCAGCAAAAAGAAAAGAACAAGACAGAGAACAAAGGAGGAAGAAACAAAAACAAUUUACUUGCUCACAAACGUGCAACAAGGAAGCAAUCUGAGUUUCACAACUGAUAUGCUUGAUUUUUCAAUAAGAAAAACAAUACAUUUAUAGCCAACUACAUCAGUUAUUAUUACCUAAUACCACUAAGUAGCCUAGUAACUUUAAAAACAUUGCUUACACAAACAAGCCACCUAAACUAGUCAUUCAACACCUAAACAUAUUAAGCUGUCAUAAGCUUGUUCAUUUCCAAGUAGUUUAAUCAACAAAGAAACUAAAAAGAAAAACUUGUUGUUACAGCAAGUAUAUGUGCUGCAGCAUGUCAUCAAGCUGCAUGCACUUCAACCAAAACAUGUAUCAGCAGCAUGGUUGGCCAAUUUCAACACUCCUCCUUGGACUCCAUGCUGCAAAUACCAAUCAUUCAUCAAGUUUUUUGAACUUGGCAACCCUUAGAUGCUUUGUUUCAAGCUGACCAAUUCAUUUUCAACCUUGGCCUCAUUCACAAACAAAUCUGACUUACACACUUGACUAUCCCAGUCUUUUGUGCCAAAGAUUUGUUCACCAAAUGGAGUCUUCUUGAUACGGGGUUGCGCGCGGACCAAGAUCGAGUUGCCAAGUCACGGGAAACUCCUACGAAAACCCUAAACAAUUAGAUCUGAAACGAAACAGAAAAUUAAAAGAUUAGAUUUUUGAAUUUUCAGAUCUGAAAUAAAAUCCCCAAAUCAGCAAAGAAUCAAAUUGAGAAUAGAAAUAAGUGUUAGGGUUCUUGAAACCCUCAAGGAGAUUGUGAUUCUGCCCAAUUGAACACCAAGAUAGUUUUCCCCAAAUUUCGACAAUCUAAUUUCACCCAAAAAGAGUAUGGAAAACCCUAGAAAUUGGAGAUUUUUGGGCUGAUUCCUUAAGAUAGAAAAAGGCUGAAAACACAAUAAGAACAGAAAAUAGAUUAGAUAAUGAUUCAGCACAAGUAGAAAUAAAGAAAGAAUUGACAGUAAGAAAUUAAAAGAUAAGUCCUAAGAAGCCUUGAAAUCUCGAAAGAUCUCACAACUCCCUUCAAACGACUCUAAUCUCCCCUCCAAAGAAUAUCAAUGGCAAGAAGAAGGUUGAAGAUGGCUCCCACAAUCAAAAAGAUUGUUAAAACAACUUCUAAAGAAAACUCAAGAGAAAAUCCUUGAAGAACUCAAAGAGAAUUUUCACUCAAAUCAAAUCUGAAAUUUUCAAUGUAAUUGUAAUGUAGUGUAGGGUGGCUGGCCAAGCCAUAUAAAUAGGCCUUUCAAAUGUUUUCCUAAUUUAAUUAGAACACUAAAACUAAAACUAAAAAAAAAAACUCCUAAUUAUUUUAAUAUGAAAAUUCGGCCAAGGGUCUUUUAUUUGGGACUCCUGGACUGAAUAUAAAUAAAUAAAUAAAUAAAAAUAAAACUUUACAACUUGGGCCACUUUGACAAUUUGGCUUGAUUUUCAACUAAGUAUGGGUGGAUUUCUUGAUUGGGCUUGGAAUCUUCUUAUUGGGCCUCGCCUUCAAGAAUUUGGGCUUUUGUGACUCGUAUCAUUCCCCCUUCCUCAAAAAGAUUCGUCCUCGAAUCUGAAAAAUCAAAUGAACUCGACUUUCCUCUAUCGAACGGGACUAAUGGCAAUUGAGUCCACUGAAAAGAAUAACCAUGAGAUAGUAAAUAGCAACGGAAACAAGCUUGUAGUCCAAUCAUAAGCAUAACAGAACAGGUAUAACGCAUGUGAAUGGACAGAUUCAGAUUACCAUGCAAACAAUCUAAUUUACUCACCACUGUCUCGUCAAAUAUUUGAAACAAAGAUGGACAUGUUUUAAGGCAUUCAGUCGUCUCACAUUGUUCGCACAAACCAUGAAUAAAUUGCGAGUAAUAAAUCAAAUGGUAAACAUAAUCGUCACAAGUAGGUAUUUGAAAAGAUUCACAUGGUUCACAGAGUUGCAUAAUCAUACCAUGCAUUAAUCGACGGUCUAUAGAUUCACUCACACAUGCAUUAUCAAAAACAAGAAUCUUUUUAUCAACCAUCAAAACAGAUAGAUCAUCAAUAAAUAAAAUAGGACAGUUAAGCACGUUUCGAUCUAAGUGUUCAUCAACACGAUCUUUAUCACUAUCCGAGGAGUACAAAAGUGUUUCAAAGGUUUCAAGCAUCUUACCUCGAUAAGCAGAAGAAUAAGGGUCGAUUUUACCUUUUUCAUUUAAAACAAACCUUCGCUCAUCGGGGGCAUAGUGUAAUCGAAUCUCCGUUGUUGAGUUAACCUUUGUCAAAUGGAACUCAAACUUCAUGUACAACGACAUAAACUGUUUAAGGCACGAAUAUAAAUUGAAAACAAAUUUGGAAAAUUUCGUUACCUUAUUCUCCAAAACAGAUUUGGACAAAUUCGAGGAUUUUACACAAGGUAAAUCAAGAGAAUAACAAAUCACGCUUCUUUUCGUAAUGACUUUAUCAACCACAAUCGAAGAGUAACAAUUAAUCGAAUCAAAAUGAGGGGAUCUUUUAAGAACUAAGUCACCAAAAGUUUUAUCAAUAAUUUUCAAAUCUGCACUGGACUCGGUUUCUAAAAUUUCCUUACCUCGCUUACCUUCAGGAUCAUGUAGUGUGAUUUCAUCUUUGCCUAAGUUGAUCGUAUGAAAGCGUCUUUCAUUUGAGAGGUAUUGAAGUUGAAAGUUAUCUUUUGAUCUUUCGGGAACCUGAAAAGUAGCAACACAAGAAAAAUUCAUAUCUUGGUUAGUGGAAACAUUCCUCACUACCCUUUCCAUGUCUUUUUCUUUUGUUUCUUUUUUUAAUUCAUUUUCUCUUCUUUCUUCAAUUUCUUUUUCAAUCUCAAUCUCUUUUUGCUCUUUUUCAUUCUCUUUUUCUUUUUCCUCACUUGUUUUAACAGAAUUUUUCAGUUUGAUUUGGUCCUCAUGGACUUGUUCCGGAGUGAGCGGCACUAAGGUGAGUUUCUUUCCUUGAUGCUUGAAAGAAUACCUAUUGGUACGACCAUCGUGAGUGACUUUUCGAUCUAGUUGCCAUGGUUCUCCUAGCAACAAAUGGCAGGCUUGAAUAGGCAUUACGUCGCACACAACUUCGUCUUGAUACUUACCGAUAGAAAAGGCGAUGCGCACUUGUUGAGUGACCCUAAAUUGGCCUUUGUUGCUAAGCCCUUGUAGUUGAUAAGGUUGUGGAUGCUUGGUAGUGGUUAAGCAAAGCUUUUCCACCAUCGUCGUGCUGGCUAUGUUCGAGCAACUUUCACCAUCAAUAAUAACUCUACAAAGCUUACCUUGUACAUGGCAGCAAGUAUGAAAAAGAUGUUCUCGUUGCUGCUCGCUCUUUGGUUUUGCCAAAGAUGAUUGUCCACGAUCAUGAAAAUCAUCAUCCAUUCUAGGGACACGUUGAGGGCUGCACCUAUAGGGCUGGUUAUCCCUAUCUUCCUUAAUUGGAUCUCGAUAUUGAUGUUUUUGAUUCACUCGUACCUCAUUCAAAGUAGUAUUCAAUGCUUGAAGUGUAGCAUUUAUUUGUGUGAUUGCAGCAGUAUGUUCGUCUAACUGUUGUUGGACUUUCAUAAGUGCAUCAUUAUUAUCACCUUUAGACAUCUUCAAAACCUGUAAAAAAUAAACACUCAACACUCAAAAAUAAAAGUUAGCAAACCUCACCAUUAAUCACUCAAAAAGAAAAAUCAAAUUCUCAAUGAGGUCGAAUUCAAUCUUGUGAGUUUUUUAUCAGAGUUUAUAUCAACCAAUUAGAGAGUGUGAACCAAAUUACCAAAGAAUCCUAAUUUGCACUAGGAUGCCAAAAACUGACGAGACACCAAGUGAUUCGUGUUGCACCGAGGAAGGAGUUGUGCACACGUGUAAAUCCUACUAACACAAGAAACAAAAAGGUGUUAGAUAAUGUAACGGAAGAAUAAAAGCAAACAAAUGAAAACCUACAGCUAAGAAUCAAUAAAAAUUGCUGAAAACAGAAAACCCGAAAAAUUGCGGAGUAACUUGACAACUUCGUUCGAGGUGGUCCCGAUCUCUAAAAAUCACGAAAUUAAAUCUGUAAUGUCCUUAAAUAUUGAAUUUCUUAUCUGGAAAUUUUGGGCACCAAAUUCAACCCACUGAAUCUUUUUUUAAAUUUUUAUUGAAUUUCGUAUUUUUUUAUUAUUUUGACUUUUUUGACUGAUUUUUUUUGCGGGAAUAAUUUUUUUAUAUUCAAUCACAGUGCCAAAAACAUGUAUGUAAAAUUUCAGAUCAAUCGGACAACGUUUACCCACUCAAAUGAAUUUUUUUUAAACAAUUUUUCUGGGUAAAACUGCUGUUUGUGCUUUAAAAAAUAGAGAUCAGUUUAGAAAUCAACCAAGAACACCCAAAACGCCCAAAAUCUGAUACCAAAUGAUACGGGGUUGCGCGUGGACCAAGAUCGAGUUGCCAAGUCACGGGAAACUCCUACGAAAACCCUAAACAAUUAGAUCUGAAACGAAACAGAAAAUUAAAAGAUUAGAUUUUUGAAUUUUCAGAUCUGAAAUAAAAUCCCCAAAUCAGCAAAGAAUCAAAUUGAGAAUAGAAAUAAGUGUUAGGGUUCUUGAAACCCUCAAGGAGAUUGUGAUUCUGCCCAAUUGAACACCAAGAUAGUUUUCCCCAAAUUUCGACAAUCUAAUUUCACCCAAAAAGAGUAUGGAAAAACCCUAGAAAUUGGAGAUUUUUGGGCUGAUUCCUUAAGAUAGAAAAAGGCUGAAAACACAAUAAGAACAUAAAAUAGAUUAGAUAAUGAUUCAGCACAAGUAGAAAUAAAGAAAGAAUUGACAGUAAGAAAUUAAAAAAAAGUCCUAAGAAGCCUUGAAAUCUCGAAAGAUCUCACAACUCCCUUCAAACGGCUCUAAUCUCCCCUCCAAAGAAUAUCAAUGGCAAGAAGAAGGUUGAAGAUGGCUCCCACAAUCAAAAAGAUUGUUAAAACAACUUCUAAAGAAAACUCAAGAGAAAAUCCUUGAAGAACUCAAAGAGAAUUUUCACUCAAAUCAAAUCUGAAAUUUUCAAUGUAAUUGUAAUGUAGUGUAGGGUGGCUGGCCAAGCCAUAUAAAUAGGCCUUUCAAAUAUUUUCCUAAUUUAAUUAGAACACUAAAACUAAAACUAAAAAAAAAAACUCCUAAUUAUUUUAAUAUGAAAAUUCGGCCAAGGGUCUUUUACUUGGGACUCUUGGACUGAAUAUAAAUAAAUAAAUAAAUAAAAAUAAAACUUUACAACUUGGGCCACUUUGACAAUUUGGCCUGAUUUUCAACUAAGUAUGGGUGGAUUUCUUGAUUGGGCUUGGAAUCUUCUUAUUGGGCCUCGCCUUCAAGAAUUUGGGCUUUUGUGACUCGUAUCACUUCUCCUCCUUCACAGCCUUGGUUGACAACACAUCUUGCCUUGUUUCUUUGUUCAUAACAAUCCUGUUUCUUCUUGCACAAACAGUUCGUGAGUAUAGUUUGCUUGCACAAACUGUCUUCAACAGGCUUGCAACUAUACAACACGCAUUGAGCUUCCACAUGUUGCUGAGCUCACACCUUUGACAGACUCACAUCUUUGCAUAUUGUCUUCAACAGGUGUCUUCAAUAGGCUCGCACUUUGCUAAGCUUGCAGCUUUGACAUCUUGCUAAGCUUGCACAUUUGGAAAGCUCACACCUUUCCUUGAAACUCCUCCUCCAGCUUAUUCAAGCUUGUUUGGGGGUCUUAUAAGUUUGAGCCGAUGUUGAGCAGGGGAAGCAAAAUCAAUGGUCCCUUAAGACUUAGGCUCUGAUACCAUUUGUUGGAACAAUGGCAGCAGCAAAAAGAAAAAGAACAAGACAGAGAACAAAGGAGGAAGAAACAAAAAUAAUUUACUUGCUCACAAACGUGCAACAAGGAAGCAAUCUGAGUUUCACAACUGAUAUGCUUGAUUUUUCAAUAAGAAAAACAAUACAUUUAUAGCCAACUACAUCAGUUAUUACUACCUAAUACCACUAAGUAGCCUAGUAACUUUAAAAACAUUGCUUGUACGCAAACAAGCCACCUAAACUAGUCAUUCAACACCUAAACAUAUCAAGCUAUCAUCAGCUUGUUCAUUUCCAAGUAGUUUAAUCAACAAAGAAACUAAAAAGAAAACUUGCUGUUACAGCAAGUAUAUGUGCUGCAGCAUGUCAUCAAGCUGCAUGCACUUCAACCAAAACAUGUAUCAGCAGCAUGGUUGGCCAAUUUCAACAAAUUCUCAGCAAAUGUCCAUCACUGCUACUCCAGACGAAUGCUAAAGGUCAAACUCCUUUGCACGUUGCAGCAAGGUAUGGAAAUUCUACUAUUGUGAAACUUCUAAUCAAGUCUUGUGCAAAAGCUAGAGAUGGAGAUUUAGAGAAGCUGGGAAUGGAUCAAGUAAAUGCAGUGGGGGAGAUGCUGAGGAUUACAGAUCAGGAAUCCAACACGGCUUUACACGAAGCAGCACGGCGUUACAAUGUUGAAGUGGUGAAAGCAUUAUGUUGGAGUUUGAAGACCCUGAUUUUCCGUAUUCCGCCAACAAAAAACAGGAGACUCCACUUUACAAUGUUGAAGUGGUGAAAGCAAUGCUGCACACUUGGGUUAUAGAUUAUCAGUUGUGGAAGAAGUGUUAAAAAGGGAUGUAUCAGCUGCCUAUAUAAGUGAUAAAAAGAGGGGGAUGACACCCCUGCUUAUGGCAGCCAGGUAAAGCUAUCUUGGAACAGUUUCAAAGAUUCUCUCUUUAUGUCCAGAUUGUUGUGAAAAAGUGGACAACAAAGGUUUGAAUUUACUUCAUUACCUGGUUUUUAGAGGCGCUUUCUCUCCAUUAAGAGUUUCUCCUUUGAAAUGACACUCAAGAAGUUUAUUAUGCACUUCGAUCUAAGAAACAAGAUCAGAAACAAGUGUGUGUAUAUAUUGUAUUUCCAUGGCUAUGGUUUUAUUAAUAUUUAAGUUUUGAAUUAACAUAUUUAAUAAAUCUUCAAUACAAUCAGCUAAUGUGGGUGGCAUGGCAGAAACAAAUCAAUGAUUUGUUGGAAGAAAUUGAGACUGAUCAAGUGGCGGAGGACCCAGUUCAACUCAAUCUCUUGCCAACUAUCUCUGCAGAAAGCUUGGAGAAGACAAGAGAUGCUCAUUUAGUAGUGGCAGCACUUAUAGCCACCAUCGCAUUUGCAGCGGUAAUCCCGGUGGUUUGAAUAGCGAAAAAGGGUCAGAGCAAGGCGCUCCCCUUUUGAUUGAUGAGGCGGCAGCCUUUAAAGCAUUUGUUGUAACAAAUGCAUUGGCCUUUAUUCUCUCUGUUUCUGCCAUCUUCAUCCACUCCGGGGUUCUGGGUAAUAUGUUAUCAGGAUUUAAGUUUGGGCAUCGGACAGUUUUAUAUCGAACUCUGUCUGUUUCUGGGAUCCUUUUUCUAUGCAACGUUUGCAAUGUUGAUUGCUUUCAGCACAGGCUGUUAUGUGGUCUUAAAACCUUCCCACGGACUUGCCAUUGUUUCAUAUCUCAUCUACCCUGCCUUUUUUGUCUUUAUGUUGCUAAUUUUGAAUCUUACAUCAUAUAUGUAACAUAUAAAUAUGAGAAUAUUACUUUAUCACGGAUUACUAUUCUUCCAAUUCCUAGUGUCAAUGUUCUCUUUGAAGAAAUAUUACUUUUAAGUUUUUUUUAGAUAUAUCUAACUCAUCAGUAUUGUUGCGGAAAGGAUCGAUUCGAGAACUCCGAUAUGACUACAAGUAAAUUGACCGAAACGAAAAAUAAAGUGAACACAAGGAUUUACGUGGUUCGGCUUUAAUGCCUACGUCCACGGGCAGAGGCGAAAAGAAAUUUCACUAUAACAAGAUGAAGAUUACAAGUGUUUUACACUCAAGACACAACCCGAGAACCUCACAACUCUCAACCCCUAUAGAAAACCCGAAAGCUAAAAUCCUAGCUUUCAAAGAACAAGCUUUGCUCUCUCUUGGUUUGGGAUGAUUAAUAUGGCUAAUGAACCUCUCUAUUUAUAAGAGAGUUCAAGGACAUAAUUGUCCAAAACUUUGGCAAAGAUUUGUGGUUGAAAAUGGACACCAACAACCAUCCACUAAUCCACUACCACCAACAACCCACUACCAACAACAACAAUCCACUACCAAUUUUAAGCCAUUUCUUAACAAAUCUCCACCUUGGCUUGAAAUUUACCAAGCUGAACAUCAUAGUGAACUGGAUCACCUCUUCCAAACGCCUCUCUGGCGCUAAUCAAUCCCGAAUACCUAUCAAGUCCAAGCAAUGCUUGAACUUAUAUGCAGGGAUCACCUUAGUUAACAUAUCUGCAGGAUUCUUCUCGGUAGCAACCUUGCUGAUAACAAUGUCACCUUGCGUAACAUGUUCCCGAACAAAAUGAUAUCUGACAUCAAUGUGUUUGGUCCGUUCAUGAAACAUCUGAUUUUUAGUCAGAUGUAUGGCACUCUGGCUAUCGCAAAAUACAACAGUGAAAUCCUGUUGUAAACCCAAACUGCUUACUAGACCUUUCAUCCACAAUGCUUCUUUCACUGCUUCUGCUAACGCCAUAUAUUCCGCCUCAGUCGUAGAUAAGGCUACGGUAGACUGUAACACAGCUUUCCAACUAAUGGCUCCUCCAGAAUAAGUGAAAACAUAACCCGUCAGAGAUCUUCUUUUGUCCAGAUCUCCAGCAUAAUCAGAGUCCGCAUAGCCCGUGACACUGCUAGUGCAGUCACUCUGAUCAUAUACCAAGCAUAAAUCUGCAGAACCUCUCAAGUACCUGAGAAUCCAUUUCACGGCCUGCCAGUGUUCCUUGCCAGGACAACUCAUGUAUCUGCUGACCACACUAACUGCAUGUGAAAUGUCUGGACGAGUGCAAACCAUUGCAUACAUCACGCUUCCAACUGCACUCGAGUAUGGAAUGUGAGACAUUUGCUGCUUUUCUUCAUCAGAUUGUGGUGACAACUCUGCAGAGAGUUUGAAAUGUGGUGCCAACGGAGUACUCACAGUUUUCGCUUUAUCCAUGCCGAAGCGUUGAAGAACCUUUUCAAUGUAGUUCUUCUGCGACACACGAAGCUUGCCCGCCUUGCGAUCUCUGUGAAUAUCCAUGCCCAAAAUUUUCUUGGCAGCACCCAGAUCCUUCAUCUCGAACUCACCACUCAACUGCGACUUUAACUUGUUGAUUUCCGACAUGUUUUUGGAAGCAAUUAACAUGUCAUCAACAUACAGCAACAAAUAAAUGUGCGAACCAUCUGAGAGCUUCCGAUGAUAGACACAAGCAUCAUAGUCACAUCUUGUGUAACCAUGCUGAAUCAUGAAGCUAUCAAACCGCUUGUACCACUGCCUUGGGGAUUGUUUCAAUCCAUAUAAAGACUUCUUUAAUAGACAGACAUGGUCUUCUUUACCAGGAACUGUAAAACCCUCUGGUUGACGCAUGUAGAUUGUUUCCUCGAGCUCACCAUGCAAGAACGCCGUUUUUACGUCAAGCUGCUCAAGUUCUAGAUCAGACUUGGCCACCAUGGCAAGUAAUACACGAAUGGAAGAAUGCUUUACGACUGGGGAGAAAACUUCAUUGUAGUCAAUCCCCUCUUUCUGAGUGAAGCCUUUAGCAACCAAUCGUGCCUUGAAUCUAGUUGCUUCAACCCCUAGGAUGCCUUCCUUUUUCUUGAAGACCCAUUUGCAACCAACUAUCUUCUGGUUACUUGGCGGCUUAACCAACUCCCAAGUAUGGUUCUUGUGAAGAGAUUCUAUCUCCUCACUCAUAGCAAUUGCCCACUGUGCCGACUCAUCACACGUGACAGCCUCAUUAUAACUGGAAGGUUCUAUACCAAUGGACUCCGCCACACUGAGCGCGAAAGACACCAGAUUAGCGUAACGCGGAUUUGGUUUGAUUUGUCUCUUCGUUCUUCCAGUGGCAAUGCUAUAUGGUUUUUCUUGAGGUGACUCAUCUUCAUCGGAAUCUUGCACCUCAACUUGAUCAUCCUGGACUGAAGUACCUUCCGUAGGAAUUGGAGCGUCCACCUGACACUCCACCUGCUUCUCAACACCGUGAUCUCCCAUUCUAUCUGACUCCUCCUUUUCCCGGGAAUUUGUGGUGGAUCGAAGCAUGGAUGACUCAUCAAAAGUCACAUCUCUGCUGAUGAUGAACUUGGACGAAACCGGAUCAGGACACCACAACCUGUAUCCUUUCACCCCUUGGCCGUAUCCAAGAAAUAUGCAUUUCUUCGCCCUCGGUUUGAGUUUUCCCUCAUUUACAUGAGCAUACGCAGGGCAGCCAAACACUCUUAAACCAGAGUAAUCAGCAGGAGAACCAGACCAUACUUCCUCAGGAGUCUUCAGCUCAAUAGCUGUUGACGGAGAUCUGUUAACCAAAUAACAAGCAGUAUUAACAGCUUCAGCCCAAAAUUCUUCACCGAGCCCAGCAUUUGAUCGCAUGCAACGAGCUCGCUCCAAGAGAGUUCUAUUCAUGCGUUCUGCAACUCCAUUUUGUUGUGGUGUUCGACGAACAGUGCGGUGUCUCACUAUUCCUUCAUUUUUGCAGAACUCAUUGAAUUCACCUGAGCAAAACUCCAAGCCAUUAUCCGUCCGGAAUCGCUUGAUCUUCUUUCCUGUUUGAUUUUCGAUCAAAGCUUUAAAUUGCUUGAAGUUGAUGAGAACCUCAUACUUGCUCUUCAGAAAAUACACCCAAACCUUUCUCGAGUAAUCAUCGAUAAAGGUAAGCAGAUAUCUGUAACCACCUUUAGAAAUUGUCGGAGAAGGCCCCCAAAGGUCAGAAUGGAAGUAAUCCACUGUGCCUUUUGUCUUGUGAAUCCCAGUGCUGAACUUUACCCGAGUCUGCUUACCGAAGACGCAGUGCUCACAGAAAUUCAACUUUCCUGUACACUGCCCAGACAAUAAUCCUCGUUUGCUUAGCACCGAUAAGCCUCUCUCGCUCAUAUGCCCGAGCCGCAUAUGCCAUAACUUCGUGGUGUCAGAAUCUAGAUCAUCUGAUGAUGACACUCCCGCAACACCUGUAACCGAGGAACCAUCGAGGAAGUAAAGGCCUCGCUCCAAAUUACCACGUAUCACAGUCAAAGCACCCGAGAAUACCUUGAGAACUCCACCUUCAGCAGAGUACCGAAAGCCUUUCUUGUCCAACGUACUCAAAGAGAUCAAAUUUUUCUUCAUUUCUGGAAUGUGCCGAACAUCAGUUAGAGUUCUAACAAUACCGUCAAACAUCUUUAUACGAACUGUGCCAAUCCCCAUGACUUGACAUGCGUGGUCAUUUCCCAUUAGUACUGAACCAGAAUGCUUCUCGUAUGUUGAGAAUGCAUCUUUCGAAGUACUUAUAUGAAAUGUAGCUCCCGUAUCAAGAAUCCAUCUCCCACCAGCGUAAGAGUCGGAUACUGCAAGAACGAUCUCGGCAUCACUUGAAGAAUCUGCAUCAGCUACAUUCGCACGAUCAUUUUGUUGCUCCUGUGAUUCUGAUUUCUCCUUCCUUUUCGGACAAUCUACCUUCAUGUGCCCGUACUUCUUACAGUAGUAGCACUGUAUUCUCUUCUUGGACUGCGAUCUAGGAUGGCUUUUACUUGAACUUCCACCCUUUGCCUUGGAUCUUCCUCGAGCAACCAAGCCUUCGCCUUCAUUGUUUUCGACCACCUUACCAGUGAUUUUCUUCCUCAACUCACUGGAACUUAAGGCAUUUUUCACCUCCUCUAGAGUCAGGUCAUCACGACCGUACAUCAUUGUAUCAACAAAAUUCUCAUACGAGGGAGGCAAAGAACACAAAACAAUUAUUGCUUGGUCCUCAUCAUCGAUUUUGUUAUCGAUAUUAUUCAAAUCCAUGAUAAUGGAAUUGAAUUUAUCCAGGUGCUGGGAAACAGGUGUACCUUCCUCCAUCUUCAGGGCAUAGAGUCUUUGCUUGAGGUAGAGCCGGUUCGUCAAUGACUUCGUCAUGUACUUGCUUUCUAACCGGAGCCACAAACCGGACGCGGUUUUCUCAUCCGCUACUUCUCGUAGCACUUCAUCUCCUAGACAUAGCAGAAUAGCACUAUGUGCUCUUUCUAGCAUGUCAUCCUUUUGCUCUUCCGAAAGCGUGCUUGGUAAUUUAUCUUUACCAGACAAUGCUUUUAGCAAUCCUUGUUGAACCAGCACUGCCCGCAUCUUGAUGCGCCAUAAACUGAAACUAUUUUUCCCGGUAAAUUUCUCGACAUCAUACUUAGUCGAUGAAACACUUGUAGCCAUAAUUUGGAACCUUUGAAUGAAUGAUAAUAUUUUCUUCCUGAUGUGAAAGAUCAGACAAAGCUGCAGUCACAGGGCAAUUCAGAAAAUAUUAUCACUCCUUCAACUACGCUCUGAUACCAAUUUGUUGCGGAAAGGAUCGAUUCGAGAACUCCGAUAUGACUACAAGUAAAUUGACCGAAACGAAAAAUAAAGUGAACACAAGGAUUUACGUGGUUCGGCUUUAAUGCCUACGUCCACGGGCAGAGGCGAAAAGAAAUUUCACUAUAACAAGAUGAAGAUUACAAGUGUUUUACACUCAAGACACAACCCGAGAACCUCACAACUCUCAACCCCUAUAGAAAACCCGAAAGCUAAAAUCCUAGCUUUCAAAGAACAAGCUUUGCUCUCUCUUGGUUUGGGAUGAUUAAUAUGGCUAAUGAACCUCUCUAUUUAUAAGAGAGUUCAAGGACAUAAUUGUCCAAAACUUUGGCAAAGAUUUGUGGUUGAAAAUGGACACCAACAACCAUCCACUAAUCCACUACCACCAACAACCCACUACCAACAACAACAAUCCACUACCAAUUUUAAGCCAUUUCUUAACAAGUAUUAACAAUCUCCAUUUAAUUGAAAUCAAUGUUAUUAGUUGAUAAAUACACAUUUUCAAAAAAAAAUUAAAAAAAUUCAUAAUUUAUGUAAAGUAAAAUUUAUUAAAUAUCAAAAAAUAAUAAAUAUGUUGUAACUAAUUUUCCGUUAUAAUUAAAAAUUAGUUUGAGGAAUCAUUGAAAAAUAUGAGAUUUUUAAGUUCACCACCAAUUUUUGUUGGCUAGGUGUGAUCAAACACCUAUAAAAUCACUCUUUAAAAAGAAAAUUUUGAUUUAAAAAAAAAUUAAUUUUGGGUACGAUAGAAAUUCAGAAAAUAAAUAUUUAAGUUCAAGAGUUGAUUACGUGAAAAGAAGGUUUUAGCACCCAUGCCUAAAAUUGAUAGUUUGUUAAAUAUAUUCGUCAAUUAAAAUUUAUAUCUCGGUAUUUAAUUAAAAUCAAAAAUUUUGAUAAAUUAAAAAUAAAUAUAUGAAAGAUGUCCAGAUUGUUGUGAAAAAUUGGAAAAAAGAGGUUUGAAUUUACUUCAUUAUUUGGCUUUUAGAGACCGUUCCUACAAUUAAGUCAUUCUCUUUUCAUGACUGGUGGUACUAUGGCUGCAUAUGGAUCAAUAAGAAAUCUAAUGAAGUUGAAAGGUGACUUUGGAUUUACAGCAGCAAUAACUCUACCUGGUGGUUUGAAUAGUGAAAAAGGAUCAGAGCAGGGCAAUCCUUUUCUGAUUGAUGAGGCAGCCUUCAACAAAUGCAUUGGCCUUUAUUCUCUGUUUCUGCCCUCUCCAUCCAGUUUGGGAUUCUGGAUCUUCUUUUAUGUUUCUAAUCUCCUUGAUUGUGCAGUGGUUGUGAUGGUGAUUGCUUUUAGCACAAGUUGUUAUGUGGUUUUAAAACCUUCCCAUAGACUUGGUACCGAUUCAUGUUUCAUUUGCCCUGCCUUCUUUGUUUAUUAUUACAUACAACAAUACCUAGCUCUUGUGAAGAUGUCGUACUAAAAAGUACUCAUAUUGUGUGAGACAAUAAAACGAAGAGCUCAUGGAGGCCCUCAUGAUAGAACAAUUUUGCAUGCAGCAGUUAUGGCUGUAGAUGCCAGGCAAUUACAUAUGCAAAUAUAUUUAUUAACAACUUCAUUCCCCCCCAUCUCUGUAUUAAACCGAAAGUCCAUGUGAUUCCAACUGUUAAGCACCAUGGGAAGUGUUGAAAUAUAUAGGAAGUAAUAAGAAUUUUAUACAUAAUAAUAAAUUUACUAAUUUGACAUUUUUCGUAAUUAAAUUUAGCGUUUAAUUUUUUAAAAAGAGUCAAAUUUGAUCAUUUACUUUUAAAAACUAUUUAAUUAUCGUUUUUACACUAAAAUAUUAAAAUUUUAAAUAUAGUAGUUCGCGUGAAAGUUGGCAUGAACUUCAUGUUAACUUUUUCAACUUUUAAAUUUUUUAUAAUUUUUAAAUUAUUUCUUGACGUGCCGGAUAAAUAGUGUUAUCUCACCGUUUACGAGUUUUUCCAUUCCUAUGAUAAAAAGAGAAACGAGAUCAGAUUUUAUGGAACAAAUUCUCAGCAAGUGUCCGUCACUGCUACUCCAAACGAAUGCUAAAGGUCAAACUCCUUCGCACCUUGCAGCAAGGUAUGGGCAUUCUGCUAUUGUGAAACUUCUAAUAAGUCUUGCGCAAAAGCUAGAGAUGGAGAUUUAGAGAAGCUGGGAAUGGAUUGAGUAAAUGCAGCGAGGGAGAUGCUGAGGAUUAGGGAUCAGGAAUCCAACACCGCUUUACAUGAAGCAGCACGGUGUGGCACAGGGAUUUAAAUUGCGGUCGCGGUCGUAUUUUCGGUCGCGUCGCGUUUGUCGCGGUUGCAGACAUAACGGACGCUAUUGCGAUUACUGCGGGUAUCACGGUCGUGAAUUUUUUUAAAAUUCGUACAACUUAUUAUAAAAUAUAGGAAUUAUAAUUAUAAUUAUAAAAAGUCAUUUUUUAUGAUUUUUAGAGUUUUAAAUAUUUAGACUUUGAUUGCUUUUUGCUAUUUAUUUGGACUUCUUUUUUUUUAAUAACAUUAUAUUAGGCUUUUAUUAAUAAAACAAAAUUAUAAAAACUGCACACUUAUAAUUCUAAAAAGCCCAAAGCAGAUGGCCAAAAGUAAAAAAAUCUAGAUAUUUUUAAAGUAAAAAAAUCUAGAUAUAAUCCUAAAAAAAGGCACCGAUUCCUUGCCCAAUCAGCUGAAAUCUGCCCUCUCUUCUUCCCAUAAUCCAUCAUUUCAUUUUCAAUUUGACCAUUUCCUUUUUCAAAACUUUUCCUUCCGAACCGUUCCAUUUUCUUAUUGUUUUGAAGCUUUCUUCCUUCCGUUCUUCCUCUCCUGGUGCUUUCUAGUCUGGUUCACAUAGCCAAUCGUAUCUUCUUUGUUCUUCAGCGUACUCAGGCCCUCAGGGAGCUCCAUUUCCAGGCAUACCUCCUCUUUUUUGUUUUUUGUUCUUUUUCCUGUUGUCUUCUUUGUUCUUUGUUCUUUUUCCUUUUUUUGAUUGAACUGUGUUUCAGUGUUUCUGUUGAUUUUUGUUUAGAGGGGAUGAUUUUUUUUAAUUUGCUGUUAACAGAAAAUAACGGGAAUAGCGGCCCGUUAUUGCCGCAAUUGGCCGUUACCCGUUAAAUUGCGGCCGUGAUCCACCGCUAUCGGUGUGACUCCGCUUCUCACCGCUAUUUUCAGCAAUUGCGGUUUCGGACGGCGCCGCUACCGCUAUAUAACGGCCGCUAUUUCGGUAACGGACCGUUAUUUAAAUCCCUGGUACUGUGGCAUUGUCGAAGUGGUGAAAGCAUUGUUGGAGUUUGAAGACCCUGAUUUUCCGUCUUCUGCCAACAAAAAACAGGAGACUCCACUUUAUAUAGCAGCUAUGGCUGGAGAUGCAGGUAUGCUGUUGAUAUUAAUAAUUUUGAUAAAAUGUCUGCAAUUUGUUAAAAUGCAACCUGAAGCUUAGAAAACUUUCCAGCAUCAGAAUUAACAGGAAGAGCUUACAUCAUGAUUUCAUGGAUUAUGAACUAUACAUUUAAAUUACAAAUUGAUAGAAGUUGUUUUUGUUAGUACAAAUUUUCGAUGAGGAAAAUUUCGAACAUACGAACGAAACUUGAACAGCAAAUAAAGAAAUAAGACAAGGCUUCAAAGUGUGUAUCAAGUCGCUAUUUUUAAGGUUAUAUUCGCCUCCACCUAUGUUUAGUGUGCAAAAGAGUUUCGAGUAAAUUAAUCUCAAGGAUACAAUGAAGCCGAUGACUAUUUGUGUUUUGCACUGAUGAAAAUAAAUCGCUAAGCACUGAGCAAUAUAUAACAAGAAACUCAAUUUUAAAAAAAAAAAUUACAGUAAUACUUUAUAGAAUAAUCUAAUAAUAUUUGAAGAUGGAGGAAGGAAAGAAAGAAUUUUAGAAUUUGUUGAUAUAAUUUUCAAAUAAAAUCUCAUUCCUAUUUAUAAGAAUUUUCAUGUUUCUCCGUAUACUCUUCGUAGACUCUUUAAGAAAGUGAGAAUUUUAUCCAAUUAAUGUUUUUGUUUCUUGUUUUGUUUAAUGAAGACCAGAAGUUAGGAAGCUCGACAAGAGUUUAAGCGUCCGUUUUGUUUGUUGUUAUUUUCAUUAAUUCCUAAUCUAAUUUGAUUCUACAGUUUUAUAACGUUAUUAAUUAAUCAAAAUUGUUAAUACAAUUAAUUUUUUGAUUAAAAAAUUUCAUGAUUAUAUAUAAUUUGAAUGUUUUAAGGGUUUUAGAGAUGAAUACGUGACUCAUUAUUUCUUUUAGGUUUGCCUUACUUUUUUUUAUAUUAUAAGAAAAUGAUCAAAUUUUAAUUUUAGCCCUUACACAAUGUGAAAAUUUGGGAUUUAAUUUAUAUACAUUAUUUUUUACAUAAUUUGAUCAUUCUUCUUUUACAAUGUCAUUAGUUAGCCCUUACACAAUGUUGGCAUCAAUAUUUUUAGGAAUCCUAUUCCAAGAAAAAAAUAUUCAUGACGAGUUCGAAUGAAUGUUCUAAAGGAAAAAUCUAUAUAAACAUUUUCAAUGUUAUUUUUAUUUUUAUAUGACUACCAAGUAAUUUUUUUUAAUUUUCAAAAUAUCACACUAACAAAUUUAAUAGAAGAAUUUUAGUAGUAGUAAUGAUUGAACCUAAAAUUUUAAAUCUAAAAAACAGAGGGUCUAAAGUUCUAAAAAUAAAAGUAUGCUUAAAGUAUAUUGUCCUUUAAAUUGUACUGCAUAAUUUAAUACAAAUAAAUAAUGAACCCUUUGCGAAGCAUGAGAUUCAUACUAGUUUAUGAUUAGGUUAAUGGACAUUAAUUACCAAAUUUGCUAAAGUGUCUAUUUGAUGAAAUAAAGCAAUCACACGUCUAAAACAUAUAAGGUUGUGGAAUGCUUGUACUAUUAUAAAUAGAGGUGGUUUCUCCACUUUUAGAUUAUCCCGAAAUUUGUUGUUUUUUUUUGUAAUUUUCUAUUUUAUCUUUUGCAGUAUAAUAUAUUUGGUAAUAUUCAAGGACGUAGGCAUAAUUUGCUGAAUCUCAUCAAAAUUUUGGUGUUUUUAUUAUUUUUUUUUUCUCAAUAUUUUGUAGAGUAUAUUUGUAGUGAUAUAUUGGGCUUUAAGCAGGAUUAUAUGUGACCCUUUCAAUCUUUAUUGAGAAUUGAACAAGUAUUUUUUACGACAAUAAUUUACUCACUUGUAUCCGGUUCACACAACACUAUUAACUCUUUAUGAUUAUACUAACAAUUUAGUCUUAUUUUUCUCUUUUGAUAGUAAAAAAGUAGCAGCAAAAAGCUUCAAAACAAACCAAAUCAAAGACUAAACUAGUUUCCAUGGUAAGUAAGCAGGUCCAAAACACCAGGUGAUGGCUCUUCAAAAAAAUGCAGAGUAAUUCCCAAAUCAGGACCCAGCGGCGCCAUAAAGUCUGCAAUCUUAGUAGCUUCCCGUCUCUUAUGCAUAAAUUGGAAUCCAUCUGCCAAUAGCUUGGUCAUUAGUCGCCUCUUUAAAAUAUCCAUCGCCCCUCACAUUUUCCGAUUCAAUGAUAACCUUCCGAUAGCCUUGGCGGCGGGCCAACAAUUUAGUAUUUUAAUCAUCUUUAACAACUUUGUUUUGGCCCCAUUUGCUAAUUUUAAUUAUUUUUUAUUAUUAAAAUUAAAAUUAAAAAUUCAGAUUGACCCAUACUUACCUAACCUUUGAAUUAGAUUGAUAAACUACAUAUAGAUAAAUCCAUAUAUGACAAAUUUUUUAUAAUUAAAAUUUAGUAUACCGUCAUAAGUGUGUCAUAAUUUAGUGAUAUAUAAAUUUAAAAAUGAUAAUUUUGAUGUUUAUACUGUUAGAGAUUGUAUGACCCAAAUCUCGUCACUUUAAAUAAAAUACAAAGUCAAAAUAAGGAGAUCUAUGGGGACGAAGGAUUUUUCAAGCUUUAAAUAGAUGUAGUCGAAAUUCUUCUUGUUUUAUUCAUUUUUCAAUAUUAGUGAAUUUCUCCUGCCCCAUGAUUAUUUCCAAAAAGAUUUUCACAUAAAAUUUAUAUUUUUUUUUCUUUUCUUAUCGAUUUGCAAUUAUUCUACUAUCAUUAUUGACGUCGAUAAUGGAAUUUGACAACGAAAAGAGAUGAAGUGUAUUUCAUCUGCCCUUCCAACUUUGUCAAAUUCCCAUGGACGUUGCCAUCGUUUUAUGUUUGAUCUGCUCUGCUUUUUAUUAUUAUUAUUACUUACAACAAUACCUAGCUUUGUUGAAGAUGGUUUUGUAGUGAUAAUCAAGAAUUUUCUUAACUUCAUUUAUUUCCCCAAAUAUCUGUGAAAGGGAAUUAAAUCUCCAUAUGAAGCCAAAGUGGAUGUGGUUCCAAGUGUUGAGCAGCAUAGGAAGUAAUCAAAAUAUAUAUGUCGCACUGCAAGGAAUUCAAGGCUGCCUUGUCCACAACACAAAGGCUUAUAGCUGCUAAGCACCUGCUCUUAAAUUUGAUUAUGGCCUAAUAAACAACAUAGGGCAGCAUUGACUUCACCGCAAAGAGCUGUACACCGCAUUUUCUUCCAUUCUUCUUCUUUGCAGUUUCUUAAACCCAAAUUUCACCAUAAAAAACUCCUAAAAAUGAUGGAUUUGGUGCGUCUACUUUUCAACAAUUUUUAGUAUUUUAAUCAUCUUUAGCAACUUUGUUUUAGGGCCAUUUGCUUUUCUUUUCGUUACAAUUAAGUCAUCAUAUGAUAAUAACAUUUAGUGUAAGUUAUACAAAUAGUCCUUUAAUUAUUAGCACAUUAUUAGUUUGGUCACUCAUGUUUAAAAAAAGUCUAAUUUAGUCACUAACGUUAUGGACAAUUGAUAUUUUUGUCAUUCCUCAUUCAAUCAUUAAUAGAAUGCUGAUGCAACUUUUUUUUAUUGGCAUAUUAAUAAAUUUAGCCUUUCAAUCUCUAUAAAUUCCAGUAAUUUGAUUUACACAUUAUGUUAACUUAAUCUUCAUUCUUAAUUUUUUUUUUUAAAACUUAAAAACUAAAAAUAUAUAUUUAAUUUUUUUUUCUAUAAAAUACAUAUACAAAAUUAUAAAAUACAUAAAAAUAUAAAAAUAUUUAUAAAUAAAUGAAUACUAUUUUUUUCUUCAAAGAAAAUAUAGGGUUUAGUCUGAAUGAGUCAAUAUUAACUAACAUGACCAAAAUUUAGUGUGUAACAGUUUUCUGAGCUACCAAACACAGUCUUAGAAUAAAAAAAGAACAUAGAGCAGCAUUAACUUGACCACGAAGAGCUGUAGACCCCAUUUUCUUCCAUUCUAUUCUUUAAUUCUUCUCCUUCUUUGCAGUUUCCUUAAAACCAAAUCUCACCAUAAAAAACUCCUACUUUAUUGACCUCACUUCCAACCCAAUAUGCCACUUUUACUAAAGUGUUCAACUAUAUAAAGUUUUCAUUCGUAGGUGACUUGAAUGCAGGCAUAUGCAAGCAAGUAACUAACUGGAAAGGAAUUUGGUAAAUUUCUGAUUUGCAGUAUUUUUUUUCUUGAGCUUGGAAUGCUUCAAGCUAAUUAAUUAAAUUCUGUUUAGUGUUAUCCAGGAAGAAAUAGAUCCAGAAAAAAGGAACCUCGGAAGCCUGAACAGAACAUCACUCACAUGGAGGCUUCGCUAUAUAAUGCAGCAGCAGAAGGAAACAUUGAAGUAUUCAAUAAUAAACAGGGGCUUCAACUUGAGUCGCUAAAGACCCCAAACCAAGACAACGUGCUCCAUGUUAACUUGGCAACCGAGGAGACUGUCAAAUUCUCAAUAAUCAAAAUCUUCUCCGUAGGAUUUGUACCAGCCUAUCCGUUUUUGAAUUUAUUCGUUACUAUGAUAAAAAGAGAAAAAAAAUCAGAUUUUAUCGAACAAAUUCUCAGCAAGUGUCCGUCACUGCUAUUCCAAACGAAUGCUAAAGGUCAAACUCCUUUGCACGUCGCAGCAAGGUAUGGACAUUCUGCUAUUGUGAAACUUCUAAUCAAGUCCUGCGCAAAAGCUAUAGAUGGAGAUUUAGAGCUGGGAAUGGAUCAAGUAAGUGCAGUCAGGGAGAUGCUGAGGAUUACGGAUCAGGAAUCCAACACGGCUUUACAUGAAGCAGCAGGGUGUGGCAAUGUUGAAGUGGUGAAAGCAUUGUUGGAGUUUGAAGUCCCUGAUUUUCCGUAUUCUGCCAAUAAAAAACAGGAGACUCCACUUUAUAUUGCAGCUAAGAGAGGAGACGGCGGCGUGCUGAGUGUAAUAUUAGAUAAAUCAAAAUCAGCAGCUCAUGGCGGCCCCCACGGUAGAACAGCUUUGCAUGCAGCAGCUAUGGCUGGAGAUGCAGGUAUGUUGUUGAGUUAGUUCCAUUUUUUUUUUAAUUUGAAAUAAAUAAAGAACAGGUCUAUUGACAUUUUUUUUUUUUGCUUGGAUUUAGAGGCAAUAAGGAUAAUAUUAGAGAAGAAGGGGAAUUUGACAAAGGAAAGAGAUGAAGAUGGACACACCCCUCUUCAUUAUGCUGCACACUUGGGUUCUAGAUUAUCAGUUGUGGAAGAACUGUUAAAAAGGGAUGUGUCAGCUGCCUAUAUAGGUGAUAAAAAGAGGGGGAUGACACCCCUUCUUAUGGCAGCCAGGGAAGGUAAUGGUGGAACAAGGGCAAAGAUUCUCUCUUUAUGUCCAGAUUGUUGCGAAAAAGUGGACAAUAAAGGUUUGAAUUUACUUCAUUAUACGGCUUUUAAAGACUGUCUUCCCAUCAGGGAGUUCUGUUUUUAAGCGUGGUGGUGUUGAGAUUGUAUAUGGAUCAGUUAGAAAUCUAACGGAGUUGGAAGGUGCCUGUAAAAUCUAAUGGUUUUGCAUUUCCAUGGCUACUGUUUUAUUAAUAUUUAAGUUUUGAGUUAACAUAUUUAAUAAACCUAUAAUACAAUCGGUUAAUGUGGGUGGCAUGACAGAAGCAAAUCAAAGAUUUGUUGGAAGAAAUUGAGAAUGAUCAAGUGGCAUAGGAACCAGUUCGUCACUUUCACUUACCAAAUGUUUCUAUAAAAAGAUUGGAGGCUAUAAGAAAUACUCAUUUAAUAGUGGCAGCACUUAUAGCCACCAUCACCUUCGCAGCGGUAAUAACUGUUCCUGGUGGUUUGGAGAGUGAAAAGGGGUCAAAGCAAGGUAAUCCCUUUUUGAUUCAUGAGGCAGCCUUUAAAGCAUUUGUUGUAAAUUGGCCUUUAUUUUCUCUGUUUCUGCCUGUUGGGAUUUGGAGAAUGAUAGAUGAAGGUUAACAGAGCUUGAGCAACAAUGCUGUAUGUUUGCUGGUGAAAUAAACAGAAUCGGGCUUGGGAACAAAGAAAAUGAAAAACAAGAAAAGAGAGUUUUGGAUGAAAUUUUGAAAAUGAUUUCAUUAACAUUGAUUGAAGGCACAAAGCCAAUACAUAAACCAGACAUUUAGCCGGUCAAAUCAAAACAAAUUGUCACCUAACAUUACCUACUAUCACUAAGUAACAUUGGAACUUAUGAAAACAUUGCUUGCACACAUAGGUAUACUGAUUUAUCAAUCUAUCAGUACCUAAUUACAUCAAAACAAUAUCAAUUUAGUUCAAAUCUGACUAAAUUACAAAGCGAUAUUUAAGGUAACAAAACGAAAUGAAAUACAAUAGCAGUAAUGUGCUUCAGCAGCUGCAUGCAUACUUCAUGUGUUGUAAGUGCGGCUUGAUCUGCUUGUUCAUACUUUAUGUGCUGUAAAUGCGGUAUCCAGGCCAACUUCAACACUCCUCCUUGGCUUGCAUGCUGCAUACUCCCAUUUUAGCUCUCAAAUGCACGAACCUUGAACACUAAUGGGCUUUGUUAAGAUAUCAGCAAGUUGUUCUUUAGAACUGCAAUGAAUUAGCUUCACUUCUUGAGCUUGCUCCAUCUCUCUAACAAAGUGAAAUUUGAUCUUGAAGUGUUUCAUUCUUCCAUGGAAUACUGAAUUCUUUGCAAUUGCAACAGCAGAUUGGUUGUCACAAUUGAUCUCUGUCGCUUCCCUUGGUGUAGAUUCAAGUCAGCCAUGAUUUUUCUUAUCCAAAUGGCUUGAUUGAUAGCAAUAGCAGCUGCUACAUAUUCUGCUUCAGUAGUUGAUUGAGCAACAACAUUUUGCUUCUUCGAAUUCCAGCAAAAAAUGGCUUAUCCAAAAGUAAAAACAUACCUUGAUGUACUCUUCAUGUUAUCUAUCGAUCCAACCCAAUCACUAUCAGCAUAACCAACCACUUUCGUAUUUUUAGCUUUGCUAAAUAGCAUUCCAUAGCUCAAUGUACCUUUGAUGUACCUGAGAACUCUUUUGGUAGGUUGAAAGUGAUUUUCAUUGCAGCAAUGCAUGAAUCUAGAUAGCAGACUCACAAUAAACAUGAUGUCUGGUCUAGUGGCAGUAAGAUAUCGCAAACAACCUACCAAGCUCCUAUAGACAGAUUCACUAACCUGCUCAAAGUCACCUUGGCUCGAUAGUUUCUCUCUAAUGGCAACUUGUGUGUUUGAUGCCUUACAAUUUUGCAUGGAGAAUUUGUUCAGAAUCUUGGAGACAAAAGCCUUCUGACUUAGGAAGAUUCCAUGUUGUGUUUGAGUCGCUUCCAUACCAAGGAAGUAAGACAUUUGCCCCAAAUCUGACAUCUCGAACAUGUGUUCCAUCUUGGCUUUGAAAUCAGCUAGCAUUUCAUGAUCUCCUCCAGUUACUAGCAGGUUAUCAACGUAUAGGAACACUAUUAGUUGAGUUUCACUACCUUGCUUCUUCACAUACAAGGUAGGUUCACUGAUGCUUCUUUCAAAUCCAAGGCUAGCUAGGUAGCCAUCGAUCCUGCUAUACCAAACUCUUGGUGCUUGUUUCAAACAAUACAAGGCUUUCUUCAGUUUGUACACCUUGUCCUCUUCACCUGCCACUUUAAAACCUUCAGGUUGCUCAACAUAGAUUUUUUCAUCAAGAAACCCAUUGAGGAAUGCUAAUUUUACAUCAAGCUGAUGAAUUUUCCACUGCAUUUGUGCUGCUAAGGCAACUAGCAGCCUUAUGGUGUCAAGCCUAGCUACUGGUGCAAAGGUUUCAAAGUAGUCAAUGCCGUACUUUUGGCUGAACCUUUUUACAACCAGCCUUGCUUUUAGUUUGCUCAAGCUUCCUUCAGCAUUGUGCUUGGCUCGAAACACCCAUUUCACCCUAAUAACCUUUCUAUUUGCUGGUCUCUCAACUAGCAGCCAAGUCUGAUUAUUUUCAGUCAUUCUGAUUUCAUCAGCCAUUGCCUAUUUCCAGCCUUGUUGAGCUUCAACUUCUUCGAAGCAGCUUGGUUCAACUGCUGCCACUUGAGCUAUUUCAUAAAUCGCAGCUAAUGGUCUAGUGCCCCUGACUGGUUCAUUAUCAAUGUCCAUUUCAAGGCCAUUUUGAUCAGCUUUAGUCUGAUCUGUCAGUAAAUCUUCAAAGACUGCCUCUGGUUCAUUCUUCUCUCAAUUCCAACUUGAAUUCUCAUCAAAGACUACAUCUUUGCUCACAAGCACUUUGUUGCAUGAAGGAUCUAGGAUUCUGUAGCCUUUCUUCAUACUGCUAUAUCCCAUCAGGAUGCCAGGUUAGGAUGCAGUGAUUUUCUUAUGAUUGAACUCGCAUUGAGUUUCAUAGUUCACUUCUCUUUUAUUUCCAUCUUUACAGAUAAUCCACCAAGUUAGGAUGCAGACUCGGCAUACAGAGGACUCGACUCGGGUUUUAUUUAUUAAAAUAUUUUGGAUUUAUUAUUCAAAAUUUUUCGUUAUUCAGGAACUAUAAUAUCUUAUUUAAAUCAUGGCAUGAGACUUAGGUUUUUGUUUAAUUUAUCAUGUAUGACAUAUAAUAUAAUUUAAUAUAUUAUUUUUAAUUAAUUAAGCAUGAAAUAUGAUUUUAAUAAAAUUAAGUUGAAAAUCAUUUUUCCAUUGCUAAAUUAUAGUUUAGUAUUGAGUUGUAAAUAAAUCAGAAAAUUUAACUAAUUUUCAAUCUCAUGUGUUAUACUGAAAAUAAGCUAAGUUUUCCAUAUUUUAAAUUGGUCAUUUUUUAAACUUUGAUCGCUAUUGGGCUAUUUCAGUGGCCGAUAUAAUCUCUCAAAUUUAGAUCUAAUGUAUAGGCUGAGUUGAAGAGGUUACAACAAGAUGCAAGAUUAAUGUUGUUUUGUUUGAAGUAUAAAAUUAGUAAAACACAUAGCAAGGAUAACAUUGUUGGAGAUUAUGGUAUGCUAAAAUGUUGAAGUAGGGAAUUUGACAAAGGAAAGAGAUGACACCUCAACAGUUUAUGAUGCACUUCGAUAUGAGUCAUCACGAGAAAUAUCAGUGUGAAAAGGUGUGUGUAUUUCUAUGACCAAGAGCUAUGGUUUUAUUAACAUAUAUAUAUAUAUAUAAUAGACCUACAUUACAAUACAAUCGGCUAAUGUGGGUGGCAUGCCAUAAGCAAAUUGAAGAAUUGUUGAAAGAUAUUGCACUUGAAGAAGUAGCCAAGUUACCAUUUUUUCACAUUCCCUUAUUAACUGUCUCAGCAGAAAGCUUGGAGAAGACAGGAGAUAUUCAUUUAGUAGUGGCGGCAUUUAUAGCCACUGUGGCAUUCGUAGCAACCAUAACUGUUCCAAGUGAUUUCAAGGGUGAAAAAAUGUCAGAGCGGGGAACUCCUUUUCUAAUUUACGAGGCAGCCUUUAAAGCAUUUGUUAUGCAUUGGCCUUUAUUCUCUUUGUUUUUGCCCUCUCCAUCCACUUUGGAAUUUUGGAUCCUCUUUUAUCAAAAAUAAAUUAUUGAGAUAUUAAUAUAAUUUUAUAUUAAACCCAGUUCAUGUCUAAUGUCCUUGGUGACUGCUUUCCACAUAGGUGGUUAUGUGAUUUUAAAACCUUCUCAUAGACUUGCAUAUUGUUUCAUCUGCCCUGCCUUUUUUGUUCAAUUCUUCUCCUUCUUUGCCAAGUAUUUUCUUUACAGUUUCCUUAAACCCAAAUUUCACCGUAAAAAACUCCUCCUUUAUUGACCUGACCUCUAACCAGAGAUUUUCGUUUUGUUUAAAGUAAAAUUAUAAAGUUAAUAAAGCACAAAGCAAGAAUAGUACUUAGGGCAGCAUCGCCUUGACCACAAAGAGCUGUUCACCCCAUUUUCUUCCCUUCUUUUUCUUCAAUUCUUCUUCUUUGCCAAGUGUUUUCUUUACAGUUUCCUUAAACCCAAAUUUCACCAUAAAACCUCCUACUUUAUUGACCUGACCUCUAACCCUGUAUAUUACUAUUACUAAAGUGUUCAAGUAUGAAACUAUAUAUAUAUAGUUGUAGGUGACUUGAAUGGAGGAUAUGCAAGCAACAAACAAAUAGGUAUGGCAUUUGGUAAAUUUCUUAAUUUGCAGUUUUUUUUUUUCUUGAGCUUGGGAUGUUUCAAGAUAAUUAAUUAAAUUUUGUUUGGUGUUAUAUCCAGGUAGAAAUAGAUCAACAAAAAUGGGACCUCAGGAGCCUGAAGAGAACAUCAGUCACAUGGAUGCUUCGCUCUAUAAGGCAGCAGCAGAAGGCAACAUUGAAGUAUUCAAUAAUAAGCAGGGACUUCAACUUGAGUCGCUAAAGACCCCAAACCAUGACAACGUCCUCCAUGUUAACUUGGCAACCCAGGAGACUGCCGCCUGGCUUUUAAACAGAUUUCACUCAUGCGAUCCGGUUAUGAGUUUUUUCAUUACUAUGAUAAAAAGAGAAAAAAGAUCAGAUUUUAUCGAACAAAUUCUCAGCAAGUGUCCGUCACUGCUACUCCAAACGAAUGCUAAAGGUCAAACUCCUUUACACGUUGCAGCAAGGAAUGGACAUUCUGCUAUUGUGAAACUUCUAAUCAAGUUUUGCGCAAAAGCUAGAGAUGGAGAUUUAGAGAAGCUGGGAAUGGAUCAAGUAAAUGCAGUGAGGGAGAUGCUGAGGAUUACGGAUCAGGAAUCCAACAUGGCUUUACACAAAGCAGCACGUUGUGGCAAUGUUGAAGUGGCGAAAGCAUUGUUGGAGUUUGAAGACCCUGAAUUUCCGUAUUCUGCCAACAAAAAACAGGAGACUCCACUUUACAUAGCAGCUAGGAGGAGAGGAUCUGGGCGCUUGUUGACUCUAUUAUUAGAUAAAUUCAAAUCAACUGCUCAUGGCGGCCCUCACGGUAGAACAGCUUUGCAUGCAGCAGCUAUGGCUGGUGAUGCAGGUAUGUUGUUGAGUUAGUUCCAUUUUUUCUUUUUUUGAAAUAAAUAGAGAACAGGUCUAUUGAUUUUUUUUUUUUUUUGCUUGGAUUUAGAGGCAAUAAAGGUAAUAUUAAAUAAGAAGGGAAAUUUGACAAAGGAAAGAGAUGAAGAUGGACACACCCCUCUCCAUUAUGCUGCACACCUUGGUAAUAGAUUGUCAGUUGUGAAAGAACUGUUAAAAAGGGAUGUAACAGCUGCCUAUAUAGGUGAUAAAAUGAGGGGGAUGGCACCCCUUCUUAUGGCAGCGAGGCAAGGUCAUCUUUUAACAGUUUCAAAGAUUCUCUCUUUAUGUCCAGAUUGUUGUGAAAAAGUGGACAACAAAAGUUUGAAUGUACUUCAUUAUCUGGCUUUUAGAGGCUCUCUGUUGGAACAAUGGCAGUAGCAAAGAAAGCAAAAACGAAUGAAAGAAAACAAAAGAAAAAGAACUCAGCAAGAAAAUUUGUAACUGAAAAGUCAUCAUAGUUUCAUUCAAAUUUUGAAUAUAUGAAGAUUACAAAAGUAUUUGACAGUUACCUACUAAUUUAACUGCUCUUACUUAAUACUUACUAAAAAUAUAGCAACUUGUAUACAAAAGAAAGCUGGCAUACCAGCUAUUACAUCAGUCAAUCUUUCCUACUAACUUAGCUAACUCAUUACAAAGAUUUAGGCUAAGUUCCAUAGGAACAAAUAUUCAAAAAAUAAUUUUAUAACUGAACCAACUCCAUUUCUUUGCUACAAAACAGUAUAGUAGCUAAAAUUGUACAAUUUGCCGCUGUUGGUCUUUUGACCAAUUUGUUGCUGUUGGUUCUUUGUUGCAAUGCAGGCCACGGCUUCAACACUCCUCCUUGGUCUGUAUGCAACAAACACCAAUCCUUUCCUUCAAAGCAUUAAAUCGGUUGGCUCCCAAUGGUUUAGUUAAAAUGUCAGCUAGCUGAAUUUCUGAGCUGCAAUGAACUAAGCUAACCUCCCUAGAUUGCUCAGCUUCUCUAACAAAAUGGAAUUUAAUUUUGAAGUGUUUAGUCUUACCAUGGAAGACUGGAUUCUUGGCUAUGGCCACAGUUGAUUGAUUAUCCACUCUAAUCUCAGUAGGCUGAACUUGACUUUCAUUCAAAUCAUCCAAAAUCUUCCUAAGCCAAAUGGCUUGGUUCACAGCUGCUGCAGCUGAGAUAUACUCAGCCUCUGCUGUAGAUUGUGCAACAGUUUGUUGCUUCUUGGAACUCCAGCUGAAAACACUCGAGCCUAAGGUGAAAAAAUAACCUGAAGUGCUCCUCAUGUCAUCAACUGACCCUGCCCAAUCGCUAUCAGAAUAGCCUACGAGUUUCAGCUCCUUUGCCCUCCAAAACUUCACACCAGUAUCGAUGGUUCCUUUGACAUACCUUAACACUCUUUUUGCUGCCUUCAGAUGUGCCACAUUACUGCAGUGCAUAAACCUUGAAAGUAGACUAACAGCAUAGACAAUGUCUGGUCUAGUUGCUGUUAAAUAAAGCAAACAACCAAUUAAGCUUCUAUAUGCCUUCUCAUCUACUCGAUCAUGUUCACUGGCACUUGACAAUUUUUCUCCCAAUGCAACUGGUGUAGUGACUGAUUUGCAUUUCAACAUGAAAAAUUUUUCAAGCACCUUGGAAGUAAAUGUUUACUGACUUAUGAAAAUGCCAUCACUUCCUUGUUUUAUCUCCAUGCCAAGAAAGUAGGUCAUCAGACCAAGGUCAGUCAUCUCAAAGACAUGUUGCAUCUGUUUCUUGAAGUCUUCAAUAAGUUCAUCUUUGCAGCCAAUAACCAACAGAUCAUCAACAUACAAGGAAACAAUUAACAAGGUUUCCUCCUGAUCCUUCUUAACAUAGAGUGUAGGCUCACUGAUACUCUUUGUGAACCCGAGCAUUGCUAAGUAGCCAUCAAUCCUCUCAUACCAGGCCCUUGGAGCCUGUUUUAGACCAUACAAAGCCUUUUUCAGCUUGUAGACCUUCUGUUCUUCACCAGUGACCUUAAAACCCUCAGGUUGCUCAAUGAAUAUUUCUUCAUUAAGAAAUCCAUUUAGAAAGGCUGACUUAACAUCCAGAUGAUGCACCUUCCAAUGCUUUUGAGCUGCCAAAGCUAGCAGCAAUCUGAUAGUAUCCAACCUUGCAACAGGUGCAAAGGUUUCAGAAAAAUCAACCCCUUGCUGCUGACUAUAACCUUUAACAACCAGUCUGGCCUUAUGUCUAUUAAGAGAGCCAUCUGCAUUGUUCUUAAUUCUAUAGACCCACUUUACACCUAUAAUUUUUCUGUUUUCAGGUCUGUUUACAAGCUCCCAUGUAUCAUUUUUCUGAAUCAUUUUAAAUUCAGCUUCCAUAGCAUCCUGCCAGCAUUUUUCUUUUGCAGCUUCUUCAAAACAUGAAGGCUCUACUAUAGUUACUGUACAUCUCUCAUAGAUGUCAGUUAAUGUCCUGGUGCCUCGAACAGGUUGAUCAUCAUAGCCAUUUUCAAUUACUUCUUCAUUUUCAGCUUGCUGCAGAUCAACAUCAAUCUCUUCUCCAUCUGGAAAAUUUGCUUCAAUUCCAUCCCAUUUCCAGCUACUUGCUUCACUGAAUUUCACAUCUCUGCUCACUACAACCUUCUUGGUCAGUGGAUCAAAGACUCUGUAUCCUUUCUUCACAUUGCUGUAGCCAACAAACACCCCAGGCAUGGACCUCCUGUCCAACUUGGUUCUUCUCUCCUCAGGUACCAACACAUAACAUAGACAGCCAAAUACCUUCAAAUGAGAGACAGAUGGUUUCUGUGCAAACCAGGCUUCAAAGGGAGUUUUUCCUUUGACUGCAUUAGUUGGCAACCUAUUCAACAGGUAAAUAGCUGUAUUCACAGCUUCAGCCCAAAAAACAUUAGGCAUUUUAGCCUCAAAUAACAAACACCUAGCCAUAUCAAGGACUGUUCUGUUUUUCCUUUCACAAACACCAUUUUGCUGUGGUGUGUACACAGUAGUCAAUUGGUGUUGAAUUCCAGCAUCAUCACACAAUUUUUGAAACUUCUGAGAUACAUACUCAGAACCAUUGUCAGACCUCAAACAUUUUAAUUUGCAAUUUGCUUGGUUUUCGACCAAGGCUUUAAAUUUGCAGAAAGAGUCAUAAACAUCUGACUUAUGCUUCAAAAAAUUUACCCAACAGAACCUUGAAUAAUCAUCAAUGAAGAGUACAAAGUACCUGCUGCCAUUUAAGGAGGUAGUCUUCAUUGGUCCACAGAUGUCUGUAUGAAUAAGCUGAAGCUUCCCUUGUGCUCUCCAUGCCUUGUUGACUGGAAAGGGUAAUCUGGUCUGUUUGCCUAGCUAACAGACCUCACAUACAGCAUCCUUUGGCUCAAUUUUGGACAUAUCACUGACCAAAUCCAUUUUGUGCAGCAUGCUCAGUGAAUUGUAGUUCACAUGCCCCAUCCUCCUGUGCCACAAGUCUGUCUCAUCAGACUGAGAUGCGUAUGCCUUGGCUUGCAGUUGAUUCACAUCCACAAUGAAGGUUCUGUCUUGCAUAGCCACUGUAGUCAACACUUCACCAGCAGCAUUUUUGAUCAAACAGUUUUUGCCUUCAAAAAUCAGAGAGUAACCCUUCUCCAAUAGCUGGCCAACACUUAGCAAGUUUUGGUCAAUGUCAGGUACAUAGAGAACCUCUGAAAUGGUUUUAAUACCUGACUUAGUGCUUAUCAAAGCCUUGCCUUUCCCUUUUGCCUCUAGCAGCUCACCAUUGCCAAUUUUGACUUUGGACUUGAAGGUGGUGUCAAGCUCCUUAAAUAUACUCUUCUUAGAAGCCAUAUGGUGGGUACAUCCACUGUCAAUCAACCAUAUUUUACUAACUUUGCUCGAGCUUGCAAAGCAUGAUGCUGAAAAGACAUGCUCUUCUGGUGAUUCAACCUCUUUUGCAGCUUGAGCUUGGCUUUGAAAUUGUGGUUGUGGUUUUGGCUUGCUCUUACAGACCUUUUCAAUGUGGCCAAAUUGCUUGCAGGCUCUACAUUGAAUGUCUGGUCUGUACCAGCAGUAUUUCUCAAGAUGAGUAGUCUUCUUGCAAUGGACACAAGGUGGGAACUUCCUUUUGACAGGUUCUUUCUUCUUCUUCUCAGUCCAGGGCUUCUUGCCUUUGGCAUUUAAGUUUGCACUUGAGCUUUCUCUGCUUCUAGCCUGAAAAGCUCCUUCAUAGUGGUCCUCCUGCCUAUUUGCCAUUCUCUGCUCUUGAGCAUAGAGAGCAUUUAUAAGCUCUGUCAAAGGGAUUGUUGACAAGUCCCUUGAAUCUUCCAGAGAAGAAAUUUUUGCUUCAUACUUCUCUGGCAAGGUUGUUAUGACCUUCUCAACCACUCUUUGGUCACUGAAUUCUUCCCCAAGCAGCCUUAUGUUGUUGACAGUAGCCAUGAUUCUGUCAGCAUACUGCUUGAUGGUUUCUGAGUCCUUCAUUUUGAGAUUUUCAAAAUCUCUUCUCAUGUUGAUCAGCUGCUGUUGCCUGGUCUUGUCAGACCCCUGAAACUCCUCCUUGAGUUUGUCCCAGGCCUGCUUUGGAGUGUCACAAGCCAUUAUUCUUGUGAAAAUAACAUCAGAAACUCCACUUUGAAGGCACGACAUAGCCUUAUACUUCUUGGCACAGUCUUCAUUGUGCUGCCUAAUCUGGGCUAUAGUCGGGUUGGCUCUUAGUGGUGGUGGCUCAGUGUCAUUGAGAACAACAUUCCACAGGUCGUGUGCCUGCAGGUAUGUUCUCAUUUUCACUGCCCAGAUGUUGUAAUUUUCUCCAGCAAAGACAGGUGGAGGAGGUGGUGUAAAACUCAUUUUUCAGCAAGCAAAACAACCUCUUCUUCUUUUGUUUCAAACACAAUUUGCUUAGUGACAGUGUACAACCAAGGCCCUCAAAGACUGAAAGCUCUUGAUACCAUUUGUUGGAACAAUGGCAGUAGCAAAGAAAGCAAAAACGAAUGAAACAAAACAAAAGAAAAAGAACUCAGCAAGAAAAUUUGUAACUGAAAAGUCAUCAUAGUUUCAUUCAAAUUUUGAAUAUAUGAAGAUUACAAAAGUAUUUGACAGUUACCUACUAAUUUAACUGCUCUUACUUAAUACUUACUAAAAAUAUAGCAACUUGUAUACCAAAGAAAGCUGGCAUACCAGCUAUUACAUCAGUCAAUCUUUCCUACUAACUUAGCUAACUCAUUACAAAGAUUUAGGCUAAGUUCCAUAGGAACAAAUAUUCAAAAAAUAAUUUUAUAACUGAACCAACUCCAUUUCUUUGCUACAAAACAGUAUAGCAGCUAAAAUUGUACAAUUUUCUGCUGUUGGUCUUUUGACCAAUUUGUUGCUGUUGGUUCUUUGUUGCAAUGCAGGCCACGGCUUCAACACUCUCCCUCUCCAUUUGGGAAUUCUGUUUUCAAGAGUGGUCAUAUUGAGAUUGUAUAUGGAUCAGUCAAAACUCUAAUGGAGUUGGAAGGUGCCUUUGGAAUGACACCUCAAGAUGUUGAUAAUGCAGUUCGAUCUCAUAAACAUCAUCAUAAACAGGUAGUUGUGUGUACAUAUUACAUUUCUAUAGCUAUGUUUUUAUUAAUAUUUAAAAUUUUGAAUUAACAUAUUUAAUAAACCUACAAUACAAUGGGCUAACGUGGCGGCAUGGCAGAAGCAAAUCAAAGAAUUGUUGGAAGAAAUUGAGAAUGAUCAAGUGGCGGAGGAACCAGUUCAUCACUUUACCGUACGAAAUAAUUCUAUAGAAAGUUUGGAGAAGACAGGAAAUGCUCAUUUAGUAGCUGCAGCACUUAUAGCCACCGUCGCAUUUGCAGCAGCAAUAACUGUUCCUGGUGGUUUGGAGAGUGAAAAAGGGUCAAAUCGAGGCACUCCCAUUUUGAUUCAAGAGGCAGCCUUUAAAGCAUUUGUUGUAACAAAUGCAAUGGCCUUUAUUUUCUCUGUUUCUGCCCUCACCACCUACUUUGCGGUUCUGGAUCAUCUUUUUACACGAUUUAUUUUUUGGCGUGAAGCAAUAAUUUUAAAUCGAACUUGGUCUGUUUCUAUGCUCCUUAACUAUGCAACGCUUGCAAUGGUAAUUGCUUUCAGCACGGGUAGUUAUGUGGUCUUAAAACCUUCCCACGAACUUGCCAUUGUUUCAUAUCUCAUAUGCCCUGCCUUUUUACUUUGUAAGUGGACAGCUUUGUUUGUAAUUUUGAGUCAUUCAAUACAUAUUUAAAAUAUAAAUAUGAUAAUAUUACUUUAUGGAUUAUUACAAUGUUGUUUCGAUUAUUAUAAAUUCAAAAAUAUUUUAUUUCCUUUUAAUAGUUUUUCAAAUAUUAAAUAUAUAACGCAAAAUAUAUAUAUAUAUUUUGUUUCUCAUGAAAAAUAGAUAUCAAUCAUGCUUUUCAAGUUUUCAUUAUUGAAAACAAAAUUUUAUUUCUAGUUAUCAAACUUGAUUUUAAAUUUUCAAAAAAUAGAAAAUAAAAAUAUUUUCAGAAACCUAACAAAGCUUAACUUUUUUUUUUGUUAAUAUACCAUUUGGUAUUUGAGUUAGUUUUAUUGUUCAAUUUGAUAAUUAAUUUCGGCUUCAAUAUUUAAUUUGAUAUCUAAACCAAAUGGUUUCAUAAGGCCUAAUAAAUAUUUGACAGGUCUACUCUAAAAAAUAGACGUGGGUAUUCUAAUUGAGACAAAAAAAAAAAAAAGAAGAAGCUCAAGUAUUAAAUUGAACUUUUUUAAAGUUAAACUCGGAUACUUAACUAUGACAAAAAGAAACUCAAGUAUCAAAGUAAAAAAAUUAAGUACAAAAUUGAACAUUCAAACCAAAUUCAUAUACAAAAUUAUAAAAAAUAAUCUUUUAAUACUAAAUUAAAAUUUGAAGUGAAAUUCAAGUAUCAAAUAAUAUAUUAACUCUUCUUUUUCUCUUAGAUCCUCACCUUGAAAAAAGCUAAUUAAGGUUAUUUGUUUUACAUUUACAACUUAAAAUUUUCAUAUAAAUAGAUUCUGUAUUUAUAAAAAUUUAUUUUUAUUAAAGAUUAAAUAAGAUUUAAAUGGUGUGUUGUUCUAAAGUUCACAAAUUUUUAUUUAAAAUAAUUACAUAAAAGUAAUAAAAAUUCAAAAUUUCACACCAACAAUAUAAAGUUAAAAAAUCACACAUAAAAAAUAGCAUUGCUAAAGAUUCUGCUUUACUAAAUUGUUUAAGUAAGGAAUUAUACAUGCCAUGGUGCUUUCUUUGUACCAAUGAUCUCUUUGGAUGGGUGAUGUGUUUAUUUACGAUUAGUAUAAAAAUAACAAUGUAAUACCUCAAAUUCGGUCUAGACGUUAUGACCGAAUAGGACUACAAGAGUUCAUCCAUCCAAUCACACCAAUAUGUGGCGGUGUGCCACUCAUAAAUAUGUAGCUGAGCUUCCAUAUAGAAAUUUGCUCUAGUCGCCAUAUAUUUGCGGUAAAAACUGUCAUAUAACACUUCCUCUAUUUUAUCAUAACCCAACUCAAUGCAAAUGUAAAAUCACGUUAACAUUCAUACAUAUAAUAUAGAUCGUAUGGCAUGCAUGCAUAAAUAGAUAUUAUACAAAGCAUAACACAACACAUAACUUAUACAGAUCAUAACAGAUUGAGAUUAUGCUGCACACAGAGGUUGCAAUUUUGUCGUGGAAGAACUGUUAAAAAGGGAUGUAUCAGCUGCCUAUGUAAGUGACAAAAAGAGGGGGAUGACACCCCUUCUUAUGGCAGCCAAGCAAGGUUAUCUUUUAACAGUUUCAAAGAUUCUCUCUUUUAUGUCCAGAUUGUUGUGAAAAAGUCGACAACAAAGGUUUGAAUUUACUUCAUUAUCAGGCUUUUAGAGUGUCAUCUUUUCAAGCUUGGUGGUAUUGGGAUUGCAUAUGGAUCGGUCAGAAAUUUAAUGGAGUUGGAAGGUGCCUUUGGAAUGACACCUCAAGAAGUUUAUAAUGCACUUCAAUAUGAGAAACAUCAUCAUAAACAGGUUUAUAAUCAAUGAUUUUUUUAUAUCUCAUCCGCACUUCAUUUUGGUGGCCUCCUCCACAUGGAUGGUUAAAGUUUAAUGUGUGUGGGAUUGCUAAAGAAGAUAGAGCAGGUUGUCGAGGUGUCUUGAGAGAUAAGGAGGGUGUCGCAAGAGCAUUAUUUUCUGGUUCAGUUGCAGCAAAUGAUGCCGAUGUGGCUGAGAUUGGUGCGGUGAAGAUUGCUCUGUAAGUAUUUUUUAGCUAUGAACUGGAAGAUUAAUGAUUCUUUAUUUAUUGAACUUGGUUCAUUGGUGGUGUUUUCUUGGUGUGCUAACAAGGUAAUGAGACCAUGGUCUCUUCAAGCAAUUUUUGCAGGUAUUGAAAAUGACAUGUUAAAGGCCGGAAAUGUUGUAUUCUCAUUGGCGGAUAAGAAAGGUAACGAGAUGGCAUCUUCCUUGGCAAUUGCAGGUUUUAAUCGGGUGAAAAUGUUUAAAGCUUGGUGAUGAAUUUUUGUUUUGUUGCAUUCAUAGGUUUAUUAGAGUUGGAAUGCGUUUUACUUUUGAUUGCUGUAAUACUGAAAUUUUUGUUGUUGUUCUGUUCGUCUUUGACAACAGUACAGCUCGAAUGGAGCCAAAAAAAAAAAAAAAAAGGGAAUGUUACAUCUUUGUAUAAGCAUUACUUUAAUUUUCAGUUAUAAUUAAAAAUUAGUUUGACAAAUCAUUGAAAAAUAUGAGAAUUUUAAGUUUAAGAAAAACACAAAGUUUUAUUUAAAAGUGGGAAGUCGUCCUCAACUUUUCUAGUUAGCUGCGAUUAGACACAUUUAAAAUCAAAAUUCUUUUUUAAAAAGAUAAAAUUGAGUUUACAAUAUAAAUCCAAACAAAAAUGUUUAGGUUAAUUAGAGAAUUUGUUAUACGAAAGGAAGAUUUUAGCAUCCUCAUGACGCCAAAAAUUAAUUCCUUGUUAAAUAUGUGUUGUCUACAUUCGUAAAUUAAAACUCAUAUCUUGGUUUUUGAUUAUGAUCCAAUUUUUUGAUAAAUUAAAAAUAAAUAUUAAAUGAGUGAAUCAAUUUUUUAAUAGCAAAACAAAGAUAAUGAUCAAGAUGUAGCAUUUUCAAAAUUCAGGGGCCCUUUUUGAGAUUUUCCAUUUAUUUUUCAUCAUGUUUAAAAGAGAAAAGUUAUAAAUUUUGAAGUCAGUAGCCCAAUAUUUAUUAAGCCCAAAUCAAAUAUUAGCUCAAAGUUCAGAAGCAUUCGAAUUUUAAAAUUGUGAAAUUACAUUUAAUAGAAAGCAAUAACAUUUCAAAAGCUAAUAAAUAUUAACAAAAAUCGGAUCCGAUAUCAACAACAUAAAAUUUGAUAUUAUCAUGUAAGCCGCUAUUUUUAAAUAUUUAAUGUUUUAGUCAAUAUUUUUGUUAAAAAAAUCAAUUUGAUUGCUUUUGAAAGGUUUAUGGCUAAAUUCGAGUCUUUUUUUAAAAGAUUGAUGACCAAAUUUAGCUCAAGAAAAGAAUAAGGGCCAAAUUGAUAAAAAAAAUUUACAUAAAUACUACGAGCUAAUUUUAUCAUUAUGCCUAAUGAAAAUUAAGUUGUAUACUUUUAUGAUAGUAAAAAAAAAUGUAAUUUCAUAAUUUUAAUAGCUUAAAUCUUUAUAAUAUUUAAAAGAUUAAAUCAAAUAUUUAUAAUUUUUAGAAGGUCAAAAUAUAAUUUUAUCAUUAUUAAUUUAAAAUUUUGUAAAUUAUAGAUAGGUUAAAAAGAGAGACCUAUUGUCCCCUUGGCUCCACCCCUAAACCCAUACGUUUUCAUCCAACUUUGAAAGUCCUUUCAAGCUUUCCAAUCUAUUAUAUUUGAUGUCUCAACGAUCCUAACUCUCGACCAAAUAAUCUUUUUCACUAUUUUUAAACUAAUAUACUUAGGAUUGAGGUAGAAUAAGGACAUGGUGAACUCCAAAAGUAAAUUAAUUUUUAAAGGGAUUUAAGACUAAUUCAUUUUGUGUCAAGUCUACAGUAUUAUUAGUUCAUAUUAACACAUCUCUGUCUUCACUUGAAAGUUAAUCUUACUCCGGCACAAUCAAGACAAAUUAUGUCUCAUUAUUAGAUUUUAGACAACGUAUAAAUCUCUUUCUCUUCGUAAUUCUAUAGAUUACAAGUCAUGUAUUUAAAUUAUCGACUAAUGGAAAUUGUCUUUUGCAUACAAAACUAAAUUUGUGAUGCAACUCCGAAUUAAUUUAACAUAGGAAAAGAAGGGAGUGCGGCUUCCAUGCAGCAACGACCAAAGCCAAAGAGAAGGCGUGCUGCCUAAUUUCUUGCCCUUCUCAUCCACACAAUUUCUUGACUUUUCUUGUGUUUCUCAUCCACACAAUUAAUUUAUAUUUUAGUAACACAUUUUGAUUUUGUUUCCCUUGUAAAUAUUUAAAAAUAUAUAAAUCUAAGUAUUUACAUGUUUGAUAAAUAAAUUGUUUGUAUAAAAAAAGUGAAUUUUAAAUUAUGUCAUAAUAGUUACAAUAUUAAUGGUUUGCGAAAUUUAAUUAAAAUUAAAAUUCGUUUUUAUAAUUAAACAAAUUAAAAUUUAUGUUUCAUAUUGCAAAUUAAAUUAAAGUUAAUACAUGAUUUUGAUUUUUAUUUCUUUGCAUUUUCGUGAAAAAAGUAUUGACUUCACCAAAAAGAGCUGGAGAGCUCAUUUUCUUCCAUUCUUCUCCUUCUUUGCAGUUUCCUUAAACCCGAAUUUCACCAUAAAAAACUCCUAAAAAUGAUGGAUUAGGUGCAUCUACUUUUCAACAAUUGUUAGUAUUUUAACCAUCUUUAUUAACUUUGUUUUAGGGCCAUUUGCUUUCCUUUUCGUUUCAAUUAAGUCAUCAUAUGAUAAUAAUAUUUAAUGUAAGUUAUACAAAUAGCCAUUUAAUUAUUAGCACAUUAUUAUUUUGGUCACUCGUGUUUAAAAAAGUUUAAUUUAGUCACUAAUAUUAUGGACAAUUGAUAUUUUUGUCAUUCCUCGUUCAAUUAUUAAUAGAAUCUUGAUGCAACUUUUUUAUUGGCAUAUUAAUAAAUUUAGCUUUUCAAUCUCUAUAAAUUUUAUUAAUUUGAUCUUAAUUCUAAAAAAUAAAUUUAACCCUUAACUUUACACAUUAUGUUAAUUUAAUCUUGAUUCUUAAAAUUUUAAAAAAUAAAAAUAUAUAUUUAAAAGUUUUUUUUUUAUAAAAUACAUAUACAAAUUUAUAAAAUGCAUACAAAAAUAUAAAAAUAUUUAUAAAUAAAUGAAUACUAAUUUUUUUCUUCAAAGAAAUCCUUCAAAGAAAAUCUAGGGUUUAGUCUGAAUGAGUCAAUAUUAACUAACAUGACCAAAAUUUAGUCUGUAACAGUUUUCUGAGCUACCAAACACCGUCUUAGAAUAAAAAAGAGCAUAGGGCAGCAUUAACUUGACCACGAAGAGCUCUAGACCCCAUUUUCUUCCAUUAUUUUCUUUAAUUCUUCUCCUUCUUUGCAGUUUCCUUAAAACCAAAUUUCACCAUAAAAAACCUCCUACUUUAUUGACCUCACUUCUAACCCAAUAUAUCACUAUUAUUAUUACUAAAGUGUUCAACCAUAUAUGGUUGCCAGUAGUUGACUUGAAUGCAGGAUUUGCAAGCAAGUAACUAACUGGUAUGGCAUUCGGUAAAUUUCUGAUUUUGCAGUACUUUUUUCUUGAGCUUCGAAUGUUUCAAGCUAAUUAAUUCAAUUUUGUUUGGUGUUAUCCAGGAAGAAAUAGAUCAACAAAAAUGGGACCUGAAGAGCCUGAACAGAACAUCACUCACAUGGAUGCUUCGCUGUAUAAGGCAGCAGUAGAAGGCAACAUUGAAGAAUUCAAUAAUAAGCAGGGGCCUCAGCUUGAGUCGCUAAAGACCCCAAACCAUGACAACGUGCUCCAUCUUAACUUGGCAACCCAGGAGAAUGCUACCUUGCUUUUUAACAUAUUUCUCUCAAUAAUCAAAUUCUUCCCCGUACUAUAUGGAUGCUUCUCUCCGCCUAUGCGUGAUUUAAUUACUAUUAUAAGAGGAGAAAAAAGAUCAGAUUUUAUCGAACAAAUUCUCAGCAAGUGUCCGUCAAUGCUACUCCAAACGAAUGCUAAAGGCCAAACUCCUUUGCACGUUGCAGCAAGGUAUGGUCAUUCUGCUAUUGUGAAACUUCUAAUCAAGUCUUGUGCAAAAGCUAGAGAUGGAGAUUUAGAGAAGCUGGGAAUGGAUGAAGUAAAUGCAGUGAGGGGGAUGCUGAGGAUUAGGGAUCAGGAAUCCAACACGGCUUUACAUGAAGCAGCACGAUGUGGCAAUGUUGAAGUGGUAAAAGCAUUGUCGGAGUUUGAAGAACCUGAUUUUCCGUAUUCUGCCAAUAAAAAACAGGAGACUCCACUUUACAUAGCUGCUAGGAGAGGAGACGGAGGCAUGCUGAGUAUACUAUUAGAUAAAUCAAAAUCAACAGCUCAUGGCGGCCCCCACGGUAGAACAGCUUUGCAUGCAGCAGCUAUGGCUGGAGAUGCAGGUAUGUUGUUGAGUUGGUUCCAAUUUUUUUAAAAAAAAAUUUGAAAUAAAUAAAGAACAGGUCUAUUGGCAUUUUUUUUUGCUUGGAUUUAGAGGCAAUAAGGAUAAUAUUAGAGAAGAAGGGGAAUUUGACAAAAGAAAGAGAUGAAGAUGGACACACCCCUCUUCAUUAUGCUGCACACUUGGGUUCUAGAUUAUCAGUUGUGGAAGAACUGUUAAAAAGGGAUGUUUCAGCUGCCUACAUAGGUGAUAAAAAGAGGGGGAUGACACCCCUUGUUAUGGCAGCCAGGCAAGGUUAUGGUGGAACAUGUUCAAAGAUUCUCUCUUUAUGUCCAGAUUGUUGUGAAAAAGUGGACAAAAUAGGUUUGAAUUUACUUCAUUAUAUGGCUUUUAGAGACUCUGUCUUCCCACUAGGGAGUUCUAUUUUCAAGCGUGGUGGUGCUGAGAUUGUAUAUGGAUCAGUUAGAAAUCUAAUGGAGUUGGAAGGUGCCUUUGGAAUCACACCUCAGGAAGCUCAUAAUACACUUCGAUCUAAGAAACAACAUCAAAAACAGGUGUGUGUAUAUAUAUUGCAUUUCCAUGGCUAUGGUUUUAUUAAUAUUUAAGUUUUGAAUUAACAUAUUCAAUAAACCUACAAUACAACCGGUUAAUGUGGGUGGCAUGACAGAAGCAAAUCAAAGAAUUGUUGGAAGAAUUGGAGAACGAUCAAGUGGCAGAGGAACCCGUUCGUCACUUUCGCUUACCAAAUGUUUCUACAGAAAGAUUGGAGGCUAUAAGAAAUACUCAUUUAAUAGUGGCAGCACUUAUAGCCACCGUCACCUUCGCAGCGGCAAUAACUGUUCCUGGUGGUUUGGAGAGUGAAAAAGGGUCAAAGCAAGGCACUCCCUUUUUGAUUCAUGAGGCAGCCUUUAAAGUAUUUGUUGUAACAAACGCAUUGGCCUUUAUUUUCUCUGUUUCUGCCCUCUUCAUCUACUUUGGGGUUCUGGAUAUUCUAUUAUCAAGAUUUAAAUUUUGGCGUCAAACAGUUUUAUAUCGAACUCGGUCUGUUUCUGGGCUUCUUGGCUAUGCAACGCUCGCGAUGAUGAUUGCUUUCAGCACAGGCAGUUAUGUGGUCUUAAAACCUUCCCACGGACUUGCCAUUGUUUCAUAUCUCAUAUGCCCUGCCUUCUUUUUCGUUCUGCAUUUGACUAUUUUUGAUUACUAUAUUACUAAGAUAUUAUUUCAUCGUUGAUUACAAUAUUUUUCCAAUUCCUAAUGUCAAUGUUACCUCUUUGAAGAAAUAUUACUUUAAUAUUAAUAAUCUCCAUUUAAUUGUAAUUAAUAUAAAAUUAUUAGUUGCUAGACAUACAAUUUCAAAUAAAGUAAAAUUUAUUAAAUAUCAAAGAAUAAUAAAGAUGAUGUAAUUAACUCUCGGUUAUAAUUAAAAAUUAGUUGCAUUAUAAUAUGCAUGCCCUGUAAUUUUGAUAAUUUUGAUUCUUUUUCUAAUAAUUUAGUAAUUUAAUGAUGUUUAACAACUUUGUUUUCGCACGUUAUAUAAUUUUAUUUAAUAUUUUAUAAUUAAAUUAAAAUUUUAUGUAUUCAAAAUAACCUAAACUUACCUAACCUUUGAAUUAGAUUCAAUCUUAUAAUAUUUGUAAUUAAUAUAAAGUAGUAAACUAUUCUUAGUCAUGAAUUAAUUUCUUCCUCCAAUACUUGCAUGCAAAACCAAAGACAAUGAGAUUAAAAAAAAAAAAAAAUUUAAAGUUUUUGCGAUUUGGACUUUCAAUAUUGUAACUUUAGCAUUUCGACCAUAACUUAAACUACAAAUCUCUAUUUUGAGCCCAUAAUAUAGCAUCUAAUUAAAAUUAUUUCACAAAUCAAGCACCAAAACCUCAUGAACGCAUCUAAAAAUAGCCUGGAAGUUUGACACGAAAGUUGCUAAGAAAUCUUGAAAAAAUCUGCUUUAUAUAAAUAGAUAAUUUUUUGUAUUUUCUCUAUUAUAUUAUCUUUGCCUUAUAAACAUACAUUAUUAGGUUAAAACUUGAGGAGAGACCUAGACAUAGUCACCUUAGCUUUAUUUUGUUUUUGCGUUUUAUUUUCUUUAUGAGUUUUUAAAUUUUUUUUCUAGUUUAAGGUCAAUCAAAGUUUGAUUCAAUAAAUUUAUGAGACAUGAUUUGCACUUUAAUUCUUUUUUGUUCUUUGAUAUUCAUGCAUCUUCUGUUAUAAUUACAAUUGCUCAAGUUUAUUACUAUUGAGUCAUCAACUAGAACUAAUUUAUUAAACACAUUGAAGAUAUCAUUAUAUCGAUGAUCGAACUUACAAAAUCAAUUGUAGAUUUUACCUUUGGGUAAAACCUUUCAACAUUGAAUUUCCUAAAAUUUUUAAUUAUUACUUUCUUUGAUUCAGCUUUUAAUUUAAAUUUAGUUUUUUUAUUUUAUAAAACCCUUUUUUUUAUUUACCUUAGUGGUUCUUACUUAAGGAAUAUAAUUAUCACUAAUAUCUAUAUAUGUGGAUAUAAUUUUGCUUCUUGUUUUCUAUUAAUUUAUAUGUUCAAAUUGAUUUUAUUUUUAUAGGUCUCGAUAGUCUAACAACUCUCUUGGAUCUUCUUGUUGAGCAUUUUUGAACUUCUUAAACCUUUGGCUUCAUUUUGACCUGUAUUUAAAAACUUUGUUUAAGUUUCAAGAUAAAAAGGUUAUCUACCAUUGCAACUCUUCUAUAGUAGUGUUAUGAUUAGUGGACAUUACUUCUGUCACUUGUAAGGAAACACUCUUUUUUCCUCUACUUCAAUUUUCUUUUUAUUUAAUCUAGAUUGAUCUCAUAGGUUUGUAGAAAUCCAAUUGAUUCAUCAAUUCACAUAUUAUCAAUAUCUUUGGCUUCUCCAAUGAUUGUGACUUUGAUGUUGAAUUUCUUUAGAAAAGAUCAAAUCACACAAUUUGGCAUAGAACUUGUCAAUUGUUUCAUUAUCCUCCAUUUUUAGAGUUUUAAACCUUGUUAUGAGCAUUUGUAAUUUAGAUUGCUUCACAAUCUCUAUAACACCCCUAAACCUCGCCUGAACGUUAUGGCUGAAUCUAGAAUGUUACGAAGAAGGGUUUUGAAACCGAUCUUUACAUGAUAAAAAAAAACCUCGUAUGGUAUCUUACUAGAAAAGAGUCCUUAUUGUAUAAAACAUAUCCAUUUAACAUUGUCUUUACUAAAACCGUUGAUAGUUUGUUCUUUAAGAAAAACUUAAUUCGCGACAGAAAUCUUAAGUGUCAUUAUAUGUCGAAAACCAAGUUUGUGUUUUCCAAAACGUUUGUUUGCAUAAAACCAUUAUUUACGAAAAAUUGUUUGUUGUGCGUUGCAGAAAACAUAAUCAAACCAAAAACAACAACAAAAACCAAAAGAAAUCAAAAAGUCCGGAGAGUCCCAAAAUUACAAAACUCUCAAGAAAAACCAUAAAUUAAAAUAAAACCAAUAAUUAAAGGAUAGUUUCCAUACUAGUGGUCAUCGCUGAGCUUCCGUUGCACCGACCUGCCUAUGUCUGAAGAUUACCUGAAUAGAGUAGACAAACAAAUGUGAGUUUUCAAAAACUCAAUGUGUAACUUAACAGAGACAUGCAUACACAUAAACUCAGAUUUCUCAUGUAGCAAAUCAGAUACGGGCAUAAGUCAUUAACAGAAUCAUAUAAUAUCAUAAUCGGAUUAUUAGAAACAUACAGAUAUCCAAAGUCCUACCCCCAUCCUCUACACACUAUCUCUGACCAUCCCAACACACCAUAUGGGGUAUAAAACACCCACUCAUCCCUACACACCACAUAGUGUCUUUACAACACUUAUCAAGAAUAGUAUGCAGUCAAGCUGCCAGUAUAUCGGCGAAAUGUCACCUCACAGAACACUUCCUCCACAUAUACAAAUCCCACCCCAUACAUAGAUACAGAUAACAGAUAACAAAUAUAACAGAACUAACAUGUCCCGCAUGCUCAUAUACAAAUAUCAUACAUGUUAUUAUGAAAUAGUCAAAUCAUACAUAUCAACUUCUAAAUACUCAAAUUAGUCUAUCAAAGUAGCAGAUAUCAUACAUUAGGGUUUGUUAUUAUGUAAUGUAUUGAAAUAAUCAUAAUCUAAACUUAAAAUAAUAAAAUAAAUUUAAAUAGCAUCGGAUGCUUAAACUAAAAUCAGAAAGAAAUAUAAAAUUAAACAAAACAUUGACUUUGUUAUACAAUAGUUUAAGUAUCAUUAAAUAAUAUUUAUAAAUAUAAAAAAGUCAAAGUCUUUUUAAAAUACUAAUUAUUUAAUUAGUUAAUGAGUGUUGCAUUUGAUCUCAUGUUAUAUAUAUUAUAAUAUGCAUGUGCUACUUGCCUGGAAAGGUUAAAAUUAGUUGUAUAAUUAAUUAAUAAAUAUUUGAAACAUUAUUUUUCUUGAAAGAUGGACUGAUUUUUAAUAGCUUCAUUAAUUAAUUAAAAUCUAAUAAUGCAACUUUGUUUUAAGGCCAUUUGCUUUCCAUUUCCUUACAAUUAAGUCAUUCAAUAACAUUUUAGUAGCGUAUUUCUGUUUUGUUCAUUCAGAUUUAAAAAAUUAUAUGUUAAUCACUUAUCGGUUGUUGAUAUUUUGGUCACUUUUCCGUUAAAUCAUUAAUAGAAUGUUAAUGCAGUUUUGUUUUUAUUGGUAUAAUAAUAAAGUUAGCUCUUUAAUGUUUAUAGAUUCUAUUAAUUUAGACCUAAUUUUAAAAAAAAACAAAUUUAACCCUUAACUUUACAUAUUAUGCCAAUUGAUCUCAAUUCUUAAAAAUUUAAAAAAUAAAAAAGAUAUUUAAAAUUUGUUUCGAUAAAAAUACAUACAAAAUUAUAAAAGUUAUAAAAUACAUACAUAUAAAUAAAUGAGUAUUCAAUUCUCUCCUUUAAAGAAAAACACGAAAAAGAACUUAUAUAAUUUAUCAUUUGUUUUGUUGAAAAUGUGGUAAAUCUUAGGGAUUUUCAUUGUUGGAAGGGUGAAAAGAAAAUCUAGGGUUUAGUCUAAAUCACUCAAUAAUAACUAACAUCAUCAAAUUUUGGAUGGACAUAAUGCAUUGAAAUAAUCAAUAAUCAAAAUUGACAUCAUAAAUACAAUCAACUUCAUAAUUAAAAUAUAUCUAAAUUUAAAUAGAUAAAACUAAAAUCAGAAAUAAAUAUGAAAUUAAACAAAACACUUACGCUGUUAUAUUGUAGUUUAAGUAUCAUUAAAUAAUAUUUAUAAUUAUAAAUAAGUCAAAGUCUUUUUAAAAUACUAAUUAAUUAAUUAGUUAAUGAGUGUUCCAUGUGAUCUCAUCUUAUAUUAUAAUAUGAAUAUGGGAAUGUGCUCCUUGCCUUGAAAGGUUAAUAUUAAUUAAUAAAAAUGUGAAAAAAUUAAAACUCGCCAUGUGCCUCCAUAAUUAGAAUUUAAUAAUGCAACUUUGUUUUACGGAUUUGCUUUCCAUUUCCUUACAAUUAAGUCUUUCAAUUAUAUUUUAGCAGUGUUUUACUGUUUUGGUCCGUUUAUGAUCAAACUCACAGAAACAAAGUUAAAUUAGUUAGGGGGUUACAAUCUCCAUGCCUUCAUGGGCAAUCUCAAAGAUUUCAAGCUAUAUAUAUGUGUCACUUGUCUUGAUAAGCCACAAGGUGUCUUGGAAUAAGUAAGGCAUUUUGUAAUUUUUCUUAAUUUGUAAUCUUUUUUUCGUUUAUCUUUGAAUGUUCCACGGUAAUUGAAUAUUAAUUGGUGUUUUCAAGGAAGAAAGCUGUGCAAUAGAUCAACAAAUAUGGGACCAUCGUUAAACGACAUUGUUAUUUCCUCCGGUGAACCUGAGAAGCCUGCAGAGAACAUCACUUGCAUGGAUGCUUCAUUGUAUAAAGCUGCAGCAGUAGGCAAAAUUGAAGAAUUCAAUAAUUACCAGGGGCCUGAACUUGAGUCGCUGAAGACCCCAAACCAUGACAACGUGCUCCAUGUUAACUUGUCAACCCCUGAGCGUAUCUGGCAACGUACCAGAUUUGAUUUUGUCCUACAAAUUCUUGACAAGUGUCCAUCACUGCUACUCCAAACAAAUGCUAAAGGUCAAAUUCCACUGCAUGUUGCAGCAAGGUAUGGAUAUUCUACUAUUGUACGACAUCUAAUCAUGUUUUGUGCAAGGGUUAUUUAUAAAGAUUUAGAGAAGCUGGGAAUGGAUCAACUGAAUGCAGUGAGGGGGAUGAUCAGACAUACGGAUCAAGAAUCCAAUACGGCUUUACAUAUAGCAACACGGUAUGGCCAUGUUGAAGUGGUGCAAGCAUUGCUGGAGCAUGAAGACCCUGAUUUUCCAUAUUUUGCCAAUAUAAACCACGAAACUCCACUUUACUUAGCAGCUAGGAGAGGAAGUCGGCGCUUGCUGAGUAUAUUAUUAGAUAAAUCAAAAUCAACUGCUCAUGGUGGCCCCCACGGUAGAACAGCUUUGCAUGCAACAGCUAUGGUUAGAGAUCCAUGUAAGUUAAGUUCCAAUUUUUUUUUUUUUGUUUGAAAUAAACAGAGAAUAGAACCAUUGACUUUUUUUUUUGGGCUUGAAUUUAGGGGUUACAAGGAUAAUACUAGAGAAGAAAGGGAAUUUGACAAAGGAAACAGAUGAAAAUGGACACACCCCUCUUCACUAUGCUGCACACUUGGGUCACGAUGCUGUUGUGGAAGAGCUGUUAAAAUGGGAUAUAUCUGUUGCUUAUAUAGGUGAUAAAAAGUGGGGGAUGACACCCCUUCUUAUGGCAGCCAGGCAAGGUCUUUUUGGAACAGUAAGAAAGAUUCUGUCUUAUUGUCCAGAUUGUUGUGAAAGAGUGGACAAAAGAGGUUGGAAUUUACUUCAUUUUAUGGCGUUUAGAGACCUUUCUCGUGGAUUCCGCAUUUUAUUAAAGAAUGAUAAUGCUACCACGACUGAAUAUGGAUCAGUCAGAAAUCUAAGGGACUGGAAAGAUGCUAGUGGAAUCACACCUCAACAAGUUUUCAAUGCAUGUCAAUAUGAUAAGGAAGAGAAAAAGGUAUAUUUAUAUUUGUAUUUGUAUGCCUACGGCUAUGGUUUUAUUAAUAUUUGUGUUUUGAAUUAUGAUUAUAUAACAUAUAUAAUAUAAUGAUCUAUAAUAUAAUCGGCUAAUGUGGUAGGAACAAAUUGUGAAAUUGUUAAAAGAAAUUGUGAAUGAAGAAGUCGCGGAGAAACCAGUUUAUCCCAUCGGCUUGCCAAACAUAUCUGCAGAUAAAAACUUGGAGAAAGCAAGAGAUGCUCAUUUAGUAGUGGCAGCACUUAUAGUCACCGUCACAUUCGCAGCGGCAAUAACCGUUCCAGGUGGUUUGCAGAGUGAAAAAGGGUUAGAGCAAGGCACUCCCCUUUUGAUUCAUGAGGCAGUGUUUAAAGCAUUUGUUGUGACAAAUUCAUUGGCCUUUAUUUUCUCUGUUUCUGCCCUCACCACCCACUUUGGGGUUCUGGAUAAUCAAUUAUCAGGAUUUAAAUUUUUUCGUGAAACAGUUUUAUAUCGAACUCAGUCUGUUUCUGGGAUCCUUGGCUAUGCAACGUUGGCAAUGGUGGUUGCUUUCAGCACAGGUAGUUAUGUGGUCUUAAAACCUUCCCACGGACUUGCCAUUGUUUCGUAUCUCAUCUGCCCUGCCUUUUUACUCUGUAUUUGGGAAAUUUUGAAUCCUUUAAUGCAAAUGUAAAAUAUAAAUAUGAUAAUAUUACUUUAUCAUUGAUUACAAUGUUGUUCCAAUUCCUAAUAAAAAAUUAAUUUUUUUUUAAAAGAUAAUUUUGAGUCUACGAUAAAAAUUAAAAAAAAAUGUUGUUUACAUAGCAUCCUCGCGACGCUCAAAAUCGGCACCUUAUUAAAUAUGUUUUGUGUACCUUGUUAAAUUAAAAUUCAUAUCUAGGUACUUAAUUAUGAUCCAAAUUUUUGAUAAAUUAAAAGCAAAGAUAUUAAAUGAGUGAAUCGGUUAUUUAAUAGCAAAACAAAAGUAAGGAUCAAGAUGUAGCAUAUUCAAAAUUCAAGGGCCUUUCUUGAGGUUUUUCAUUUUAUAUUUUUUAUCAUUAUAAAAGAUAAAAAAGUUAUAAAUUUUGAAGUAAAUGGGCCCACAGUCCAACAUUUAUUACACAUAUGAACAGAUAAGAAAACAUUUGGGCCCAAAUCGAAUAUUAUCCCAAAGUUCAUAAACAUUUGACUUUAAAAAUUGUGAAAUUAAAUUCAAAACUAAUAAAUAUUAACAAAAAUUGGAUCCCAUAUCCACAAAUUAAAACUCCAAUUCUUGUUACUUACGGAUCCUGGACGAAAUUCGGUGUUUACAAAAGGUAUCAAGUGGCGGAGGAACUAGUUUGUCCCAUUUGCUUGCCAACUAUCUCUGCAAAAAGCUUGGAGAAGAAGGGAAAUGCUCAUUUAGUAGUGGCAGCACUUAUUGCCACCUUUGCAUUCGCAGCGGCAAUAACUGUUCUUGGUGGUUUGCAAAGUGACAAAAGGUCAAAGCAAGGCACUCCCCUUUUCAUUCAUGAGGCAGCCUUCAAAGCAUUUUAUUGUAACAAAUGCAUUGGCCUUUUUAUACUCCGUUUCUACCCUCACCAUCCACUUUGGGUUAUGGAUAAUAUAUUAUCAAGAUAUAAUUUUUGGCAUCGAACAGUUUCAAAUCGAACUCGAUUUGUUUCUGGGAUCCUUGGGCAUGCAAUGAUUGCAAUGGUGAUUGCUUUCAGCACAGGUAGUUAUGUGGUUUUAAAAUCUUCCCACGGACUUGUCAUCGUUUCAUAUCUGAUCGGCCCUGCCUUUUUCUUUGGUGUGUGGCUAAUUUUGCAUGCUUCCUUAUAUAUAUAAAAUAUAAAUGUGACAAUAUACUUUAUCAUCGAUUACAAUAUUCUUCCAAUUUCUAGUUCGAAUGUUACCUCUUUGAAUAAACAUUACUUCAAUUUUUUUUUUUGAGAUAUGUCUAUCUUAUUAAAAUUAUGAAAAAGGUCAAAAAAAAAUCACAAUUUGUGUAAAGUAAGAUUUACUAAAUAUCAAAGAAUAGUAAAGAUAUAUUGUAAUUAAUUUUCGGUUAUAAUUAAAAAUUAAUUUGACAAAUAAUUGAAAAAUAUGAGGAUUCUAGGUUUAAGAAAAACAUGAAAUGUUAUUUAAAAAUGAAAAGUGGCGAUUAAAUUUUUUGGCUAGGUGUGAUCAAACACAUUUAAAGUCAUCUUCUAAAAACAAAAUUUUGAAAAUUCUUUUUUAAAAAGAUAAUUUUGGGUCUACCAUAGAAAUUCAGAGAAAAUUAUUUAGGUUAGGGAAUUGGUUACGGAAGAUUUUGGGUCUAUCUUGUUAAAUAUAUGUUGUUUACAUUCGUAAAUUAAAAUUCAUAUCUCUGUAUUUAAUUGUAACACUCCAAAAUUGGGGCGAGGAGCAGUAAGGUUUGUUGGUUUGGGGUUAGUGGUUCGUAAGUCCUAAGUUAAUUUUUGUAUUUUAAAAAUAAAAUGAGUCUCUUGAUUUAGUGGUAAAAAAUUAGUUUACCUUUAGAUCUUGUGUUCAAAUUCUCGUGAGAGCUUUGAGGAAGUUAAUUUUUGGUUUUUAAAUUUUGUUAAAUUCUAUCACGUUUGGAUUCAAUUUUCAAUACUUCACUAAGUGAUGUAUGUAUUUGGACUAUAUGGACUUUUGUUAUGGUCCUUUUAUGAUAUUACUAAUAAUUUCUUGAUUGAGAAAAAAAAAUAUAUUACUUAUGACAUGUGGCUUCCCUUGUACCAUGUUAAAUAAUCUCUCGUGUUUGCAAGAUUUUCUAUUAUGUUCGUAUAUCAAGUGUUUAUGAAUGAAGUCAAAAAAUUUUUGUUGGGAGUCUGAAGUAAUAAUUUUAGAGGGGAAAUAAUUUUAAAUAAAUUUAAAAUUAAUUUAUCUCGUGUUUAGUUUAAUGUAUUCUUUAUCUAUAUCACUAUUUAAGAGUCAAUUCUAUUUUGAUAGCGAAGAUAAGUUAUUUUCCCUUAUUGGACAUUAGACUACAUGAUAUCCUUAUAUGAAUCACUUACUUAUCAUGUUUCCAUGAGUUAAUGGACUAUUCAUUUAAAUUACAACUAAUUGAAAUUAUCUUUUGCAUCCAAAACAAUAUUUGUGAUGCAACUUCCGAUAAAUUUAACGUAAGUAACUAAUGAGCUAAUAUUUACACAUACUAUUAGUUUACAUGUUGGUUUGAAUCCAUAAAAAUGUAAAUUUAUAUAAAUGUAAAAAAAAAUUCGACAGUUUUUCAAAUAUUAAAUCUCGUACAUUCGUUUGAAUCAUAAAAAAUAUACACUUUCUAUUUUAUUAUAGAAAAAAAAGUAUAUACCAUGUUUUUCAUGUUUUCAAAAUUUUAAUUUUAUUUAUCAAAUGUGUUUUUCAAUUUGAGAAAAAAAUAAAAAUUAGAAAAUGAAAUAUUUCUUUGAAAAUGAUAAUAGGAAAUAAAAAAAAAUAUUGUAAGGAACCGAAGGAAGCUUACCCUUUUUUUUUGGAUUAAUAUACCAUUUGGUAUUUAAAUUUGGUUCUAAUGUUCAAUUUAAUACUCAAACCAAAUGACUUCAUAUAGCUUAAUAAAUAUUUUACAUGUGUACUAUGGUAAAAAAAAACAUAAGUAUUUUAAUUGAGAUAAAAAAAAUGGGUAUUAAAAGAAACAUUGAAGCUAAAUUUAAGCAUUUAAUUAUGACAAAAGGAAAUUCAAGCAUUGAAUUGACAAUAUUUGGGUACCAAAUUAAACAUUGAAGCCAAACUUAUGUACCAAUUUGGAAAAAAAAAAUCUCGAGUACAUUAACGUUCUUCUGCUAUUAAAUCUUCUCAUUGAAUAAAGCAAAAGCUAUGAUUUGCAAAGAGAAUAAAUGGUGUGUAGGAAAAAUGUAGGGAAAGAAGAAUAAAGGGGAAAUUGUAGCUCCAUCUACUUGGACCAAAUUUUUUAUUAUAUUGAUUCCUUUUAAUGAAAAAUAAUUGUACUCAGGCGCAAAAGGUGGAAAAAAAAUUUUAGAGGGUCGAAAUUAAAUUUUAAUUUUUAUAAUAAUAAAAAUGUAAUUUUAACAUUUGAAUAGCCUAUAUAUUUAUAAUGUUUAAAAGAUUAAAUCAAAUUUUUAUCAUUUUAGGGGGGCCAAAGUGUAAUUUUAUCUUUACUAAUUUAAAUUUUUUUACUUGUACUACGAGUUGUAUUGCAUUUUGCCCCAUUUAAUUUAUAAAAAAAAAGUAAAUUAGUCAUUGUAUACUAGAUCAAAGAUCAAGUUGGUCCUUCUGAUAAACAUUAGCCCAUGUACAUUAGAAUGAGGGACACGUUGCAUGUCAUGUUUAACUAUCUAACUAUUCUGUUUGUUAUGCCCGUUUUAUUGAUAGAAAAGGAUGAAACUUUUAAUAGAAAUGAUCAGUUUACUUUUUUUAUCUAAUAAACAAUGACUAAUUUACUCAUUUUUUAAAAAGAAAAGGUAAGAUACAAUCUAAACCCUAAACCUUCAUAGUACUUUUACCUUAAUUAAAGCUCAUAGCAAGAAUAGCAUUGUUGAGGAUUAUGCUACGCGAAUGUGUUAAGGAAGAAAUUGAAAAAUGUAACGGUAGUUCUUUACGCAACACUAAAGUGUUCAAGUAAGGAAUUAUAUAUAGUUGUCACACUUGAAUGAAAGAUAUUAUAGGCAAGCAACAAAUAUGUAAGGCAUUUGGUAAAUUUCUGAAUUUGUAGUACCUUUUUUUUUUCCUUGAGCUUGGAAUGUUCCUAGCUAAUUAAUUACAUUUUGUUUGGUGUUAUCUAGGACGAAAGCUGUGCAAUAGAUCAACAAAAAUGGAACCAUCGACAAACAUCGCGCUUAUAUCCUCCGGUGAACCUGAGGAGCCUGAAGAGAACAUCACUUACAUGGAUGCUUUGUUGUACAAGGCAGCAGCAGAAGGCAUAAUUGAAGAAUUCAAUAAUCACCCAGAGCUUCAACUUGAGUCGCUAAAGACCCCAAACCAUGACAACCUGCUCCAUGUUAACUUGGCAACCCAGGAGAGUGCUGUUGACAUUGUGUACUCAUUAUUCAUAUUAUUCCCCGAAGGAUAUGUAUUAUUCCAUCAGUAUUUGAGUAUUUUCAUUAGUAUGAUAAAAAGAGAAAAGAGAUCAGAUUUUUUCGAGCAAAUUCUCAGCAAGUGUCCGUCACUGCUACUCCAAACGAAUGCUAAAGGUCAAACUCCUUUGCACGUUGCAGCAAGGUUUGGACAUUCUGCUAUUGUGAAACUACUAAUCAAGUCUUGUGCAAAAGCUAGAGAUGGAGAUUUAGAGAAGCUGGGAAUGGAUCAAGUAAAUGCAGUGAGGGAGAUGUUGAGGAUUACGGAUCAGGAAUCGAACACGGCUUUGCAUGAAGCAGCAGGGUGUGGCAAUGUUGAAGUGGUGAAAGCAUUGUUGGAGUUUGAAGACCCUGAUUUUCCGUAUUCUGCCAACAAAAAACAGGAGACUCCACUUUACAUAGCAGCUAGGAGGAGAGGAUCUGGGCGCUUGUUGACU